AAUAGUCACGUCUAAAACUUAUUUUUCUCACUUGCAAUGCUUCGCCAAGCGAGAUAUGUAUUGGGCGCCCAGCAAAGAAGAAAGUGGAGAGGUUAGGGGCAUUGGUGUCAAUCAUUUCCAGCUUACUGCAACCCAGCACAUCCAGGAUAUCAAGCUUCUGCAGCAGACAAGGUAUCUUCAAGCAAAUUUAAUCAUUGCAGUUGGUAAGCCUUAGUUCCUCCACAGCACAAGAAUUGGAUAGAAAACCAUAUAGUUCCUCUCCAGUAAUGUGUACUGAAUGCAAUUCCAAAUUUGUCAGGCUACUCAUAUAACCAACUUGGGCUGCACAGUGAAAAGAACAAUCCCCAAGCACAAAAGUCUGGAUGGAGCUUCUUAUCUCCCUACUAAAUAAAAGUAAACCUGGGAAGUUGUACUUUAUCCCACAACUUAACAUUGAUAGAUAGAUUUCUUUGAUCCCAGGUGUAAUGGCACAUUGAAGCCAGCGGUCAACAUAACUAGGUUGGAGAUUCGAACAAGGGUAGGUUUCAAUUACAAACCUCUUCACUCCCAUGCUAGAGUGAUUCUGCAUAAUGUGGUCAACUCUACAUACGAAAUCCCUUUUUAUUUCAUCAUUAGAUGUGUUUACAUUAAUCCCUAGAGAAUCAACAGAAAUAAUGAGAUUUGGAAAGCAUCUCCAAGAACGCAGAAAACCACGAGACACGCAGGCGGCCUGAGCAGCAUCUCGCAAUGGCAUGAGGGCGUGUAUUUGAUGAAGAAUGUCCUGUGAAAAUAACCAUGGGAAAUUUUUCAAAAAAAAAGCAUGAGAAAAAUAACGAACAUCACAAGAUGGUUGUGGUAAUAAUGCUUGUCUGAAGUGAGCAGUAUGGACAAAUUACGAUCGAAUUAGCUAAGGGCCUGUUUGUUUCCACCCUCCUAAAAUUUUAACUCCUAAAAGAUUUUAGGCAGUUUUUAGACACCUCCUAAAGUAUGUUUUGUUCCACCUCCUAAAAGUGACUAAAGGCAAUGAAUGAAGUGGUAAAAUGACCAAGAUGCACCUCUCCCCCACCCCGCGCUGCUCCUCCUCGUCAUCCUCCUCCUCCCGGCCCUCACGCUCGCCGCGCUGCUCUUGCGCGGGGGCGGGGGCAGCCACCACCUUGCGCUCCUGACGGCCGCGGCGGCGGCCGUCGCGCGGCUCCGCGGCACCCACGCGGGUGCCUUCCAGGCGUGCGCCUCCUCGGCACUAGCGGCCUCCGUGCAGUGGUUCAUCGGGGAGGCGGAGUCGGGCGGCGGGCGCUGCAGCGGCGGGCGGCGGGAGUCGAGCGGCGGGCGCUGCGGCGGCGGCGGCCGGCGGCGGACGGCGGCGGCGGCAGGCGGCGGGAGUUGGGCGGGCGGCGGGAGUCUGGCGUGCGGUGGGGGUAUGCGGGGUAGGAGCGGUCCAGAACCGAUUUUAGUCGGUUUUAGGAGGGGGGUGAGGGCCUAAAAGAUUUGGACCUCCUAAAAGAUUUUAGUCACUUUUUAGGAGAAGUGUUUGGCACUUUAGGCAGUUUUUAGUCACUUUUUAGGAGGUAAGGUUUUAGGAGGGUGGAAACAAACAAGCCCUAAAUGUGUUCUGUUUUAAAAAAUACAGUAUUGAAUUGUGCUAUACUGGGGGUAUCCUCAUUUUCAGCAGGUAUAACAUAAAAAGAAUUCACAAGCAACAACCAUCAUAAGAUGAUAAGGCAAGGUAACGACAAUUCAAAAACAUCAACCAUGGACCAUUGUACAACCCUGGACCUCAUAGUGUGAAUGUCAGAUGCACUACCAAGUUCUUAUAAUCCAAAAUGCCACCACCAAGCUAGCAGUAAUGACAGUGGGGGUGGUUAGUUCUAUCACUUGCUAUAUAGUGCUCUGAGAAAAAACUAAUUCAUCCUAAUAACUUACACGAUAUCAUCUCAUACCUCUGGAAGCUGGACCUGUGAUCCCAUUGUUUCGACGCAAUGCGAAAUAUCUCCUUCUAGACUAGGUGAUACCAUUAUUUGAGAUGCCGAACAAUUUGAUCCAUCACCUGCAAAUCAGGAAUGUCAUGAGACAGAAGGGACAAUGGCAAGGAAAACAGCAAACACGAACACAAUUGCACAUGCGCAGCACUUGGCUUAGAUGAUGCUUAAACUUCUGCUCGAGAACAGUUGAGCAGACAGAACCUAGGUUCCAAGAGUUGGGUUAAGAACAUCCUUUAUACGCAAAGUUACCUAAAAAUUAAAUCUUUAUGUGCACAAUCACCUCAAACAUAUGUCUCUGCACAAAAUCAUCAGCGUAGAGGGAUCUUUGUUCGAAACCUAGCCAGGCCACAUGAAUUUACUUAAUUCGACCAGUCCCGUGGCUACUUCUAUCCCAGAAACAGAUGUAGAAAAAUUGUAAAUAAUAAUUGAUAUCUCAUAUGACAGCACUCACUAAUCAUGCAGAUAAGCAACGCAAGCAAACAGACACCAGGAUGCUUACGAGUUAUCUGGACUUGAGGCUGCCCCUCGACGGACAGAGCCUUCAUCUGCUCCAGUAUCCCCAUGUCCGUCGCCCCAACAAUCAAGCCAAGUCUCCGCACCCUAUGGCCCCUCGCCCCCUCUGCCGCUCGUGCAGCAAUCACGGGUCAGGUUUCUGCCGUGAGAAUCGGUACGCCACGGUAGCAGGGAUAUGUGGAGCUGGGUGAAUCUUUGUGGUGCUCGGUUAUCGAGUCCGGUGCCAGAACGGCAGCUCCAAUGUGGAUGCAAAACGAACCGAGGGGAUAAUAAACAAGUAAAGGUUCGAUUUAGGCACUAGGCCUUCCCUGGAGGCCGCAGCCGAAUCGACCUCUCGAACAAAGCAGAAUAUGAGGCACUACUGCACGGGCUCCGUUUGGUAGUCUCGCUAGGAAUCAAGUGGUUUUUGGUUUACGGCGACUCACUAAUAGUCAUCAACCAAGUCAAUGAUGAGUGGGAUCGCCACAAAGAUAACAUGGACGCGUACUGCCUUGAAGUACGCAAGCCGAAGAACACGUUCUCCAGCCUGGAGUUCCAUCACGUGGCUCGUGACAAUAAUGUAGCUGCAGACAUCUUGUCCAAGCUCGAAUCUACUCGUACUCUAGUUCCAGCUGGGGUCUUUGUCCACGAACUACACAAGCCAUCUAUAGCGGAGUUGGCACCUUCAAAAACCACCAAUCGAGGCAACAAUGAGCCUGAUCGGGAGGUUCUGAUGAUCAACGUAGAUUGGAGAACCCUCUUCAUCAACUACAUCAAGGAGCACAAGUUGCUUCCCGACAAGCAGAAGUAGAGCAAGUCUCACAGCAUGGCAAGAACUAAGUUCUAGUUGGGGAUAAGCUCUACAUACGAGGCGGAUCAUCAGGAGUACUCAUGAAGUGCAUCUCACGUGAAGAUGGCAAGGAUAUAUUGGAGGAGAUUCACAAAGGCAUCUGCGGCAACCACACAUCAUCCAAAACGAUCAUGGGCAAAGCUUUUAGAGCAGGAUUCUAUUGGCCUAUAGCUCUCAAAGAUGCCGAAGAGCUAGUUCGCCGAUGUUAAGGUUGUCAAUUCUUUGCCAAGCAGCAACAUGUUUCUGCCUAUAGGCUGAUGACUAUACCGCCCUCCUGGCUCUUCGCAUGCUGGGGGCUAGACAUGAUUGGUACUCUGCCUAUAGUGCCUGGGGGCUUCAACCGAGUACUCAUGGUGAUCGACAAGUUCACCAAGUGGAUUGAGGUGAAGCCAGUGACCUACUCGAAGGCAGACAGAGUACUUGACUUCCUCGACGAGAUCAUCCAUCACUACGGUUUCCCCAAUCGCAUCAUGACAGGCCUGGGCUCAAAUUUCAACAAUCACAAGUUCUGGGAGUAUUGUGAAAACAACGGGAUUGAUGUUCGGUACCGUCUCUGUUGCUCAUCUGCGGGCCAACGGUCAGGUUGGGCGUGGAUGGUACUGAAAAGCCUCGAUUUGAACUGCUCGGUAGGUGAUAGCCGAGAACCUAGAAGCUAUCAAGAAGAGACUACAUAACAUUGACAAUGCCAAAUGAGGCAAGUGGCUCAAGGAGCUACCCAAUGUCCUCUAUGGGCUUCGCACAUAGCUGUGCAAGCCUACGAGGUACUCACCCUACUUCCUAGUCUAUGGAUCAGAAGCUAUCCUACCCGCCGACAUCACGUGGAAAUCUCUAGUAAUUGGGUAGUAUGAGGAAGCUUUGGUAGAAGAAACAAGACGUCUAGAUAUAAAUAGUCUCAAAGAAGCUCGCUGUGUAGCACUCGUCCAAUCAACAAGAUACCUUGAAGGAAUUCGCCACUAUCAUGAUCGCAAUGUUAAGGAACGUUCGUUCAACACAGGUGACAUGGUCCUCAAGCGUAUUCUAGACACCAAGGGGCUGCACAAGCUAAACUCGCCUUGGGAGGGGCCUUACAUCAUCUCCAAGGUCACUGGACCUGGGUCAUAUAGGCUCCAAACUCUCACCGGUAAAGAAGUCGACAACUCGUGGUUCUUGUGUUGAUUCUACCCAUAGUCUACAUAUUCAUGUAAAAUAGCCGUCGACCAUAGUUGUACAGUUACAAUUUAAAUAAAGCAGAGUUAUUUUUUGUUGCAAAAGACUAGUCUCUACCCACUUGCAACUUGUACCCACAAGUCUGCACACUUAUCUUUUGGGUUAUUCAACUCAUUAGAUAGCAGCAACUUGAGCAGAAGCAAGCUUGCACACACAAAUCUCGAGCUAAUCAGUUCCUCAGACAAAAUCUAUCCAUCGACGGUCUUCAUAGACAGAAGUCGUCAAAUUACUUAGGAGUGAUCUAUACUACCCGAGUCCUUCUAACCGCGGCUUGUAAUAACAAGUUUGCAAGUUCCAGGUCUUCGGAGCACACCCAAACAAUCUAGAGAGGUUGCCAAGGUAGGUUCCAGAUCAUAAAGUUCUGAAGAGUCUACUCGCCUGAAGAGUUUGACUACCUAGAUACACAAGUACUGGAGCUCCCACAAAAGGGAGUCACAUCCUAAAGGUACUCUACAUAGUGUAUUCAAAGAGGCUCCCAGGAGCAGUCUUGUGCGCGGACACUCACGACUACCAUACGAGCAAACAUCUUGGUAGUCCGUGAGAUGCACUAAGCCGAAGGAAUUCAAACAAGUUGACAAGUAAACAAAAAUUGCGACAAGACUUCAAAACAAUUUGCAUUAACUUAACUUGUUUACAUUACAGACAAUUGUUUUUUGCAUAUCACUGAAGGUCUAUCUUAUCGGCUACUUCUUGAGCAAUGGGAGCCAUCUCCUCCAAGUACUGCUAGAAUUGCUCAACAGAGCAGUCCUCGGCAAUGCCCUUUGCCACAGGAGCCAAGUUGGCUUGUGAGUAGAACGACUUCACCAUCGCCAGCAGUUGCUUGGAGACGGACUCCGCAGUCUUCUUCACGUAGCUGGUGAACUUCUCAGGUACAUCCCUGAGUCGCUCUACCAAGGAACGGGGCUCCACGUCUUUCUCUAGGGGCUCCACCGUAUCAGCAAUGGGCUGAGCGGCUUCUGAUAGCUCCUUGAGAGCAAGGUCCUUCGCCUCCAACUCAGCCCGCUGCACUUGGAGUUUCUCCAUCAGGUCCACAAGUUGGACCUCCCCGUCCUUGCGUAGCUACUUCUCCUUGUCAAACUUGUGUUCCAGGGUCUCGUACUUCUUGAUCACCUUGUCAAAUUCAUUAGUGACCUGGUAGUACGCGCUUUGCCAGUCAACGACACGAUCCUGGAGAUCGUUAUUCUCCUUGGUGAGCUCUGCAAGCACAAAGGCAACCAACAAGUCAACAAGGCCUGACAAGUACCUGAAGACAAUGGAGGUUAACAACUUACCUUCAUUCCAGUUUCUCAACCCUUUGUUGAGCUUCUGAAGGUGGUCCUUCUCCUCCGCGGUGCUCUGUGCAUCAUUCCGGUACUGGGCGGCCUACCCAUCAUACUUCAUCAGUAGCGGGGAGGAGUAUUCCCGCUCUUAAGCUAGCUUCUGCUCCAGUGCCUCCGCCCGCUGGAUGGUGUCCCCAAUUACUUCGAGAACUCUCAAUUUCUCGCGGGAGUGCUGGGUCAGUGUCUACAACAUAGAGCAAAGUACUCGUAUAAGCAUCAAGUACCAAUUUCAAGAUGAAGACCAAAAGUAGAAGUAAAGCCUACUUGUGUGUACUCGCCUACUUGGCGGUACAUGUCCAUCAGCUCAGUCUCAAAAUCCACGGUGGCCAGGGGUUCAGCUAUUAGCCAGCCUCUCUCUCGGUUCGCCACAGAAUGGAGCUACAUGUCAUCAUGUUCCCCGGCACUGGCGCACCGAGAGGGACCAUCACCCUGCUGGACGAUGGACCAGCCUCUGACGUCAAAAAGAUAGUCGCCACGCGACUAGUCGAUGCUCUUGCCUCAGACGGCGGGACAACGGGCAACACUUGCAGCACCGUCCCUUCCGUGUUGUUGCGUCAAUUUUCAACACACUAAUUAAUGAGAUGGCAACAGAGAUGCCCUAUGAAAAAGAGAGGGAGACAAAGAUGUUGCAUUGUGUGCGUGAGUUUCUACCAUUUAUUUUCCCUUUUUCCUCACACUAAUACACACUAGCCAGUCGAAAGACGCACGAACGAUGAUGAAGAGUUGAUUUACCCGAAAGCGGGACAGAGUUAUGCGCCUACGAAAGAUAACACAAACGUGCAGUGGUCUUCUCUUUUUCUUUCCUUCUCUUCUCCAUCGAUGGUGGGGCGUCUGCCAAUAGCACUCUAGUAUGGUCCCGCCGGAAAAGGGGAAGGAAUAUUUAGGUAGGCUGGCAAAUUCGUCGCCGGGGCAAGCAAACCAACUCCUAUAGUAUACUAGUUGUUGCUAUCAAGCCAUCCAUAUUUGCGCUAAUCAACGCCAAUAGAUUGAUUGAUUAGGCUUGGAUUAAUUAGAGACUAGAAGUUUUGUAGCUAAAUUCAUGGAUAUGUGCAUGGUUUGCUCUCUCCGGUCAUAAAUAACUGAUGUACUACUGAUGUUGGCUUCGGGCAUCCGGUAUUAUUAACUUUUUACCGUGUUGUGUAUGGAUAUUCGGAAAUGAUACGGAUAUAAUAUUCAUCUCGAGACUUCCUUUCACAAAAAUAUAUUCUUGUACCUUUUUAGAAAAAAAAUUGCUGCUUAAACAUUCUUUUAGCUGGUUGAAUCCAGCUAAACUGAUAAAAGACCAAAUUGUCCCUCCACUUGCAUUCUUAACGGGUAAAACCCAUCGGGUACUUAGAUUUCGGGUACCCAUUGAUGACACAUAUUAAGACCCUCUUUGGAACAAGGAACUGAAUGUCAUUGUACCUUGAAUAAUCCUAUGGAAUGGAAAACCCGGGGAAAACUACAGCAAAGGACCAUUUGAAUGGUGCACAGGAAAAACACAUGAAUUGUAUGAGAGAGUGAGACAAAGAAACUUAUCAUGUGGUCCAACCUCUUAGUAGAAUUCCUCCAGAAUUGCUACUUCCUCCGUCCAGAAAUAUAAGGUAUUUUGGUUGUCCUAAGUCAAAUUAGUUUAAAUUUGACAAAAUUUAUAGAGAAUAGUAUUAAUAUAACAUAUCAAAUAAAUAAAUUAUGAAAAUAUAUCUCAUAAUAGAUCUAAUGAUACUCGUUUGACAUCCUAAAUAUUAUUGCUCUUUUCUAUAAACUUGAUCAAAUUUAGAGCAGUUUGACUUAGGACAAACCGAAAUGGCUUAUAUUUCAAGACUGAAGGAGUAUGGUACAAGGAUUGAGUAUGGUACAAGGCAUGCCAUAGCAAUUUCGUAGGAUCGGUAGGAAUUCAAUCCUUUGUUUCAAAAGAAAAGACUUCAUAGGAAAAUUUCCUGUAGGAUCCAAAUCCUCCAAAAUUCCUACAUUUUUCCUAGGUUUUCGAGGGGGCCUAUGUACUAUGUAUGAUACGUUUUCACAAGUGAAUAAAUGUUAGUAUGUGUUUGCAUGAGUAUCGCUUUAUAAUAUUUAACGACUAAGAGAGCUUGCAGGUAAACUUUAUCAUUAUUAAGUAUUAACUCUGUCCCUUAAGUUUUUCAUAAAUUUUUAAGUACUUAUGUUUGUCAAAAUUAGAAGCCCUUACGGAAAUAUUGACGGAUGGUCUAGUAUGUUGAAUUAAUGACCAUAUAAAUUGUUGUCUGUUGACGUUCAUUAUUAACACAUUUUUACCCCUAUUUAUCUGCAAUAAUGAUAUGAAUUUGAUACCUAAACUAUUGAUCAUACUUAAUUAAUAAAUGGGUCAUUUUUACAUAUGCAAUAUAUUUUGGAGGAUAUUCUAUUUUCGCAGAAAAUUAGGCUAAAUUAAGCAUAAUUGGAUAAAGCCUUGAACAAACAACGAACCAGAGGAAAACGAAGGCCAACAGGCCCAGAAAGGGCCUAGGCCCAUCGGCCUAGGGUCCCCUGACCCCCUCUUGUGCUUGUUUUUGGCAGGUACCCCUCCAAGAUUACUUAAGGGUAAAGUUUGCAAGGAUAUGACAAUAUGAGCUUGGUAUCAAAGAGGAUCAAGCGGAGAUUUGGAAGGUUAUCAAGGAUCAAUCUCAUCUCGAAGCUAUCAACAUGUCAGGACCACAUGCAAGUGAAAAGAAGCAUCCAGAACACCUGAGAAGACUCGGGGAUGAAAGAGAGCGUGAACGGGCAAAAGGAACGCCGAGGCCGAUCAGCCUGGACCCACCCAGGCCGAUUGCCUAGGGUAUUUCCUCGCACUCUCACCUUCCAAUUUCUACCACGUGUUCUUCAGACUAUAUAUACUCCUAUUCUCCAUCGAGGACUGCAUCCAAGACGACGUAUUCGAGGUGAAGCAGCAGAAAAGUGGAAGGAGUUUGAGGGACACCACUUCAGAGAGCCGAGGGCCGUGCAGUUGUCUAGGGAUUAGCGUAGCUAAGCCCUAGCUGACGUGGGAAUCCUGCGAGGAAGAUCCAUGUUGUAGUUUUGGAGCUAGGAUCAUCAGAUCAAGGUAGGAUCUCGGUGGAGAUCUGGUGAUGUACAAUCAUUCAUGGCGAAGUAAUAGAUGUGUUCUUGUUCUUAGCGAUCUAAGUGCCUCCUUCUAUAAUUUUAUGCUAUUUCGGGUUUGCUUUCUUUUCAAUCCAUGAUCAAUGAUAGAUUGCUUAGGGUGUUCAUGUGGUCGUGGUGACCGGAUUUGCAUACCUGAUCUAUCGAUGAAUAUAACACGUUCUUAUGAUCAUGCCCUUAGACUACCUAUGCUGAUAAAAGUGAUCGUGACAGGAUCUUUCUUGUGUAAGAUGGUUUAAAGAUCGGGAGCUAGACCGGAGCUAUAGAUUUAAAGAUGGUUUUAGCUAAGAUCAUGUCUGUGUUGCUUUGGUACCCAUGCUUAGAAUUGCAUCAUACGUAUAAUCUUGGUUGCUCUUGAUUGGUUAUCUCCGCUCCAUCUGUUAUCUAUCUAUAUAUGCUAGAUUAGAUCUAAAUCACUCAAUAACACAAAUAUAUCUUGUAUUAUAAGUUCCACGAUAUCCUCAUGGAGAGGAGCUAUAUGGCUGCCGGUGCAAGGAGGAGGUCCGCCGCUGCCGGAUUUUGGCGUAGAUAGGAGGGGGUCGUGCCGCUGGCAGCUGGCAUGGGUAGAGCCGAGGAGCGUGUCGGCGGGCGCCCGGCGGGGGAGGAGGGAGGGCUGGGGCCUGGGUGCUCGCUGGCUUGCGAACAGCGCAAGGAGGCGCGGCAAGGCUGAGGUGAGCGCUGCGCAGACGAGUAGAGGUAGACGAAAGGAAGGACUAAUAAUUUUUUCCUAGGUGGAUCCCACAAACUUCGUGAAUCAUGCCAAAAGGUACAUUAUUUGACGGCUGAGAUGGACAUGCUUUGGUGGGGGCCGGCGACUUGACUCGAUGGCCACGCGGUCACAAUCGACCACCGGCACCCUAUCCCUCCAUUAUUGCCGUCUGCCAUUAUUGCCUUCUGCAGUGCAGAGGAGUCGUGGUUGGGGGCUUGUUCCGGCAGUGGUGGUUACUCCAUGGUUAGUCCAUGAUUGGUGGGAAUCAAUAAUACCAUUACCACUACGUGCUGAAAGUAAUAGCAAGAGAGAUGGCCAAUCAUCGGAAGCAAUAUCACUGUUUGGACUUUGGAUGGGGUCCAACUUAAUUCUUCACAGGUAAAGAGAGUGCUCCACUACAUAGAAAGCCUGCUCCUGCCAUUCGCUUGCGCAUAGAGAGUCCGGGAGAGAUGGAGGAGCGGUUUGCCCCCGUAACCGCGGCGACCGGGGCGUUGGGCCCGGUCCUGGUGAAGCUCGCUGCUUUGCUGGGUGAUGAGUACAAGCUUCAGGAGGGAACCCGGCGAGGCAUCGAGUCCAUCAAAUCCGAGCUCGAGACAGUUCACCAUCUCCUGGGGAAGUUAUGGGGGAGGUUGGAUCUUGAUGUGGCAUGCAAGAACUGGAUGACAGAGGCCCGAGAGCUGUCCUACGACAUGGAGGACGACAUCGACGGCUUCACUCUCGGUUUGGAGUGUGGUGACGGCAGCUUCAUCCAGCGGGAAGCCACGGACAGCCCUUUCAAGGAAUUCAUGGAAAGGGUCAAAGAUGUAUCGAAGCGGUGCGGCAAGAUGCAGAAGAUUGGCGACUGCAACCGUAGCAAGCUGCCCACCGACCCUCGAGCUCUCUUCCUUCACAGGGAUGCAUCGGAGCUCGUGGGCAUGGAAGAAAAGAAGGAGAAGCUCAUCAAAUUGCUUCAGAAGCACGAAAUGGUAUGCCUUCUUGGACCUGGAGGGAUGGGCAAAACAACUCUUGCGGAUCUGGUGUAUCACGCAGUAGGAGAUGAAUUCCAAUGCCGGACAUUCGUGUCCGUGCACCCAAGUCCUAACAUGACGGAUAUUCUGGGUACCAUCCUCAGCCAAGUAAUAACAGAUGGUGCAAUGUCUGCUGGCAGUGGCACCGAACCUGCAGCCGAACAAAAUAUCGUCACCGACAUAUCAAUUUCCCUCUCUGAGACGAGGUACGACCUCUCCAUUCUCACUCUACUUCAUUCCUGAUUGUGUUCCUAAGUACUCCGUGUGUGUUAUUCUACUAUUUUGAACAAAUCAUACUGUGUUAGAAAAUUGGAACGCUAGUUCCAAAACCCGUGCAUGCGUCCGCACAUAUUUGCAUUAUUUUUUGAGAAUCCAUAUAGAUAAUAAUUGAACUUCGUAAAAUGCCUAUAAUUUUGCAUUAAGUGACCGAUGUGGCAUUAUUGACCAAUUCAAUUCAAAUUUCCUAAUUUUCUUUCUGCUAGCAGUGGCACUGAACCUGCAGCCGAGCAAAAUGAUUUCAUCAAAGGCAUAUCAAAUUUCCUCUCUGACAAGAGGUACGUCGUCUCCAUUCCCACUCUACUUCCUGAUUCCGUUCCUAAAUACCACGUAUGUAUUUGUUAGUGUACUAUUCUGGGGUGUUUGGGAGGAGGGGGCUAAAUUUUAGCCCCCAUCACAUCGAAUAUUUGGUUACUAAUUAGGAGUAUUAAACCUAGACUAAUUACAAAACUAAUUACAUAACCCCUAGGCUAAAUCCCGAGACGAAUCUAUUAAGCCUAAUUAGUCCAUAAUUUGACAAUGUGGUGCUACAGUAACCAUUCACUAAUGAUGGAUUAAUUAGGCUCAAUAGAUUCGUCUUGUGAUUUAGCCUAGGGGUUCUGCUAUUAGUUUUGUAAUUAGCUCAUAUUUAGUCCUUCUAAUUAGCAUCCGAACAUCCGAUGUGACAGGGCUAAAGUUUAGCCCCUGCCUCUCAAACAACCCCAAAAUCAUAUUAUGUUUGCAACGCUAGUUCCACAACCAGUGCGUCCGCUCAUAUUUGCGUUAUUUUGGAAAAUCCAGAGACAAUUGAUGAACUUUGUGAAAUUCAUAUAAUUUAACAAUAAUUCAGAGGUGACCAAUGUGGCAUUAUUGACCAAGUAUCCGAUCAAACUUCUUUGUUUGUAUCAGUUGUAACAUGUUAUUUUUACUUCCUCCUAUAUGAUUAUGUGAAGGUUUUAUGGAGUACUCAAUUAAUAUUUGCUAGACCAUUGACCGUUUUGCUAGGUACUCCAUAAAACAUGUGAAGGUAAGAGUUUGAAUGAAUCCUAGCCAUCAAUUUGUAUAAAAGAUGCAAUUAGAUAAUUAAAAUAAUAUGAAAAAAGGCUGGCAAACUCGCGGGCAAUCUCGCUCUCGGAGGUGUAACUGUCAUUUAUCUAAGGCCAUAUUUAGUUACCCUCAAAUUCCCAACUUUGGCACUAUAAAAAAGAAGAUUCCCCAUCACAUCAAACUUGCGGUAUAUGCAUGAAAUACUAAAUGUAGACGAAAUCAAAAACUAAUUGCACAGUUUUGUUGUACUUUGCGAGACGAAUCUUUUGAGCCUAAUUAGUCAAUAUUUGGACAAUAAUUCAUAAAUACAAACGAAAUGCUACAGUUGCGCAUUUAUAGCAAAAUGCCAAUUUUGCUACUCCCAAAUUAGGAACUAAACAAGGCCUAAAAGAAUUGGACCCGUCACGUGUAUGUAAUGAUUAAAAUAUGCAUAUAAUGCAACGUAUUUCCAAAUAUAAAUUAGAUCUAUCAUGUGUCAUUAUGAUCCCAUGUCACACCCGGUUUUAAAACAAAAUCAAGUGCUACCUAUAUGUAUGCUAGGAUCUAAUUUCAUACAUAUAGUGACAUCAUUAGUGAAAACAGUAAUAGUAUCUCGUAAAGGAAUAUAAAUAAUAACUUACGAGUCCAUCAGAGAUAUACAGCUUAAUCCUGGAAACGGAGGCUCCAAACAGUCAUCUUCAGAAAACUUCUGACAACUUCCUCUUCUGAGCAGCAGUAAGCAAGGAUGAGUACACUUAUGGUUGAUACUCAGCAAAAUCACAAGAAAUAACCAAAAUAUCGAUUUAAGUCCAUCUUCAAGUUUAUUAAUCAUGUGAGGGUCUAGGCUGCUCUUGACCGUGAGUAUGGCUGAUAUAUCAGUUUUACACUCUGCAGAGUUGUAUACUUUCACCUCAAGUCACGUAAAAGUUCAGAAGAACUUUAGACCCAACCAUGCUGUGCAAAAGUAGGCACUUAUCACACUAUCGAGGUGUGACUACAUAGGGACGCUACGAGACUUUACAAAGAUUCCCUAAGAAGUGAUAACCCGCUAAGGUUUUGUCAUAAGGGGAUGAACCCUCCCUCAAGUGGUGCGUACACCCCUUGGCUGGACAAGCCAUCGCACAACCUAUGAGCCCCUCCUGCCCUCUCGAUAAGACUAUCACAAACUAGAGUCUCUAAUUAAUUAGCCAAGACCAGAGCCCGUUAGUCUUAUGGUUGUACUAUUUUCCUAGGUGGUCACUCUAUGUUCCAAUUAAGGCAUGGUAUUCUUGUAAAAUAAACAUAGAUAGAAGGAUGGUUAGGGACACUUGCCUUUCUCCAAUGAAAGGUUACUCUUACUACUCUUCAGCUCUUGCUUUCUUGAAACUCUUAAUCUUCAAAUCUUUCGAACAUCGAUCCUUCUACUGAAAGCAAUCACUGGCACAAACAUAUAAGCAAACAAACAAGUACAACUAAAAACAAUACACUAAAACAAAAGAAAAGCUUUAAAAGACCAUAUCAAAGGAUAGAGCUUGAAUCUAAGGUCACGCGAAUGCAAGAAACGCUGGGAACGGAACUAUGGUUGAAAAGAUAAAACCUAUCGAGAGGUUUGAAUUAUAAAAGAAAACACAAGAGCUACCUGCUUCAUUUAUUUUAGUUGAGAAAAAUAAUGUAAAGAUAUUUCAGAGAAAUACCCUUAGUUGGAAUUAAUCAAGUCAUAUUUACAUAUAAAAAGAUGAUGUACAGCUUAGUCUAAUUUUAUUUAUAAAUAUUUAAGUACAAUUUAAGAAAAUUAAACAUUUUAUUUUAAAAGCAGCAUGUAAAAGCAUCUAAGCAUAUAACUUUGUAUCUUGAGUUCAACUAAGCAAAUUAUAUUAAAAACACAUUUAUAUUUACUUUAGUCAAAUUAAAAUUUAAUAAGAAAACCCCAAGAUAUAACUUAUAUAGCUUUUAUCUAUAAAACAAAUUGAAUACACAUUAAUCAAAUUAAGUUUAAUUUAUGAAAAGCUGAGGUACAUCUCUAAUUAGCUUUAAUUGGAAAAACAUUUAAGAGUAAGCAUUAAUCAAAUUAACAUUUAUUAUGAAAAAUGGUGUAUAACACUAAAUAGCUUUUAAUUAAAGACAGCAUGUUUAAUAGGUAUUAACCAAAUUAAUAUUUAAAUUUAUUUUAAAAACUACAAUGAUGAAAAAGAUCACCACUAACGUGUAAUUUAUAUUCCUUCAAAACUAAUAGAAACAGAGCUAAAACCUGUAAGAUAUGACUUAACGAAGCUCUAGGGACUUGCUAGCGAGGUUUAGAAACUUCCUGGCACUUAACUGCAAGAAACUGAGGACCUAAACCUAAUUUCGUUCAUAAACUCGAGGGCUAACGUUUAGAUGGAUUGGAUCGUCAGAAUCUAAACUUUCUGGGGACUUUUUCGAAAAGCCUACCAAACACAAAAUUUAGAUCAGCAUUUCCGUUUUCUUCAAGGGCUAAACUACAAAACGCAUCUUCUUCUUCCUCCAGAUUCCUCCCGGCCGAUACACUCCAAUUGGCCGGCGGCCAGCUCACCGGUGGUGGCGCGCAGGCGGUGGCGGUGCGGGGUGGUUGCGGCAGUGGCAGAGGUGGCGCGCAGGAGCGCGGGUGGCGGGCGGUGGGGCGCACGAUGCGGCUCGGCCAGAAGCGCAGGCGGCGGUGGCAGCAGCGGUGCGGAACACAUGCGGCUUAGGAGGUAGUGGAUGGCGGUGCAACUCUGCUCCGACGGCUCGGGGCAGGAGGCGGUGAGCCGGGUGUGGGCACCCCGGAGGCAGCAACACUAGGCCGAAGCCUUGGCCAGCGGUGAAAAAGAGAGAGAAAGAAGGGAUCGCUAGGGAUGGAGUUCAAACUCACGCUUGAAUGGAAAAAUAGAACGAGAUCGAUGAUACGAACGCGAUGGUGUGCUCAUCUUCGACCGAAGACUUAUGGCUUUGCUAGAUUUGCUCGCCGGAGUUCUCAGCGGAAAGUUUGCCGGGGUUUAACAAAUCCGUAUGUUCGGCGUUGAACCGCGGGACCUAGGGUUGUCUAAACGAGGUGGGGUUUACGGUAUUGAAACAAGGAUGUCAAGGAGAUCACCUAAAAGUAUUUAUAGGCCAGUUUGGAGCCUGGAUUUAUUUUGCCCCCUUUUUCUAAUUUCAGGAAUUAAUUUCGGAUUCGAAAACAAUUCUAGAAAAUUCUGAAAUCAUAAUUAAAUCACGAAAAAUACUCCAAAAACUCUGAAAAAAUCAGGAAUGUUCCUGGAGAUGAUUUGGGACACGAGGAACCAAUAUAAAAUAUUUGGAUCUCGUGAAAAGGAUUCUAAACCUUCCAAAAAUUGGAUUUAGCUCUAGGAAAAUGAGAAUAAAUUCUAGGAAAUUUUGGAAAAUUCUAGGACGAACCUUAUCAUUAUCUAGAUGAUUUUUUAAAAUAUUUGCACUCAUGAAACACCAAAAUAAAUCAGCAUGAAUGCAACACAUAAAGAACAACUUUAUUUAAUUUAGAAAAACAACUAAUUGUUUUUCAUGUACUAUAUUUCCUUUCAAGAAAAUAAAUGUUGGAAAAAAUUUAAAAUUAUGAGAAAAUCAUUGUUCAAUUUUUGUUUUUAAGCACAUCCUGAAAUCCAAAAAAUUCAGGGUGUGACACCCAGUUGCUUAUUUGCAGCUUCUACUUAUUUUUAAGCUGUGUAGCCACCUAAACGUGCAACUUCUCAUCGACUUAAUAAAAAAGCUCUUCUUCCAUUAUAACGUCAAACUUGAAAAACUCAGAAGCUGACCACAUCCGGCUUGUUGGCUUUUUCCCCACCAAACUUUUUCUUCCCUACCCGAGCUGCUCCUGUGCGUGCAUCGCCGACGAGCAUGCCAUCCUCCGCCCCGAGAUAGUGUCGCUCGCAGCUUCCGAGCUUAGCGCCGUCUAGCGUGCCGCCUUCUGCCCCGAGCUAACGCUGCCCACCACUCCCGAGCUCAGCGGUAUCUUCCUCCUCAAGAUCUGCUGACGAGCGUGCCGUAGUCUUCCUCCUAGAGCUCCACUGACGAGAUGCUGCCCCCGACCUCCGCCGAUGAGCAUGUCGCAGUCUUCCUCCCGGAGCUCCACCGACGAGCUACUACCCGCGAGCUCCACAGGCGAGCGCCGCUCGCCACCCCUUAGCUCGACGCCAUUCUCGGCGCCGACCUCGCGCCGCCCACGGAGGUCACAAGAUGAUCCAUCAAAAACAAAACCCAUGGUGCCAACUCUAUCAUGUCAACAGAUUCAUCACGAUGUUGAACGAUGAAAUCGGCUACAGCCUGCGCCUUUACUGCCUUAACGGACUUAUACCGUAAGUCAAAUUCAGUUAACAUCAAAAUUCAUUUUCCCAUCCUUCCUUUCAUGAUAGGAGCCGACAACAUAUAUUUUACUACAUCAGCUUUGCAUACCACCAUGGACUCAGAUUUCAGAUAAUGACAUAAUUUCAUGCAUGAAAAAUACAAGCACAAACAUAAUUUCACAAUGGGAGGAUACCUGGUUUCUACAUCCAAAAGCCUUCUUCUCAAAUAAAAGAAAAUCCGCUCCUUCCCGUCAACUUCUUGGACAAGCACCGAUCCGAUCGCAUGAUAAUUGGCUGAUAAGUACAACUUGAACAGCCGAUCUGGCUACGGCGCAAUCAGAACCGGUGGUGAUUUAAAUAUUUCUUAAUUCCAUCCAGUAUCCCUUGUUACUUUUCUCCCCACACAAAUUCUUGAUCAGGCUUUAACUUCAACAGGGGCAUAAAUGGCUCGAUGCGUGUUGAUAUAUUGGAUAUAAAUCUCCUGAUGAAGUUAAUUUUCCCAAUAACAGACUGCAACUCGGUCUUGUGUGUUGGAGGAACAUUCGUAUUAAUAGCUUUGAUACUCCUUUGACCAACUUCAAUUCCUCUGUCAUGCAUAAAACCCAAAAAUUUACGAGCCGAUAUACCGAAAGCACACUUAUUUAGAUUCAUCUUUAAAACAUGCUGCAUUAUGCAGUCUAGUGUUUUGUGUAGAUUGGCCAGAUGUUGUUCUGUGGUCUUAGAUUUGACUACCACGUCAUCGAUGUAGAUCUCCACCACUCUGCCAAUGAGCUUAUGGAAAAUGUAAUUCAUUGCUGGUUAAUAAGUUGCAUCGGCAUUCUUUAAGCCAAAAGUCAUGGCCACCCAUUCAUACAACCCAAGAGCCCUUGGGCAUCGAAACGCAGUCUUUGAGAUAUCUUCUUCUACCAUCAAUAUCUUAUUGUACCCUGCGUUCCUAUCCAUGAAACUCAAGAUCUUAUGACCUGAUGCUUCAUCAACCAUUGUAUCUGCAACUGGCAUUGGGUACUCAUCCUUUGGUGUAACUUUAUUCAGAUUCCGAAAAUCCAUGCAAGCUCUACGUUUUUCGUUUUUCUUGAUGACAGGCACAAUAUUAGACACCCACUCUGCAUAUCGGCACGGCCUAAUAAACUUGGCCUCAUACAAUCUUGUAAUUUCAGCUUUGAUCGUUUCAAGUAAUUCUGGCUUAAAUCUCCUUGCAGGUUGCUUGAAAGGUCGAUAGCCUAGUUUGAUUGGUAACCGAUGCUCCAUGAUCAUUCGGUUUAAUCUUGCCAUCUCAUAGCACUCCCAAGCAAAGCAAUCUUUGUGCUCUUUCAACAGCUCUAUUAAUUUUUUCUUAUACUCAGGACUUAAUUUAGAAUUUAUAAACAUUGGCCUUGGCCUGUCACUUGGGCCUAUAUCAACUUCUUCUAGUAGGUGAGCUGACAUAAAUCCUUGUCCUAACUUCCCAUCUAUAUCAUCAAUUGUAGCAUCCAUUAGGACUCCCUCCAAUGAGCCGACUAUUGAAAUCUACCAAGUAAUCAGGCGAUUUAUCCCACCGGGCGUGCCAAGAGCAUGUUGACGCAAAAUCUGGACUUCAAACUCUACGUUGAACAACACGUGAGGACCUAGGAUAUUUUCUUAACUCCAGUGCAAGCUCCAAAUCAAUUCCUGAAGAUACGUGGCGUGCCAGUCAAUUUGACUUGCAAUUGACAAGGAAACGUAAAAUUCUUGAGCCGAUAGGCGGCUAAGCUUUCGAACUCAUGGGUAGUCAUUCUUUGAAUAAACACUGAUAAGAUAUGUUAAAUGUAAUCAUGCGGUAUAAGUAAAAUAGAUAACAUUAAUGGUAUGUGCCAUCGGCUAUAUGAGCCGACGGGCUAAGAUAGACCUAAGUAAAACAGCUGCCAUUAAGAAAUAACCUGUCUAUUACAUUGUAGUUAAUUAGACCGUUGGAGCUAAUCAAUGUCACGAGCCGAUGGAUCGGACUAAACCAAGACAGCAUGGCAACGCAGGGCAUUAACUCGCUCUUUCUGGUUUAAAAGACUAGAAAGUAAUAACAAGGCCUUGCGCACGUGGCCAUCGGCUCGAUGGCAUCAGACUGCUACUGGGAUGGAUGGAUCGGACCCAACCAAGACAACAUCGGCUCUACAGCAGCAGUCUUAUACUAUAGAUCUAUUGGUCGGUAAUGGAAGGGGCGAGGGUAAAGAUCUAUUGGAUCUAGUAAAAAUAAAGCAAUAAAGGCAUGCAAAGCAAACUAGCCGAUACAAUAAGAUAAAUGGUGAGUGCUUAGAAACAACUAGGAAGUUGAUGCGAAACAAACCUAAUUAGAUAUAAGCAACAUGAUAACUGGGAGCAUUUGAUGUAAUUAAGAGAUCGAUGCGAUGCAACUUAAUUAAAAUAAACAACUCGAUAAUUAUGAGCACUUCGAAGAUAAACACGAGGUCAAAAUGAUGCAGCCCUAUUCAAUUCUUGGUAACUCGAUAACUAGUCUUACGUUAAGAGAUCAUAAUAUCAGACUUAACCGAGAAAGUUCUAAUACAUGUAACGUAAUGACCGGGUGAAGGUACUAUCAAGCUCGCCUGAGAUUGAAGCUGAUGCAUCCCCCCGCACAAGAACAAACUUGCCGAUUCAACUCUACUCCUAGUCCUAAGAUUUGGCGGGGGGCGCCGAAAAGGAAGAACUGUUGUGUGGUGUUUUCCAUCUACUUCUCUACAUGGUAUCACGAGAUUAGAUUGUGGGCCUCCUCUCCUCUCCCUGCCCCUCCCCCCAAUUCAUGGAAACCUAGGCGGUGCCCCCUGCUACGCCACCGCCACCCACCCUCCGCUGCACCUCCCCGUCCGGCGUCCCCAUGUCCUCCGCCAACUCCUUUAUGUCCGGCAACACCACUCCUCUUGCUACUGAUCUUGUGCCACCUCCUAGACCACCCCUGCUACCGAUGACGGUGCAUCUGUGCCGCCACCUGGCACCGGUGGCUCCUCUGGCAGUGUGUCUCAAGCUCCUCCUGCCGGCGACGCGCCCGACAACGACGGCAGUGGCUUCAUCAUGUACCCGGCACCGCCGCCAGCCAUCCACCCCUACGCCACUAUCUCCAUCAAGUCUCACGUCCCUGUGAAGUUGGCAAUGAAGUCCAACACCUACUCCAGAUGGGCAUCCUUGUUCACGUCCAUGUGCGGUAAGUUCGACCUCUGGUUCACAUUGACGGCAUGAUGGCUCCUUGUCCCCAGGACCCUGACUGGGAUCAAGCGGAUUGCUAUGUCCACUCCUAGUUCUUCGGCUCCGUCUAUGACUCCAUCCUCGACCUUGCCAUGACCAACGAUGACCAGACUAGAUGGGAACUCUGGCUCACCAUCGAGGGACUCUUUCGCGCCAACAAGCAAUCCAGGGUGAACUUCCUUAGCCGCGAUUUCCACUCCAUGACGCAGGGUGACUGCUCCGUCAUUGAGUACUGCAACCGUAUGAAGACUCUCGCUAACGCCCUUCGCGACGUUAGCCAUCCUGUUCAGGACUCCCAGCUUGUCCUGAACCUCCUCCAUCGCCUCAACCCAUGCUUCUCCAACACUGCCGAAGACAUCGCCAACUCCACCGCCGGCUUCCCGCCCUUCGCCCAAGCGUGGGACAUGCUCACCCUGAAGGAACUUCACCUCGCCAAUGAGGCGAAUGUCUCCAACUCCACCUCCCUCCUCGCUGUGAACUCUUCGUCGUUGUUGUCCUCCUCCGGCUGUACGGGCGGGUGUCACCCACCAUCUGGCUCUUCUCAGACCGGCAGUGGUGGCAGCACCAGUGGUGGUGCCCGCUGCAGCAGCAGUGGCGGCCGCACCGGUGGUGGCAACGACAAGAAGAAGUGGCUGCAAAAGAAGGGUGGUAGCGGCUUCCAGGCGCCCUCCGGCGGUGGGCCCCCAUGGCCCACUGGCCCGUGGUUUUGCUUCAAACCAAGGGCUAGCUCCUAUGACGCUCCAGGCUUCCAGCAGGCCAGCGAUCGGGGUAGCGGGGGAUGGCGCACCGGCACCCCUGGCCUCUUCGGCCCUUCUCCGCAGGCCUACGCUGCCUACGCCCCCAUUCAGGCACCUACUCUGGCGCCAACCUGGGCCUAGGCAGGUCUUGUUGCCACCUUGAACCAGAUGGCGCUACAUAACGGUGGCUGGGUCAUUGACUUAGGUGCAUCCGGUCACAUGUCGUCUUCGGAUGGUAUUCUUCUUUCCCGCCUCCCUCCUUCUCACUCCUCCAUUACUAUCGGUAACAGUCACACCCUUCACGUCACGUGCCGUGGAAGCUCCACCCGCACCACCCCCACCUCCCAAUUUCAGCUUAACAAUGUCCUUGUUGUCCCUUCUUUAAUUCACAAUCUAAUUUCUAUUCGUUAGUUUACUAAGGACAAUAACUGCACCAUAGAGUUUGACGCCUUUGGUUUUUCUUUCAAGGAUUUUCCAACCAAACACAUGAUUCUUCACUGCAAUAGUGUCGGCAACCUCUAUACCAUGCCUCCAGUAGCCAGCUUCACAAUGCUCACGCCGAUGUCGCCAUCUCCUCCAGUUUACAGCGUCUUCGUCUUGGUCAUCCUGAUCCUGUCGCCAUCGCUACACUUAGACAGAAUUCCUCCAUUACUUGUAAUAAAGCCAAUCACACUAUAUGUCAUUCAUGUCAGUUUGGGAAAUAUGUGCGGCUACCUUUCUCUCAUUCUAGCUUUCGCAGUUCUGCUCCCUUUGAGUUAGUUCACUGUGAUGUUUGGACUUCUCCGGUCGCUAGCGCUUCUGGUUAUCGCUACUACCUAGUUAUUCUAGACAACUUCUCACAUUUUUGUUGGAUGUUUCCUCUAGUUCACAAGUCUGAAGUCGCCUCAUAGAUCACUGACUUCUGCACCUAUACUCAUACGCAGUUUAGUCUUCCCAUUCGCAGCAUCCACGCUAACAAUGGGAUCGAGUUUGUUAAUAGGACUCUCACAUCUUUCUUAACUUCUCGGGGUAUCCACCUGCGCCUCUCGUGUCCCUACACUUUUCCCCAGAAUGGGAAAGCCGAGCAUGUCCUCCGCACACUUAAUAAUCUCACUCGCACAUUGCUCAUUCAUGCAUCCAUGGCCGCCCCAUACUGGGCAGAGGCGCUCACCACUACCACCUAUCUUCUAAACCGGCACCCCUGUUCUGCCGUUCAGAAUGACAUCCCCUACCGCCUCCUCUACUCCCAGCCACCCGAGUACUUUGACUUGCGUGUCUUCAGUUGGCUUUGCUACCCCAACCUCUCAGCCACGGCACGCCAGAAGCUUGCUCCUCGCUCCGUAGCCUGUGUCUUCCUCGGUUAUCCCUCGUCUCACAAGGGGUAUUGCUGCCUUGAUUUGUCCACUCGUCGAGUCAUCAUCUCUCGCCAUGUUUUGUUUGAUGAAUCCGUCUUUCCCUUCUCCUCCCAUACUACUCACCCAUCGCAGCUUGACUUCCUUUUGUCGAGCCCCUCCGAUGUUCUCGCUUCCACCUCGGUCGCUCCGUCAUCAGACGUUGAGCAGCCGCGGCCCUCACCAGUUGUUUUGCAGGAACUCACUAACGACGACCCUGCCAUCUUGUUACACGGGCCGACCGUGUACCCUGCUCCAUCUGCAGGCAGGUCGCUGCUCUCUACUGUGCCUCCAACUGCUCCGACUGCGACCGCAGCACUUCCGACCGUGACCGCGGCGCGUGCGGGUGGACACCCGACUUCUCUGAUCGCGCCCGCACCGCUACCGACCACGACCAUGGCGUGCGCGGGCACGCUCCCGACGGUUCUGACCGCGACUGCGCCACGCGCGGUUGCGGCCGCGAUCACACCGGCGAGCACUUCUACCGCACCGGCGAGUGCCCCGACCGCACCGACGAGCGCUCCGAUCGGUUGGGCAGCGCCCGAACUGCACCGGCGAGCGCUCCGACCGGUCCGGCGAGUGCCCACGGUCCCCUCCCCCCACCCCACCCCGCACCCAUGGCCCUAGCGCCUCCUGCGUCCUCCUCAUCGCCACCUGCUCCUCCACGCCCUAUCACUCGGUCUAUGACUGGGGCAAUCUAGCGGGUCUACUACCAGGGCACGACAGCCUCAACUUCUUCUCCAUCCUCUCUGAUUCUGGCAAACUAUCAUAGUGCUCUAGCUGACACCAACUAGUGUGCCGCCAUGGUCAUCGAGUUCUAGGCCCUCAUCGACAAUGACACCUGGUGCCUCGUCUUGCGGCCGCCCAGUGCCAAUGUCAUGUCGGGCAAGUGGAUCUUCCGACAUAAGUUCCAUGCUGAUGGGUCCUUUGCCCGGCACAAGGCGCGCUGGGUGGUUCGUGGCUUCUCCCAGCAUCACAGCAUUGACUACGAUGAGACCUUCAGUUCGGUUGUCAAACCGAUGAUGAUAUGGACCGUCCUCAGCAUCGCCACUUCUAGCGCCUAGCCGAUCCACCAGCUGGACGUGAAGAAUGUGUUUCUUCAUGGACACCUCGUGGAGACUGUCUACAGCCAGCAGCCUCCCGGCUUCGUCGACCCCACCACCCCCGAUCACGUCUGUCUCGUGCAAAAGUCCUUGUAUGGAUUGAAGCAAGCCCCGAGGACAUGGUACCAGCGGUUAGCCUCCUUCCUUUGACAGCUCAGCUUUGUCGCCUCGACCUCCAACACCUAACUCUUUGUAUACAAAGAGAUACAAAGAGGGGCCGAGCAUCGCCUACCUGCUACUCUACAUCGACGACAUCGUCCUCACCACCUCAUCCUCACCUCUUCUUCAGCACAUCAUGGGGUAUCUUCACGUCUUGUUUGCCAUGACAAAUCUUGGCGACCUACACCACUUCCUCGGCAUCUCCGUCACGCGUUCAACCUAGGGCCUGAUCUUGUCUUAGCGACAGUACACCCUGGAUCUUCUUCAGUGUGCUGGCAUGGCUGAGUGUCACUCUACAGCAACUCCCAUUGACACUCAUGCCAAGCUUUCGGCACAUGACGGUGCCAAGCUCUAGGACAGCUCUGAGUAUCGGAGUCUUGCACGUGCUCUUUAGUACCUCACUCUGACUCGACCUGACCUGACCUGGUGUAUCAGAUCAGCAGGUGUGCCUCUUCAUGCAUGACCCGCGUGAGUCCCACAUGGCCCCGAUCAAGCACAUCCAAUGCUAUGUGAAGGGCACACUCUCCUCCAAGCUUCACAUUGUCACCGGAUCUGUUCAGUCUCUAAUUGUCUACUCCGACGCCGACUGGGCUAGCUGCCUGGACUCUAGAUGCUCCACCUCCAGCUUCUGCGUCUACCACGGUGACAAUCUGGUGUCUUGGUCCUCCAAGCGCCAGACCACGGUAUCUCGUUCCACUGCUGAGGUGGAAUACCGGGUUGUGGCUGAUGUUGUGGUAGAGUGUUGCUGGCUGCAUCAACUUCUUCAGGAGCUUCAUGUCCCACUUGCUUCGGCCACUAUUGUCCACUGUGACAACGUGAGUGCUGUCUACAUGACAGCCAACCCGGUGCAUCAUCGGUGCACGAAGCACAUUGAGAUUGAUAUUCACUUCGUUCAUGAGAAGGUGGCCUUGGGUGAGGUCUAAGUCCUCCAUGUGCUGUCCUCUCACCAGUUCAUGGAUAUCAUGAUGAAGGGCCUACCAACUCCUUUGUUUACUAAGUUUAGGUCCAGUCUGCGCGUUCGAUAUCCUCCCGCUUCGACUGCGGGAAGGUAUUAGGAAGUAUAAGUGUAUAUUAGGAUGUAUUUAUCCUUUCCUUGUACACUUGAUGUAUUCCUUGUACUCCAAGCUAUAUUGGUCAUAUAUAUAGAGGUCACCCUCCCUUAUUAGGGUGUGUGGUGUUUCCCAUCUAUUUCUCUACAACAACGCCUUGGGCUUAUAUUUAUACCUUGGCACGUACCAAAUCCUAGUCGAUUACGACAAUGACUAUUACAAUUAAUGCAAAAACUAAAACUAAAGCUUUCUAAGAUACAUCUCCACGCUCUUUCGCUUAUCUAGUGGAGUCGGUUCUGCUUCAAUCUUCUUUGCCUGUAUCGGCUUCAAAACUCUGUCCUGUCUAGUUAACUCUAGUAAAAAAACGGGUGUCAACACGCGUCCAGCGUGCCCAUCGCCCUGCCAAAACCCCUUCCCCGACCCUAUCUCCUCCUACCAUCCGUGACACAUGUCGCCACCGCCGUCACGCACGCACCCCGGCCGGAUAAGCUCGGCCGAGGCUCACCACAACAUCCCUGGGCUAUAAAUAGCCCUAGCGCUCCUCACUGCUCCCUCGCCCCUCCCCCUCCACCUUAAUCCCGUCUCGCCAAACAUAGAAACUAUGUCGCGCCACUCCCACCUGCCACCACGCUCUACUCCCUAGAGCCGAGCUGGGUCAAAGUUGGGGAUGGCCGCGCGGCACUAACCACCCCUCCCCAAGCAUCGCAACAGCCCCGCCAACUGCUCCCUGCGAGCUCCUCUACCGCCGCUCAACCCACCGUUGCUGCUCAUCGUCAUUCCCUCUCUGGUCGUUGUGCUACUCGCAUACGUACCUGAGGUACUUCCCCAUCCUCCCUAGGCUGUUGCCCAGCCUCUACUACCCCUAUUCUCCUCUCCCCUCUCUACCGUUCUGCCACAUGAACUCCGAUGAGCUCUAGACUCACCAUCGGCCACUCCUUGAUCUACACACCACCCUCCAUAGCCUCGCCAUGACCCCCUCUAGCACCCCGGCUGCCUUUUGACCUGGCCCAAAGUCUACCCCGCCCGGAGUAGCUCGCCCCGGCGAGCGGCUCUACCCUAUGCGGUGGUCCGGCAUCACAGCUCGACUGGUGCCACCCCUUCUCCCUCCUUCCUUGCUCCCAGUCCACAAGGACCGUAGGCACGCCCCCCAGUCCACCACAUGGACCACUAGUACACAGCACAGCCCGACCAUGCUAGCCCCACGCGGACCCCCUUUGCCACAUCGCACUCUGGCCCACCUGUUAGCCCUUGCUAUCUUUCCCUCUCAUCUUUGCUACGGGCACCCGGGUUCUUGUACCCCAAACUUCACUUCACCAUGAUAAAAAUUACCAAAAAAUUUACCAACAAUAUUAGAGAUGAUUCUAAACCCAUCCAUACCCUGUUUACCCAAAUCCCACACCAAAAACUCCCAAGAGCAAACUCUCAUCCUUUCCAAAAAUAGAAAAGCCUAUAUUUCAUGUGACCAAAAAUAGGAAACCAUUCCAAUAAACUCUAGAAAAUCCUAGAAAAUUCUAGAAAAUCACUCAAGCCUUCUAAACCCUAAUUCUACUCUUUUAACUCAUGUUUGAUGUAUUUCCAUGUUUGUUUGAUUGAUUUCUUAUAACUACGAUUAUGUAGAAUUCGACGAUACCGAGAACGAGUUUGACAACCCGGACUACGAAGAGGAAGUUAUCAACGAACAAGACUUUGAAGAAGGCAAGUCCCACGCAUUACCAUCUCUUGAAUCCCAAGUUUUAUAAAUAAAAUGAGCCAGGAUAAUAACAUGGACUUUCCAUUCAAAACCUUGCAUAAUAUUUUCUCUGCGCUGCUUAGUUAUUCCUAAAUAAUUCAAGCCCUCCUUGAUACCAUAAACCUAGGAUGCAAUAGAAACGCUUAGGAACUACUUAUGCAGCCAUUCACAAGUUUACAAAAUACCAAAAGCAUGAGUUCUUUGAAAAUUAGAUAAAAAUAACUAACAAGUCUAGCAACCAUAUAAGGCUAGACACGAGAGUAAGAGGUAGCCUCGAUGGAGGAUCCUAUCCAAAAAGCUUACUCUGGUCAUAUAAGGACUGGUUCAUGAGCAAGUCUAUCCGGUGAAUUGUACAACCACACACGCUAAAAAGGUACAACCCUCAGGAGUACCUAUCUAUGUGAGGCCUUGAUUCGCACCCCACCAGCUGAACUUAGUGAACCACCCAAGGGGCCACGGUGGGCAAUGGUUAGACUGGAACAUGAUCUUUGCUUUGUCCUAGGUCUGGUCGACAUGGGUCAUAGGUUGAGGUCUAGAGUGGUCUGGUGGUAUUGUAUACCACAUGAUGUAUUUGGAUACCCAAGGCUCACAAAUAUGAUCCCACUUGGUCAAAGCUCCCAUUCAUUAGUCAUAACAUUGUUUUUAUGAAAAUCUUGUGUCUCGAGCCUUGGCCUGAGGAUUUGUUUCUAAAUAAGGCAAAGCUGGCUCAGGAAGUCCCUGAUGGAUCCUGAUGCUAAAUAAAAUACGGGGACUGGAAGGGAUGUAGUUUCCCCCUUCCAGGACCAACAAACUGUUGUUAAAUGUCCUGAAUUCCUUUUAAAAGCUAUAACCUUUCACCCCGCAUAAAAAUGGCUUUUCGGCAAAUAUCCAACCAGAGCCCUCCAUGAAAAAACAGCAUGAAAUACCUCUAUGACAGUGGGAUUUGCUGAGUACUCUACUUUCUUUACUGCUUUCUUUCUAUAGAGGAAGAAAUAGUUGUUGAAGACGAUGAGGAUCUUGGAGAUCAACCUUAGGAGCCAAAUUGCCUGUGGACUUGGGAAUACUACAUAGAACUCUAUUGUAUAGCUACUCUAAGGCUACUCUUAGUGGUAUGCACUUUAUUUCUCUUUUGUAACCUUAUGUAAAAUGUCAAUAAAAGCUAUACAAAUUAUGGAUGUGUUACUUCCUGUGAUAAAUUCUUGUAUCAUCUACUGAACCAGGAAAUGAUACAAAUGACAUUCGGGAUCUCUUUUAGGGGUGCCCCCCACACUAUCUGUCGUGACUUGACAAAUCUAGAUUUUGACUUCCCAAUUCAUUCUUGCCUACUAAUAUUGCAAGAAAAAACAUAGGCGGUACAUGUUAGUUUGAAAACCUAGCUUUUGGUGUAAUCUAAUUCCAACCCAUCUCUUUGUUUGUUACUUAAAUGUGGAUUCUAGAUGAUACAUUUCAUUUUUUUGUUACUGUAAGGAAAAUUUCCAAAUUACUUCCGUCAAGUAUGCCCACAGUCGUGAUAACCCCUAAACUAUUUUUUUCAUUUUACACCUACAACUACGUUAAUUGGUCCAAUUUACCCCUUAGCAAGACCAAUCUUAUAAGGAUAAAUUGGACCAAUUGACAUAGUUCUAGUUGUAAAAUAAACUAAAAAAAGUUUAUGAGGGUUAUCUAGACUUUGGCCAUACAUGAAUGGAGUAAUUUGAACUUUUUUGUUAUUGCAAUGGCAUGAAAAGUUGUUUCAGCACACAACUUAGUACCAAGAUGUCAUUUAUGAAGGAACUAUGUUUGGUCGUAUAGUAUUUUUAAAAAGUGGUUACCAAUAAUUAUUUGUGUAGAUACAUUAUAAUGUUUUGUGUCAAAAUGUAAUGAAUUUAAUUAUUUUUGUAGAUACAUUAUAAUAUUUUUUUGUCAAAAUGGAGAUACAUUAUUUGUGUAGAUACAUUAUAAUGUUUCGUUAUUGCAAUGGCAUGAAAAGUUGUUAUUCUCUUUCAUAUAACUAGUCCAUCAACCCGUGCUCCUGCACGGGCUAAUGUUUUUAUAAGCUAUUGGAGUUAAAAAUUGUUUAGAAAUUAAACUCUUAGCUAAUAAUCAAAAUUGUUUACCUACUACUCUCUUAUUUUUCCAAUACUUCAACAUAAUACUUAUAUAGCUAUGUAUUCGUCCAGUUGUGAUUGAUUUUUAAUUAAUAAUUAUUUUAUGCACUUUUUCAUUCAUAUUCAUACUUUUUAUCACACCUCCAAUCCUCUAUACAUUAUGUUUAGCACACAAAUCAAUAUUUUUCAUCGAUUCCGCACGUACAUGUAUACAUGGUCUAAUGGUGGCACUCAUCAUGUGUAUAUACUUUAAGGUAGUAUUUUUAUAUUAACAAUGAUAUAAAUAGGUAAUUUAGAAUCAUAUAUUAGUUUACUUUUUGACAUUUCUAUAUGAUGCACAUGAAGAUAAUUAGAUUAAGAUUUAGGUAUUUACUUUAGGUUAUUUUUAAUAACGACAUACGUGGGUAACAUAGAUACAAUUUUAGAAUGACAUUUUAAGUUAUGAUUUAUAAUGAUGUGUAUUAAUAAAUUGGAUGAAGAUUACGGGGUUACUUUAGAUUAUGUUUUAUAAUAGCUAAGCUCGGUAAUUUAGAUAUAGGUUUAGAGCUCAUUUUUGAAUAUUUCCACAAUGACAGUGGUGGAUAACUUUUUAGAAAAUAUAAUAAAUUAAUGGUUAUGAUUAUUAGAAUUUACAGGAUUGGUGUUUGAUGUUUUUAUUUUUUAUGAGAAUCUCUCUUUUUUCUAGCGUGUCUCAUGGGAACUAAUGCGGAGUCUCCAAUGAAAAAAAAUGAGACUACAUUGCUACAAAACUAUUACCAUAAGCUACCUCUUGUUUGUUAAAUAUUCGAACACAAUACUUAUGUAGAUAUUAUACUUAAUAUCUUCAUCCAAUUGUGAUAGAUUUCAGUUAGUAAUUACUCUAUAAUAUCUUCAUCCACAUUUAUAAUCUUUAACUUUCCACUUUGGACCAAAUGUAUGGGUUUGAAUUUGUUUAAUGAACCCUAAGUUUGAGUGCUCAUAAAUUUAAUAGAACUAUCCAUAAUGCUAAAUAUAAUUUUAGCAUAGAAAUGUAUAUUCCCAUAACUUUAUAUCCUUAUAAAUGGUGACACACAUCAUGCGUAUAGACCUUAAUUAUUAUAUCGUAUACCAAUAGUGUAAGAUAUAGACGAUUUAGAAUCAUAUAUUGUUGUAUAUUUCUAAUUAAGGUUAUUUGAUUCAAACAUAGGGUUACCUCAUGUUAUUUUUAAUAAUAACAUGUGUGGGUAAUAUAGAUGCAAAUUUAAGGGGUUACUUUAAGUUUUUUAAAGUAAUAGUGGUAGGCAAUUCAGUUGCAAAUUAGGGAGCUAUUUUAAAUAUUGUUUAUAAUGGCAUAAGUGGGUAAUUUUGAUGAAAAUUAGGGGUUUACUUUAGUUUAUUUUAUAUAAUGGCAGGGGUGGGUAAUUUAUAUAUAGAUUUAGGGGGUUACUUUAGGCUAUUUUCAUAAUAGCAUAGGUGGGUAAUUUUUUAGAAAACAUAAUAGAUCCAAUGGCUAUGAUGAUUUGAAUCUAUCGAUUGAUGGUUGGAUGUUUUGCUUUUUUGUGAGAAUUUCUAGAAUUUCUCUCUUUUCUAGAGUGUCCACCUAUGAAUCCUAGAUGGCUUCAUUUGGAGGUUUCAAAAGGAGCCUCCAAUUAGUUAUAGUAAGAUGGCAGACGUGAAUUGAAUAAUUUAGAAACAAAUUAGACCCGGUGCCUAUGGUUAUCCAGGCUAACUACCAAAUUGAUGGCUGCAUGUCUUUGGGAAUUUCUAGGAUUCUGUUUUUUUUAUAGGUCAUGUGAGUACGAACACUCCAAUCAAUUAGUAAUAGUAAUAUGGGAUAAGAUGGCCCAAAUGUUAAAGUUUCUUUGGUCUUGUUUUUUUAGGUACUUGGUCAUAAUUGAUGACAUUUGGCACUGGGAAGAGUGGGAAGUCAUCCGUAAGGCUCUUCCCAAGAAUAAUCUGGGCUGUAAAUUUAUUAUGACGACCCGGGUCUGGAGUAUAGCUUGGAAAUGUCAAACUGAACAAGGUGCACGUGUGUACGAACAGAAGUUUGGUCUUGCGGAAGCUGAAAGUCUAUCAGCUAUGAGACUGCGCAAAUCCGUCGAGGGAACCAACGCGAAGGGGCUGUCCACUAAGAUUGCGGUUAUGUGCGGCGGGCCACCAUUUGAUUUUUGUCCGCUAGCAGUAAUCUGUUUGUCGUCAGCAUGGGCAGAGAGCCACCAUGUGCAAGGUGAUGAUGCGGAAUGGGAUACAUGGGCAAGCCACGUUCUGGAUGAUGGGUUUCUGAGUACUCCAUCCUUGAAACCAGUGGUCCAGAGUCUAUGCCUUGGUUUCGACGAUCUUCCCGUUCAGCUGAGGACUUGCUUGCUAUACUGUACUGUAUAUCCUCCGUGGUAUAUGUUUUAUAAGGGAUGCUUGGUGAGAAAAUGGAUUGCUGAAGGAUUUGUUUCGCAAGUUGAAGUAGCAGAAGGUUACUUUGACAAGCUUGUCUCCAGGAAUCUGUUGCAGCGGAAGGGUGUGAUGCAUGCAGUUCACCCCAUUAUGGGAGCCUUUCUCGUGUGCAAAGCAAAGGAAGAUAAUUUUAUUGCUUACGAUGGGGCCGGCAACUCCUCGCAUGCCAAACAGAUCCGUCGUCUUUCUCUCAGCACGGAUCGCUGUCCAGAUGAGGAUGUGCUGUCUCAUACUCGCUCCCUUGUUGUUUCUGGUUAUCAAUGCCAGCUGGAUGGUGUCCCCUUCAAGGCGUUCAAAAAGCUGCGAGUGCUAGAAAUACAUGACAGCAGUCGUCUAGAGAAUGGUCAUCUGGUGGAUAUAUGUGGGCUGAUCUGGCUCAAGUGUCUGGAUCUUAUGGGCUGCGGUCAUAUCACAGAGCUCCCACGGGAGAUUGGAAGACUGCAGAAUCUGGAGACCCUGUACGUGGCAGGUACAGGGAUUAGUAAACUACCAACGGAAAUUGAGAAACUGCAGCACUUAGAGACUCUGGAUGUAAGUGGCACAAAGGUCACGGAGCUGCCUACGUGGAUCGAGAAAUUGCAAUCUUUGAAGACUCUGGAUGUAAGUGACACAAAGGUCACAGAGCUACCAAGGGAAAUCAAGAACCUUGAGCGUUUGGAGAGUCUGGAUGUAAGCUGGACACGGGUGAGUGAGUUGCCUAAGGAAAUCGGGGAACUGCAGCAUCUGAGGACUCUGGACAUAAGAGGUACUAAGGUCCGAGAGCUAUCCUGCAGUAGAGACCCGAAUCCGUUAUUAAGUGUGGUUGUUGAUGCACAUAUACAUAGGUUUUCUGAUGAAGUGGAGACGUUGAUGUCGCCUCUGGGUGUCAUUAGAUCAAGUGGUGGUGAAGAGGUUACCUCUUCUGAAGCAAAGUGCAGGGAUGACCUAUCCAUCCUCAUCCUCUUUAACCAUUUCGGCGAGAGGUGUGAAGUCCUACCAGUUCGGAUGCUUAGAGUUGCCGGGAGACACAUGAAAGUCCCGCAGUGGGUCAAGCAAGACUUGUGCAAUGUCUGCUCCUUAGAUAUCAGGCUCUACAAACUUGUGCACGAAGACCUCGAGUUUCUGAAAACGCAGAUGCCGAACCUGCAGGCUCUCCAACUCAGGUUCGAGGUCCUCCCACGGGAGCCGGUUGCUAUCACUGGUGGAGGGUUCUCAAAGCUGGAAACGUUCUAUGUUGAUUGCCGUCUGCCACGGGUGAUCACCUUUGGGGAAGGAGCGAUGCCGAAGCUGAAACAUCUUGAGUUCAAGUUCUACACCGGCACAGCAAGGCAACACUACUCCAUGGGCAUCAAGCAUCUCGACAGUCUUGAGGUGGUCGUGUUCCGAUGCUCCGAGUGCUAUACAAGUGACGGUCCAGGCAUCUGCGAGACGAUUGAAGUCGUGAGAAAAGAAGCCGCGGACCACCCCAAAAAGAUCAACCUUUGCGUCAAUGAAAAGAAAGUGGAGUUCGGCAGUAGUUAUAAAUGGGAAAGCCUUGCGGAUAAGGCCGUUACUAAAAGAAGGGAACAACUAUACAAUGCAGCAGAGCGUCGCCGAUGCAGGGGGCUGUUUGUUUGAGCUGCAGUUUUAAACUUUUCUGAAAAAGCUGCUGCUACUUUUUUUUUCUAAAAAACCAACGCCAGCUUUUAGAAGAUGUGUGAGCUUAAAAAGCUAUGAAAAAUUUAUAAAAUUAAGUUUUUCAGCUUUCUAUGUAAACUCGGAUUUUCUGAACUUCCAGCUUUUCAGAAUCUACACGAGAAGUUCACUGUUUAUUUGAGUUUCUAACUUUUCACACUAAGAAGCUGCUAGGAAUCCCAAACAAACAAGCCCUAACUUGGUUUUAAAGCUGGUUCGAACCUCAGGUUUUGUCACACCCGGUUUUAAAACAAAACCAAGUGCUACCUAUAUGUAUGCCAGGAUCUAAUUUCAUACAUAUAGUAACAUCAAAAGUGAAUAACAGCAACAGUAUUACGUAAAGGAAAAUAAAUAAAUACUUACGAGUCUAUCAGAGAUAUACAGCUUAAUUCUGGAAACGAAGGUUCCAAACUUCACAGGCAAACGACUGGGGGUUGCGUACGCCUAGAACUCAGCAUCAUCUUCAGAAAAUUUCACACACCUUCCUUUUCUAAGCAGUAGUAAGUACGGUUAAUACACUUAUGGUUGGUACUCAGCAAGGUCACAAGAAAUAACCAGAAUAUCGAUUUAAAUCCAUCUUCAAGUUUAUUAAUCAUAUGAGGGUUCAGGCCGCUCUUGACCGUGAGCACGGCUGAUAUAUCAGUUUUACACUCUGCAGAGGUUGUACACUUUCACCACAAGUCGCGUAAAAGUUCAGAAGAACUUUAGACCCAACCAUGCUAUGCUGAUCAAGCACUCAUCACACUACCGAUGUGUGACUGCAUAUGGACGCUACAUGACCUUUACAAAGAUUUCCUAGUAAGGAUAGCUCGCUAAGUUUUCAUGAUUAGCGUAAUGCAUUAACCUCUCUAGUGGGCAUAGGGUCUUAGCAAAGCUCCCUUCCCAAGAGGGCUAGGUUAUACACCCACUACUGUCUCCCCCUCUUUCCCCUUUCGGGUAAAGCUACCACAAACUAGAGUCUUUAAUUAAUUAGUUAAGACCAAAGGCAUAUAGUCCUUGUGGUUGCACUAUUUUUCUAGGUGGUCGCUCCAUGUCCCGAUUAACAUUAUCAUGGUAUUAUAAAUAAAGCAUAGGUAGAAGGAUGGUUAGUGACACUUGCCUUUCUCCAACGAAAAGUUACUCUUACUGCUCUUGCUCUCUUGAAACUCUUAUUCUUCAAAUCUUUCGAACAACGAUCCUUCUACUCGAAGCAAUCAUCAGCACAAACAUACAAGCAAACAAAUAAGUACAACUAAGAACAAUGCACCAAAACAAAAGAAAAACUUUAAAAGAACGUACUAAAAGAUAUGGCUCAAUUCUAGGAUCACGGAGGCACAUCAGACACUAAGCACGAUGAUAUUGUUGAAAACAUACAUCUAUCGAGGAAACUUUGGUUGUAUAGGGAAAAAAAGAGCUAUAUGCUGCAUUUAUUUUUAUUUAGAAAACAUAUGUAAAGGAUACUUUUAGAAAAUAUCCUAAGUUAGAGAUAAUUCAAAUUAUAUCUGUUUAUGAAAAUAUGAUAUAAAACCUAGUCAAGUUUUAUUUAUAAAUAUUCACGUAAUUAUGCCAUUCAAGCAUUUAAAUUUGGAAAAUAAACUAUAUGUAAUAACAUCUAAUGACAACUUUAUAUGUCGUGUUGAACUAAAACAAGUUAUAAUUCAAAAAUACAUUUAUAUUUACUUUAAGCAAAUUAACAUUUAAUUAUGAAAACUUGAGAUAUAACCUAUGUAACUUUUAUUUAUAAAACAAAUUGAAUACACAUUAAUCAAUUUAAGUUUGACUAUGAAAACCAAGGUAUAACUCUAGUUAGCUUUUAAUUGGAAGAUUUUUUUUAUAAGCAUUAAUCAUAUUAACAUUAAUUAUGAAAACCGAUAUAUAGCCUAAUUGGCAUUUAUUUAGAAAAGGAUAUGAAGUAGGAAUUAAUCAAAUUGAUGUUUAUUAUGAAAAGCGGUGUAUAACUCUAAGUAGCUUUUAUUUAGAGAAGACACAGAAAUUAAUCAAUUUAAUAUCAAAUUUAUUUUCAAAAACAUGCAUGAAGGCAAACAUCACCACCAACGUAUAAUUUAUAUUAUCAUGAACCUAACGCAACUUGAACAGAUUAAAACAGAGCUAAAACAUAGAUUGUAUGAGCUAAACAAGUUUAGAAGGAUCUAGAUGUGAUUAACUAUAGACUUCAGAGGCUAGCAAGGAAGAUUCACAAGACACAUGGAACAGUCUUCGUGAAUAGGUGAAACCUUGGGGUUAGAUCUGUAAAAGGUCAUGGCAAGGGUCCGUUGUGGGUAUGAACUUUUUCCAGGGGGUUUUCUGCUAAAGACUCAAGACACAAGAACUAAUCAAAUCAUUGCAGCCUUCCUUAGGGGCCUAGAAACAAAACUGCCAGGGCCUUCUUCUUCCUUUCGCUAGGGCUCCGGCCAGCUGGCUUGCCGGUGCUCUGGCGAGCUAGGGUCGACGGCGGGCGGCGCAAGAGGGAGAGGGGGUCGAGGGGAUCUCGUGGGGUGGCUCACCGGCGACGGGGCGGAUGGAGACAGUUGGUAACGGCGGCGGAUGAUGACAGACGGUGGCUCGACCUCCAGUCCGAGGCAGCACUCCGGCAGCGGCGCGGCACGCAGGGGUGGCACAGUAGGUGUGGAGAGGCGACGCUUGGCUAGGAUGUUGCGCGGGCGGCGACAGCGACUGGCGGCAGCAGUGCGCAAAAGGUGCCGCGGCGGUAGCAGUGGCUCGUGGCUUGGGCGCGCGGACGGGCGGUGAGGCGGCAGCGGGCGAGGACGGCAGGGCGCACGGGGGUUCGAGCGGUGCAUUAAAUAGGGCGCGGGGUACAAGGAUGACUGGCGCGCACACCUAGGCCGAAGUGGCGACGGCAGCGCACGGCUGCGCUUGCCCCGAGGAACAAUGCAGCGGCCCCGAUGGGCCUUAGUGGGCUGGGCGGCCUGACGCGGGUCGAGCCCACGGGCUCAACCCAAACUGAUAGGCUAGGUUUUCUUUCUUUUUUCAGAAAAUAUUUCCCAUGUAAAUAAAAAUCUAGAAAAUCUAGAUACUUCAUUUAAGCCACGAAAAAUACUCUAAAAUUCCAAAAAUUCCAGAAAAAUUCCUAGAGUUAGAUUGGGACAUGAUAAAUCCAAAUAAAAUACUUAGAGAUAUGAAAAGGAUUACAAAACCUUCCAAAAAUUUGAAUUAGUUCUAGAAAAAUGAGAAUAAAUUCCAGGAAAUUCUGGAAAAAUUCUCGGAAGAACUUGAUCGUUAUCAAGACGUGUUUUUAAAAUAUUUACACUCAUGAAACAAUAAAAUACAUUGGCAUGAAUGCAACACACACAACAACCUUAUUUAAUUUAGAAAAACAAACAAUUAAUUUUCUAUACUAAAUUUCCGGUAAAGAAAAAUAAAUGUUGGGAAAAAUUUUAAAAUUAUGAGAAAAAUUAUUGUUGAAUUUUUCUUUUUAAUCACAUCCUGAAAUUCAACAAAAAUUUUAGGGUGUGACAUGUUUGAUGCUAGUGUUCUCACCGUGGUUCGCUCCCAAUCCAUUUUCUCCGGCCUCUCGCGCAUGGAGUUACAAAGGGAAUGUGACGCGCCCAUCAUCUACGGAGCCAGGAUGGUUUUGGUGAUCUCCUUAAGGAAGCGAUAUUUCGGUCUGAUUGUAGUUGUAGGUAUGCUUGUGUACACGUGUGGUGUGAGUAAUGUGCGUGUGUAGUGUCAAACAACACACUGUGACAACGGAAUGGCGGUGCGCCUCGUCAUAAAUCCAGAGAGCACGUUCGCGCCCAUCGUUGGAAUUGAUGAGGAUCCAAUAGAUACGAGUGAAAUGAAAUGCAGUCAUUCUACUAGCACGGCGGUGGUGGCGAUGAUGCAUUGGGAACGCUCUGAAUGGUGUCGCGCACGCUGCAAAAGGCACAUUCGAUUACCAGGCGAUAAUGCGAGAUCAUUUUCGGCAAAUCAGCGUUUCUCAAGUUCCGAACAGAGCCUGAAGAAAUAUGGAUGUUUGGCAAGGCAACCUUCCUCGAGCAGUUGAACUGUUCAGGUGCAGUUCCGUGCCUCCGGGUGAAAUUGGAGGAGAGCAUGGCGUCGAAUCUCCGGAAGCCCAAGCUAUGUUUCGAUGCAUCGAGCACUCGUCAGGUGUGUUGGGAGAUCGAUUCCCGUGAAAAAUAAUGGUCGUGUAGAUGCUGGGGCAGAGCACGCUCUGCCUUGACGACCUCAGCUAGCGAAUCAGAUUCAAAACGGCUUCGAGAAUGGCAGCCCUGUUGGGGCUUCUCGUCACAGCGAAUGACUGGCCGGCGGGCUUUUCUGAGCUCACCAAGCAAUUCUGUGGGUGUGGAAAUAUAAUUCACUACAAAAAGAAAAUGGAAGAAAAGCAUAAGCGGACCAGCACUACUAGAGCAGUGCGCUUCCUGAGCUCAGUUGGUUAAAAUUUAGGCUGCACCUAGCCCACUGUUGUUCUUGGCCCAUGAACAAAGGUUCACAAACACCAGAAGUCAGACCAAAGAUAAAUUGGACCGACCUAAUACCUUGCUCUGUUCGUUUUGCUAUUUUAUUCAUUUUGUACUCGCGCAAAUAUAUUUCUCGAUGAGUAUUCGGAUCCAAAAGACAAGGUGCCCUUAGCUGGCAUCCAACAAGGAUUUUUCAUCACGUUAAUACCAGAAGGGAGAUUCCUUCACUGAGCAGGACAAUAAAGCCCGCCUCAUCGCCUGUCUCGAGACCUUACCGUACCAAACAGAGCACCCUGUCAGUAAUUGAUGGAGGAGGUGAUACUGAAGUGGUUACAUCCAACACCAGAACUACUUCCCAGAACAUGAAAUCUUUGUCACGGCUGGUUCCUCUCACACAAGUGCUGGACAUGACAACGACAACAACGAAAGGCUCGAGGACAUAUCAGCUAUUGAAGACACUCCUGAAGCUGGCGAGGAAACCCCACAGCAAACGGCACGCCGGCGCCUCGAGAACAAGAAAUGUGCAGAGUCAUGUCAACCUGCAGCUUAGCAAACUACCCAACGCAACUUGACGGGCGAAUUCAAUCAAGCCACAACCCAACGCAACUUGAUGGGCGAAUUCAAUCAACCCGCAGGUGGAAGAAUAAAUCGCACCCCGAUGGCAAAUAUCAUGGAGGUAGCCUAUUGGUUGAGGGCCCUGCCUCAGACCCAGCAAACGGAAAAACUCCUCACAUACCUCAAAACAGCUUGUGAACAACUUGAUGACUUUCUUACUCUUACCUGACCGUGAUUGACUUUGAGUACAAACUACGCUACAUGCCUUUUAAUUCAAAUUCAUAAUCCUUUUUCCACUUUAGUUGAAACCUUAGCUGUAGGUAUGUUAGCUUUUGUUGCAACCUAUAUGUUUAUUUGUCGUGACUUAACAAAUCUAGAUUUUGACUUCCCAACUUCAUUAUUGCCUGCUAAAAUUGCAAGAAAAAGCAUAGGAUGUACAUGUUUGUUACUAAUUUCUACCCAUCCCUUUGUUUGUUACUAACAUCUGGAUUCUGGACCAUACAUUUCAUUUUUAGUUACUAUAAGGCAAAUGUCCAAAUUACUCCCCUCAGGUGCUCACAGUCCCAGUAAACUCCUAAACUAUUUUGGUUCAUGGUACACCUACAACUAUGUUAAUUGGUCCAAGUUACACCUUAGCAAGACAGAUCUUAUAAGGAUAAAUUGGACCAAUUGACAUAGUUCUAGGUGUAAAAUAAACUUAAAAAGGUUUAGGGGUUUAUCUAGAUUUCGUCCAUACUUGAAGGGAGUAAAAUUUGAGCUUUUUAAUUGUUGCCAUGGCAUGGAAAGUUGUUUCAGCAGACAACUUUGUACCAAGAUGUCAUCUAUGAAGGAACUAUGUUUUGUUGUAUAUUAUUUUAAAAAAAUGGUAACCAAUAAUUAUUUGUGUAGCUACAUUAUAAUGUUUAUGUCAAAAUUUAAUAAAUUUAUUGUUUAUGUAGAAUAUAAUGAAUUUAGCUAAAGGAAACCUUAUUGUUUAUUGUCAUCCGUAAGGCUCUCCCCAAGAAUAAUCUGCGCUGUAAAUUAGUCAUGACGACCCGGGUCAGGAGUAUAGCUGAGAAAUGUGAAACUGAACAAGGUGCAGGUGUGUACACACAGUAUUUUGGUCAUGCGAACGCUGCAAGGCUAUCAGAUAUGAGACUCAGCAAAUCUGUCGAGGGAACCAACGCGAAGGGGCUGUCCACUAAAAUAUGUCCAUCCUUGAAACCAGUGGUCCAGAGUCUAUCUGUCUAUGCCUUGGUUUCGACUAUCUUCCCGUUCAGCUGAGGACUUGCUUGCUAUACUGUAGCGUAUAUCCUCCGUGGCGUAUGUUUUAUAAGGGAUGCUUGGUGAGAAAAUGGAUUGCUGAAGGAAUUUGUUUCGGAAGUUGAAGUAGCAGAAGCUUACUUUGACAAGCUUGUCUCCAGGAAUCUGCUGCAGCAUUACAUUGGGAAGUACACAGUUCACCCAUCAUGCGAGCCUCUUCCUCGUGUGCAAAGCAAAGCAAGAUAAUUUUAUUGCUAAAUUACGAUGGGCCCGGUAACUCCUCGCAUGCCAAACAGAUCCGUCGUCUUUAUGUCACCACGGGUCGCUAUCCAGAUGAGGAUGUGCCGCUGUCUCGUACUCGCUCCCUUGUUGUUUGUGGUCAGCGAUGGCAGCUGGAUUGUAAGGCGUUCAAGAAGCUGCGAGUGCUAGAAAUACGUAACAGCAGUCGUCUAGAGAAUGGUCAUCUGGUGGAUAUAUGUGGGCUGAUCUGGCUCAAGUAUCUGGGUAUCAUGGGCUGCCAUCAAAUCACAGAGCUCCCACGGGAGAUUGGGAGACUGCAAGAUCUGGAGUCCCUGUACGUGGCAGGUACAGAUAUUAGUAAACUACCAGCGGAAAUCAAGAACCUUGAGCGCUUGGAGACUCUGGAUAUAAGCCGGACACGGGUGAGAGAGUUGCCUAAGGAAAUCAGAAAAGUGCAGCAUUUGAGGACUCUUUUACACCGGCACAGCAAGUCGAGACUACUACAUGGGCAUCAAGCAUCUCGACAGUCUUGAGAAGGUCGAGUUCCGAUGAUCCGAGUACUAUACAAGUGACGAUCCGGGCAUCCGCGAGACAAUUGAUGUCCUGAGAAAAGAAGCCGUGCAGCACCCCAACAAUAUCACCCUUUGGGUCAAUGACAUGUUGCCAGAGGCUUUCGGCACGGGUGCCGAUAAGGCCAUUUUCGAAAAAAGAGAUAAACUAUUCAGGGCAGCACGGGAAAGAUGGAAAGGGACCUUGAGGAUAUUAUGAACGACGGAAGUCACAUCUCAUGGCAGCAGAGAAGCGAGCUCAGCUUCAACGGGACAAGUACCGCGGAAGAGGGGGAAUUCGCUCCUGAUUGCGGGUUCGUGUGGUACAGGAGAAUCAGAGGUGUACCGUUUGUGAAUUAAAGAUGCGCCGUUUGUGCGGGUUUAUGUAAUAAUAAUUUCUGCAACUUUGGAUUGAAGUAUGUUCUAUGUUGUAUGCAUUGGUUUGCUAAACCUAAACAAAAAAGUUACGUAUUUUUUGAACUUGGGGUCUUCCUUCUCUAUGUCACACAUUAUCUGUACGCACGCUUGUUCGUCAUUCUCAAUAUUUUUUUUACAGAUCACUUUCUGUUCGUCAUAUGGUAGCUUGCACCAUCUGCAAACUGAGCAUUCCGUCCAACAUUUCCUUUGGGUCAAUGUAGUCAUGACUCAUGCCAGUGAUCCAGUUCUGUUAAUAAUUUGUUCCCAUACGUAUUCUGGAGCAGUUGCAAGAUUGUCUUGAUGAUGCGAAUGGGCUCAUCCUUAAUGUGGUUGCACGCAGACUUUUAUGUCAUCUUCUUCCCAACAGUUUUUUCAGUUCGCCCUACUGUACCUUCUGGGAUAUGUAAGCCUUGGUCAACAUCGUCAAACCCCUUGGAGCUGCGGCUAAACUGCCCACAUGAUAGCACACUCUGCCUUGACGACAGCAGCUUCCAACAUGGUGGAUCAGAUUCAAAAACAGCUUCGAGAAUUUUGAAUGACUGGCUGGGGGCUUUCUGAGCUCACCGAGCUUCUGUGGGUGUGGUAAUAUAAUUUCACUACAAAAAGAGAAGGAAAGAAAAGCUUAAGGAAACUUUCUGAGCAGAAGCUUGGUAAGCUUCUGAAGGUGCAGCCCAAAUUCUGAGCAGUGAGCUUUCUAAUCUCAGUUGGUCAAAAUUUAGGCUGCACCUAGUCCACCGUCAUUCUCAGCCCAUGAAGAAGGAUCCACACACCACAGGUGGACCAAAGAUAAAUUGGGGCGACACACUCACACCCAGUUCUGUCCGUUUUUCUAUUUCAUUUAUUUUUUACCUGGUCAAAUAUAUUUCUAACGUCACACCAACCACCAAUUUUGUAAACUUAAUAAAUCCUUGUAAAGUCACCUUCGUACAAUAUUUUAGUGCAUUAUGCAUUCAGUUUGAAACACAAUAUUUUCUUUUUAGACAAAUAAACUAGCGCAAGCUGGAACUAGUUCUCAAUUAGAGAACACCGCAUAUGCCCGAAGAAAAAUAUUUUCAGUACUAGCCUUAUUUUUCUGUCGUCUAUUAACUGUUGAAUGUUCUUGAUGGAGUCGUAUGUUCCUUAAUAAUCAUUGGUCAAAUGCGUCAUGUAUGCUGCACAUUGAAGAUGUAGAGGCUGGGACAGUGUUUUAUUCCAUCAUCAAAAAAAAGUCUUGAAGCUCUAGAAAUGGACACAAUCCAAUUUAUGCAUCUGCAGUGCAUAUAUAGUUGUAAUAACAAUGAUGAAACCUGCUUAUUCUAUACUCCGUAACAUACAGGAAACAUGAAUAUAUUUGAGUCGCUCAAACCUCUUACUAAUGCAAUGUACACUACGGGAAACAGGGAAGAUGCCGAGUGCCAGGGGCACUCGGCGAAGCCCCAAAAACACUCGGCAAAGCGUUUGCCGAGUGUAACACUCGGCAAACGACACACGGCAAAAAUCUUGACGGCAAACACUAGUUCGCCGAGUGUUUUGUGUCGGGCACUCGGUAAAGACUUUGCCGAGUGCUCUGCCCAGAAAACACUCGGCGAACAAUUAUUGAAAAAAAAAAAAAUCAUGCGCCGCCACCUGCUCCGCCACCGCCGCCGCCGCCGCCACCACCACCACCCUCUCCUCUUCUCUUCAGGCCCCGGCGCCGGCGGAUCCGGUGGAGGGGACGGGCGGGCGGCGGAUACGGGGGCCGGGGGCCGGGCGCCGGGGGGACGGCGGCGGAUCCGGGGGCGCCGUGCGCCGGGCGGCGGGCGGCGGCGGAUCCGGGGGCCGGGCGCCGGGCCGGCGGCGGCGGAUCCGGGGGCGCCGGGGGCCGGGCGCCGGGCCGGCGGCGGCGAAUCCGAGGGCGCUGUGCGUCGGGCGGCGGGCGGCGGGCGGCGGCUGANNNNNNNNNNNNNNNNNNNNNNNNNNNNNNNNNNNNNNNNNNNNNNNNNNNNNNNNNNNNNNNNNNNNNNNNNNNNNNNNNNNNNNNNNNNNNNNNNNNNCCGGGCGGCGGCGGAGGGAGAGAGGAGGGAGUGAGGGGAGUGAGAGGGGGGCCGGGAGGCACUUAUUGAGGGGGCCGGGCACUUAUUCUGGUUUGCCGAGUGUCCUACGUGGACACUCGGUAAAGAGUUUCUUUGCCGAGUGUCCAACGUAGGACACUCGGCAAACGUUUUUUGAAAAAAAUUUAAAAAAUAUCCAACAGUUUCAAAAAAAUACCAAAUUUUCACACGAACCAAUAUAGGUUUUCUACUGACUAUACAAAAAGUUUUGUAGUCAAACCGAACUCGACCGUCACUUCGACUCUAAAUUUUAUCGAAUCCUUCUUAAAGUUACUAUUCUUCUUCUGAGAUGCUUCGAUUUGUAAUCAUCGUACAUGAUGAAAUGUGCAAAACCUUCUCAAUUUUUUUCCACAGCCUCCACGUAUUAUAUCAUCACAUCAUGACAAAUCUUAAGAUUUUCAGACUUUGAUUGUUUUUUUGACAAUUUAAAAAUACUACUGCGACACGUUCAUGGUCGUGUUUCCUGAACAAGAUGUUCGAAAUUUCUUUUCAUUUCAUGGGUCAGGUCUCAAAUUGGUCCAAAUAACAUGAAUAUCAUUUUUCUACUCAUUUUAUUCCAUAAUUUGAAUCACUUGCAGUUCAAAUUUGACUUAUACCAAAAAUUCCCUUGAAAUGUAGUUAAUUAAUUAAAUAUAGCAAAUAAAUUCAAAAAUAUACCAAAUUUUAACAUGGAGUACCACAUGUUGUAUAUGGGGAGUAGAAAAAAUUUCAUGGUGAAAAGAGGAAAAAAAUUAUUUUUUUGCCGAGUGUCAAAAAAAACACUAGGCAAACCCCCCUCUUUGCCGAGUGUUUUUUUUUGACACUCGGCAAACCUCCUCUUUGCCGAGUGUUUUUUUGACACUCGGCAAAGAGGGGGCUUUGCCGAGUGUUUUUUAUUUGACACUCGGCAAAGUCACGAUUUGCCGAGUGUUUUUUUUUGCCGAGUGUUUUUGGCUUGGCACUCGACGAAGAGCUUGUUUGCCGAGUGUCCGAAAAAAAACACUCGGCAAAAAGAAAACACUCGGCAAAUUUAAAGUUUCCCGUAGUGGUAGAUGUAUACUUAGCAAUUGACCCUUGAACACCAAACCAUAAUGUGCUAGUAGACACCAACAAUACUUUAUUGGCCCUCUAAUAAUGCAAAAUGCAUAGUUUACAGGGGUAUUUCAACUAUUCAUCAUGUAUCAACGAGAUGCUUGGGCUCCAAACGUAGUUCAAAUUUUACUAUUGGCAGUUAGGGCUCCUCCCAGGUCCGCCAUAGUAGAUGUAAGUGCCCCAGUCGCUAUUGGCACCAUUCUGCACCUUAUAGCAGCUGGAUCGCUCAGCUAUCAAAACCACACCAUUUGGGAAUUUGAGAUUGUUGGAUGAAUCUACGACUUGGAUGUUCUUGAUGUAGCUAGCCUUGCCGAACCCUUCCUCUGGGAAGUGUCCGCUACCCAUUUCAGUGGAAGUCUGGCCGGCGUCCGGUGAGUAUACCUCACCGCCCCAUUCAACACUGGAGGCACUGUCUGACAAGUAAGAGAAGAUGGACGAUGGCCAAUAGCCCAAAAUAUGGUUUCCUACUUGCAACCACCAGUUGCCCCCCUUUGGAUCCUGCAAAACGAAAUUACUUGGAGAGUUCAGCAGACAGGAUUAUGAUCGACGAGAGAAGUAGGGAACAUAGUUGUAUAUUCCUUUUAGUCCUAAAAUCAAAGCAUGCACAAAAGUGUGACUUUACUUAUUCCUUAUCUGCACUAUGGAAAGUACUGCACAUUGAUGGAAACAAAAAUUCUAAGUGAAGGGGUGCCGGUUAUAAAAAAUUCGAAACAAAAUAUAUUAUAAAUCUUGUUGAUUAUGAAGGGGUGACGGCUGUCAUGCAAGAUUGUUCAUGGCAAUUAGGACAGAUGAUUUAUAAUAUUUCCUUGCAUAAGGUGGAGGUAAAGAUCCUUUUAAAGCUUUAUUAAUGUAUAAGGCUAACUUAACAGUGUUGCAUUUGUAGACAAAAUCCGGUACGUGCAUAGGGAUGUGAUUCCGUGAGGGCGACCACAAACAGGCAAUACCACAGUUUUAGCCUCGUUUUAUGCUGGAUGAGAUUGUGAAUGAUUUUUGUGCUUUACCUUCCAGAUUAAAAUAUCGAUAUCACGUUGCGAGCCACCAUAUAUUGAGACUGGGGAGAUGCUGCCACCGAUGGCGAUCUGAUUGUUUGUCUGAAUGAACCCUGGGCAGCCUAGGUUGUAACAUCCUGUUUGGUGGUAUGCAUCACGCUACAAUAUGCCGCAGCAAUAGAAAAUUAAUAAACAUGUGUUCCAUUCCUCAACUUAAUAAACAUGUGUCUAGUAUUUCAAAGGAAUGUGAUGUUUGUCUUACGGUCCAGUAGAUGAAGAGCCUAGUAUUACUAUCAUGAUACCUCCCUGGGUAAACCUGCAAUUUUGUAGAGCACAGAGCCAUUAGCCACUACUAUACAAUGAAAGAGGUUGCACAACUUAUUAGUGCAUCGUUACAAGAACCUUUAGAUCGUAAAACAGUGUGAUUUAGCCAUAUAUAAAGAUUUUUAGAAAAAGUUCUCUAUGCUUUUCGACAGGCCAUUAGUUCCUAAAAACAGUGAUGUUAGCGUUACAACUAAUGAAAGAAACUUUUUUGCAUGAAUGGAGAAUUGACGGAACUUCUAAUCUUUGAUGAAGGUGUGUUUAUGUUUUCCCCUUCGUGGUAUCACCUGCCAUCCUGCUUCAAUGGUAUUGAGAUCAUUGCCUUGAUAGGACCCCCCUGUGAUCCAUAGUUGGGCCAGGCUGAAGCCAUUGCCCCUCUCAAUCGUUGGUUGCCACAAAUUAAUGGUGGCUUUUGUUCCGUAGUAUUUGUCAACCAAUGCAGACGCUACAGCAUGCUGAUCAAUGAGAGAGCAAACAAAUUGUUUAAGCAAUGUCAGAAAUGAUACUACAAAUCCAAAAUGAAGAUUGGUAAUAAUAUGAAGGUGAUUCUCGAAUGAUGUUUUGUACCAGGUGACCAAUUGUUGCACUAGCGUCAGGGUCAUCAACAGAAACAAGUUUUGGGAUGCUCCCAGGUCUCUUCUUGCCAUACCUCUUGAUAGAGCUGGCCCUCAGCACUUCCUCCUCCUUGGUCCUUCGGAUCGGUAUGGUGUUUUCAGGGCACUUGCCAUUCUGAUGCCAUAAUUGGGUAAUUGGUUGUGUUUCAAUUUUGGAGUCAUCAUAUAAACCACCAGGGUGAUAAGAAGGCCGCAUCUGAAAGGUUACAAGUUGGGGGCACCAUUGAGUGAUAUCAUGAUACAUGUGUUUGUAUGGUGGUGGUGAGGGCACUGGUACAUGUGUUUGUAUGGUGGAGAGGUACCUGGAUGGUAUGGUUCUUGAGGAAAGGAUGAUCGAAUGCAGGCUGUUUGGAAAUGUGCACACAGUCUAUGAUAUCUCCAUCUGGGCUCUAUUAAUUUCGCAGUAUCAGUAGUUGCAACAAAGUUUAUAGAAAAUAUAAUAACAUCUAUAAUAAAAAAUAAAUAUACUUUGAAGACAUAUAUUUUAUUGUGGAUCUAAUAAAACUAGAUGUUAUAUAUGUUGUCUGUUGAUGCUUAGGUUUUUUUCGACAAGCUUGGUCAAUGUGAGAGAAAUGUUUUUAGAUACUGGAAGCAUGACACAGGUUUUAUGCCGAGUGCCAGGGGCACUCGGCAAAACCUGAAAUACUCUCGGCAACGACUUCGCCGAGUGUUACACUCGGCAUCUGGCACUCGGGAAAUUUUGUGUCGGCAAAGUAAUAUUCGCCGAGUGUUUUCGGUCGGGCACUCGGCACAGCUUUCGCCGAGUGCCCCGAAAACACUCGGCAAACCUUUUUUUGGAAAAAAAUAAAAAAAGCACGCCGACACCCGUCGGCCGUACCACAGCACGCCGCCGCCGCCAGCCACCAUCCCCGCCUGCCGGCCACCAUCCAAGCCCGCCGCACGCCGACACCCGUCGGCCGUACCACCAGCACGCCACCGCCGCCGCCGCCGCCGCCAGCUGCCAUCCACGCCCGCCGCACGCCGACACCCGUACCACCAGCACGCCGCCGCCGCCGCCAGCUGCCAUCCACGCCCGCCGGCCACCAUCCACGCCCGCCGCCGCCACCAUCCACGCCCGCCGGAUCCGGAGCCCCCGACGCGAGACCCCGCCGGAUCCCGGGGCCCCGGGCGCGAGUCCCCGCCGGACCCGGCCGGAUCUGGGAGAGGGGCGGGGCGGCCANNNNNNNNNNNNNNNNNNNNNNNNNNNNNNNNNNNNNNNNNNNNNNNNNNNNNNNNNNNNNNNNNNNNNNNNNNNNNNNNNNNNNNNNNNNNNNNNNNNNAAGCAACAGCACGUCCCACCUAUAAACUCAUCACAUACUCAACAUGGCCCUUUGCAUGCUGGGGCUGAUAUGAUCGGCCCACUCCCAACAGCCCCAGGAGGAUUCAAUCGAGUACUCAUCGCUAUCAACAAAUUCACCAAAUCGAGCACUCGGGCGGGGGCAGGGGGCGGAGGACGGUGGGAGACGCGGAAGAAGUUAAGGAGACGGAGCGGAAGAAGUUAAGGAGGACGGUGGAAGACUUGGGCACUCGACCGAGCGCUAGAUAUUUUUUUGCGGGUUUUGCCGAGUGUCUGAUCGGGACACUCGGCUAAGAUUUUUUUAAAAAUAAAAAAAAAUUCUUUGCCGAGUGUCCACCCUAGGACACUCGGCAAAGUUUUUUAAAAAAAAUAAAAAAAUAUCUAACAGUUUCGAAAAAAUACCAAAUUUUCACACAAAACAAUAUAUAUUCUCUACUGACUAUACAAAAAGUUUUGUAGUCAAACCGAACUCGACCGUCACUUCGACUCUAAAUUUUAUCGAAUCCUUCUCAAAAUUACUAUUCUUCUUCUCAGAUGCUUCGGUUUGUAAUCAUCGUACAUGAUGAAAUGUGCAAAACCUUCUCAAUUUUUUUCCACAGCCUCCACAUAUUAUAUCAUCACAUCAUGACAAAUCUCAUGAUUUUCAGACUUUGCUUGUUUUUUUUACAAUUUAAAAAUACUACUGCCGCACGUUCAUGGUCGUGUUUCCUGAACAAGAUGUUCGAAAUUUCUUUUCAUUUCAUGGGUCACGUCUCAAAUUGGGCCAAAUAACAUGAAUAUCAUUUUUCUACUCAUUUUGUUCCAUAAUUUGAAUCACUUGCAGUUCAAAUUUGACUUAUACCAAAAAUUCCCUUGAAAUGCAAUUAAUUAAAUAAAUAUAGCAAAUAAAUUCAAAAAUAUACCAAAUUUUAACAUGGAGUACCACAUGUUGUAUGUGGGGAGUAGAAAAAAUUUCAUGGUGAAAAAAGGAAAAAAAUAUUUUUUUGCCGAGUGUCAAAAAAAACACUAGGCAAACCCCCCUGUUUGCCGAGUGUUUUUUUUGACACUCGGCAAACCCCCCUUUUUGCCGAGUGUUUUUUUUGACACUCGGCAAAGAGGGGGCUUUGCCGAGUGUUUUUUAUUUGACACUCGGCAAAGUCCCGAUUUGCCGAGUGUUUUUUUUUUGCCGAGUGUUUUUGGCUUGGCACUCGGCGAAGAGCUUGUUUGCCGAGUGCUCGAAAAAAAACACUCGGCAAAAAAAAUACACUCGGCAAAUUUAAGAUUUCCCGUAGUGAAGAUAACAUUCCGGCUUCAGACUUUUUUUUCAAAACUACAUCAAACCACAAACAUUACAAAGGGGUACAUAUUCCAGGAAAAUAUGUAGCCAAGACAUAAGAUCUGAUUUACUAAAAAGAAAUAAUAAAAUACAAGAAAAAGAUUCAAAAUCUCUAACAAGCUAUUAAAGUGAAUUAUAAUUAGUAACAGAGGGAGUACAUAAUCUAUAUCCAAGAUAAAAGACGACGGACAGGUCGGUCAUUACCUGAAUGCUGGCGAGAGGAGGUUUGUUGAGCCGCCUGAGAAGGUUUUGCACCUGCCACCGCCGCUGCCCGCCUGCAGUCCCCGCCGCUGCACCCUCCAUGAAGAGAAAGGCGAGAGCCACAACGAAGCAUGCUCGCGUAGUCACUGCCAUUAGUCGCUCCAACGAAACAGGCGAGAGCUAGUGAGCUACCCUGUUGGUGUUGGUUUUUGGUAGCUUCGGCUGGUAGGUGUGUUAUAACAAGGCCGGCCUUGGCUCUGCCGUAUUUUUGGGGCGUCAAAGUCUUUUCAACACUUCACUUGUGGAGGUUCUAGGAAAGGAUUCUGCAGUUUCGUGGAGCCGUGGGUGGAUUCUUGGUCUUUGUCGAUACGUCGAAGGCGACGGGUAACAGAACCGGUCGAGCUAGUUGACCGUUGUUCACACAGCAAUAAUGCAUGUGUUGCACGCCCUAGCCUGUUUCAUGCAUUCAGACACGUCCUCAUUUCCUUUUCCUCUGAUUAUUGAAACAGAAGCAAAGGGAAAAAAAAAAGCUUGACCUGCAACGCAUGUUUGACACGUCCUCAUUUCCUUUUCCUCUGAUUAUUGAAAUAGAAGCAAAGGAAAAAAAAAAGCUUGACCUGCAACGCAUGUUUGGAAUGCGAAGAAAUGUUCGAUCCUCCAAUCUGAAAAGCUUGACGCGCAAGGCAUGCACAUGGUGUGCCUAACGUACAGAGGACGGUUUCCCUUGAGGCACCAUAAUCAUUCAAGUCUCCGUUGCUCGCCGUCAAUUCGCACCUGGUGACAUCGCUUUCCAGAAGAUAGUAACAUUUAUCCUUGUGCCCGUUUUUUACCUUUCCAAAAAAAGAAUCUAAACAUUUUAUAAUUUAAAUCAAAACAUAUAGAAAAUAUGUUUCUAUGAGGUUUAGAACUUUUACCAGAUAGUAUCGUCAAAGCGAUUGGCUCUGGAGAUGGGACUUGCCGUCGUCAUAUAUAUGUGCAAUUCAGAUCAUCGAGACGGAGACUCACCUAGCGACGACGAGCCGACAAAUCACGUAUGCGUACAGCACCACUGGUUACCAGAGAGCAUAUGGUUUAUACGUGCAGCAUACAACACCACAGACCCUGUUGACGCUGCAACGUAUGGUCGAGGUCGACUCUCCGUCAUCUUGCCCGACUCCGAUCGACUUUGACCAUCUAAUGGCGAAAUUCCAGAGAGAAGACCACGCAAUGCCGCGUCCGGCGAGAAAGCGAUACAUCUUGGUUUGCCAGUCCAAGUCUUCGAAGGAACUAUAGCACAGCGUUUUUCCGUUUUCAGAUUGUUCUGGGUGAUUGGGACUUGUACAACGCUCACCACUCGACUUCCUGCUGCUUGGGAAGUCUUAGGCAACUACACAAGCGUGUGAUUCGGUCUCAAGUGUUGCAUGCUGUACAAACCAUACUGAGCUCUUGUUUACUUUGCGAAUUUGGAAGGUGCCAAAUUACUGUAGCAACACUGUAGCGUUUCGUUUGUAUUUGUGAAUUAUUGUCCAAAUAUUGACUAAUUAGGCUCAAAAGAUUCGUCUCGCAAAGUACAAUAAAACUGUACAAUUAGUUUUUGAUUUCGUCUACAUUUAGUACUCCAUGCAUGUACCGCAAGUUUGAUGUGAUGGGAAAUCUUCUUUUUGCAUAGUGUCAAAGUUGGGAGUUUUGUAGGAAGUGAACAAGGGCUGAUUCAAAAAGUAGCAGUGCAUCUACACACUACACUGAAAUCAAAGUUUGCUGCACUGCACCUCAGUCGAUAGUCGUCGUCCAUUGAAUACAAACCAGCCUAGUGGCAUCGAUCAAUGUCAUGUGUUGAUCUCAGCACUAACCUAAUAACUCAGAAAAUGUUGUGCUGAGCCUAGACGAGCUGACCCAAUCUGACCCAAUCUGGCAUGGUCGAGGCCAACUCAAUUAAGACAGUUUUUCUCCGACACUCCCAAGGAAAAAUGUUUCACGGAGAAAAAUUAAUGUUCCAUGGACAAGGAAAAAACUGAGUACACAAUCACAUUUAUUUAUUUCAUGGAAGUAGUUAUUUUGAGCUCUAAAGAUCUCAUGGAUGUACUAUGUCUUGACAAUACACUUAUCCGCAGUGCAGAUACAGUUGGAAUAAUGUGAAGAAUCGGUACUCUUAGCCUAAGAGAGGAAGGAGGUGAAUUAGACAACUUAAAAACUUAACCUAUGACUUCCACUACUUUGCAUCAAAAUAUAAACUAGAUCAUGCUAUCUAUAGUUGAUCUAGUGUGAAACACUCAUCCCAAAAUAACUUUUGCAACCUAUAGCGAAUCCUAUCAAGAUAAUACUUUAGGAAAGUAAAGGCACACAAGUUGCAAGUAUGAAAUGCGAAAACGUAAAGAGGGGACGAGGGGAAGCAAACUCUUGACACAAAGAUUUAUCCCGUGGUAUCGGUAGGCACUAAGCCACCAGUAGUCCAUGUUGUUGAAGUACUCAAACAAGAGUAUUGCUUCCUGGUCACCAAGUCUCUCCCAAGGUGCCCCUUGACUUGCUACAAAAGCUCGGCCACUAAGGCUCACACCAAGUCCCUUCAGUCACCUUGAUGUUGUCUUCACUAAGGAGCUUCUCCAUGAAGGAAGGGGUCUCCACGUCCCCACAUAAGGUCGUCGACGCCGCUCUACACCAAGCUGGAGGGUCGAAGACUUAUCGGCGAGCCACCAAGGCUCUAAGGCACUGGCACACCUCUUGUACAGCGGUGGUUCACUCUAGAACCUGAUCACUAGGUCGGCACACCUUGCACUCACUCCUCUCUAGGCAUAUCCUAGCACUAAUUACUCUCCUAAGAUUGCACUAAGCCUUUGAUGGAUCACUUAAUCACUUUUGGUGGCAUGGAUGUAUUUUUGAUGAGUCUUGGUCUUUAAUGCAUCCCUGGACACUCCAGCAACUCUAAAUGAGUGAGUGGUGAGGGUAUAAAUAGCCCCAAGAGCUCAAAGAGCCGUUGCUCCAAUGGCUAGUAAAAAAGAUACUAUCGGAUAUUCCGAUGAUCUAUUUUUGACCUGCAUCAGAAUAUCAGGUGCAACUAGCCAUUGGCUCCCCACACACAAGUUCCUUAGGAAUUCAUUCGACACUUUAUUCGAUGCCCUAAUCGGAUCAUCCGGUACCACUGUUCACGUCACACAGCUGUUGGAUCCCCUUGAUGUCAUUGCUCCAACACUUUCUAAGAUGGUGCCGUUGGAUCAUCCGAUGCUGAAGGAUUUUUGACCAAAAUCUCUCUGGAACUUCUCAAAGAAAAUAUGCUUCGUCCGAUGGUCAACUCCAUAGGGUAUCGGAACAUCUGGUGCUACAGGGUUUCCUCUUCCUCCUCAGCAAAUUACUCCGACGCUUGUAAAAUUACCUCCAUUGGAUCAUCCGGUGCACUCGAGAUUUUUCCCUAUUUGUACCCAUUGCUCCAAUGGUUGCUCCGACACUUCUUAGGUGGGGCAUCAAAACAUCUGAUGGUGUAUUUUUUAUUCCAAUUCAUCCAAUGCAAGCACCAAAGAUACCGUCAUUUGGAACUUGACGUGAGGUUGUGACCAUGUUGUUAAUUCGGGGGUGGCCACCGUGUUGUUUCGAUUCUAGUUUCGUCCAUGAAAUUUUGGUCAAACUAUAUCCGUUUCUUUGCGGGCGACACAUGCAUGUACAUGUACUAGACGUCACCCGUGUCUGUUAAUUAAUUUCCGUACUUGUCAUUUGGGUAACCGUAACCGAGUGUUUUUCUGUAGCAGUGAAUUCUUCAUGUUUACUAUGUAAUAUGCUCUUCGAUCUCACUGCGAGUUUAGUUAGGAUGCCAAUUAAUUAAUAUACCUCAAUGCUCUUGAGAGGAGCCUUGUUGACCCGCCGGAGGAAGCUUUGCACCUGCCUCAGGCGCUGCACCGACGAUGCUCCUCCGGCGGUCGUCCCCGACGCCGCCGCCAUUGCUGUUGGCCCCUCAAAGGAGAAGAGCAGCGCGAGAGCCACGACGAGCGCGACCAAGCACUCUCGCUUUGUAGUCGCUGCCAUUGAUCAAGCUGCUAGCGUGUAUUGCCUUACUAAAUCUGGCUGUGCUGUGCUGUGUACGUUCUGCAUGCAGCUGGGCUUUUAAAGGGGUUGAGAGUGACUGAGUGAGUGGAGACGUCUCGGUCGAUGUGGCUGCUAAUAACGUGCUUGUUGGAAAGGUAGGAGCACCACCGCGCUCGUGCAGGUGGUGGUGGAUUCUUCGAAGACGUCGCAGGCCAGUUGCAUGCAUUACAUAUACAUAUUGGGUUAGUUCCGGCCCAACUAUGUAUCUUUGUGUCAAUCUUUUUAUUUAAUUUUAGGUAAUGAAUUCAAAAAAUAUUUUUAUAUUUUCAAUCAUUUUUUUUGAAAUAUAUAUAUAUAUAUUCUCCAAAAUGCGUCGUACGUACGUGUGCAGUAUUUACGGUACGGUGGGAGUGGCGGCCGACGGCGACGACCCUGUGCAAGAUGAUGUCGCCGCGCCCAUAUACGACGCAGCAGCGUGCAUGCACCAUCUCAUAUGUCAUCGUCAGUGGUUGACAUUCACUAAGGGAGGAUAAAUCGCCGUGCAACGACCGCCACAGCAUUACCAUAUCCGUUCGGUCAAAGUGUGCGCCAAGAUGAAUUGGAUCACUCUUUCUUAUUAUUUUUUCUUUGUUGAUGAGAUGAACCCGAUACUAUUUCUGUUCUUCCACCCUUCCCAGUGCAACAAGGAGAUGCAUUCGAUCGCUAACCAUACAUGCAUGCACUGGGCCCUUGGCGAGCAGUGGAGAUCACAACCAAAUUCAUUUUAAUGCAAAGCGGGGGCCUGGGCCUGGCAGACCUACUUCGCGGUCUGUGAAAGUGAGAGGCACAAUUGGAUGGAUGGAACGCCGUGACCUUCUCCUGGCCGGCAAUGCGUGUUAAUAUAGGUGAGGAAACUCCCCUCACUUGGAUUACAAGUUGUGAUUCGGCUGGAGAUAGAGAUACAAAUUACAACAGCCUUAUCUACAAGAUUCUACUCAACAAACCUAUCCAGCCAAACCCAACAUACCGCACACAUGUUUGUUACAAUUUAUUGUUACAGAUAUAUCUAACAGCCCCCUCAAUCAUAACCGAGUGAGGUUAAGAUUGUGCUUAAAGUUCUCUAGCUCUGCCAAGGCUUUAGUAAACCCAUCAGAAACUUGAUCUCUGGAUGGAACAAAAUCUAUUUCCAACAGAUUUCUGGCAAUAUGUUCCCUCACAAAAGAUAGUCUACCUCGAUGUGUUUAGUCCUUACAUGAAACACCGGAUUUGCAGACAUGUUUGGCUCUCAUGUUAUCACACCACAACUAUGCUUUGGCCAGACUUUGUAAACCAAUUUCUUUCAACAAAGUCUGAACCCAUAUGUUCUUUGCAGUAGCAUUAGCUAUUGAUUUAUAUUCAGCUUCUGCGCUAGAUCUUGACAUAGUGGCUUGCUUUCGAGCACUCCAAUAAAUCAAAUUCGAACCCAAGAAAAUUGCAAAACCACCAGUAGACCUCCUAUCAUCUAGUGAUCCUACCCAAUCAGCAUCUGUAAAACCACUAACCAGCAUUGAGUCUGAUCUCCUGACCUUUAAGCCAAUCUUAGUAUUAUAUUUCAAAUACCUCAAUAUUCUCUUCACAGCCGCCCAAUGCUCAACAAUAGGAGAGUGUAGAAACUGACAUACCUUGUUAACUGAGAAGGCUAUAUCAGGUCUGAUAAGUGUUAGAUAUUGAAGUGCACCAACAAUACUUCUAUAUUGUGUAGCAUCAUUUGCACCCAAAGGAGUUUCUUCAUAGGCAAAUAACUUCUCACUUGUUGACAAGGGAGUACUUAUUGGUUUGCAAUCUGACAUGUUCACCUUCUUUAAUAAAUCUGAAGCAUACUUGUCUUGUGUCAGAACAAUACCAUCUCUUACUUUAUUUACCUCUAUGUCCAAGAAAUAAUGAAGCUCUCCUAGAUCCUUCAAAGCAAAAUCUUCCUUUAGUUUAUUCAAUAACCUAGUUGUUGCUUCCUGAGUAGAGCCUGCCACAAUAAUAUCAUCAACAUAUAUCAACACAAAAACAAUUAUAUUUCCUUUACUGAAAUAGAAUAGAGAUAUAUCAGCCUUAGAAGAUAUAAAACCACGACCAAUCAACUUGGAACUUUGGUGUGCAUACCAUGCACGUGGUGCCUGUUUCAAUCCAUAAAGAGCCUUGUCUAAUUUACACACAAAAUUUGGCCUUGCCUUGUCUCAUAUCCUGGAGGUUGCCUCAUAUACACUUCCUCUUCAAGAAUACCAUGUAAGAAAGCAUUUUAAACGUCUAGUUGCCUUAGACUCCAUCCUCUUGAGACAGCUACUAAAAGAAUUAAUCUGAUUGUAGCAAUAUUCACAACAGGGCUAAACGUGUCUUUAUAAUCUAUCCCAUGUCUUUGUUUGAACCCCUUAGCUACUAAACGGGCUUUAUAUCUAUCCAAGCUCCCAUCAAAUUUUAACUUGGUUUUGUAAACUCACUUGCAAUCAAUAAUGUUGGUGCCUUUCUGGGGAGGAACUAAAUCCCAAGUCUUGUUUCUAAUCAAAGCAUCAUUGAAAGGAUCUUGUGAUGCCUAAGGAGGGGUGAAUAGGCUCACUUCAAGUUUUUUCUGAAAAACUUUGCAGCGGUAUUAGAUAUGUCAGAACUUCCGACGCUAUGUUAAAACUUCCGGUAUAGGGUCGAAACUUUUAACAAUAGAAAGUGAGCUGACCGAAAUUCAAAAUGAAACCUGAAUCUACCAAUUCUACUUAAAUCAAAAGAUAAUAAAUGAAGUGUAGAGACUACUGCAGGUAAUAGAUAUGCAAGGAACCACACAAAUUUAUAAAUCGGCUUAAAUCAAGCUUCUAGGUCAAUAUGAACAUGACGGACACAAUAAGCACACGAGACAAGGAUUUAUUUUCCGAAGUUCACUUCCACAAAGGAAGCUGUGUCUCCAUGGAGGAUCUCACAAAGAGCCAGGUCCUCGCUAACCCUUUAUCUCCCUCAUCAACCACAAAGGAGGAUUGAGGUACUUACUAUGAAUCUACAAAGGAUGGGUAAUACAAAUGUUCCCGGGCGCACCACACAAAGAGGAUGCUCAAACGGGCGACUUGCCUAGCUGUCUUGAAGCAAGCUUCAAGAGUAACAAACGCGAAUCGAUGGCCGAAGAUGCUUGGAGUGCUCUUGAGAUGAAUUUGUUGGACCUCACACCCAAAUCCUCAAGACUCACACAUUCAACCUUACUCUCACCCAAUCCCUAGCUCAAACUCUCAAGGAUUUAGCUCAAAGGGGAGUAAGGGAGGAGUAUUCAAUGCUUGGGGGCUGUUUUAGCUCGAGUUGUUCAACAGCAAUGGAUGGGGGGUAUCUAUACCCCAGCCCCUAAAACUAGCUGUUACUGUAUAUUUAUGUGCUUGUUGGAACUUCGACACAGGGUUGGAACUUCCAACAUAGUUAGAUUAAAACGGCUGAGAGUCUCUCCUCGGAAGUUUCAAAAAAUAUCCAGUGACUGUUAUCGAAACUUCCAACACAUCAUCGGAACUUCCGAUGCUAUCAGAUAAAAUCGGGCGAGGACCCCUGGUCGGAAGUUUUUGAAUACUUCCAGCUAGUAUCGGAACUUCCAACCUUCUGUUGGAACUUCCAACACUCAGAGAAAAUGUGAGAACACAAGUAUGUAAGUGAGUAAGUUGUGUCUCUCAAUGGGUGGUUAACAUCUCAAAACAAGCACUUUAGCAUCUUCAAGCUAUCCAUCUGCACCCCCUUUAUAGUACGACAUUCCUAUACUCAAAUUCAAAAUUAGAAAUCAUAGAAAAGUCUUCUUUUGAGCUCAACACCGUUCUUUCUUUGAAAUUUGGGGGUUCUUGAGAUUCCUUUCAUAACCUUUGCACUUCUUUAGAAUUAAAACCUAUUAAUCACUACAUAAAAUUAUUAGUCCCUUAACCAUGCAUGUCAUCAACACCAAAACCCACUUAGGGGGCCAAAUGCACUUUCAAUCUCCCCCUUUUUGGUGAUUGAUGACAACACAAUUAGGGCUCACAUGAGAUAUAUAAACAUUUUGAAUCCAACUAUAUAGGUGACCUCCCCCUUAACAUGUGCAUAGAAAAUAAAAAUGGCCUCAAAUGCCAUUUGCACAUAUUAAGUGAGCUCCUCCUAUAUCCUUGCAUUCGUGGGGUGCAAAGGUGUGACAUGUAUAUCAAGAAUACCAUGUAAGAAAGCAUUUUAAACGUCUAGUUGCCUUAGACUCCAUCCUCUUGAGACAGCUAUUGAAAGAAUUAAUCUGAUUGUAGCAAUCUUCACAACAGGGCUAAACGUGUCUUCAUAAUCUAUCCCAUGUCUUUGUUUAAACCCCUUAGCUACUAUACGGGCUUUAUAUCUAUCCAAGCUCCCAUCAGAUUUUAACUUGGUUCUAUAAACUCACUUGCAAUCAAUAAUGUCGGUGGCUUUCCGGGGAGGAACUAAAUGCCAAGUCUUGUUUCUAAUCAAAGCAUCAUAUUCAACAUCCAUUGCAUCCUUCCAAGCUUUAAUACUCAAGGCUUCUUCUAAAUAUUAAGGUUCACCACUAGAAGUAAAAAGAUUGCUGUAUUGAAUAGUACCAUAUGUAUAUACCUUGGUUUUCUUAUCCCGUCUUGUAGACGGGUGCAGCAUGAUGAAGUUUGAGUGGCUGGAGGUGCUUAUGGAGCUAUCACAGAUGAUCCUGGAGGAGCAGAAGAUCCCAAAAGCUCCAAUCCCGGAGGAGAUCCUGUUGUAGGUGCGUGAAUAAGGUAGGGAUGCGGUUCCCCCUUGCGCUCCGACGCCAGACGCGUGGCGUCGUGCGACUGGCUCGUCAUUGGAUCGCCACCAGGCGCUAUCGGGUUUGCACGUGGAGUGGGGCACGUGGCGCAGCCUAGUUGGGGCGGAUCAGCACUAGUAGGAGGGGCUGCCAUAGACCUUGCAUACGCUGAUUCCAACGGCGAUUCGGUUGGAUCAGCCACCAAAUGUUCCUAGAUUCCAGCCCUAGAUCCCCUGCAGCUGGUUCAACCUACACAGGCUUGGUUUCUUCACAAAAAUCACCACCAUUAGUCAUAUUACGCAUAUGAUCACCUACAUAUUCAUCCCCAGAACUUGGAUUCUGUAGAUAGGAAGGGAGGAGAAUUAUCUGUGAUCUGAGACAUGGUCCAGCAUUGGCGUGCAUGCUAGAGAAAGGGAAAACAUUCUCAUCAAAUAUAACAUCACAGCAAAUAUAGAUGCGCCCUGUGGAUCUGUCAAGGCACUUAAACCCUUUAUGGAUGUUGCUAUAGCUAAGAAAGGUGCAUUGCUUAGAGCAAAACUCAAGUUUAUGCUUAUUAUAUGGGCGAAGAUGCGGCCAACAUGCACAACUGAAGGCUCUCAAGGAGGAAUAAUCUAGCUUGGUGUGGAACAAGCAUUCUAGAGGUGUUUCAAAAUUGAUAACUCGGCUAGGAGUUCGAUUAACGAGGAAUGUAGCUGUGAGAAAAGCCUCGUCCCAAAAUUUUAGAGGCAUGCUUGCAUGAGCCAACAAGGACAAGCCUACAUCUACAAUAUGCCUAUGCUUACACUCAGCUGAACCAUUUUGUUGAUGCGCAUAGGGACAUGAUACAUGAUGACAGAUGCCAAGUUUGGCGAAAAAAGAGUUAAGAUUAUCAUAUUCACCACCCCAAUCUGAUUGAACUGCAAGGAUUUUUCCAUCAAAAAGUCGCUCAACAAGAGAUUGAAAUUCAUGAAACUCUUGAAACACCUCAGACUUGAAUUUUAACAAAUAAAUCCAAGUCAAUUUGCUGAAAUCAUCGAUAAAACUAACAUAAUAUUUAAAUCUCCCAACUGAAUGAGGUGCUAGACCCCAAACAUCAGAGAACACAAGCUCCAAAGGAUGACUAGAGACACUGGUAGAUUUGGGAUAUGGCAACUGAUGACUCUUUGCUUGUUGACAAGCAUCACACACCGAUUUUUUAUUCGACUCAAAACAAUAAUUAAGAUUAUGACUCUUAAGCACCCUUUCAACAAUGGGCAUUGUGAGGUGACCUAAACGACUAUGCCAUCUAUCAAGAGAUGUUUUAUUGUCUCCAAGAACUUGCUUUGUAGUUGCUGUGGGGGGAAGAGGAUAAAGCCCUCUUUGACAUGGUCCUCUAAGCAGAAUGCUCCUCGUGUCCCGAUCCUUUAUGCAAAAGAAAUUAGGGUGAAACUCCAAAAAGACAUUAUUAUAAGAUGCUAGAUGGUGAACAGAAACGAGAUUCUUUUGAGUAGAUGGGACAUGGAGAAUAUUGUGCAAAUUGAGAGGAUGACUAGGGGUAUGAAUAGUAGAUUGACCAAUAUGACUAUUAUGCAUACCUAUACCGCUGGCAGUGUGGAUCUGUUCAACACCAUUGUACUUGUCAUGGACGGCCAACUUCUCUAGCUCUCCAGUAAUGUGACCAAUAGCACUGGUGAGUUUGUUGCUGCAGCUGUGAUGUGAUGCUCUUCAGGCACGAAGUCAUCUUCGAACCUUAGACAACUAUAGGGAUACGAGGUAAGCUACGCUAGCACAAAACAAAAACUUUCUACCGCAUAAACCAGGAAAACUGUCGUAUAUGAAUCACGGGAUUACCACUCGAUGCACUGGUGCGGAAGAUGUAGAAUCGUGUCGGGGCAGCGAAGUGGACCAGCGUAGUUGAACACGUAGUCGAUCACAUCGAUGUCGAGUAGCUCCUCAGUAGCUCGUCCACGUGCAGCUCGUCGUGGCUCAUCGGCGGCUCAUCGUGGCUCGUCCAAGUGCUGCAAGUGCAGCACCUCCAAGGUAUCCACACGUGCAGGGAGGAAGCGUCACAAGCCGGACUGGUAGGUUCGUGAGUUGCAACAGGGCGAGGCCGUGGGAGGCGUGGCAGGUGUGUUUUUGGCCAAAGGGAUGAAACCCUAGGGCGCCCCACCCCUCUAUUUAUAGAGGUUCCUAACAGGCCUCUGGGUCCGAGGCCCAUUAGUACUUCUAAACCUGAUACAACUCGGAUCAUAUCCGAAUUGGGCUUCCAACCCCUUAAGUGCGUGACCCUAUGGGUUCGGAUAUGUAUAGACAUGGCCCGAGUACUCCUACUCAGCCCAAUAGUCAGUAGCAGCCUCUAGCAUGACGUGCCAACUCCUAUACACACACGAAGAUCAUAUCAGACGAACCGUCACAACAUCAUGUACAUGCUAUUCCCUUUGCCUCACGAUAUUUGGUCUAGCUUCAAGCUGACCGCUCUUUCUUGAACUCUUAACCGUACGUAGCAUGGCCAUGCAUUUUCGGAUCCGAUGACUCGAGCGGCCCAGAGAUAUCACUCUUAAUCAAAGAGGGGCAAAUCCCAUCUUGAUUGACUAUGCCUCACAGCAUGCUUCCUGACAAACCCGAAAGCUACCUUUUUAACUAUCCUAUUACGGUGUAGCAUUUGAUAGCCCCUAAGUAAGUCGAUCCACAUCUUGAGUACAUGCGACAAUCUCUGGUCUAAGGAGAAAGCAUACUUGUUGUGUAAAGAGAGAACUACUUCUCAUGUUGGGUCAGUCUUAGCACAUGUCUCUACAUACGCCUACAUUAUUAGUUUGAUAUGUCCAUGUCCAUGACUUGUGAAACAUAGUCAUCAACUAAUACAUGUACUAGUCUAAUAUUCAUGUGUGUCCACACAUGAACUCCGACUAGGGACAACUUUUAGAAUAACCAUACUAGUAAAGAGUUCCACAUACAAUUCACAUAAUUGCAGAUCAAUUCAAGUAGCCUUUAAUGGAUAUUCAAUGAACACAAUAUACAAAUCAUGGAUACAAUCAGAUAUCAUCAUCUAUAUGAUAUCCUCUAGGGCAUACCUCCAACAACAACACCUGUCCGCAAUAUGCCCAUACUUGAGGCAGACUUGGCACUAAGGGUGUAAGGAAGAGUUGUUGUUGCCACCACGAUGUGGAGGGUUGUUGUUGUAGCCGCACCCCAUGACAAUGCCCUGACGCGCGGUGUUGCUGCUGGUGUUGUUGUUGCCGUUGCCGCGGUCAUUGCCUCGACCACCUACGCCACUGCGAUCGUGGCCAUUGCUUCUGCCACGGCCGUCGCCAUGGCUGCCCCGGUUGGCCAGAUUGGCUGACGAGCCAGAGCCGCUUCCUCCGCUAGUGAUGAGCUCCAUGCAUGUUUCAAACGCAAGGAGCUGGGAGUAGAGCUCAUCCACUAAAACAAGCUCUGGUCUAGCAACCAGAGCGGAGAUGAUCGGGUUGAAGUCGAAGUCGAGGCCCGUGAGUAUGUACUCCACGAGCUCAGAGUCUUCAAGUGCUCUCCCAGCAGUAGCCAUCUCAUCACCAAGAGCAUGCAUCUUGCCUACAUACUCAGCAAAAGAUUGGUUACCUUUUGAAGCAGUGGCAAGUGCAAGAUGGGUGUUGAUGGCGCGUGCCCUUGUCCUGGACGCAAACAUCACUUCAAUUGCCCCCCAUAGCUGUGAUGCAGUCUCCCUUGUAGACACUUGAGGAAGGACUUCUCUUGUCAGCAAGGCGAGGAUGAACCCAGAACCUGCUGAUCUGUGGCGUACCUGUGAUGACCGACCCCAAAUCUUUCAAGUUAAUCAACUCCGAGUCCCUAAUCCCCCUCUCAGUUACCCGAGUUGAGUGCUCACCCUCAGUUCUGGUCCCGACCCCCGGUCCCAACCCCAGAGAUCCGACCCCUCUCCGUUGGUUCCCCGUUCCGACCCUGCCGACCCCAAACCCAUACCGCCAGAUCCUUCUAAGUCUUCCCACAAUAUCUCUUUUCAAUCUGAGCAGUGGACCAACCGAGACUGACCGAUGGGCCCACAAAAUCUUUUCCCCAGAUCUUCCGAGACAGACGCACUCGAGUAGCAUGCCUGCCUCAAAGCUUCUCCGCCGCGUGGCUCAACUUCUCCGACACCCGCCGCUCCGCCUCGUCGCCGGCCACGACUGGAUGGAUUCUCGCGCCCCCUUUCCCAAUCGCAGCGGAAGCUCCUCUGCUACCCUUUCUACAGUACCUCACGGCUCGCGCCCAUCAUCACCCCAUCGGACCCCGGCUGUAGAGCCUGAUGCCUUCCGUCUUUUCCGCCGCCUCUCCACUGUCGCGCCGCCCCUGAUGCGCUACGCGAUGAUUCUUCCUCUGCCAACCCCGACCCCGGCCGCGACAGCUCCUUUUCCGCCCUGUCAGAGCUGCGCCCCCGACAAUCUGUUGCUUCGCGCUCGCCCGCGCGACCGCAGCUUGCCUGUCUUCUCACCUGUGUGCCCUCGCUUCUAGCGCCGUUCCCCCGGUCACUUCCAUCAGAUCCCCCGCACGAUGACGCCCGCCUCCGCCAAAUCUCAACCACCGGCAAAACCAUGCCUGUGCCGCCCUGUCUUCGGUGCCCAAUGGCCGACGGUGUCAUCCCCGAAGUCCUGCUCCGCCGGCCCGCUGCUCAAUCGCCACCCCGGCAGCGCACUCCAUCGCUUCUUCCCGGUCUUCGUGCCGCUCUAACCCUCUUUCCUCCGCGUAGCUAUAUAAGGGAAUACCAGAGCCCCGCCGGAAUCCCCUUCGCCAUCACUGCCCUUCCACCUUGCUCUCUGUUUCAUGCUCGAGCACUACAUCCUAAGUCCCUGAGGAACUCUCCUCUCUGCUUCACAUCCGCCCUUUCCAAUCCACCCAGCCGCUUGCUCCUCCGCAUUGCGCAAGAACUUGCUUGUGGUCCACAAGAAGCACCGCUGCCGCCGGAGCACCGCCGGACGUCACCGCUGCAAAUCUUAGUGCUCCAGUUCCUCCGCCCAAGUCUGCUCUUUCCCGACCCCAAGCUUCACCUGUAAGACGAAAGUAAGCUACCGACCCCUUGUCCGCCUCGUCCGACCCUGUCUGACCACCGACCCCUUUCUCCCUCUCGCCCGACCCUACCUGUUUCGCCGACCCUGCUCCGCCUCGCCUGAGGGCACGGCUGUAUCUUUUUCCUUAACCUGAGGGUAUAUGUGUAACAAUCGGGGACUUCUCUGCGUUAAGUCUGAGGACCCCUAGCACAUCUAUUCCUCUAGUCUAAGGGUCAGAUCAUAAGAUUCUUCCCAUCCGACCCUUUUACCUUGUUCUUCUCCAACUCAAGUGAACUUGCUCACUUUUCCCGUAGCCUUGCUACAAAGUUCUGAGCUAGAACUCGCAAGUGUUGCUGUUGAAAUAAUCGUCUAAAUGCUAACCCCUGCAUUGCAUUUCGUGUAGAGUUGCAUCUCGCCAACGGCUUUUACGAGCUGCACCCAGCACCAAAAGACGAAGCUGCAACCGAGCUCCCGCUUCCAGAAGCUGAAGCCGCCCAAGCAGAAGAGCAGCUUUCCCCCUCCUUGUUUGAAGGCAAGCCCCGGAGCAUGAACCCCAGUUUCCCAAACUUGCGCAUGCCUUCUGCAUCUUGUUUGUGCAUUUACGUAUAGGAGUUGUUUGCAACCAUAGAUGCAUGACUUAGAUCCCUAGAGCUGAACACUAGUAUGUUGGGUCCGAGUAGUUGCUAUGCUUAAUAAGGAGCGGUAAAAGCCGAGUGAUUUCCUGUCACUCGCGAGUUGUAGGAGUUGGGUGGUUCUCCUUCUGUUACAACGAUAAGGACGAUGGAUGGGGCAGGGUUUGGUUAACUCUUUGGUGGUCGGCUGAUCGCCCCGUCUGUCUAUGGAACUUGUUAAGGAUCGACAGUGGUGGUGUUCGUGAUCAAGUGUUUGAAAGUACUAACCUCAUACUUAUUAUGGGAUGAGGAAGCCGAGUACCGGAUUGAACCUAGACGUGAGCGGUCGCCCCAUUGUCCUUGGAACGGAGUUUCCCCUGUGGCCACACGUGGUGGUAAGUGUGGUCACAGAACAGCAGAGGCCGGGUCUGUGGAACAUUGCACCAAAGGAAAUGGGCCCGACACGGGUUAUGGAAAUGAUGGGGAAGGCUGAUACAGGAAGCGACCCUCGGUGGUGCGCGGAUGUCGUGAGGUUAGGUUCACCAUGCAUGGUUAAAGAACUCAAAUCGAUUCGUCUGCCUCUCACAGUUUGAGACUACUUGAUCGCUAUGCUACCCUAAGUAAUAAAGGAAUCUGAUGAUGACAUGGUCUCAACGAUGAUAUAUAUACCUUUUGGUUGGUUCUAUGUUUGCUUAGAGUAAGUUGCUAACUUAGACCGGAUAAUGAACUUAGAACCUGAGCUAAAACUUGAAAAUAGGGAUCUACAUAGUGCUUUUGGCAAACAACCCCUCAACCAAAGAGCCUUGCAUGUCUAGAAGUGGUGGAGUAGUUACUCCCGGUUGGUUAAGUCUUGUUGAGCUUAGUAGCUCAGCCUUAUUGUGGCUUUUCUUUUUCAGGUGAAGCCGCUGCUCCCGAGUCUUCUUCUGUUGGCACUUGGCCGCCCCAACUCCCUCCGGGUUGGACGGUCGAGUGGGAUCCUUCCUCGGACGGCGAGGAGAAGGAUCACUAACGUCUUGGCUGGCCUCACCAAGGACGUCCGACCCCCUGCGUUUAGCUUCCGCUGUUUUACCUUCUGUUGUUUCCUUCGAGCUGUGUAAAACUUUGUUUUCGUUUUGUUGUUGAGCUAAAUGGCCAAAUUUGUUUAACUCAGUGGACUUGUUGUAUUCUCUAGAACUGCUCACCUUCGUGUGAGUUUGCUAACUCGGUCCUGUUCAAGUGGUUAAAUCGGAUGAAAUCCGACGGCACUUCGUGUUAACUUGGCUAAGGCAUGAGUGUCGCGUGUUAGGCGGCUUAACCAUGUUUAAUCAAGCUAAUCCGAAGCGGAUCCGCCACAGCUGGUAUCAGAGCAGGUUUAGCAAGAUAGAGAACACAAUAGGCCCUAAAACACUUCUUCUAAAUAAAAGUUGUGUUGACGCCAGAUUUCGUCACAAGUAAAAUCGGCGUCAGGAGAAGAAGAAAUGGGAAGGUACAGUAGAAUACAGGGGUGACAGUUGGAAAUCGGCCGAAUGGCGCUACAGUUAGAGAUCGGUUGGUUGGUGCUACAGUCCAGGAUCGGCCGAUGCUACAGUACAGGAUCGGCCUAUGGAUCUUUAGGAAUUCUGCCUCGCUUAACCCUUGGGGUUUGGAUCGGACACACCUGGUUCCCGAUUGGUUACCUUUUUGCCAAUGAGGAAUCUACCGAUUAGGAGGUUGGAAUAAUUGGGCCGGUGUGGGCUUGGAAAGGAUCAGAAGGAUGAAGAGGAAAUCAGCCCAUGAAGCGUAUAAUAACCAACCUAGUACGAGUCGUGCUUGUAAAUAUUCGUUUUCUAUUUGAAUUAGGGAUAGAGUUCUAGUCAGAUAAGGAGUUUUCUAUACGGGGCUAUAAAUAGCCACCUUUGAAGAUCUGUAAUCAUAUCAACUACUCAAUACAACCAAUUACUAUUUCCUCGUACUUACUUUCAAGCAGGCGACUUCGCCAAAUACUUUCUUCUUUUUCACGAGUUCGUACGGGUUGGCAGGGCUGCAUCAACUUGACCUCCGGCCGAUCUUGUAAGUUCCGUUUACUGAGUAAAUUCUAAGCUUUAACUUCGGGUGCAUCGCUGUUGUUUUAUUUAGAUUUAUUCACUAGUUAUCGAUAUUUACUAGAAUUGUAGGUUUUACCUGUUUUUCUAGUUUUAUCACCAGUUAUCCAGCUAGGAAUCGGCAGUUUUGGUUUUUCUCAUAUUCUGUUGUUUAAUUUACUUAUUCCACGCAUAGCUGAUUAGAUCUGUUCCUAGUGUUGCUACUGUAGCGUUGUACCGAUUACUUCAAUUAGUCGUCGUUCACGCUGCCUGAUAGUCGGCUGCUUCAUAGCCGAUUUCUUUAUUACGGCAAAUCGGCCGAUUCGCUGGUAAGCUCCCUCGAGAUCGGAAAUUUAGCCGAUCGUGACUUUUAGAUCUGACACGUAUUCUUCCUUGCCAAUCAACAGGUCAGAUUGGCUGGCACGCCGCACGAACUGCACCAGGGCAAUCACCCGAACAGGAGUUAAGCAGAUUCUCCCGGGUCGUGUGUCAGACGCUGGGGAUUCGGUUGACCGAUUUCUAGCGCGAAUACAUUUUUGGCACGCCCAGUGGGACAAACACAACCGCCACCAUGUCGAAAGCAGCUGAAGUCUCCGAAGAUAACGUCAUCGAAGUGACAGAGGCAGAUCUCAGGGAUGACCAGAAGGAAGAACUAGAAAAGCAGACGGCACAAUACCGGAAGGUUUGCCUGCAGUUCUUCAGUCGCACCGGAAGCGGGGAAACUAUCAAAAAGUCUCCAUUUCCAACUCCCCGCCAGAUCACAAUCACCGAGGACUCGGACAAGAUGGCCGAGAUGGUCCAACAGUCCGUUUAUCACACCUUCAUUGAUCAAUCCCCGGUGCUUGCAAAUACGGUGUACAAUGCCGUCAUCAGCUCCUUGGCUAGCGGGGUACCUCAAGGGUACAAGGGACCGGCAUAUGCUCCGCCGAUUCCACCAAACAAGGGUUAUCUAAAUUUGGCUUCUCAGCCGAUUCAAUUUCCUGUUGGGGGUUCAGGCGCUUCCUCAUCAUCAAUUCCUUUGGGGUAUAAUGGCACACAACACCUCCAGCCACACCCCGUUCAGCUGUCCUCUGCGCUGUUCCCUCUAGUUAAUCCAGCGCCUUGGGGGGCACCAUCAGCUAUGGCCGUUCAGGAUCAAUCGGCCGGUCAGGGAAGUCCCCAAUUCCAGGCAUCUUUCCAAGCAGCCACUCGACCAACCAUGCCGCCGUACCAGCCUGUCGCAACAGAGGUGAGCAAAGCAUCAGAGCUAAUACUAUACGAUGAGACGAGUGGCUCAUUCAAACAGCCAACCCUGAAUACACAGCCGGCUUUCACUCAGAUGCCACAUACUUUCACUCAGCAUCAGGCCAUUCCACCUCCGAUAUACCAGCACGUGCCAGUCCCUCAGCCAACAGUUUACCAGCAACAGCUGGACUGGUCGGCACAUAUAGCAGAAGUGAUUCAGGAACAAUUCGGCUUGAAGCCGAAGGUACAGACUUACACUUAUAGGACACCAUACCCGUCUACGUACGACCUACUGCCGUUUCCCCAUCGGUAUAAAGUUCCUAACUUCACCAAGUUCUCGGGGAUGGAUGACACUUCAACCGUGGAACACGUUAACAGGUUCAUCAUCCAAUGUGGAGAGGCAGUAGCGCAAGAUGCUCUACGGGUGCGGCUAUUCUCGUCAUCCUUGUCUGGGUCGGCCUUCCAGUGGUUCACGACAUUACCGCCGAACUCGAUUAUUACAUGGGCCGAUUUGGAAAGACAGUUUCAUAAAUACUUCUACGCCGGGGGCAUGAGAUGAAGUUGUCCGAUUUGACCAGCCUCAAGCAGAGAAGUGACGAGCCGAUAUCCUCAUAUGUACAGAGGUUUCGGGAAAUCAGGAACAAAUGCUACUCUUUGGCUCUAAACGACGCACAACUGGCUGAUAUAGCCUUUCAAGGUCUCCUGCCCCACAUCAAAGAAAAGUACGCUUCACAGGAGUUUGAGAGCUUAAGCCAAAUCGUCCACCGAUUGUCUGGACAGGAGGUACGUUCUUUCAAUCCACGGAGGAACUUCCAGAAGAAGGUUGCGUUCCUGGAAGAGGUUGAAGCCGAAGAAGAUGCUGAGGUCGGUCUUGCGGAGUGGGUCAAGGGAAAGAAGCCAAUAUCAUGCCCGUUCGGCAAGAAAGAGCCAGAAACGUUCGGCUUUGACACGACAAAGGCCGAUAAAAUCUUCGACCUUCUCCUCCAGGAAGGACAGAUCAAGCUCUCGCCAUAUCAUACAAUACCUUCUGCCGAACAAUUGAAGAAGAUGAAAUAUUGCAAGUGGCACAACGCUACAUCCCAUGACACUAAUGAGUGCAAAAUCUUCUGGCAGCAGAUACAGUCGGCCAUUGAGCAGGGCAGACUUAAGUUUGAAGUACCAACAAAAUCAGCCAAGCCGAUGAAGAUCGACCAGCACCCCUUCCCCACCAACAUGGUUGACACAGGGAGGAACUCGCUCCAAACAAAGGUGCUGACGUCCGAAUCGGCUAAAAAGAGUGGUGCCAUAGACCCCAGGAAUCAAGCUACACCUGAAGAUGUCAAGGGGAAGCGGCGGAUCGAGGACGACGACGGUGAAUCGGGUGAGCCACGCAUUACUUCCCAAUUCCUGCUCCAAAAAUAUCAGCGGCAGCAUGAACGCUCAAGAUCCCGGGAAGAAGCGAUGCGGCGACACGAAGAUCACUGGAGGUACCCGUUCUUCAUCCACUGUUGGGAGAGCAACCUCAGGCUACCUUCGGCCGAUAAUUUCCCUGAAUGCAAUGGCCCGUAUCGCAACAAUCGGCCAUUCAACAGGUCUCGCUCCAGAGAUGGGAGACCAGAACCGAUCAGAAGGAACUGGCGCGACCAAGACGAUCAGCGCCCUCCCGUGCGUGAUCGGCUGGGGGGCAGAAGUGACCGAUAUGACCGAUCAGAAGACAGACGCCAUGACAGGCCGGGGGGUAGGUUUGAUCGACAUGACCGGCCAGAAAACAGGGCCAACGUUCACAGUCGGCUUGAAGAGAUGGCCGACGCUCGGGUGAUAGACGAAAACCCUUUAGGACGCGAGCCGGAGUGGGAACGCGCCAGGCCAAGAACCAAACCAGUAAACCCCAGGUGGUGUCCCGACGGAUUGACCAAAUCUCAAAAACGAAGGAUCCAACGUCUCCGCCAAUGGGAGCAGCAGGAGGAAGAACAACAAUGCAUGGCGGACAAGAGGGAAGGCAGGUCUCGGGUGUGGCACCCCAAAAGAAACGAUAGAGGGGGUGACGAAUCGGCAGGCGAUGAAUCGGCAGCCGACAUCGGUACGGUUUUCAUACUGCCGAUGGAAUUUAUGACUCCUGCCGACUGACAAGAUAUGUCGGCGAUAGAAGAACAGAUGGCACAAUUGGCUUUGGAGCCCAUGAUAGCCACGUUCGAGAAGCCCGAAGACGACAAACGGCAACAUCUGAAAGCGUUGUUCCUUAAAGCGUUGUUCCUUGAAGCGUUGUUCCUGAAGGUGUCCGAUUUUGGCCUACAGCCGAUCCGAGCAGUCGGCUCCGAAGACUCGGAUUAAAUGGAUCAGUUCGCCCGAGAAGAUGGGAAGCUAGGGCACGGGUUCACGUCGGCCGAUUCAUUAGAGAUGGUAGACUUAGGCGAUGGCACCAAGUCAAGGCCGACUUAUAUUAGUGCAAAUUUAGACUCGGAAUACAAAUGUAAACUGACAAAUUUGUUAAGAGAAUUUAAGGAUUGUUUUGCUUGGGAGUAUCAUGAGAUGCCUGGAUUAGAUCGAUCUAUCGUUGAAUAUCAGCUACCCAUAAAACCAGGAUAUCGGCCGUAUCAACAGCCGGCACGGCGGUGCAAUCCUAAAAUUCUACCAGACAUAAAAGCCAAAAUAACUUGGCUAAUCGAAGCCAAAUUUAUUCGGCAAUGCCGUUAUGCCGAGUGGAUCUCCAACAUUGUACCAGUGUACAAGAAAAACGGAAAGGUAUGUGUGUGUGUUGAUUUCAGAAAUCUUAAUCAGGCCACACCGAUGGACGGGUACCCCAUGCCAACGGCCGAUGUGCUGAUAGACGCUGCCGCGGGACACAAGAUUAUUAGCUUCAUGGACGGAAACGCUGGGUACAAUCAAAUACUUAUGGCCGAAGAGGACAUACCCAAAACGGCCUUCAGAUGCCCGGGCCACCUUGGUUUAUUCGAAUGGGUGGUGAUGACUUUUGGCUUGAAAAACGCCAGCGCCACGUAUCAGAGAGCCAUGAACUACAUAUUUCACAAACUCAUCGGCAUUCUGGUAGAAAUCUACAUCGACGACGUCGUAGUCAAGUCCAAAGGACACGAAGAUCAUCUGGCCGAUUUGCGAAAAGUGCUGGAAUGCACUAAGAAACAUGGGCUGAAGAUGAACAAAAAUAAAUGUGCCUUCGGCGUGUCCGCCGGACAGUUCUUAGGAUUCAUGGUGCACGAGCGGGGAAUAGAAAUCAAUCGGAAGACCAUAGCGGCUAUCAACAAAGUCGUGGCCCCGCAGAAUAAAACUGAAUUGCAUUCUCUAAUCGGCAAGGUGAAUUUCAUCAGAAGAUUCAUAUCUAAUCUAUCCGGGCGGAUCCAGGCUUUCACACCACUAUUAAAGUUGAAGCCUGACCAGGAGUUCAUAUGGGGGGAGGAGCAACGCAAGGCACUGGAAGAUAUGAAGCAGUACUUGGUCUCGCCACCGGUAUUGGUUCCUCCUCAAACUGGUAAGCCAUUUAAAUUAUACUUAUCAGCCGAUGAAAAGGCUAUUGGGUCGGCUCUAGUCCAGGAAUUCAAAGGAAAGGAACGAGUAAUUUAUUAUGUCAGUAGAAGACUUCUGGACGCUGAAACAAGAUAUCCUCUAGUAGAGCGGUUGUGCCUGUGUCUUUACUUCUCAUGCACCAAACUCAGGCACUAUUUACUGAUGGCGGAAUGCGUGGUCGUAUGCAAAGACGACGUAGUAAAAUACAUGCUGUCACUGCCGAUCUUGAACCUUUCAGUCCUGGCCUGUGUUUGGAACAUGUCUCUAAGCGCCACGAUCAUAUCGUGCGCCUCAUGGUUUGUUUCGAACUGCAUCUGCAGCUCGGGUUCCAUGCAAGCAAGCAUAAGGUAGCUUACUUCAAGGUUAGCAUCACAUGCCUUCUUGUAAGCAUUCUUAGUAGCAGCGGGUGCAUCAUCAGCAGGUUCUUCUGGUAGUGGGUUGUCUAGAACAUCUUCCUUUUUCUCAGCCCUGAGAACAAUUCUCAGGUUACGGAUCCAAUCCGAGUAAUUUGUUCCAUUCAACUUGUCCUUCUCAAGGACCGAACGCAAAGCAAAUGGUGUAGUGCUGCUAGGUGCCAUUUAAUCUAUAACAAAGUAAUGCAAAAUACACUAAGACAAACGUAUCCAUGAUAGAGUAAAUCAUAUUAAACUAUUUUAACAGAAUCUACUCCCACUAAAAUCAAUAUCCCUCUAUUGAAACUUAGUGAUUCAGGAUCCACAACUAACAAGUCCACUAGUGAGCUUUAGCAUCACCGCUAGCAAACAAGGUAGAUCGGUAAGCAACUUUUGCUAAUCAUAUCACAUAUGACUCCUGUUGUUGGGUGACAUCCCCAUGUCUCGGCGCCCAACCGUUAUGCCCCAAGGUCCUUAACCGUUAAGAUGACCUCGUUAAGCAAACCAACCCUUAUGCGUGUAAGUGUCCGACACAAACCCGUCUAGUCAAGGAAAACUAGUGGCACCCUAAUUUCAUAGACCCACCACUAAUUGUACAAGACAUGGGAUGGUGCAAGUUUUAGUUGGGAGGGCAUACUAACUUAAACUUUAUGAGGGAUCGUUCUACUUCUAACAUCACAGCAUGCAGAAAGUAAAACAUAAACAGAAUAGCAUUCACAUAGUUGUGACACAGUAUGGCCCGUUUUCAUAUGGUGAUCUCCAUCUCCAUAGAACCUGUUCACUAUGGUGAUCUCCAUCUCCAUGUUCCAUGUGCGCCAUUCUCCUGGUGAUGAGUCCUCCAAGAACUAGAGCAUGCUAUUAUGCCUAAUAGCUAGUAAAGAAUCUAGUAAUGAAGAUUACAUAGUUGCUUGGAUCAUCACAGAUUGGUACGCAGACCAUUAAAUACAAUAAAGUGACAACACAUAUGGCUCCUGCCGUGUUGCCGUACGCGUGACACGCAGGUCAUGAAUGAGUUACACACAUGCAUCACAUACACAAGGGGGCCAUACUGAUCACAAGAUACAUACAUACAUCCUGCAAAACAGAGUUAGGCGUCCUAACGUUCCAAACUUCGGAGGCCCGAAAAUCCAUCUUCCAAGCUGAAUUUGGGAAAUCUAAUUUCGCCGAAAACGGCAAAGCCAAUGAAAUUCAUGUGUAACUUUUUCUGUAGAUCAAUUUUCGUAUAAAAAUCGCCCCGAUCCGAGAUCGUACCGAAAAGUUACGGCUGAUUACCGAAACAUACGCAUACGACAAAAAUCCCGACCCCGGCAGUAGAUCCCAUCUACUAUUGCACAUCGAAUGCGCCUGGCGUAUGACCCUGGAUUUCGAUUUGACCAAUCAUAUUGAUCUUCCCUCACUGCAACUGGAUUUACGUGUAUCACUUAACUCCGAUGGCGGAAACCGACCAGUAGGAGUAUGUCGUUACACUACCAUUGCAGGAAGGGCACGAAAUCAGGACAUAGAUCAAACAGAGAACUCGCAUAUCUCCACAUGCACACAUCCCGAAUCCAAAACUAAGCAGCUACGGCUCUGAUACCACUGUUGGGAUACUAGGUAGGCUACACUAGCGCAAAUCAAAAUUUCUACUGCGUAUAACCAGGAAGAACUGCCGUAUAAGGAUCACGGGAUUACCACUCGAUGCACUACUGGUGCGGAAGAUGUAGAUAUGCGUCGGUGCAGUGAAGACGAUCACGUAGUCGUACGUAGUCGAUCACGUCCAGCAGCUCCUCAGCAGCUCGUCCACGUGCAGCAAGAUCGCCUCCGGUGCCGCGGCUCGUCGUCGGCUCGUCGUGGCUCGUCGGCGGCUCGUCGAUGGCUCGUCCAAGUGCUGCAGGCGCAACACCUCCAAGGUAUCCACACGUGCAGGGAGGAAGCGUCGCAAGCCGGAUUGCUAGAUCCGCGAGUUGCAACAGGAGAGGGCGUGGGAGGCACGGCAAGUGUGUUUUGCCAAAAGGUGUAAACCCUAGUGCGCCCCCACCCCUCUAUUUAUAGAGGUUCUUGAUGGGCCUCUGGAUCCGAGGCCCAUUAGUACUCCUAAACCUAAUCCAACUCGGAUCAGAUCCGAAUUGGGCUUCCAGCCCCUUAAGUGUGUGACCCUAUGGGUUCGGAUACGUAUAGACAUGGCCCGAGUACUCCUACUCGGCCCAAUAGUCGGUAGCGGCCUCUAGCAAGACGUGCCAACUCCUAUACGCACACGAAGAUCAUAUCAGACGAACCAUCACAACAUAAUAUACAUGCUAUUCCCUUUGCCUCACGAUAUUUGGUCUAGCUUCAAGCCGACCGCUCUUUCUCGAUCCUGUGAUUCGGAAUCCCUUUGUAGGUUAACUCUUAACCGUCCGUAGCAUGGCCAUGCAUUUUCGGAUCCGAUCACUCGAGGGGCCCAGAGAUAUCACUCUCAAUCAGAGAGGGGCAAAUCCCAUGUUGAUUGACCAUGUCUCAUAGCAUGCUUCUUGACAAACCCGAAAACUACCUUUAUAACUACCCUGUUACGGUGUAGCGUUUGAUAGCCCGUAAGUAGGUCGAUCCACAUCUAGAAUACAUGCGACAAUCUCAGGUCUAAGGACAAAGCGUAUAUGUUCAACAAUCUCCACAUGUGUCCACAUUAUUAGUUCAACAUCUCCAUGUCCAUGACUUGUGAAACAUAGUCAUCAACUAAUACGUGUGCUAGUCUAAUAUUCAUGUGUGUCCUCACAUGAACUCCGACUAGGGACAACUUUAGAAUAACCAUACAAGUAAAGAGUUUCACAUACUAUUCACAUAAUUGCAAAUCAAUUCAAGUAGCCUUCAAUGGAUAUUCAAUGAACACAACAUACAAAUCAUGAAUACAAAUGGAAUAUCAUCAUCUCUAUGAUUGCCUCUAGGGCAUACCUCCAACAUCUUGUCCAUGCGCCCAAUGCAGUAACCAGAAGUGAUAUUCAAAGGCUUGCUGGGGUACUAUUCACAACCACUUAGAUACGGUUUCAUGUCCAACUAUUUGGUUUGUACCCAUCAUGGCGAAAGAGGGGUUGUAAUGGAAGAUGGUGAAGAGGAGGAGGAUGAUGACAACAUUCCGGACUGCGCUAUAGGCCAAUCUUUUGCAGAUACUAUAAUGGGUGAGGUUGAUGAAGAUGAGUUUGCAGAAGAUGGCCAUACCAAUGACCUCGGCCAGGUGCUUAGGGAUGCACACAGAGAUUGCGAAACUCAGAAGGAAGCAUCAAAGUUGCAGUGCAUGAUAGAUGAUCACAGGAAAUUGCUAUACCUAGAUUGCCAGGGAGGCCAUAAAAAACUAGGUACCACACUAGAAUUUAUGCAAUGGAAGGCCAAAAAUAGUGUGUCUGAUAAGGCAUUUCAGGGGAUGUUGGAAAUUGUUAAGAACAUUCUUCUCAAGAAUAAUGAAUUUCCAUCCACAACAUAUGAUGCUAAACAGAUUGUUUCCCUUCUAGGAUUGGAGGUUCAGAAGAUACACGCAUGCCCUAAUGAUUGUAUCCUUUAUCAUCGUGCUGAAUAUGAGGAUCUGGAUGCGUGUCCCAUGUGCGAAGCGCUGUGGUAUAAGAUUAGGCAAGAUGAUUCUAGUGAUGUCGAGGGGCAACCUCCUAGGAAGAGAGUUCCCGUGAAAGUGAUAUGGUAUUUCCCUAUAAUACCACGCUUGAAGCACUUGUUCAGAAAGAAGGCGAACGCUAAGUUGAUGAGAUGGCACAAAGAAGAACGUAAGGAAGAUAAGAUGCUGAGACACCCCGUUGAUGGGGCUCAGUGGAGAUCAACUGAUAGAGCAUUCCUGGAGUUUGAAGGUGAUCCAAGGAACAUAAGGUUUGGUUUAAGUACCGAUGGAUUCAAUCCAUUCGGUGAGUUGAGUAGUGGUCAUAGCACUUAGCCUGUAACCUUAUGUAUGUUUAACCUUCCUCCUUGGAUGUGUAUGAACGGAAGUUCAUUAUGAUGCCGACGUUUAUUCAAGGCCCAAAGCAACCCGGCAACAACAUUGAUGUGUACCUAAGACCGUUGGUUGAUGAACUUUUACAACUCUGGAAGGAAGAAGGUGUACGUGUGUGGCAUGAGGAUAAACAAGAGAUGUUUAACUUGCGAGCACUGUUGUUCGUAACCAUCAAUGAUUGUCCUGCACUAAGUAACCUUUUGGGACAGACAAACAAAAGAUAUCGAGCUUGCACCCACUGCUUAGAUGACACAAAUAGCAUGUAUUUGAAGCAUUGUAAGAAGGUAGUCUAUAUGGGUUAUCGUCGAUUUCUCCAUGCUCACCACUAGUUGCGAGAAAGCAGGAUGCAUUUCAAAGGGGCGCCAGAAACUCAUAAAAAACCUUUACAUCAUAAUGGAAAAUGUGUUUUUGAGAUGAUAUAGGAUGUAAGGGUAGUAUUUGGAAAACAUCUUGGUAGCCAACCUGUUUCGAACGACGAUGACGGAUGUGCAGCCAUGUGGAAGAAGAAGUCAAUAUUUUGGGAGCUACCUUAUUGGUAAACCUUAGAUGUCCACAAUGCAAUAGACGUGAUACACCUGACGAAAAAUCUUUGCGUGAACAUGCUAGGUUUUCAUGGGUGUUUAUGGGCCCUCAAAAGAUACACUGGAAGCACGAUGGGACCUUAAAGAAAUGGGGCAAUGGGAUGACCUACAUUCGAAAAAGAGAGAUAACGGACAGCACUACUUACGUCCUGCUAGUUACACUCUUAGCAAGGAAGAGAAGGAUAGCAUGUUUGAAUGCUUGAAUAGUCUGAAGGUCCCGUAUGGGUACUCAUCGAAUAUAGAGAGAAUGAUAAAUAUGAAAGAAAAGAAGUUCACAAAUCUCAAGGCCCAUGAUUGCCACAUGUUGAUGGCCCAGUUGCUUCCGGUUGUAUUGAGGGGUGUUCUACCAGAGAAUGUUCGAUUGCCACUCGUAAAGCUAUGCGCGUUUCUCAAUGAGAUUUCACAGAAGGCAAUCGAUCCAUUGAAGCUAACAAAGCUACAGAACGAUGUGGUACAAUGUCUUGUCAGCUUUGAGUUGGUAUUUCCACCAUCUUUCUUCAAUAUUAUAACUCACCUUCUGGUUCACCUAGUAAAAGAGAUUAAUAUUCUCAGACCAGUAUACCUGCUCAAUAUGUGGCCUUUCGAGAGAUUCAUGUCAGUCCUUAAAAACUAUGUUCUUAAUCGUGCCCGUCCAGAAGGAAGCAUCACCAAUGGAUAUGGAACAGAGGAGGUGAUUUAGUUUUGUAUUGAUUUUAUUGACUCAAUUGACCCGAUUGGGAUUCCAACUUCACGCCACGAGGGGAGGCUGCCAGGAAUGGGCACCCUUGGAAGGAAAGCAUGUUUGAGCAAUGAUACUGAUUUGUUCAACAAGGCACACUACACUGUUUUACCGCAGUCAACCUUUGUGGCUCCAUAUAUCGAGCAGCACAAGCAGAUGUUAGUUUCCAAAAACCCGGCGAGAUCCGAUGCCUAGCUUACAAGAAGCCACGUGGAAACUUUUCGCUCCUGGUUGCGCAAACAUCUUAUGGGUAACUCUGAGAUUCACCCACAGCUUGCUUGGUUAGCCAGGGGACCUUCUAGCCUAAUCGUGAAAUUCUAAGGCUACGAGAUAAAUGGUUAUACAUUUUACAUGAGAGCCCAAGACUAGAUAAGCACGAACGAGAAUAGUGGUGUCCGCAUAGAUGCCAUUGGCAGAAAUAGUAGCAUGGACUCUUAUUAUGGUUUCAUAGAGGAGAUGUGGAAAAUCGAAUACGGACCACUGUGCAUCCCUCUGUUUUGUUGCCAAUGGGUGAAGCUAAAUGGCGUAACCAAAGAUCAGUAUGGAAUGACAAUAGUGGACCUUAGCAAGACUGGAUACAGUGAUGAACCAUUCGUACUUGCUAGUGAUGUGCAUCAAGUUUUCUAUGUGAAGGACGUGUCUAGCAAACCCAAGAGAAAUCUAGAAGAUCCAUGGGAGCUAAAGCGCCACAUAGUCCUUCCAAGUAAAAGAAAACUUGUGGGAGUCGAGGACAAAACAAACCAUUCGCUGUUGAAGUUGACCCUAGCAUCCUGCUAUCCAAAGAAGAGGUUCCGUACUUGCGCCGUGAUCAUGACCAAGGAACAGUCGUGAAGAAGUUUUUUAAUGUUACAUUGUAAUGCGCUAAAUUUGCUUCACAUUUAUGAUUAAUUUCAUGUACUACUUGAUCCAAUUUCAUAUGUGCUUAAAUUAGUUGUUUUCGCGCGUAUAAAUUAUUUAAUUGAUAAUUUCUUGAUGAUAGUGAUGCAGUAAAAUAAUUAUUUAAGAAGGUAAUAUAACUAGUGUAGAAUUAAUGAGUCAUUCAAACUUAUUAUAAAUAUAAUUGCUAAUUAAAUAUAUUUUUGCAUGUUCGAAAUAUGUAAAGUUUUAAUUUUUGCUGUAUGAAAUCCAGCAAAAACAUAAAAAAAUAUAUUUCCAAAAAAGAAGAGGGAGAUGAGAAAUGGGAGAGGGACUGUUUAUCCCGGUUUGUAAGGUCUUUUUAUCUCGGUUUGUAAUUAGAACCGGGACAAAAGGGUAAAUUUCAGUUUCCGCCUAGACGUGACCUUUUAUCCGGGUUCGAUUUACGAACCGGGGGGUUGCCCUUUUAUCCCGAGUGCGUCAAAAUCGGGAUAAAAGGGCAGGCCUUUUAUCUCGGUUGCUUACAAACCGAGAUAAAAGGGCAGGCCGUUUAUCUCAGUUUGUAAGAAGAACUAAGCUUAAAAGUCCAUUUCUUUCGAUUCAUCUUACAAACCGAGAUAAAAGGUAGGGGGUGGAUAAAAGUAAUUGGCGUUUCUACUCCCCCCGCACCCGUUAACUUAGUGAAAUUUUUACUGCUCUCUAGCCUCCGCAUCGUCUCCAUCGCCGGCUUCGCGAGCAUCACACAGCCGCCUCCAUCCCCAUCGCCGCAUCAUCUCCAUCCACGCCAUCAUCCUCCGCCUCAAUCCGCGUCGCCGUUUGUCGUCAUCCGCGAGCCAUGUCCUCUCGUCCAUCUGGUGUCCCGUCCUCUCCUCCAUCCGGCGCCCCGUCCAGCCUCCUCCGCCUGGUGCCCCAUCCUCCCUGCUCCGUCCACGCACCCUGUCCUCCCUCCUCCGUUCGGCACCUCGUCCUCCCCUCCUCCAUCAGACGCCCGUCCUCCCUCGUCCUCCGUAUAAAUUUGGCAGUGAUGCAAGACUUUUUUAUUUAUUUUUUUCUAGUUAUAAAAUUUGGUAGAAAUUCAUUAGAAAUUGUACUAAUUAGUACAAAUUUUAUAGAAAUUCCAAUAAAUUAGUAGAAAUCUGUGUAAAUAAAUUACGCUUCAAUUUUGAUAGAAUUCAGUAGAAAUUAGUAUAAAUUUGUAUGGUUUCACGUUUUUCUUCUAUGAGUUCAUGUAUGUACAUUAACUUGUAAUACAUUACAGACAUUUCCUGUAAUUAAGUUUCAUUCAAGAAUUUUUAUGUAUUUUUUAAGAAGUUUUCAUGUAAGUUUAAUUUCAUGUACAGUUUCAUGUGUACGUUUCUAUGAUUUAAUUUAUAUAUCUUAACGUACAUGUAAUUAUGAUUUCAUGUGUGUUUGGAGUAGUUGAGAUGAUGGACGUCGAGAAUGCAAGGUUCAUGAUGGAGGACAGUAUUGCUGGUAGAGAUCAUAACGUAAUGUACACCAAAGAAGAGAGUAACCAGACGGACACGUACCUCAACAUAUUCGCCGAUGGCAAUGAAGAGCCCGAGCAAAACCUUGCUGCGGCGUAAGAUACCGCCGAGGUAUAUAUCAUUAAUAAUGUUGUACCCCAUUUAGAAUGUCUUCUUCUUUAUUAUUAUGUACUAAUUAACGAAUCUUGAACUAUUAGCCAUCUGGAUCAGCGAAACCUAAGAAGACACGAGGUCGAAGCAUGGUGAUGGAUGGAUCGCAAAAGCUAGAGAUCACAAAAGUGUCAGAAGACGGCAGGCCGGUUGCUCCCAUCGAUGUGGCAAACAAGUACGUGACUCAGCUCAGGGCAAUUGUAAGGGACAAUGUGCCCAUCAGCUAGACGAAAUGGAGAGGCAAAAGCAAUGAUCCGGACGCGCUGCUGCAAACAGAAAGGAUAUGCUGUGGGAACAGGUCAAGCAACAUUUCAUAUUUCCCGCUAGAUAUAUUGAAAAGGAUGUGAAAGCGUGGACGUUGAAGAAGAUGGCCACACAGUUUCAAACAUUCAAGAAAUUUCUAGUUUCAAAGUACAUUAAGGAGGACAAAACUCCAGAUUUCAACAAAUUUCCAAAGUUCAGUAGCCACUGGAAGGCAUUUGUCGAGUACAAGAGGAGCCACGACGGUCAACAAAAAAUCAACACCAACGUUGAAAAUGCUAGUCGUAAGAAAGAGCAUCAUAAGCUAGGGCGAGGUGGUUACAAAAUAGUAGUGCCAAAUUUUAGAAGAUGGAACAAGCCCUGCUCGAACGGGGUAUCGUACCAGCAACUCAUGAAUGGAGCCAACAAGCUAAAAAUCGGUUCUUCGCUCAUGGAGGCAAACUGAACCCAAAGGAUGAGACGUUAAUCUUAACUGAGGAAAUACGUCUCAAGGGCGAACAGCUCACCAAGAACAUUGAAGAUGUUAAGGCUGGGAGGUUGGUGGUGGAUCGAGAAAUGGAUGAGCUCACAUUGGCCCUCGGGAAUCCUAAGCACCCAGGACGUGUCUGCGGGUUCGGGAUCAUUCCAUGGAAGUACAGUUUCAAAGAAGACAGAGGCUCGUAUAGAAGCCGCAAGCGAAGAAAGGAUCGGGCUGAGCAGAGCUGGCGGCGCAACCUAGAAUCUCAAGUGCAAUCUAUAGAACAAAGAAUGCAUGACGAAGUCAAUCGUUGAGUGGCCCUUUCCCAAUCAGAAGCACAACCCGAUCCACAGGACCAGCAAUAGUUCGCUGUUGAUUUCAUCAGGCAACACACAUCAUGUGAGUUGCAUGUACCGGUCGGCAACCUGAUUGUUAAGGUAUACUCUUAUACAUAAUUAAUAUUUAUAUAAUAGUCUUCUCAAUCCAUCGAUCCACCACGCCUCAAGAUUGGAGUUUAAUAACAUCUUUAUUUCUGCUAUAUGUACAGGUAGCGUACGCGAAUGCCUUACCAUGCUGGGCAAUGCAGGCGAGCCAUGGCAUGGAGAUUCCACCUAGCUAUGGUAGUGUCUCAGUAGAGCAGCUCGUUGAUUUCCAAUAUGAAGGCUAUGAGCUCCAGCUCCUGGGAAGUAUUAGGGAAAGGACAUUAGGAGAUGCGGUUCAAGGUGGCAUCAUUCUAUGGAGCAAACGCUACAUCAGCAUCCCUAGUAUGGAGGCAGCACCCCUCUCGGAAGAACCCGAGCCGCAACCAUCUCCUCAAAUGGCAAGACCUAUUUCUCCACCACGGUCAAUUACAGGACCGUCGUCUAUGCAUGCUCAAUCAAAGUCUCCAUCUCCACAUCCAGCUGGCAACGACAACAACAACAACACUCCUCCCCGCUCAUCGACGAUGCUGGGACUAAGAGGAGUCCCAAGCAAGGUACCUGCAGCCCCGACUGGAGACCUGAUUAUGAAGUCACGACCAAUGGCUACCAAGCCAGCACAUAAAAAGAGGAAAACAAAUAAGGAGCUUGAAGUGACUCCUGAGGAACGCUGGAAUGCAUUGACUCAAGAGGAACGCUGGUCCAAAAUCUAAGCAGAAUGCAAGGAGUUGUUCAGGAAAAGGGCUGAACAAAAAAAAGCAAGGGCGAUGGAGCCACAACCAACAAUUGAUCAAACUAAAUUACAAUUUUUUCAGAAGAUGUCACAUUCAAACAAGGAGGCGAUGAAUAUAGGGAAAAAAGAAAAGGAAAGUCAUCUUCAAGUGUUGUUGAUCGCUGCCUUCAUCAUCUACCAGAAGGAGAUGCUAGAAGGAUAGUAGCAAUGCCCAAGUCUCAACAAGAUCAAGUAUUGGAAUUCAUGAAAUAAUUUGGAGUGGGACUUGAUCAAUGUAUAGAGCUAGGUGGUCACAAGCCAGCAGCUUCACAACCAUUUCAACCGAGAUGGACGUUUGGGCUAGGAAAGUCUCUGGUAAGGCCUGAGUUGGUAGGGAUCCUAUCACCAAAGAUGUACGAAUUCCAUGAAUGGUACAUGAAGAUGUCCGCUGAUCAGACUUCCAUGUUCGCCCUUAAGGUAAAACAAAUAGAUUUUUACGGCGAAGGCGAGAAAGGCCUCUGGCUGAAAUUCAAAGAUAUAUACGAAGUUGUGGCGGACCGCCCAAAUUAACUUGACUAAAAUGCAUUGAAGUCGCCUGACACGCGAUUAUGCACUUUAAGCAAGUCAACUUGGUCGACCGUCGGAUUUCCUCCGAUAAACCACAUAACAGGAUCGAGAAGCAUCGCUCACGCGAUGGUGAGUAGCACAGAGGUUACAACAUUCCAUCAUGACAACAUAGUUCCACAUUUUAUUAUAUCAGAGUUUUUGAAAUUUAGAACGAAAUUUGCAAGGUUCGAAGUCAAACUAAAACAGCGGAAACUAAACGCCGAUACAUGACAUCAUGACGGAGCCGAUCAUGACAUCAAAAACUCCUUCCUUCGCCGUCCAAGGAAGGAUCCCACUCGACGGUCCAGCCUGGGGGAAGCUGGGUCGGCCAAGUGGUACCCGCAACCAAACUAUUGACAUUACCUGAAAAAGAUUAGCCACAACAAGGCUGAGCAACUAGUACUUAGCAAGACUGACCCGUUGAAAAGUCACGACCGAGACCUAGACAUGCAAGGCUUUCUGGCUCUGGGGUUUUCUUGCCAAAAGCGUCUAAAGUCAGUCCUUACUUUCAACAUUUUAGCUCAUGUUCUAUGUUCUUUAUCCAUUCUAGAUUAGCAACUUAUACUGAACAAACAUGGUUUCCAAGCAAUUACUUAACAAACAUCAAGAUUAAAAUCAUCAUCAUGUUCCAUCUGUAGGGAUACGAGGUAGGCUAUGCUAGCGCAAAUCAAAAUUUCUACCGCGUAUAACCAGGAAGAACUGCCGUAUAAGGAUCACGGGAUUACCACUCGACGUACUACUGGUGCGGAAGAUGUAGAUAUGCGUCGGUGCAGUGAAGACGAUCACGUAGUCGUACGUAGUCGAUCAACGUAGUCGUACGUAGUCGAUCACGUCCAGCAGCUCCUCAGCAGCUCGUCCACGUGCACAACAAGAUCGCCUCCGGUGCCGCGGCUCGUCGUCGGCUCGUCGUGGCUCGUCGGCGGCUCGUCGAUGGCUCGUCCAAGUGCUGCAGGCGCAACACCUCCAAGGUGUCCACACGUGCAGGGAGGAAGCGUCGCAAGCCGGACUGCUAGAUCCGCGAGUUGCAACAGGCGAGGGCGUGGGAGGCGCGGCAAGUCUGUUCAGCCAAAAGGUGUAAAACCCUAGGGCGCCCUCACCCCUCUAUUUAUAGGGGUUCCUGAUGGGCCUCUGGAUCCGAGGCCCAUUAGUACUCCUAAACCUAAUCCAACUCGGAUCAGAUCCGAAUUGGGCUUCCAGCCCCUUAAGUGUGUGACCCUAUGGGUUCGGAUACGUAUAGACAUGGCUCGAGUACUCCUACUCGGCCCAAUAGUCGGUAGCGGCCUCUAGCAAGACGUGCCAACUCCUAUACGCAUACGAAGAUCAUAUCAGACGAACCAUCACAACAUAAUAUACAUGCUAUUCCCUUUGCCUCACGAUAUUUGGUCUAGCUUCAAGCCGACCGCUCUUUCUCGAUCCUGUGAUUCGGAAUCCCUUUGUAGGUUAACUCUUAACCGUACGUAGCAUGGCCAUGCAUUUUCUGAUCCGAUCACUCGAGGGGCCCAGAGAUAUCACUCUCAAUCAGAGAGGGGCAAAUCCCAUCUUGAUUGACCAUGUCUCAUAGCAUGCUUCUUGACAAACCCGAAAGCUACCUUUAUAACUACCCUGUUACGGCGUAGCGUUUGAUAGCCCCUAAGUAGGUCGAUCCACAUCUAGAAUACAUGCGACAAUCUCAGGUCUAAGGACAAAGCGUAUAUGUUGUUUAAAGAGAGAACUACUUGUCGUGUUGGGUCAGUCCUAACACAUGUCUCAACAUGUGUCCACAUUAUUAGUUCAACAUCUCCAUGUCCAUGACUUGUGAAACAUAGUCAUCAACUAAUACAUGUGCUAGUCUAAUAUUCAUGUGUGUCCUCACAUGAACUCCGACUAGGGACAACUUUAGAAUAACCAUACAAGUAAAGAGUUUCACAUACAAUUCACAUAAUUGCAAAUCAAUUCAAGUAGCCUUUAAUGGAUAUUCAAUGAACACAAUAUACAAAUCAUGGAUACAAAUGGAAUAUCAUCAUCUCUAUGAUUGCCUCUAGGGCAUACCUCCAACAGUCUCCCACUUGCACUAGAGUCAAUCUAGAAGGUACCUAAUACCCAUAGCUCUUACAUGCGCAUCAUGCUUAGCCUGCGGGUGUGGUUUUGUCAACGGAUCAGAAAUGUUCAGAUCCGUGUGUAUUUUGCAUAUCUUGAUCUCACCCCGGUUAACGAAGUCUCGAAUUAGAUGAAAUCGCCGCAUUACGUGUUUGUUCUUCUGGUGGUUCCUUGGCUCCUUUGCUUGCGCAAUUGCCCCAUUAUUAUCACAGUAGAGAUUCAAUGGGCUGGACGCAUUCGGGAACACACCAAGCUCAAUGAGGAAAUUCCUUAUCCAAACACCUUCCUUCGCGGCUUCCGAAGCCGCGAUGUAUUCGGCUUCUAUCGUAGAAUCGGCCACCGUCUCCUGCUUGGAACUCUUCCAACUAACAGCACCACCAUUUAGCGUGAACACAAAUCCUGAUUGUGACUUUGAAUCGUCUCUGUCGGUUUGGAAACUAGCAUCGGUGUAACCUGUUACAACGAGCUCCUCCUGACCUCCAUAGACGAGGAACAUAUCUUUAGUCCUUCUCAAGUACUUAAGAAUGUUUUUCACCGCUGUCCAGUGACUCUCACCUGGAUCAGACUGGUGUCUACUUGUCAUACUUAGCGCAUAUGAAACAUCUGGGCGAGUACUUAUCAUUGCAUACAUGAUAGAUCCAAUAGCCGAGGCAUAUGGCACUCUACUCAUGCGAUCCCGCUCAUCAGCAGUCGAAGGACAUUGAGUCUUGCUGAGAUGUAUGCCAUGUGACAUAGGCAAGAACCCUUUCUUUGCCUCUUCCAUGCUGAACCGCUUCAACACUUUGUCAAUGUAAGUAUCUUGGCUUAAACCUAUAAGCCUUCUCGAUCUAUCUCUAUAGAUCUUAAUACCCAGAAUAUAUGCCGCUUCCCCUAAGUCCUUCAUCGAAAAACUAUUUUUCAGUGAAGUCUUUAAGGACUCAAGCAUAGGAAUGUUAUUUCCAAUCAGUAAUAUGUCAUCCACAUAUAAGAUUAGAAAUACUACAGAGCUCCCACUAACCUUCUUGUAAACACAAGACUCUUCUUCGUUCUUGGUGAAGUCAAACCCUUUGACUACUUCAUCAAAACGAAUGUUCCAACUCCUAGAUGCUUGCUUCAAUCCACAAAUGGAUCUCUGAAGCUUGCAUACCUUUCCAGCAUUUUUCGGAUCGACAAAACCCUCGGGCUGUAUCAUAUACACGUCCUCAGCUAGGUUUCCAUUCAGGAAAGCUGUCUUGACAUCCAUCUGCCAUAUCUCAUAAUCGAAAUAUGCAGCUAUAGCUAGAAUAAUCCGAAUGGACUUAAGCAUCACUACGGGCGAGAAGGUCUCGUCGUAGUCAACUCCUUGAACUUGUCGAAAACCUUUUGCGACAAGUCGUGCUUUGUAGAUGUGAACAUUUCCAUCCAUGUCCUUUUUCUUCUUAUAGAUCCACUUGCACUCUAUGGCUUUAACACCAUCAGGCGGGUCAACCAAGUUCCAAACUUGAUUGUCUCCCAUGGACUCUAUUUCGGAUUGCAUGGCACUCUGCCAUUUUUCGGAGUCUGGGUCCAUCAUUGCUUCUGCAUAUGUCGCAGGCUCAUCAUUGUCCAACAAUAAUAUUUCUCGCAUUUCGCGGAGCCUUGCUGACCUUCGUGGUUGUGGCGGUGCUUCUCUUGCCAUGGGUAUCUCAACUUGUUCUGCUACGUUAGCAUCACUCAUUGAUUCUUGCCCGAUUGGCUCAUCUUGAACUUCUUCAAGAUGCACUGUCUUUCCACUCUUUUCUCCUUUGAGAAACUCUUUCUCUAGGAAAACCCCGUUCUGAGCGACAAACACUUUGCCUUCUGAUCGGUUGUAGAAAUAAUACCCCAAAGUUUCCUUUGGAUAUCCCACGAAAAUGCACUUAUCCGAUUUGGGUGUGAUCUUGUCCGACUGAAGUCGCUUGACAAACACUUCACAUCCCCAAAUCUUUAGAAAAGACAAACUAGGAACCUUUCCAGUCCACAUCUCAUAUGGUGUCUUAACUACGGAUUUAGAUGGUACCCUAUUAAGUGUGAAAGCUGCUGUUUCUAGAGCAUAUCCCCAAAAUGACAACGGUAGGUCCGACUGGCUCAUCAUUGAUCGAACCAUGUCUAACAAAGUUCGAUUACGUCGCUCGGACACACCGUUUCUCUGAGGUGUUCCAGGCGGCGUAAGUUGUGGAACAAUUCCGCAACUCUUUAGAUGAUUGCUAAACUCGUGGCUCAAAUACUCGCCUCCACGAUCAGAUCGUAAGGCCUUAAUUUUCUUGCCACGCUGAUUUUCAACUUCAUUCUGAAAUUCCUUGAACUUUUCAAAGGUUUCAGACUUCUGCCUCAUCAAGUAGAAAUAGCCAUAUCUACUAAAAUCAUUAAUGAAAGUUAUGAAGUAUUGGAAUCCUCCUCUAGCCGUCGUGCUCAUUGGUCCGCAUACAUCACUAUGUACGAGUUCCAACAAGUCUACUGCUCUCUCAGGAAAUCCUGUGAAAGGCGUCUUGGUCAUCUUGCCUAGCAAGCAAGCCUCACAUGUCUCGUAUGAUUCAAAAUCAAACGAAGUUAGAAGUCCAUCAGAAUGGAGCUUCUUCAUGCGCUUAUCACUUAUAUGACCCAAACGACAAUGCCACAAGUAGGUAGGACUCAAAUCAUUAGGCCGAGGCCUUUUAGCACUUACAUUACAGACAGGUGAACCAUCAAGAUUUAAAACAAAUAAUCCAUUCACAAUAGGUGCAAAAGCCAUAAACAUAUUAUUCUUAGAGAUCACACAACCAUUGUUUUCACUCGCAAAUGAAUAACUAUCCUUCAUCAAACAUGAAGGAGAUAAAAUGUUUCGACUUAAACUAGGAACAAAAUAACAAUUAUUCAACUCCAUAAUAAAUCCUGACGGGAGGUGGAGUUGCAUCGUCCCGACGGUCAAAGCAGCAACUCUUGCAUUAUUGCCCACGCGGAAAUCAACUUCUCCUCUUUCCACGCUUCUACUUCUUAUCAUUCCCUGCAUCGAAUUGCAAAUAUGAGCAACCGAUCCGGUAUCAAAUACCCAAGAAUUAAUAACUGUAUCAGCGAGAAAUAUGUUGUCUAUAACAUAAACAACAAGCGUACCUGAGGUAGAAGUACUCUUACUUCCGCCGUUCUUCAACGAAGCUAGGUACUGCUUGCAGUUUCUCUUCCAGUGACCAAGUUCAUGACAGUAAAAGCACUCUUUAUCUGGAGCAGGUCCAGGUCUAGCUUUAGCCUUGGGCGGUGGGUUUGGCUUGGACGUUCCAGCCUUGCCCUUCUUCUUCCAAGAAUUGCCCUUCUUCUUAAAGCUGGGCUUGUUCUGUAUCGCCAUCACAUGGCUGGUACUAGCGCUUUUCUUAAUGUCAGCCUCUGCUGUCUUGAGCAUACCACACAGCUCAUUCAGACCCUUCUCCAUCCCAUGCAUAUGGUAGUUCGAGAUGAAGUUCCCAUAGCUAGCCGGAAGAGAUGAAAGAAUGAAAUCAGUGGCCAACUCUUGGCCCAGUGGGAAGCCUAGCUUCUCCAACCGUUGAGUGUAACCAACCAUCUUGAUUACGUGUGGUCCUACUGCUGCGCCUUCUGCUAGCUUGCUCUCAACAAAGGCCUUAGACACAUUGAACCUUUCAGUCCUGGCCUGUGUUUGGAACAUGUUUCUAAGCGCCACGAUCAUAUCGUGCGCCUCAUGGUUUGUUUCGAACUGCAUCUGCAGCUCGGGUUCCAUGCAAGCAAGCAUAAGGCAGCUUACUUCGAGGUUAGCAUCACAUGCUUUCUUGUAAGCAUUCUUAGCAGCAGCGGGUGCAUCCUCAGCAGGUUCUUCUGGUAGUGGGUUGUCUAGAACAUCUUCCUUUUUCUCAGCCCUGAGAACAAUUCUCAGGUUGCGGAUCCAAUCCGAGUAGUUUGUUCCAUUCAACUUGUCCUUCUCAAGGACCGAACGCAAAGCAAACGAUGUGGUGGUGUUGCUAGGUGCCAUUUAAUCUACAACAAAAGUAAUGCAAAAUACACUAAGACAAACGUAUCCAUGAUAGAGCAAAUUACAUUAAACUAUUUUAACAGAAUCUACUCCCACUAAAAUCAAUAUCCCUCUAUUGAAACUUAGUGAUUCAGGAUCCACAACUAACAAGUCUACUAGUGAGCUUUAGCAUCACCGCUAGCAAACGAGGUAGAUCGGUAAGCAACUUUUGCUAAUCAUAUCACAUAUGACUCCUGUUGUUGGGUGACAUCUCCAUGUCUCGGCGCCCAACCUUUAUGCCCCAAGGUCCUUAACCGUUAAGAUAACCUUGUUAAGUAAACCAACCCUUAUGCGUGUAAGUGUCCGACACAAACCCGUCUAGUCAAGGAAAACUAGUGGCACUCUAAUUUCAUAGACCCACCACUAAUUGUACAAGACAUGGGACGGUGCAAGUUUUAGUUGGGAGGGCAUACUAACUUAAACUUUGUGAGGGAUCAUUCUACUUCUAACAUCAUAGCAUGCAGAAAGUAAAACAUAAACAGAAUAGCAUUCACAUAGUUGUGACACAGUAUGGCCCGUUUUCAUAUGGUGAUCUCCAUCUCCAUAGAACCUGUUCACCAUGGUGAUCUUCAUCUCCAUGUUCCAUGUGCGCCAUCCUCCUGGUGAUGAGUCCUCCAAGAACUAGAGUAUGCUAUUACACCUAAUAGCUAGUAAAGAAUCUAGUAAUGAAGAUUACAUAGUUGCUUGGAUCAUCACAGAUUGGUACGCAGACCAUUAAAUACAAUAAAGUGACAACACAUAUGGCUCCUGCCGUGUUGCCGUACGCGCGACACGCAGGUCACGAAUGAGUUACACACAUGCAUCACAUACACAAGGGGGCCAUACUGAUCACAAGAUAUAUACAUACAUCCUGCAAAAGAGAGUUAGGCGUCCUAACGUUCCAAACUUCGGAGGCCCGAAACUCCAUCUUCCAAGCCGAAUUUGGGAAAUCUAAUUUCGCCAAAAACGGCAAAGCCGUUGAAUUUCAUGUGUAACUUUUUCUGUAGAUCAAUUUUCGUAUAGAAAUCGCCCCGAUCCGAGAUCGUACCGAAAAGUUACGGCUAAUUUACCGAAGCAUACGCAUACGGCAAAAUCCCGACCCCGGCAGUAGAUCCCAUCUACUAUUGCACAUCUAAUGCGCCUGGCGUAUGACCCUGGAUCUCGAUUCGACCAAUCAUAUUGAUCUUCGCUCACUGCAACUGGAUUUACGUGUAUCACUUAACUCCGAUGGCGGAAACCGACCGGUAGGAGUAUGUUGUUACACUACCAUUGCAGCAAGGGCACGAAAUCAGGACAUAGAUCAAACAGAGAACUCGCAUAUCUCCAUAUGCACACAUCCCGAAUCCAAAACUAAGCAGCUACGGCUCUGAUACCACUGUAGGGAUACGAGGUAGGCUACGCUAGCGCAAAUCAAAAUUUCUACCGCGUAUAACCAGGAAGAACUGCCGUAUAAGGAUCACGGGAUUACCACUCGACGCACUACUGGUGCGGAAGAUGUAGAUAUGCGUCGGUGCAGUGAAGACGAUCACGUAGUCGUACGUAGUCGAUCAACGUAGUCGUACGUAGUCGAUCACGUCCAGCAGCUCCUCAGCAGCUCGUCCACGUGCACAGCAAGAUCGCCUCCGGUGCCGCGGCUCGUCGUCGGCUCGUCGUGGCUCGUCGGCGGCUCGUCGAUGGCUCGUCCAAGUGCUGCAGGCGCAACACCUCCAAGGUAUCCACACGUGCAGGGAGGAAGCAUCGCAAGCCGGACUGCUAGAUCCGCGAGUUGCAACAGGCGAGGGCGUGGGAGGCGCGGCAAGUCUGUUCAGCCAAAAGGUGUAAAACCCUAGGGCGCCCCCACCCCUCUAUUUAUAGGGGUUCCUGAUGGGCCUCUGGAUCCGAGGCCCAUUAGUACUCCUAAACCUAAUCCAACUCGGAUCAGAUCCGAAUUGGGCUUCCAGCCCCUUAAGUGUGUGACCCUAUGGGUUCGGAUACGUAUAGACAUGGCCCGAGUACUCCUACUCGGCCCAAUAGUCGGUAGCGGCCUCUAGCAAGACGUGCCAACUCCUAUACGUAUACGAAGAUUAUAUCAGACGAACCAUCACAACAUAAUAUACAUGCUAUUCCCUUUGCCUCACGAUAUUUGGUCUAGCUUCAAGCCGACCGCUCUUUCUCGAUCCUGUGAUUCGGAAUCCCUUUGUAGGUUAACUCUUAACCGUAUGUAGCAUGGCCAUGCAUUUUCUGAUCCGAUCACUCGAGGGGCCCAGAGAUAUCACUCUCAAUCAGAGAGGGGCAAAUCCCAUCUUGACUGACCAUGUCUCAUAGCAUGCUUCUUGACAAACCCGAAAGCUACCUUUAUAACUACCCUGUUACGGCGUAGCGUUUGAUAGCCCCUAAGUAAGUCAAUCCACAUCUAGAAUACAUGCGAUAAUCUCAGGUCUAAGGACAAAGCGUAUAUGUUGUUUAAAGAGAGAACUACUUGUCGUGUUGGGUCAGUCCUAACACAUGUCUCAACAUGUGUCCACAUUAUUAGUUCAACAUCUCCAUGUCCAUGACUUGUGAAACAUAGUCAUCAACUAAUACAUGUGCUAGUCUAAUAUUCAUGUGUGUCCUCACAUGAACUCCGACUAGGGACAACUUUAGAAUAACCAUACAAGUAAAGAGUUUCACAUACAAUUCACAUAAUUGCAAAUCAAUUCAAGUAGCCUUUAAUGGAUAUUCAAUGAACACAAUAUACAAAUCAUGGAUACAAAUGGAAUAUCAUCAUCUCUAUGAUUGCCUCUAGGGCAUACCUCCAACACCAUCUUCACUCAAUGCAGAAUAGCGAUCAAGUAGUCCCAAUCUGUGAGAGGCAGACGAAUCGAUUCGAAUUUAUUAACCAUGCAUGGCAAAUCUUAUCUCAUGACAUCCGCGCACCACGAAGGGUCGCUUCAUUUGUCAGCCGUCCCCAUCGAUCCCUUAGGCACGUGUCAGGGCCAACUUCCUUUGGCAUGCAAUGCUCCACAGUCCCGGCCUAUUGCUGCACUGUGACCGCACUUGCACCCACAUGAUGCACCAUGGGAACGACAUUCCAAGGACAGCCGGAGGGUAUGCCACGCCCCAGUUCAAUCAGGUACUAGGCUUCCCCAUCCCAUACUAGGUAUGAGAUUAGUACUUUCAAACACUUGAUCACGAACGUCGACACGUUUCGACCUUAGUUCAUUUUCAUUUAGACAGACGGGGCAAUCCACCAUGUAUCGAACACAAGCCUGACCCCGUCCGUCAUCCUUAUAGUUGCGACAAAUCUGAAAUAUUCAACUCCUAUAACUCGCGAGUGACAGGAAAUCACUCGACUUCUACCGAAACCUAUUAAGCAUUGCACUACUCGACCUUAGCAACUAGUAUUCAGACAAGGUACUAAGUUUAUGCAUCUAAGGUUUCAUUACAACUCCUCAAAAUGUAAAUGCGCAAUCAAGUAAUCAAUAAGUGGCAUGAAAGUAAAAUAGGGAGUUCAUGCACCGGGGCUUACCUUCAGAAAAAGCUUGCGGGUCCUCGGGGUCUUGCUCCGGUUCGGGCUCUCCUUCGCAGGGAUGCAGUUCCUCGGUGGGGUCUUCUUCCGGUGCUGGAUGAAGCUCGUACGUUCUGUCGGCGAGAUUCAACUCUACACGGAAAUGCAAUGUAGGGGUUAAAUAUUUUAGAUGGUUAUUUCAACACACUCAUGUUUUAACACGGACACUUGUAGCAAAGCUACAGGAAAGGUGGGGGAGUUCAACUUCUGUUGGUGGAGAGCAAGAUGAGAGGGUCGGAUUAGGGAAAACUAAGGGUCUGACCCUCAGGUUUAAGGAAAACCGUACCGAGGUCCUCAGACUCAACACAGAGGAAUCCCCAAAAAUAUUUCACCGAUACCCUCGGGUCAAAGAAAAAGUUACAACCGAGCCCUCGGGCGAGGCGGAGAAAGGGUCGGCGAAACUUGGCAGGGUCGGGCGAGGCGAACGGGAAAAGGUCGGGCGAGACGAAAAGAAAAGGGGUUGGGCGAACCGAAACAAAGGGGUCGGGCGAAACGAAAAAGGACAAGGGUCGGGUGAGACGGAAAGGAAAAAAAAAGGGGGUCGGACGAGACGAAAAGGACCGGGAGGUUAAGUAGCUUACCUCCAGGUCUACCGGUGAAGCCUUUGUUGGGAUACGAGGUAGGCUACACUAGCGCAAUUCAAAAAUUUCUACCGCGUAUAACCAGGAAGAACUGCCGUAUAAGGAUCACGGGAUUACCACUCGACGCACUACUGGUGCGGAAGAUGUAGAUAUGCGUCGAUGCAGUGAAGAUGAUCACGUAGUCGUACGUAGUCGAUCACGUCCAGCAGCUCCUCAGCACCUCGUCCACGUGCAGCAAGAUCGCCGAACAGGAGUAGGCUAGGGCGGGAAGUCGUACGUGCUAAGGCUUGGGCAGCGGCGAGACUUUGAUGGUGGUUCGGCGGCGGCGGUGCUUCUUGCGGACACCAGCAAGCUCGAGUACUGCGUGGAGGAGCGGGCGGCUGGUGUGUUGGAAGAAGCGGCUGGAGGGUGGCGGCGAAGUCGUCGGAGUGUGGGGUGGCGCAAAGGGGGUGAGCUCCACGGAAGCUCAGCGGCAGCGCGGGGAGAAAGUGGUGGCUCAGAGGAGAAAGCAGGGCGCAGAGGAGAAAGCGGCGACGCAGGUGCGGGCGGUGGCAAGGGGUGGCAUUGCCGGUGAGGGGGUUCCCUUUUAUAGGGCCGGGGUGGCGCGGAGGGUCGAGGUGGGGCUCCGGUGGGGAAAGGAUAAGGCCGGGAGCGGCGAGUGCUCGGGCGAGGUGGCCAUUGACCGACGACGCCAUUGGGCAGAGGAGGCGGAGCUCUGGGUGGUCUUCGGCGGCGAUUGGCCUUGGGCGGCGCGCGUCUGGGGCUUCCGGUUUGUUGGGCGGGCGAGGCGGAAGGCUACCGUGGAGGUUGGGCGAGCGGGCGGAGGCGCGGGACGUCAGGGGCGUCUCAGCUUUCUCGGCAAAUGGGCGGAACAGGGUUGGCGGGGCAGAGCCGUGGCAGGUGGAAGGCGACCUGCGCGCGGCCGGCGAUUGGCUAGCCCUGCGCUCGCUCCGUCCUGUCGCGGGCGCGGGAUGGGCGCCGUGGCUCUCAUCCUGUCGCUGUCGCGCUGGUGAUAGGGCGCCGGCGAGCUGCCGGUGGCCGGCGGCCACGCGGCGCGCGGCGCGCGAGCGAACAUGCUCAGGCACGCGGGCGUCGAGGCUCCCUUCGGGCAGCAAGCCCGACCAGCUUUGGAGCGAUCCUUCUCCGAAUCUUUCAACACAACUCCCGAAACUCCCUUAAACAAACUUGUUCAACUCUGGUCGUUCUUCAAACUUCGUUUAAGGUGUUGGCUUAGAUUGUGAAAGGAUUCAAAGAUAUUUUACGCCAAAGUUAGACAAAAAUCUGGAAUUCCAGACUUAGGAUUUAAGGCAUCCGUGGUGAGUUGACUAGUUUACCUCACUUUGACCGGGAUUUUGAACAAGUUCGGGUCUGAUUUGGAUCUGGGUCAGUGUAACAAAGUUGGAACACUCUCGAGGUACUACAACUUCUAUUAAGGCUCUGACUCGAGUUUAGAUAGGAAAACAGGAGAUGAAAGCUUGCAAAGAUGGAGGAAAACUCGAAUUCCAGGACUUAAGAGAUUUCAGGGUCCUUUAGGAAAACCGGCUUUGGUUGCUGUUUUUGACUCCCUUCCACUCCGAAUUAGUCAAGGUGCCUUUAACAAAAGUUGUUGGAAUUUAAAAGUUUUACAACUCUUAUUUGGGCGGAAACUUAAGUUUGUAUAUAGAAAUUCAAGCUUUAAAUCAAACUCCAAAAGGAUCUUCUUAAGUUUAUAAAGGUCAUUUCACUUCUUCAAUUAGGGAUUUAUCACCGGUUUAGAGUUAAAAGUACUUAAUUUGGUAGAGUUGUUACAGAAGUGUACCAUCAAGAUGCCCUAGACGUCUCUCUCAUCAGCGUCUGGGCUCUGUAAAUAUUCGUUUAUCUAUAUGUAAAUUUUGGACCAUAUCAUUAUUUUUUAUGCAAGCGUCGCCCUACUAACUUUGUCUUCCUUUUUAUGUAGGCGGCUAAUUCAGAAGUGCCGAGAAGAAGGAUACUUGCAUGUUGGCUUCAUGGAUCCAUCCGUAGUUAACCAAACCCAACUAUGAGAUUUUAUAGAUAAAAUGUUGGUGGAAUGUUUCAAUAUGCUGGACCUUCAAGGUGGCCAGAGCUACAUACUACUUCCAUACAACUUCGAGUAAGUGUUUGUACGUACGUAUACCAUCUAUCUUAGUAUCCUUUUCCUUAUUUGAUUAAUGAAUAUUUACGUACAUAGUUACCACUGGAUCCUAAUAGUAAUUGAGCCUGAUAGAACCCGAGUUACCAUCCUUGAUUCCUUGAGAAAACCACUAGCGGAGUACCAAGAGAUUCAAGACAUUCUACACUUGUAAUUAAUAAUUCUGGAUCUUUAUCUCAAUACAAAAGUGUGUUUCCUAAAUUUUCGCCUAACACUAUAUCAUUCGUUAUUUUAAUUCGUAGGGCAUGGAAAUAAUUUGUCAAAAAAUGAUGCCAAGGUGCAUUCCAAGAAAAACUUACAUGGGACAUAGACUUCCCGGUACGUAUGAAGUUUGCAUAUUUUGUACAUUCUAUAUGAUGAAUAUUUUAUAACUUAUUUUUUUCCCACUGAAGUGCUUAAUACAGGAACAAGGGAAUAAUCUGUGUGGGUACUAUGUGUGUGAGAACAUGCAAAGUUUUUUGUCACACAAGGCCAGGUUGACGUCGCUGGAAAAAUAGGAAGUACGUAAUAUAAAAUAAUACUAUUAAUAGUUAAUUGUUUUCUAGCUCCUUAUAUUUAAUUGUUCGUGUAACAUUAUUUACUUCCAAAUUACAUAUGCAUAAUAUUCGAGACAAGAUUUUGGAGAAGAAAAGAAUACACACAAUAUGCGAAAGUCUCGUAGGAUUCGUGCUGGACGAGGUGAUAAAUCCACAAGGAGAAUUUGAUUCCGGUGGAUGAAAUUAACAAGCACCGAGCAACACCUCGACGAAGAUCCUAGAGUUAUAUAGCUAGCUAGCUAGGAAUUAAUUGUACUAUAUAUAUAUAUACUAAUCAAGAAUUGAACAUAUACUAGCUAAUUGUAUAAGAAUGGUAUAUAUAAGUAUGUAAUAGUUAAAAAGAGUCGUUUAAAUACUAUAUAUAGUUUGAUUGAUUUCAUUAAUUAUAAAAAAACUCUCAACUAACUAAAGGGAUAUGUAAUGCACAAAAUUAUAGUUAUAGGCACCAUGCAAGCGGCUGCAUGGCGCUAUAUAUACGCACUUUAGUCCCGGUUUGUUACACCAACUAGGACUAAAGGGGUCUGUCCAGUGCCUGGCGUGGCAGCCCAUUAGUUCUGGUUGGUUUUGCAAACCGGGACUAAAAAAGGGUCUUAUAUCCCGGUUCAGCGACUCGUGAUAAAAGACCGCCACCUUUUAUCUCGACGGGUUAAUUCCGGAUGCAUUUUCGGGAGAUAUGCACCCUACGAACCGGUACUAAUACCCAGUUCUCUAAUAGUGUAACAUAAUUAUGUUAUUUGAGAAACUAUACAGAUGAUUUUUUAUGUUUGUUCCAAACAAUGCAAUGUAAAUCACUUAUAUCGAUCCAGUGAGCUAGUGAUAAAAUUCUUCUAGUGCACCUUUCUGUCCCUUAAAGAUAAGGAUUUUUUCCGGAUAGAUUAGCAUAGAGACUAAACAACUUAGUUUGCAUGAGAGGGGUUAGGAAACUGCAUGCUACGUUGCUGCUCCAAAUAUUAGACAUGCACAAUUUAUUACAAACUCCAGCGUAAUUAGUGGCCAAUUAAUUGAAACAACAAAAAGGACAAAGGAUGCAAUGCUGGAUGUGUGUCAAGAUAAACCAGUACAAGAAUACAUAAUUGCAUCUUGAUCAAUCAUUACCGUCUCUAAUAUUCAAAGCCUAUAUAAUAGGACCGAUCCAAACAUGGGCCUACAAUAAUUUCUGUAUAUAUAUAUAUAUCAAUAAUUAUAACAAACCAUCAAACCAACCAACUUAUGAUCCCAUAAAAAAUCAUGGUCCUGAGAUCUAUUAAUAGAGAACACGUAGCUUCCUUACCAUCCCACCUACACACCACAUCUGACUAUAUAGAGGAUGCAAUCCUUUUGUACUAAAUCUUGGGGGACCAUUUUAUCCCGGUUUGUAAUACCAACCUUUUAUCCCGGUUGGUAUUACAAACCAGGAUAAAAAGUUUUGAUAGAUUUAGUUAGUUUUUAGCCACCCGUGGGGGACUCUUUUAUCCCGGUUUGAAACACCAACUGGGAUUAAAACCCCCCUUUAUCCCGGUUGGUAUUACCAACGGGAAUAAAAAGGGUUCGAGGGCUUCAAUUCUUUUUUGCCACCUGUGGGGAACCCUUUUACCCCGAUUAGUGUUUUCAACCGGGAUAAAAGACCUUAUUUUAUCCCGGUUGGUGUCGUGAGCUUUAGUCUCGGGUGGUAACACCAAUCGGGAUUAAAAUGGUGACCUUUAGUCCUGGUUGGUCUUACCACCCGGGACUAAAAGGUCCCUCACGGGUAGCUGAUUUUUUCACCCGGGACUAAAGGGUCCCCCAUGGGUGGCUGAUUUUUUACCCAGGACUAAAGGGGUCUUUAGUCUCGAUUGAUAUUUGACCCGGGACUAAUGCACCUUUUGUCUCGGGCCAACUUUAAAUCGGGAUAAAAGGGGGUGCAUGUCUCGAUUGCGUUAUCCCGGAUUGGUUUUCAGGAGAUUUUCACCCUACCAAUCAGGACUAAUACCGAGUUUUCUACCAAAUAAUCUUAACUACUGGCAUCUAACCAAAUUAUCUUACUAUUAACUAUUCCCGUUCAUUUUUUUGAAUAAAAACACACGUGAUCCAUUUAAAGAUCAGCAUCUUGUAGAUGUACACCUAAUUAAAGGCAUCUAAUCAAAGGUCUUACAUAUUUGUUAUCCAUGUCAUCAACCUACAAAAAGUUAUGUCCACUUGAAGAUCGGCAUCUUAAGAUUUAAACUUAAUUGUUGGCAUCUAACCAAUGGGUCUUACUUAUUUUUCAAUAGGAUAAUAAAUAUGCAAACCAAUAUCCAUGAGAUAUAAUGAGCAUCGGUGUGGUACAAAGUACAAUAAUUGCAUAAUUCCGUUGUUUGGAAAACUAUAGAAAAUAUUUUCUUUAUAUUUGUUCCAAACAUAUGCAAACUACUACACUUAUUUGGAAGAAUGGGUUUUGUCCUGAAAUUAUAAUUGAGUGCUUGAAUGAUUUGGAAUGGACAAUUAACUAGUCAAGAAAAUUAACUUGAAACCCUAUGUCACUACGGGGAAGACUAAAUUCGCCGAGCAUAAUUUUUUCACCGAGUGCAAUAAUGCGGGCACUCGGCGAAGGCCCCGUUUGCCGAGUGUAUUGCUCAUAACACUCGGCAAACACAAUGCACUCGGCGACAAAGCGAUUUGCCGAGUGCCAAAUAAGAAAACACUCGGCAAAACCCCGUCGACACUUGGCAAACAUAAUACACUCGACGAACUAUUGAUCACAUGACCUGCACGUGCGCCGUCCGGUCGAAACCGUGACGGACGUUAGUAGGUUUGCCGAGUGUUGUGAUGGGACACUCGGCAAAGCUGCGAUUAUGCCGAGUGCUAGGGGGAACACUCGGCAUAUUUUAGGGUUUGCUGAGUGUUUUUUGACACACUCAGCAAAGUAAUUUUUUUUCCCUCCUCCACCCUCCAAACUUUUUCCACUCCACAUGUAUGGCAUUUGGCACUGCAUGGUAGAAGGUGGACUAUUUAUUGACCUUUUUGCUAUAUUUAAUCAAUUAAUUUCAUUUAGAGUAAUUUGUUGAUUUAAGUCAAAUUUGAACUGCAGGUGAUUGGAAUAAUGGAAUAAUAUGAGUGGAAAAAUCAUAUUCAUGUUAGUGAGUCCAAAUUGAGGUCUCACCCAGAAAAUGAAAAGAAAUUUCAAACAUUCUGUUAAGGAAACACGACUACGAACGUGUGGCCAAAUGAUUUUUUAAUUCUCAAAGAUACAAACGAAGUUUGAAAAUCACGAGAGUUUAUUAUUUGUCAUACCCGUGCCAAACCAACAGCCGUCUUUAGGGUUGGGAUGUUGUGUACAAGGUAUCGCCACACGGUAAACUACCGAGCUGUGGGUAAGUACUCCUCGUACUAAAUUGUUCAAUACAUCACCUACUUUUGACAUUUUUGAAAUAAUAACUAUAUACGCGUCUAUAUGCAGGAUUUCUAAAGAUGCCAGGAGGGAUUCGAGGUCAAGGCGAAGGCCGUCUGUGAUGUAGCCGCCAAGAAGCUCGUGAAGGACAUGCAUUACGAGGCGCGCAUCCAGGCCAUCAUCGAAUUCCACGCUCAAUACAGACAGAUGAAGGUUAGAAAAGAGGAGGCAAGAACAAUGAACCUGACUAAGGACCAAUUCAUGAGGGUAAGUAAAGAACGUUGAUACUUACUAUUUAAGAUUAAUUAGGCUCAUUUUCUUUUUCAUAUGUCACACGCUUGAUGAUGUAGGUGCCUCCGUGGUGGUGUCGUGCGCAUAUGCCGUGCUGGGAGAGGAUGGUCGACGUGUGGUUGGAGCCCGGGUGGUUGGAGAACCACCUUGCUUGCCGGCAGCGGUGUUUGCAGAUGCCGAGUGCACCACACCAUCAAGGCAGCCUAAGCUUUGAUGAAUAUAGAGAAAAAUGGGUACGCAACUUCAAUUCUUUAUUGUAACGUUCAGUUCUGCAUAAUUCCUAAUCAUUUUGUAUUUUUUGCCGCAGUCGGCGUCACAUGAUGGCCGACCUUGCUCCCAGCUCAAGGCAUGGGUCCUCUCCAAAAAGGGCAAGGUGAAGGCCGAUAUCGAUUUCAACCCAGACGACCUGUCCGAGGCGUACAACCACCCUAGCAUACACAGUCGCGUCAGCGAGUAUACAAAGAUGGCUAGGGAGGUUCACGAGCCAGACUUCGAUCCGAGCUCCGAGGACAUUGAUGGAGAAAUCAUGAUGAGGGUGGGAGGAGGCAAGAAGCAUGGCCGAUAUUGAAUUGGUGACGGCGUUAUCGACACGGCCUCUACUCCUACUCUCUCCUAGAUCCGAGCUAGGAGCACGGACUCGAGCCCGGCGAUACGGCCACGACCCACCACUGCACAGUUCCAGAUGGAGGCUCUCCAGGUUCUUUCUCUUCCAUUCAUCGUUCAUUUGUUGUUAUACUUUAGCUUUGCAUUAUAACAUUGCAAUGAAAUAUUGUAGGCGCAGGUGGAAGAAGCAAGGAAGAAACAAGAGGAGAUGGCGGCACAGAUGGAGAACAUGCGGCGGCGAUGGAGGAAGAAAACCGGAUUAGGAUGGAGCAGAUGUUCCAGUACAUGCAGAAUUUUGCUUUGAGCAUAGGACAGUCUUUGCCUCCGCCACCGCCGAUGAUGUUCCCUCCGCCUCAGCCACCCACGACUACUCCUGUGAGUCACUUGACAUAUUGUGCUUAAGAUUCAAUACUUUAAUUUUGACAACUUUAGAUGUUAGUUCAGAAUGUCCUAUCCCAUGUGCAGAAUCAAUCGGCGGCUUCGAAUAAUGAACAUCAAGAUUUAUCGCAGUGGUCUCCUUGGCCUCCACGGAACUAGACUUGGUUGUGAACUUGGUUGAAACUAAAUUGUGACUUGAACUUGGAUUUAUGGAUUGUUUUGUGCUUAUGUUGAAUUAUGCAUGUGAUGUUUAUGAAUAAUGUUUCUAAUGGUGGUUGUGAAUUAUGCCUGUGAUUGUUUAUUACAAUCGAGUCAGAUUAUGAGCCAACUGCCGAAUGAGGCCCCUUUUGCUGAGUGUCGUCUCCAUGACACUCGGCAAAGAUCACCUCUUGCCGAGUGUCAUGGAGACGACACUCAGCANNNNNNNNNNNNNNNNNNNNNNNNNNNNNNNNNNNNNNNNNNNNNNNNNNNNNNNNNNNNNNNNNNNNNNNNNNNNNNNNNNNNNNNNNNNNNNNNNNNNNNNNNNNNNNNNNNNNNNNNNNNNNNNNNNNNNNNNNNNNNNNNNNNNNNNNNNNNNNNNNNNNNNNNNNNNNNNNNNNNNNNNNNNNNNNNNNNNNNNNNNNNNNNNNNNNNNNNNNNNNNNNNNNNNNNNNNNNNNNNNNNNNNNNNNNNNNNNNNNNNNNNNNNNNNNNNNNNNNNNNNNNNNNNNNNNNNNNNNNNNNNNNNNNNNNNNNNNNNNNNNNNNNNNNNNNNNNNNNNNNNNNNNNNNNNNNNNNNNNNNNNNNNNNNNNNNNNNNNNNNNNNNNNNNNNNNNNNNNNNNNNNNNNNNNNNNNNNNNNNNNNNNNNNNNNNNNNNNNNNNNNNNNNNNNNNNNNNNNNNNNNNNNNNNNNNNNNNNNNNNNNNNNNNNNNNNNNNNNNNNNNNNNNNNNNNNNNNNNNNNNNNNNNNNNNNNNNNNNNNNNNNNNNNNNNNNNNNNNNNNNNNNNNNNNNNNNNNNNNNNNNNNNNNNNNNNNNNNNNNNNNNNNNNNNNNNNNNNNNNNNNNNNNNNNNNNNNNNNNNNNNNNNNNNNNNNNNNNNNNNNNNNNNNNNNNNNNNNNNNNNNNNNNNNNNNNNNNNNNNNNNNNNNNNNNNNNNNNNNNNNNNNNNNNNNNNNNNNNNNNNNNNNNNNNNNNNNNNNNNNNNNNNNNNNNNNNNNNNNNNNNNNNNNNNNNNNNNNNNNNNNNNNNNNNNNNNNNNNNNNNNNNNNNNNNNNNNNNNNNNNNNNNNNNNNNNNNNNNNNNNNNNNNNNNNNNNNNNNNNNNNNNNNNNNNNNNNNNNNNNNNNNNNNNNNNNNNNNNNNNNNNNNNNNNNNNNNNNNNNNNNNNNNNNNNNNNNNNNNNNNNNNNNNNNNNNNNNNNNNNNNNNNNNNNNNNNNNNNNNNNNNNNNNNNNNNNNNNNNNNNNNNNNNNNNNNNNNNNNNNNNNNNNNNNNNNNNNNNNNNNNNNNNNNNNNNNNNNNNNNNNNNNNNNNNNNNNNNNNNNNNNNNNNNNNNNNNNNNNNNNNNNNNNNNNNNNNNNNNNNNNNNNNNNNNNNNNNNNNNNNNNNNNNNNNNNNNNNNNNNNNNNNNNNNNNNNNNNNNNNNNNNNNNNNNNNNNNNNNNNNNNNNNNNNNNNNNNNNNNNNNNNNNNNNNNNNNNNNNNNNNNNNNNNNNNNNNNNNNNNNNNNNNNNNNNNNCUUUGAUUUCGGGCAAACACUACUUUGCCGAGUGUCAAAACUCGAACACUCGGCAAACAUUUUGCCGACGGCCCAAAAACACUCGGCGAAAAAAAAUACUCGGCGAAAUAGGCGCUGACGGCGUCGGGGGGUAAUGGCAGCUUUGCCGAGUGCCGGAUCGCAGGCACUUGGCAAACACCAGGGGUAUGCCGAGUGUCAGCACUCGGCAAACACCACGCGUAUGCCGAGUGUUAGCACUCGGCAAAUGGGGCCCCUUUUGCUGAGUGUCGUCUCCAUGACACUCGGCAAAGAUCACCUCUUUGCCGAGUGUCAUGGAGACGACACUCAGCAAAAGGGGCCCCAUUUGCCGAGUGCUAACACUCGGCAUACGCGUGGUGUUUGCCGAGUGCUGACACUCGGCAUACCCCUGGUGUUUGCCAAGUGCCUGCGAUCCGGCACUCGGCAAAGCUGCCAUUACCCCCCGACGCCGUCAGCGCCUAUUUCGCCGAGUAUUUUUUUUCGCCGAGUGUUUUUGGGCCGUCGGCAAAAUGUUUGCCGAGUGUUCGAGUUUUGACACUCGGCAAAGUAGUGUUUGCCGACACAAAAUUUGUCGUGUGUUGUUUGCCGAGUGUUACACUCGGCAAAGCCUUUGCCGAGUGUUUUCAUGCCUUUGCUGAGUGCCUGUGGCACUCGGCAAUUUGUGUGUUUCCCGUAGUGUGUAGUCAAGAAUUGCACAGUUUGGCGAUUAGUUAUUAGAAAUAAUCUAACUUAACCCCCAAAAUUCUGACCUAUAUUACAUACCUUUAUCAUUAUAAAAACAUAUCUGAAAAUACUCCUAUGUAUGCUUCUAAAUUAUCCGCAUCUACCGCAGUUAAUAUCAGAAACUCACAAUAUAGAUAACAUAUACAUAGAUGCAGGAAGCGUUGCGGUUAAUCAAGUGUUGAUGCCAGAUUUCAUCACUAGUAAGAUCGGUGCCAAGAAGAGAGGGAAUUGGAAAAGUACAGUUGGGAAUCGGCCGAAUGGUGCUACAGUACAAGAUCGGCUGAUGACUUCUCCCUCGCUUCGGAUCGUACGCGCCGGAGUCCCAAUCGGUUGGCUUUUGCCGAUAAGGAAUCGGCCGUUUAGGAGGUUGGUUUAAUUGGGCCUGUAUGGGCUUGGAAAGGAAUAGAAGGAUAAGGGGGAGAUCAGCCCAUGAAGCGUAUAGUAACCAACCUAGCACGAAUCGUGCUUGUAAAUAUUCGUUUUCUAUUUGAAUUAGGGAUAGAAUUCUAGUCAGUUAAGGAGUCAUCUGUACGGGGCUAUAAAUAGCUACCUUUGUAAAUCUAUAAACAUCAACAAAUCAAUACAAUCAACUAUUUUUUUCCACGUACUUACUUUCAAGCAGGCGACUUCGCCAAAUACUUUCUCUUUUCACGAGUUCGUGCGAGUUGGCAAGGCUGCAUCAACUUGAUCCCCGGCCAAUCUUGUAAGUUCCGUUUACCGAGUAAAUUCUAAGCUUUAACUUUGGGCGUAUCGCUAUUGUUUCGUUUAGAUUUAUUCACUAGUUAUCGAUAUUUACUAGAAUCAUAGGUUUUACUUGUCUUUCUAGUUUUAUCACCAGUUAUCUAGGUAGGAAUCGGCGGUUUCGGCUCUCUUUACAUUAUGUUAUUAAAUUCAUCUAUUUUAUAUUGCCGAUUAGAUCUAUUCCUAGUGUUGUUAUCAUAGCUUUGCGUCGAUUACUUCAGUAAUUUUCUGUCUACAAGACUAAAGUGAUCGGCUGUCUUAUAGCCGAUUUCUUUAUUACGGCAAAUCGGCCGAUUCGCUGAUAAGCUCUCUCGAGAUCAGAAAUUUAGCCGAUCGUGAUUUCUGGACCUGACACAUAUUCUUCCUUGCCAAUCAACAGGUCAGAUUGGCUGGCACGCCGCGCGAACCGCACCAGGGCAAUCACCCGAACAGGAGUUAAGCAGAUUCUCCCGGGUCGUGUGUCAGACGCUGGGAUUCGGUUGACCGAUUUCUAGCGCCAACACACUUUUGGCACGCCUGGUGGGACCAGUACAACCGCCAUCAUGUCGAAAGCUGCUGAAGUCUCCGAAGAUAACAUCAUCAAGGUGACGGAAGCAGAUCUAGAGGACGACCAGAAGGAAGAACUGGAUAAGCAUACGACACAGUUCCGGAAAGCUUGCCUACAGUCUUUCAGUCGCUCCAGAAGCGGGGAGACUAUCAAGAAGACUCCGUUUCCUGCUCCCCGCCAGAUCACAAUUUCUGAGGACUCGGCCAAAAUGGCCGAUAUGGUUCAACAGUCCGUUUAUCACGCCUUCGUUGAUCAGUCCCCGAUACUUUCAAAUAUGGUGUACAACGCCGUUGUCAACUCCUUCGCUGGUGGGAUACCUCAAGGAUACAGGGGAUCGGCAUAUACUCAGCCGAUUCCACCAAACCGGAGUUAUUUGAAUUCGGUUUCACAGUCGAUCCAAUUUUCUGUUGGGGGUUCAGGUGCUUCCUCAUCAUCAGCUCCUGUGGGGUAUAACUCCAUCCAAAUGUCUUCUGCACCAUUCCCUCCAGUUAGCCCAUCACCUUGGGGGGCACCAUCAGCCACGGCCGGUCAGAAUCAAUCGGCCAGUCAAGGAAGCCAUCCAUUCUAGGCAUCUUUCCAAGCGGCCAUUCGGCCGACCGUGCCACCAUGCCAACCUGUCACACCAGAGAUGAAUAAAACAGCAGAGCUCAUGCUGUAUGAUGAAACAAGUGGCUCAUUCAAACAGCCGAUUUUCAAUACACAGCCGGCUUUCACUCAGAUGCCACCUGCUUUCACUCAACAUCAGGCUAUUCCACCUCCGGUAUACCAGCACGUGCCAAUGCCUCAGCCAACGGUUCACCAGCAACAGCCAGAUUGGUCGGCACGUAUUGCGGAGGUGAUUCAGGAACAAUUCGGCUUAAAGCCGAAGGAAAAUUACACCUAUAGGACACCAUACCCGUCUACAUAUGACCUACUACCGUUUCCCCAUCGGUAUAAAGUUCCUGACUUCACCAAGUUCUCGGGGAUGGAUGAUACUUCAACCGUGGAGCACGUAAAUAGAUUCAUCAUCCAAUGCGGAGAGGCAGCUACGCAGGAUGCUCUACGGGUGCGAUUGUUCUCAUCAUCUUUAUCUGGUUCGGCCUUUCAGUGGUUCACGACAUUACCGCCAAACUCAAUUAUCACAUGGGCCGAUUUAGAAAGACAGUUCCACAAAUACUUCUACGCUGGAGUGCAUGAGAUGAAGCUAUCCGAUUUGACCAGCCUCCGGUAGAGAAGUGACGAGCCGAUAUCCUCAUAUGUACAGAGGUUUCGGGAAAUCAGGAACAAGUGCUAUUCCCUGGCUCUAAACGACGCGCAGUUGGCCGAUAUAGCUUUUCAAGGCCUUCUGCCCCACAUCAAAGAAAAAUACGCCUCACAGGAGUUCGAGAGUUUAAGCCAAAUCGUCCACCGAUUGUCUGGACAGGAGGUACGUUCUUUCGAUCCACGAAGGAAUUUCCAGAAGAAAGUGGCGUUCAUGGAAGAGAUGGAGGACGAGGAAGACGUUGAGGUCGGGCUUGCGGAAUGGGUCAAGGGAAAGAAGCCAAUAUCAUGCCCGUUCGGUAAAAAGGAGCCAGAAGCAUUCGGUUUUGACACAACAAAGGCCGAUAAAAUCUUCGACCUUCUACUCCAGGAAGGGCAGAUCAAGCUCUCACCCUAUCCUACAAUACCUUCUGCCGAACAACUAAAAAAGAUGAAAUAUUGCAAGUGGCACAACGCCACAUCCCAUGAUACUAAUGAGUGCAAAAUCUUCAGGCAGCAGAUACAGUCAGCCAUUGAGCAAGGCAGACUUAAAUUUGAAGUGCCGACAAAAUUGGCCAAACCAAUGAAGAUCGACCAGCACCCCUUUCCCACCAACAUGGUUGAUACGGGGAAGAAUUCACUCCAAACAAAGGUGCUGACGUCCGAAUCGGCUAAAAAGAGUGGUGCCGUUGACCCCAGAAAUCAAGCUACGCCUGAAGAUGUCAAGGUGAAGCGGCGGAUGGAGGACGACGAUGGCGAAUCGGAAGAGCCACGCAUUACUUCCCAGUUCCUGCUCCAGAAAUACCAGCGCCAGCAUGAACGCUCAAGAUCCCGGGAAGAAGCGAUGCGACGGCACGAAGAUCACUGGAAGUGCCCGUUCUUCAUCCACUGUUGGGAAAACAACCUCAGGCUACCUUUGGCCGAUAAUUGCCCAGAAUGCAACGGUCCGUAUCGUGGCAAUCGGCCGUUCAACAGGUCUCGCUCCAGAGACGGAAGGCCAGAACCGAUCAGCAGGAAUUGGCGCAACCAAGAUGACCAGCGCCCUCCCGUGCGUGAUCGACUGGGGGGCAGAAGUGACCGAUAUGAUCGGUCGGAAGAUAGACGCCAUGACAGGCAGGGGGGCAGGACUGAUCGAUAUGACCAGUCAGAAAACAAGACCAACGUUCACAGUCGGCUUGAAGAGAUGGCCGACGCUCGGGUGACAGACGAGAACCCUUUAGGGCGCGAACCGGAGUGGGAACGGGCCAAGUCAGGGGGCAAACCAAUAAACCCCAGAUGGUGUCCCGACGGGUUGACCAAAUCUCAAAAACGAAGGAUCCAACGUCUUCGCCAAUGGGAACAGCAGCAAGAAGAACAACAGAGCACAACAGACAGGAAGGAAGGGAGGCCUCGUGUAUGGCGCCCCAAAAGAAACGAUAAAGGGGACGACGAGUCAGCAGGUGAUGAAUCGGCAGCCGAUAUUGGCAUGGUUUUCAUACUGCCGAUGGAAUUCAUGACUCCGGCCGAUCGACAGGACAUGUCGGCGGUAGAAGAGCAGAUGGCACAGUUGGCUUUGGAGCCAAUGAUGGCCAUGUUCGAGAAGCCCGAGGAUGACAAACGACAACACCUGAAGGCUUUGUUCCUCAAAGGGCAUGUCAACGGUCGCCCCCUCACCAGAUUAAUGGUAGAUGGUGGAGCUGCGGUCAAUAUCAUGCCAUAUGCCGUGCUCCGGAAGCUUGGGAAGAGCGAUGAUGACUUGACCAAGACAGACAUGAUGCUCAAAGACUUCGAAGGCGACGUGUCAAACGCUCGCGGCGCUCUCUGCGUCGACCUCACCAUCGGCAGUAAGACCCUUCCCACCACCUUCUUUAUUAUUAAUGGCAAGGGAUCCUACAACAUGCUACUCGGCCGGGACUGGAUAUACACAAAUUGCUGCAUCCCAUCAAUAAUGCAUCAAUGUCUUGUACAAUGGGUCAGCGACAACAUCGAGGUAGUCAACGCCGAUUCCGCAUACAGCAUCGCGGCAGCCGACACGCAGCAGUGGAGCUGCGAAACCGUCAGGUGCAUAUCUGGCAGAGUAUGGGAGACCGAUUUCCUGAAGGUCACUAAUUUUGGCCUGCAGCCGAUCCGAGCAGUCGGCUCCGAAGACUCAGAUUAGAUGGAUCAGUUCGCCCGAGAAGAUGGGAAGCUAGGGCACGGGUUCAGGUCGGCCGAUUCACUAGAAAUGAUAGACUUGGGCGAUGGUACCAAGCCACGACCGACUUAUAUUAGCACAAAUUUAGACCCAGAAUACAAAUGUAAAUUGACAAAUUUGUUAAGAGAAUUGAAGGAUUGUUUUGCUUGGGAGUAUCAUGAGAUGCCCGGUUUAGAUCGAUCUAUUGUUGAACAUCGGCUACCCAUAAAACCAUGGUAUCGGCCGUACCAACAGCCUGCACGGCGCUGCAAUCCUAAGAUUCAACCAGACAUAAAAGCUAAAAUAACUCGGCUAAUCGAAGCAAAAUUUAUUCGGCAAUGCCGUUAUGCCGAGUGGAUCUCCAACAUUGUACCGGUGUACAAAAAGAACGGAAAGCUACGCGUUUGCGUUGAUUUCAGGAAUCUUAAUCAGGCCACACCGAUGGAUGGUUACCCCAUGCCAACGGCCGAUGUGCUGAUCGACGCUGCCGCGGGACACAAGAUUAUCAGCUUCAUGGAUGGAAACGCCAGAUACAAUUAGAUACUUAUGGCCGAAGAGGAUAUAUCCAAAACGGCCUUCAGAUGCCCGGGCCACCUUGGUCUAUUCGAGUGGGUGGUGAUGACUUUUGGCUUGAAGAACGCCGGCGCCACGUAUCAGAGAGCCAUGAACUACAUAUUUCACAAACUUAUCGGCAUUCUGGUAGAGAUCUACAUCGAUGACGUCGUAGUCAAGUCCAAAGGACAUGAAGAGCAUCUGGCUGAUCUGCGAAGAGUGCUAGAGUGCACCAAGAAACACGGGCUUAAGAUGAAUCCCAAUAAAUGUGCUUUCGGCGUAUCCGCCGGACAGUUCUUAGGAUUCAUGGUGCACGAACGAGGAAUAGAAAUCAAUCAGAAAACCAUAGCGGCUAUCAACAAAGUCGUGGCCCCGCAGAAUAAAACCGAAUUGCAGUCUUUAAUCGGCAAGGUAAAUUUCAUCAGAAGAUUCAUAUCUAAUCUAUCUGGGCGGAUUCAGGCGUUCACACCACUAUUGAAGUUGAAGCCUGACCAGGAAUUUAUAUGGGGGGAGGAGCAGCGCAAAGCACUAGAAGAUAUCAAGCAAUAUUUGGCAUCACCACAGGUAUUGGUUCCUCCUCAAACUGGUAAGCCGUUUAAGUUAUACUUAUCAGCCGAUGAAAAGGCUAUUGGGUUGGCUCUAGUCUAGGAGUUCGAAGGCAAGGAACGGGUAAUUUAUUAUGUUAGUAGAAGACUUCUGGACGCUGAAACAAGAUAUCCUCCAGUGGAGCGGUUGUGCCUAUGUCUUUACUUCUCAUGCACCAAACUCAGGCACUAUUUACUGUCGGCAGAAUGCGUGGUCGUAUGCAAAGACGACGUAGUAAAAUACAUGCUAUCACUGCCGAUCUUGAAAGGACGAAUCGACAAAUGGAUCUUAGCUUUGUCAGAGUUCGACCUGCGGUAUGAAUCGGCAAAAGCCGUCAAGGGUCAGGUCAUGGCUGAUUUCGUCGCCCAACACUGCGGACCGGAGAUUACCCUCGUAGAGCCGGCACCUUGGACUUUAUAUUUUGAUGGGUCGUCAUGUGGGGUCAGAUGAGGAAUCGGCAUCGUUCUCAUAUCGCCUCGGGGGGCAAGCUAUGAUUUUUCUCUGCCGAUAGAAGCCACCGCUACUAACAAUCAAGCGGAGUACCAAGCUGUAUUGAAGGGCCUACAACUAUUGAGACAAGUCAAGGCUGAUUCUGUUGAAGUCUUCGGGGAUUCCAUGCUUAUUGUGGAUCAACUAACCGGAAGAUCCGAAUGCAAGGACGACGUGUUAAGAAUUUAUUACGAAGAUUGCUUGCAGCUCUUAAAAGAAUUUAGAUCGGCAGUAAUCAAGCACAUCCCAAGGGACCACAACGAGGGUGCUAACAAGCUCGCCCAGCACGCAUCUGGAUAUCGGCCAAUUCUAGGCGCUAUGGCUCUAGAACUCACGGCCGAUGAUUGGCGGAAAGAAAUUGCCGACUACCUGAAAGACCCGUCUAAAAAGGUGGAACGACGAGUACGUUUUCAUGCUACUAAAUACGUAUUGCUCGAAGACGACCUGUUCUACCGAACGAUCGACGGUGUCCUACUCAAAUGCCUGGGAACAGAGGAGGCCAAAACUCUAAUGGGAGAAAUCCAUGAAGGGGUAUGUGGAGCACACCAAUCGGCCCAUAAGAUGAAAUGGAUGAUCAGGAACAAUGGGUAUUACUGGCCAACGAUCCUCGAAGACUGUUUCAAAUAUUAUAAGGGAUGCCAGGAUUGUCAGAAAUUUGGGAAUGUCCAGCAUGCACCCGCAUCAGCCAUGAAUCCCAUUAUCAAACCAUGGCCGUUCAGGGGAUGGGGAAUAGACCUUAUCGGCCAGAUUUACCCUCCAUCAAGCAAAGGGCACAAAUUCAUUUUGGUAGCUACUGAUUACUUUACCAAGUGGGUGGAAGCAAUUCCGUUAAGAGCCGUGACAUCGGCUAUCAUGGCCGACUUCGUAAGGGAUCAUAUCGUCUACCGAUUCGGUAUUCCCCGGACUAUAACGACCGAUCAGGGAACAAUGUUCACAUUGGGUGAAUUCGAAGAAUUUACAACCGAUAUGGGGAUCAAAUUGUUGAAUUCUUCUCCGUAUUACGCCCAAGCUAAUGGUCAGGCCGAAUCCUCCAACAAAGGGAUAAUUAAGUUAAUCAAAAGGAAAAUCGAAGAGCAGCCAAAGAAGUGGCAUCUAUGUUUGACUGAGGCCUUAUGGGCGUACAGGAUGGCUUGUCAUGGGGCCACUAAGUUAUCUCCUUAUCAGUUGGUGUACGGUCAUGAUGCAGUACUACCAUGGGAAUCAAGGGCGGGAUCGAGGCGCAUUUCGCUCCAGGACCAGUUAACGGCUGAUGAAUACUCGUCGCUCAUGAAGAGGGAACUCGAUGACUUGGCUGGCCAGCGAUUGGCAGCUUUAAUAAGCAUUGAGGAAAACAAAAAGAAAGUAGCCAGGUGGUACGAUAAGAAGGUCAAAGUUAAACAAUUUUCCCCUGGGGACUUGGUUUGGAAGCUAGUAUUGCCGAUUGGGUCGAAAGAUCCUAAGUUCGGAAAGUGGUCCCCUACAUGGGAAGGGCCGUAUAAAAUCGGCAGAUGUGCUCCAGGAAAUGCUUAUAUUUUGGAAACAAUCGAGGGAGAAGAAUUUACUAGGGCUCUGAACGGAGGGUACUUAAAAAGAUACUACCCUAGUAUAUGGGUCGGAGCAUAAGGGAUUGACCGUAAUACAAUCGCACACAGCCGAUACAAAACAGUUCAAACAUAUGAUCGUCCAAAUCGGCCGAUGUAUUCAUUCGGUAUGGACGAUGGAUUACACGGCCGACAAAACACAAGUCGCCCUUAGAACAAAAAAUACAAUACCUAAUUAUUCUUUUUCUUGCGCUCUCUCUCAGUCCGGCCUAGUUCUAUCAUGAGACGGAUGUACUCUUCUUCUAUUUCCUUCAUCGAAGCCUCCGCUUCGACCUGAUGGGGGAGAGGGUGGCUCCGGUCCAACGCCGGGCAUGACGUUCCUGCCGUCAUGUCUUCAAGGGAAACUCGCGGGGGAAGCGGAUGACUCCUGUCAGUUGGAGGUCGCCGGCGACCGUUGCUCUCCAGGAAGUCCAAGACCACACGGGCCUCCGCAGUGAUGUGUUCUUGAAGUUCGUCACGAUGAGCCCUGAUCAGGUCCUUAUCCUCUGACGACAACGGGUCAUCAGAGUGUAUGAGCUCAAUGGCGCGUUUGAGCUCGGGGCUAAGACGCCGAGGCUGAAAGAAAGAAAGAUUAAAAAGGGUCAUCCUCUACUCAAGAGUUAAAAAGAGAGAGGGGAAUCAAGGCUAGGGUUUCACCUGGUUGACAGAGGAAGAGGAAGUCGACGAAGACAUGACAGAAGGUCGUGCCGACGAGAAUGGAUGCGUGAAUAAAACCGAAGCCAAGCUGGUGCUCUCGGAAGGAAGUGCCUAGGUCGGUACUUAUAAGAAAAAGAGAAGUGGAAAUUUGGUAAGGAUGCAUCCCGUCGGAAAUAGGAAAGGCAAUAAAUAAAGGAGGCGUCGCGAAGGAUGGUCAAAGCAGUUAUUAAAGGUUCGUACAAAUAGUCAGUGCCUUUACAGAUUACCCAGAAGGGUAUCGAUAGCCGCGAUCACCCGACGCCGGAUCUGAUCGGCAGAGUCCAGGACCCGUUGGUCUUCAUCCGCCGAUCCAGGGACUUCUGACGCACUACGGUGGAGCUUCAGGGCUUCGUGGGCCAAAUACUACCUCUCCUGUUUCAAAUCAGCAAUGACUAAAGGAAGUUCUUGGAGCCUUUUCUCUUCGGCGCUGAUUGCCUUGGUCACUAGCUCCAUUUCCUUAGCAAGCUCUGCCCUCCAGCGCUUGAGGCGGUCUAUCUCACCGACGAUCCCUGGGCGGGAGUCCUCCAGAAAAUGGAUACGCUGGUGCACCUCUUGAGCCUGACGUUUGAACGCAUCCUCCUCUUCACGAGUCUUGGCCAGCUUGGCGCGAUCGGCCAUGUGACGAAGGGCCCUGAAGACCGGGAUCCUCAUGGACUCGAUGAAUGCAGCCGGCGCCAAGGCUUCCUCCGCCUCUUCUGGUACUCGUCCGCUGAUGUCACCGAAAAGCUGCCGAAUCGGUGAGGCAUCUUCCACUAAUUGGCCGAUGUCCCCUUGAAGAAGGGAUCGGAUGUCGGUAAGCUUGGCUCGGACAUCGUCAGGGAUGGAGCUCGGGGCAAUUUGACGAGAGGCGACUUCUUCAUCAUCGGAGAGGGCAACCGCAAAAGAGAAGAGGUUGUUGUCAGGGGUGUCCUGUUCCUGGAGAUAAUAAAGAAGAAAAGUAAAUCGGCUGACGGUGGUAGCGAAUCGGCUAAAGAAAGCUGGAGGAUAUCUUACCGCUUUGAAGCGAAUCUCUUCAUGUUGCAUUUGGGAAAGCGUCGUGCCUUGCUCAGGGGCUUGUACCAUGGGUUCAUCGGAAGAGGAAGACUCCACGAUGAUCGGUGUGGUACUUGGACCAGCUCCCUGGGAGAGGACCAGUGGUUGAGGAGCGCUUGGCGUGCCGAUGACCUGUGUCAGAAGGUUGAAUAAGUAUAUUAUGCAAAUACUAGGGGAAUCGGUGAAAUGGUGUUGUACCUCAACAGUUGGAAGCGGGGGCGCGUCAAUGACCGAUUGGGUUGCUGCCGAUUGUUGUGUAGCCAUGGGAGUACUCUAUGCAGUCUAAGAUAAGAAGGAUUAAUAUCAAAACAACAAUCGGGAGGAAUAAAACAUGAGUUUACCUGAACGGCCUCUAACAACAAUGACGCGGCGGCUGCCCCGGCUUGUGCGACGACUUGGGUGUCAAUGACCCUGGUGGCCUGAGGGGGUGGCGCGGCCGGAGUCUCUACCGAUACGAGCAUAGGAGGAUCUGCUGAUUCUAUGCGGGCUCGGACUCGACGGCUGGUCUUCUUCACGACUCUCUUCUGAGUUUGUUUUGAUCGGCCAGCAAUCACAUCCACGGAUGGGGCAUCAUAGCCGAUGAGAGGGUAGGAGGUGUAUGGAUGAUGACCCUCUAUUAGGCGACCGCUCCGGCUAUGCGUAGGGGGAGUACGAUUCUCAGCCUAAAGAAAUAGUAAAACAUUAGUGUGUGGUCGCGUUGAAAAAGGAAUAAAAAUCGGCUAAGGAAUAUACCUCGGCGUUCGGGUCAAUGUUGGCUGGAUCCAGGAGGUUGCAGUAUGCCGAUGCCGAAUUGCAGAAGAGGAACUGUUUCCAUUCAGCCCACCAGAGUUUGAAUGGCUGGACAGCAAAGGGGGCUACUAUCCAGUUGUUUAGAUCAAUAGUGUUGGAGUCCGGGAUCCGAUCUCGUACCCGACUGUAGUCCAAGCCUGAUGUGAGGUCGUCUCUGAACUUGACUCGACCGGCAAAAUACACUUGAAUCGGCAGUUGACCCACGCCGAACUGACGUGCUGCAACAGAGGGGUUGUAGAACUCAUACGUGGGGGCAUCUUUCCCCGAGAAGAAGUUGGCUGGCAAAAUUCCUGGCUUGAUUAACUCAUCGGUGAGUUCUUCGUCGAAUCGGCCAGUGGUUGAGUCAAAGCAGGUUGGGAGUUCGAAGAUCGGGUCAUCCCGCUGAUAAGGAAACCAGACGGUUGCGUCUUCAUUGAAGCCGUUGUAAAAGCAUCGAAAGUACUCGGCCACUUUUGUAGCAGAAUACGGACAACCUGGGAAGGCCGACGCCGCUUCGCCAAAAGACAUGCAUCGGCGACGAGCGGUAGGAUCUUCUGCCGAUUCAAUGUUAGGGAACAUCAUGUGACCCACAUUCUGCUUAGUAAUCUGGUUCAUAUAAAGAUUCAGCCAUAAAUUGAUGAACCACCAGGGGCCACCUGGGUUUCCAAUCGGCUUUCCCUUGGAUAGCUUGAUGCCGAUUUGAUGAAGCAUGUGGUACGCCGCCCCUAGCAAGUGUUUCCCAAGGGGAACAUGGGUCCCUCCGGAUAGUGCUUCGGCUAAAGCCUGGGUGUUGGUUGAUGGGUCGGCUGCUCUUCCACAAAAGAAGUAUUUUUCUAACCACAUCAUUAAGAAGGCCAUGUGCUCCCUAUUCUCAACAGACCCAUUUCUUUUAUUGCAUCUGAUGAAUCCUUUCCACCCACCGAUUCCUCUUGUGUCCAGCCGAUGUGACGUUACGGCUAAGAGGCGGAAAGGUGUGUCCGGGGAGGAAAUGUCAAGGCCAGUCAACAGAACCACAUCGGCCAGUGUUGGGGUCAUAGGUCCAUGCCCAAAUAAGAAAGCAUUGAGGGCAUCAGACCAAAAGUAAGAAGCCGCUAUUACCAACGGCUCAUUUUUCUCCAUCUGGGAUAAAGACAGGUUGAUACACUGGCCGAUUUUGAGCUCGUCCCAUGAGACCCUCUUCGACUCGGCUAUUCGUUGGUACCACUCCCUCCAACCUGGGGUUUCAUUCGGCCAAGACCUAAAGGUGCCUAGCCAGUGAUCCAGGUCCAUGGUGGAUUGCUUGAAGGGGAUUCUGUGGGUUUCUAGAUUGAUGAGCUCUAUUGGAUCUGGGUUCCCCAUGGGACCGAGGUAAAUAAGGCCGGGAUUUCCCGUAAGAUGGAUAGUAAUGCGAUGCCUAACCGCCUAAAAAAGGAAAGGGGGGUGUAAAAAGGUAAGAAACAGAUCUAAAGUAAAUGCAUUGCCGAUAGAAGAAGGAUUCGGUAAUAACCUCUGGGAUGAAGUUCCGUGUGGUCGGCGUGGUCGCCGGUACAGCUGCGGAGGAUGAGGCCGCGACGGGGAUCGCCAUUGGGAUCUCCGAUGAAGCUCCUUCUUCUGCCGAUGGAGCAACUGCUGUUGCCACUACCGCCGGAGGUGCUACUUCCGGAGCAUCGCGCGCUGGAGAGCUGCCAGAAGGAGCCGCCAUUGCAGGGGAAGAGAAGAAGUAACAGGAGGAUGGCGCUAAGAAGCUUCGGCGGCAAAGGAAAGGUGCUAAGGAAAGAAGAAGGCGCGCGCGCUGAGGAAGAAAGACGUGAGCUUGAAGAUGAAGUGCGGGGUGAACCGCUAUUUAAAGGGCGCCCGAAGAGGGGUAAAAAUGGAAUUUUUACCGCACCGGCGUUUCGAGUUUUUCGGGAGUAGUGGUUGUCGUGGGCGCCCGUUUCGAAAAGAUUGCAAUCAUCAGCUGGAAGACCGCGAAACAGAAGGAUAUUUUCAUUGCGGCUGUUUCGGAGGAGAGGUUAAAAAAGAAUUUCGAAGUAAAAGACUAUGUUUUACUCUGAAACUGGGGGGCAUGUGUUAACGCCAGAUUUCGUCACUAGUAAGAUCGACGCCAAGAAGAGAGGGAAUUGGAAAAGUACAGUCGGGAAUCGGCCGAAUGGUGCUACAGUACAAGAUCGGCUGAUGACUUCUCCCUCGCUUCGGAUCGUACACGCCGGAGUCCCAAUCGGUUGCCUUUUGCCGAUAAGGAAUCGGCCGUUUAGGAGGUUGGUUUAAUUGGGCCUGUAUGGGCUUGGAAAGGAAUAGAAGGAUAAGGGGGAAAUCAGCCCAUGAAGCGUAUAGUAACCAACCUAGCACGAAUCGUGCUUGUAAAUAUUCGUUUUCUAUUUGAAUUAGGGAUAGAAUUCUAGUCAGUUAAGGAGUCAUCUGUACGGGGCUAUAAAUAGCUACCUUUGUAAAUCUAUAAACAUCAACAAAUCAAUACAAUCAACUAUUUUUUUCCACGUACUUACUUUCAAGCAGGCGACUUCGCCAAAUACUUUCUCUUUUCACGAGUUCGUGCGAGUUGGAAAGGCUGCAUCAACUUGAUCCCCGGCCAAUCUUAUAAGUUCCGUUUACCGAGUAAAUUCUUUAACUUCGGGCGUAUCGCUGUUGUUUCAUUUAGAUUUAUUCACUAGUUAUCGAUAUUUACUAGAAUCAUAGGUUUUACUUGUCUUUCUAGUUUUAUCACCAGUUAUCUAGCUAGGAAUCGGCGGUUUCGGCUCUCUUUACAUUAUGUUAUUAAAUUCAUCUAUUAUAUUGCCGAUUAGAUCUAUUCCUAGUGUUGUUAUCAUAGCUUUGCGUCGAUUACUUCAGUAAUUUUCUGUCUACAACGCUACAGUGAUCGGUUGUCUUAUAGCCGAUUUCUUUAUUACGGCAAAUCGGCCGAUUCGCUGAUAAGCUCUCUCGAGAUCGGAAAUUUAGCCGAUCGUGAUUUCUGGACCUGACACGUAUUCUUCCUUGCCAAUCAACAGGUCAGAUUGGCUGGCACGCCGCGCGAACCGCACCAGGGCAAUCACCCGAACAGGAGUUAAGCAGAUUCUCCCGGGUCGUGUGUCAGACGCUGGGAUUCGGUUGACCGAUUUCUAGCGCCAACACAAAGCAUAUAGAGUUACCAAUAACUAUAGUAUGCCAGAACUAGAUAGAACCAAGAAACUUAUCAGCGCGAACAAGCAAGUUGUUGGAAUAUGAACAAAUGUGACAUAUGCAGUGAGAAUCUGGAAAAGGCACCAUCUAUCACUUAUAUCAAUGAAGCGAGCUAGGGACAAAAUUAUACUACUCCAACUUGCUGUGGCAUAGCUGAUCUGUGGGCCCACUGUGGUAGCUAGUAAAAAGGAACAUCAGUUGCAUAUAGAGGGGAAACGUCCACAACUAAAGUGCCAGUGUGCCGCUGGCCCGUCUACCACACGUACCUUGCCCGGACUUUUGGAAUUGCUGAUAUGCUGGCACAACUAAGACAAACAAGAGACUAGCUGGAUGUCAAAUUUCAUUAUAAACUCUAUAUAUACUCCUGUUUCACAAUACUAAUAGUUACCCCAUCACCCUCUACCUUUGUCUAUAGCAUCUCCAGCCACAGUUACCCCAUCACCAACCAAUCUCUGGAUAAUAAAUCGAUUCAGGGUUGUAACACCCUACCUUCAAAAUCUACUCAGUCCCCAGCUCCUCGCAUGGAAAUGAGCCCAUAUAUGGAUAACACCUAUCUUGCACUUGCCAGCACCCAUCCACCUAUCUUCGUCUGAGCUCAUCUCUUUCCAGCACCCACCUAUGCCCAUCCCCUUCUUGCAUCUCUUGCGGCUGCUGCCACAGGAUCCACCGCCAUAGACAAUUCUCUCGGUAACCCAUCAAUACUUGGGCUCAUGCAUCUACACCAGCCAAUUGAUCUCCCCUGCCUAAAUCACGCUGCCACCGCCACCUUACGUAACUGUCCAUGCUCUGCCAACCUCAAAUAUGUUGUCCUGCCGCACCACUCACCUUCCCUAUAACACCAACUAAAAAUGAUCCCCAAACUCCAAACACUCAAACCCAAACCCUAAUCUCGCUGGAGGCUGUAGGGAAUGAGGUCGCUCAGCCUUUGAUUGAAAAAUGGAGGAUGAAGCAAAAUUCAGAAGUGCGGGGCAAGGAAAUGAUUGCUGAAAUUAGGUGUAGAUUUCCUAGACCAAAGUAUUGUGGAAUAGAGGAGCAGUACUACACAGUAAAAAUAUAUCAUUAUUUUGUACAUAUGAUGUAGGCAAUAAUUGCGACUUUUUUUUUUAGGGGGGGGGGACCUACCUGAAAUUUCAUUGGAGCUGGAAGACCCAGGUGGAUUUUCAGAGUUCGUAAGUAAAAGACCUAGGAAAAGACUGAUUGCGUAAUUACAUGGUAAACAUUUGGCACCAGAUUCAGCAACUAUUCUUUCCUCCCUCUUCCAGCGGUGGCACCAUAGUCUUGCCUCUUCUUUGCAGGUAGCACGCAGACGUCCAAGAGAUGGCUCCAUGUUCAACACUGUUCCUGUGUUUCCAGAGUUGCCAGGCGCAGAGAAGCACAAAGGUGGUGUAGUGUAGGAUGGGAAGAUUUGCCGGACGGGGAAGUUCAGUCACCUUGCAGCCUGCAGUGUCAAUCUCCAUCGACUGCCAGAAGGAACUCCCGAAGGGGCAGGCGAACAGAAGGUGGUCACUGGUUUCCUCCGCCCUUUUGCAGACUUCACAGGUAGCAUUGGAUAGAACAUUCUUCAUACGUACGCAGGUUCACCCGGCUCUGGAUUCGGUCCUGCACCAGCAGCCAGGUGACGAACUUGACACGCGGAGGCGCCUUGUUCUCCCACACGAUUCAUGGAAGACGCAUGGUGCAGGGCCAAUUGCCUGCAUCGUGGCCUUGUAGACCGGCCCUGCUCUCAUGGUGCCGUCAUCGCUCAGCAGCACUGAUGCUUUGUAGUCGUCGCCAUCUCCCAGCUGGAUGUUUUGUAGUAGUUCCUGCAUUAGCCGUGGAACAAAGAGCUGGCGCAGAUUAGAGCUCAGAUUAAGUGCACUUGACGCUUACUCUUUUCUUCCAUGUACUAUUUUAUAUCUUUCAUUUAGUGUGUAAGAUAUUAGAACAUGGGGUGGUAUCAGCACAUGGUUGGCGUGGCGGUGAAGUUGUACUAUGAUUGGAGGGCCACUAUCACAUGUGCUAGUUAAAGGCCAGACCAACAAGACGUCAACCAGACCAUACCGGGCCUCUAUAUAAAGGAACCCGAACCUAGAUAAACGUCCACACCGAAAAUGGCUGCAACACUCUUGUCCUCCUCUAUGGCUCUCGCUCUGCUUCCACUCCUGCUGCUAGCAGCCGCGUCCAUUCCCUCUCUGGCUUCAGCUUCACCUUCCCUCGACCAUGGUUUGGAUGGCGAGGAGCUGCUGAUGCUGGGGAGGUUCCAUGGGUGGAUGGCGGCGCACGGCCGGUCAUACGCCAACGAGGAGGAGAAGCUUCGCCGCCUCAAGAUAUACCGAAGCAACAUGGAGUUGAUCGAGGCGGCCAACCAGGAUGGCCGGAUGAGCUACCAGCUCGGCGAGACACCGUUCACCGACCUCACCAAUGAUGAGUUCAUGGCCCAGUACAGCAGCAAUCUGUUGUCCUCGGUGCCGCCGGAGGAGGAGAUGAUCAGGACUCGCGCUGGCCCCGUCCAUGAGGGAGGUGGCCAUGGCGGUGAUCUCCCUCUCGCCGCCGGUAAGGAGCCACCGCGACCCGCGUCCUACCAACCUGACAUCAUUGCCGGCCAGCAUUGAUUGGAGGAUGAUGGGCGUCGUGACGGCAGCCAGGAAUCAAGGCGCUUGCGGUAAGUAUGCCAGUGACAUCCAAAGCCAUGCAUGCGUGAAAAUUUACUGGUGCAAGUGUCUACGUGCUUGAAGGGUCUUGCUGAGCGUUCGCGUCGGUGGCGACGAUGGAGAGCGCACAGGCAAUACGCACACGAACAGUGCCUUCACUCCAGUCGGAACAGCAGCUGGUAGACUGCGACGGGUACGGCUAGACUUGUCACUGGAUUUGCAUUAUCCAUAGUCCAUUUGAACUAUUUUAUCCUUAGACUCUAUUGGACUGCAUCAUAUUGGUUAGGUCCAAACCUAACACAGACUUGGUUGAUCCCUUUCCAUCACCAUCUCUAGGUACGACCUAGGCUGCCGUGGCGGCUUUUUGGGCAAUGCAUUCCCAUGGGUGAUCCAGAUCGGGGGCAUCAUCUGGGCCCCGUUGUACCCCUACAUCGGUAUGUCUGGUAUGUGCCAGAGAUUCAAGCCUGCUGCGGUUAGGCUUCGGAGCUACCGGUGGGUUGUGCCCAACGAGGUGUCGCUCAUGCAGGCCGUGGCGCAGCAGCCCGUCGCGGUCACCAUCUGACGCGAGCAACCCCUGUUUCCAGCAUUACUACGUAUAAAUUGUAUACAGAUCCCAAAAUAAAUAUUCUCGUUUUGUUGUGUUCCUAAUGAGUCAUAGUUCUGUACAAAAUAUGUAUGCUCAAGCUACUCACUACGGGAAACCUCAAAGUUGCCGAGUGUAAUUGCUUCGCCGAGUGUAUUAUUGUGGGCACUCGGCGAAGGACCGGUUUGCCGAGUGCAAUCCUAGAAACACUCGGCAAACAUAAUACACUCGGCGAAAACACGAUUUGCCGAGUGCCACCAAAAAAACACUCGGCAAACACCCACGGGGCACUCGGCAAAGAUGGGGCACUCGGCAAAGUCUUGAGCACGUGACUUCCACGUGCCGCGCUGGGCCGCCGCCGUGACGGACAUUAGGCUUUGCCGAGUGUCGACGGGGGGCACUCGGCAAACUUGGAGUUUGCCGAGUGUCUCCAUGGGCACUCGGCAAGACAGCGUUCAGAGCACACCUCUCGGUGGGGCACUCGGCAAGCGCAAGCUCAACGAAUUCCUGGCUCUUACCUAGGGAAACCGAAAAAACCCUCCUCCCACUAGUGUGCCGAGUGUUGCGAAACGUUCCCCCGAGUCCAGUGCGGCCACGCGUGCGCCGCGCCCCCUGACGCGGCCAGCCACCACCAGGGCUCCCGCUCUCCGAGCCCUUUGCUCUUCUCCCUAUCCCCCCCACCACUUAUUGCAGCCGCCUCGCGCACGGCACGCCGAAAGCUCGCGUCCUGUUAGUGGCCUCGAGUAGCGUUCCCAGUGCGCAGCGGGACGGAACGAAGCCCGACCGCUGCGAGAUUUCAAGCCUUGGAUUGCGGCCGCUGCGAGAUUUCAAACCUUGGACUGCGGCCGCGUUAGGGGAUGCCUGAGUGCGCUAGUAUGCCGAGUGCUAAAAAGGACACUCGGCAAACCUACUAGUUUGCCGAGUGUCGUGAUGGGACACUCGGCAAACCUAUUAGUUUGCCGAGUGUUGUGAUGGGACACUCAGCAAAGUGGCGAGUAUGCCGAGUGCUAGAGGGAACACUCGGCAUACUUUAGGGUUUGCCGAGUGUUUUUUGACACACUCGGCAAAAGUAAUUUUUUUCCCUCCUCCACCCUCCAAACUUUUUACACUCCACAUGUAUGGCAUUUGGCACUGCAUGGUAGAAGGUGGACUAUUUAUUGACCUGUUUGCUAUAUUUAAUCAAUUAAUUUCAUUUAGAGUAAUUUUUUGAUUUAAGUCAAAUUUGAACUGCAGGUGAUUGGAAUAAUGGAAUAAUAUGAGUGGAAAAAUCAUAUUCAUGUUAGUGAGUCCAAAUUGAGGUCUCACCCAGAAAAUGAAAAGAAAUUUUGAACAUUUUGUUAAGGAAACACGACUACGAACAAGUGGCCAAAUGAUUGUUUAAUUCUCAAAAAUACAAACGAAGUUUGAAAAUCACAAGAUUUUGCAAGAUGCUAUGAUUUCAUAUGCAGAGGCUGUGGUAAAAAAUUGACAAGGUUUCGCACAAGUUUUGACAUAUGAUGUUUAGAAUUCGAAGCAUCUCCGGAGAGGAUUUGUAGAAGUUGGAAGGAUCCGGUAAGAUUUUGAGACGAAUCGAUACUUGAAUUUGUCAUUGAGUCCCAAUUUAUUUUUAUAGGCUAUAGAGAACAUAGAUUGGUUCAUGUCAAAUUUUGAGAAUUUUUCGGAUCCGUUUGGUAAUUUUUAUUCAUUAAUUGCACGUAUAUGAAUUUAAUAGAUAUAAAUUUAAUAUGAGCUAUAAAUCCAUGAAAUAAUGGAAUAAUAUGACUUAAAAAAUGAAAUACGCAAUGUUUAGUGAAUUUGACUAGGCUUUUGCAAACUUUACAUACUUUUAAUUAAUAAAACCAGUUUGGACAUGAAAUAAUAGUACCUAUUUGCCGAGUGUCACGGGAUGGCACUCGGCAAAGAGCCUAUUUGCCGAGUGUCAACCCUGGGACACUCGGCAAAUGUCGCCGCGGUCCACCUGUCAGCCGCAGUUUGAAAUUCGAAAAAAAAAUUUAAAACAAUAAAAAAAAUUGUUUGCCGAGUGCUCCUGAUCUAGCACUCGGCAAAGGCUUUGCCGAGUGCUAGAUCAGGAGCACUCGGCAAAGCGGGCACCCCCACCACACUUAGCGCAUCACGCGCCUCACGCGGACAGGCACAGGCACAACACGCACACGCCCGCGCCCGCCCGGCCCCCCGCGACCGCUCCGCCGCCCGGGCCGAGCCGUCGCCGCUCGCCCGCGCCGCCGCCACCGCCGCUCGAACAACCGCGCCCGCUCCGCCGCCCCGCGCCCGCUACCGCCACCAUGUUCGCGCCGGCGCCGCUCGCCCUCACCGCACUGGCACCCCAGCAUCACCGCGACCGGCUGCGCGCCGCACAGACUGGUCUGAGACGCCAAUGAAUAGAUGACCUUGCUAGAGAGUCAACUCAGGCCCACAUAGCGCAGGCUCGCCCGUCCGCUUCGACUCCGGCCAGACCCCGACCCCGGGGCGUCUGGCAGGAUCGCUUGUCGCCGUCCCCAUUGCCCUNNNNNNNNNNNNNNNNNNNNNNNNNNNNNNNNNNNNNNNNNNNNNNNNNNNNNNNNNNNNNNNNNNNNNNNNNNNNNNNNNNNNNNNNNNNNNNNNNNNNUUGAAUACAGAUAGCUUGGAAUUAUCCCUGCUCUCAGCGGAUCAUUAACUGGUUCUGUUUCCCACCUUUGCAGUUUUCUUGGACAGAUAAGCUUAUGUGUUGGUGUCUUUUGUAUCUAUGGUAGAAUCCGGUUCGAGAUAGAGUUCGGCAGCACCUUACUUUUAUUCUCCAGAACACAAUCUCCCUGUCAAGGACGUGUAUUUGGAGAACAGCGGGGAGGUGCUGCCGAAAUUUUAUCUCGGGUCAGAGUAGACCAUGGAUAUUAAACCCACCUACACAUUCUCGGGUGGGAUUAGGACCUAUCUUUACCUAGUAGACAAUAAAGGAACGUGUAUAUGUAAUGUGAAUUUUGUAUUACUCGCUUAAAUGGUAGAGGAUGGAGGAUCGUCAGUGGAUGUACAUGGGUCGCAAUAGUCAGAAUACGUUGACCAAUGAAUGGAUUGACAAGACGGAUGCUUUCUUGGAACGGGCAUUUGCAAGUGUCAAAGGAGCUCGAUCGACUUGGUGUCCGUGCAGCAAAUGUGGAAACAUGCGUCGGCAAACCAAGCUAGACAUGGGCAAACAUCUUGUGAAGAACAGAUUUACGUCAGACUACACCAGGUGGAUCUACCAUGGUGAAUCUGACCGUGGGAGAGAGGAGGUCCUGAGACAACGCAUCGAGGAAUUUGAUGAUGAUGCCGGGGUGGGAGACAUGUUAAAUGACUACCAUGAAGCACACUUCGAAGAAGCACGUAGGGAGGAGGAGCCAGAGGCUACCGCUAAGGCUUAUUACGAAAUGUUGUCUGCGGCACAGCAACCCCUUCACGGCCAUACCAAGGUUUCUCAACUAGAUGCCAUUGCACGCCUAAUGGUUGUGAAGUCUCAGUUUAGUUUGAGUCGAGACGCGUUUGAUAUUAUGUUGACAGUUUUUGGAAGCCUGCUCCUGGUUGGUCACAUCUUGCAAAGAGCAUGUAUGAGGCACAAAAACUCCUUCGUGCACUUAAGAUGCCAUACGAGCAUAUACAUGCUUGCCCGAAGGGAUGCAUCUUAUUUAGGAAAGAGUAUGCGGAAGCAAAAUACUGUGUGAAGUGCGAAUCGUCUAGGUUUCUGGAGGUAGACUGUGGUGACGGUCAGAAAAAGCAGCUCGCAAUUCCUGUGAAGGUUCUACGGUAUCUUCCUUUCAUACCGAGGAUCCAACGGCUUUUCAUGACUGAAGAAUCCGUGAAACAGAUGACAUGGCACAAAAAUGGCUGUCGCUAUAAUCCUGAGAAGCUGGUACACACAUCCGAUGCUAAAGCCUGGAAAAGCUUUGAAGCGAUUUAUCCUGCAAAAGCUCUAGAGGCCUGUAACGUACGCGUUGCGUUGGCAACUGAUGGGUUCAAUCCUUAUGGAAUGGCUGCCGCCCCGUACACCUGUUGGCCCAUUUUUGUUAUCCCCCUGAAUCUCCCCCCCGGCGUCCUAUUUCAAUGACAUAAUAUAUUCUUAUCGUUGAUAAUUCCAGAGCAUCCGGGGAAUAAUAUGAGUGUGUACAUGGAGCCUCUGAUUGAUGAUUUGCUCCGUGCUUGGGAGGAAGGGGUAUGGACAUUUGACCGAUCCACAAAGACAAACUUCAAGAUGCAUGUUUGGUACCAGUACUCACUGCAUGACUUGCCGGCAUAUGGGAUUUUCUCCGGAUGGUGUGUUCACGGGAAGUUCCCAUGCCCAGUAUGUAAAGCAUCUUUAAAGUUCAUUUGGUUGUCGAAAGGUGGCAAAUAUUCUUCGUUCGACAAACAUCGACAAUUCCUCCCUCCUGACCAUCCAUUUAGACGAGACAUCAAGAACUUUACCAAAGAUGUUGUAGUUACAGCCCCCGCACCGCCGAUGAUGACAGAGGCCGUAGUUCGUGCUCAGUUAGACGCUCUCAAGGUCAAUAAUGAAGAAGGUGGUUUUUUGGGAUAUGGCGAGCAACAUGCUUGGACGCGGAAGUCGUGCUUGUGGAAGCUUCCAUAUUUUGAUGAUCUUCUUGUUCCACAUAACAUUGAUGUAUUGCACACGGAAAAAAAUAUCGCCGAGGCAAUUUUUGGUACAAUAAUGGACAUUCCUGACAAGACAAAGGAUAACGUUAAGGCUAGAGUGGAUCAAGCGACAUUGUGCAACAGACCACAGCUAAACAUGGCGCCUCCAAGAGCUGGCAAGUCGUGGAGGAAGCCUAAGGCUAAUUUCGUUCUGACAAGGGCCCAAAGGAGGGAGGUUCUAGAAUGGUUCCAAACGUUAAUGUUCCCUGAUGGCUAUGCAGCGAACUUGAAGAGGGGAGUGAAUUUAGCAACUAUGCGAAUCAACGGGCUCAAGAGUCAUGAUUACCAUAUAUGGCUUGAGCGCCUACUUCCGGUGAUGGUUCGAGGCUAUGUCCUUGAGCAUGUGUGGCAGGUGCUAGCGGAGUUGAGCAAUUUCUUCCGCCGGCUUUGUGCGAAGGAGUUAUCUCGUACUGUGGUUGCAAAAAUGGAAGCAAUGGCACCUGUGUUGCUGUGUAAGUUGGAGAAGAUCUUUCCUCCAGGCUUCUUCAAUCCAAUGCAGCAUAUGAUUCUACACUUGCCGUAUGAAGCAUGAAUGGGGGGGCCUGUGCAGGGUCGUUGGUGCUACUCAAUUGAGAGAUGUCAAAAGGUUCUUCGAACUAAAUGUAAGAAUAAGGCAAAAUUGAAGCAUCCAUUGUAGAGGCAUACAUUCUGGAGGAGGUGUCAAACUUCACAUCGAAAUACUACGCUGACAACCUUCCUAGCAUGCAUAAUCCACCUCCUCGUUACAAUGCCAGCGAAGAUGAAUUAAGCCUUAGCAUUUUCCGAGGGCAACUUGGAAGUGCAAGUGGUGCGAUCCGCAAGACCCUAAACCAUGAAGAGUGGCGCUCUAUCAUGCUGUAUGUGUUGACCAACUUAUUUGAAGUGGAGCUGUACAUGAUGUAAGUUCUCAUAAACUUGUUUCGACAUAGUCACCGUAUCUCUUGCCUAAACGUAUCUUUCUCGUUGCUAUAGGCAAUUUCAUCAUCAAUUCUAGCGUAAAUCAAGGCAACCGUACCCGCAUGAAGCUGAGACUCUUCUUAAAGAGGGUGCGGGAAAUGGAAUGCCCGAUUUCAUUUCCUGGUUCAAACAGAAGGUACAAUUUCAUUUCUUCGAACAUUCUCGUUCUCGUACAUACGAUUAAUAUAACGAACUGCCCUGUUUGAACUUGCAGGGCCGAACCGAUGCAUCUAUGAAUGUCGAGUUGAGACAGGUUGCCGAUGGUUGUGACUAUAGGGUCAGGUCGUUUGCCGGUUAUGACGUCAACGGAUAUAGGUUUCACACAACAAGGCACGAGCAGAGUUGGCCCAAUCGAAGAACCACAAAUACCGGAGUUUUCACGCCAGGCUCCGAUGGGGUCGAGUACUACGGAAGAAUUGAAGAAAUAUACGAACUCACUUUUCAUGGGUGCAAACCUCUUAAUCCAGUUAUAUUCAAAUGCCAUUGGUUUGAUCCAUCUGUCGUGAGACGGGCCCCUAACCUUAGGCUAGUCGAAAUUCGACAGUCAUCCAGGUUACCAGGAGACGAUGUCUAUAUUGUGGCUCAACAGGCUACGCAAGUUUAUUAUUUGUCAUACCCGUGCCAAACCGACACCCGUCUUAAGGGUUGGGAUGUUGUGUACAAGGUAUCACCACACGGUAAACUACCUGUACCAAACAAUGAAGAUUACAAUAUAGACCCCGACACGUACGAAGGAGAGUUAUUCCAAGAAGAUGGGCUCGAAGGGAGUUUUGUGAUAGAUUUAACCGAAGCGAUCGGAAUGGAAGUAGACAACGAGAGGGUUGCUGCAGAGGACGGUGGAGACGAGGUUCAGAAUGUGAAGGACUUAGAAUUACUUCAACGAUUACAGUUAGCUAAUGACAGUGAUGACGACAUUCCUUCUUCGGAGCACGAGCUUGACUAUAUCGACACGCGUGAUAGUGAUGAUGAGACUUAUGAUCCAGCUAAUCCCGAUCAUGAUGAUUAUUUCUAAUACAUGUAUGAUUCGUACUAAUUUAGUUAUAAUUUAAUUAUAAUUUGCAUAUCUUUGUAAUUAUGUGUUGUUUGCCUAUGCUGACUCGUGUACUCUUUUUAAUUGCAGGUCAUUGAGCAACGGUGGGCGGUAUAAGGAAGCUCACGUCGAUUUGCGAGAGACUGGCCGCGUCAGGGACUGGUUUAGGGUCAGGGUCACGUUUAGGGAGCGGUCGAGGGAGGUGUCAAGGCAGGCCUCGACAGCAUGUGUGGCAGGUGCUAGCGGAGUUGAGCAAUUCUUCCGCCGGCUUUGUGCGAAGGGAGUUAUCUCGUACUGUGGUUGCAAAAAUGGAAGCAAUGGCACCUGUGUUGCUGUGUAAGUUGGAGAAGAUCUUUCCUCCAGGCUUCUUCAAUCCAAUGCAGCAUAUGAUUCUACACUUGCCGUAUGAAGCAUGAAUGGGGGGGCCUGUGCAGGGUCGUUGGUGCUACUCAAUUGAGAGAUGUCAAAAGGUUCUUCGAACUAAAUGUAAGAAUAAGGCAAAAUUGAAGCAUCCAUUGUAGAGGCAUACAUUCUGGAGGAGGUGUCAAACUUCACAUCGAAAUACUACGCUGACAACCUUCCUAGCAUGCAUAAUCCACCUCCUCGUUACAAUGCCAGCGAAGAUGAAUUAAGCCUUAGCAUUUUCCGAGGGCAACUUGGAAGUGCAAGUGGUGCGAUCCGCAAGACCCUAAACCAUGAAGAGUGGCGCUCUAUCAUGCUGUAUGUGUUGACCAACUUAUUUGAAGUGGAGCUGUACAUGAUGUAAGUUCUCAUAAACUUGUUUCGACAUAGUCACCGUAUCUCUUGCCUAAACGUAUCUUUCUCGUUGCUAUAGGCAAUUUCAUCAUCAAUUCUAGCGUAAAUCAAGGCAACCGUACCCGCAUGAAGCUGAGACUCUUCUUAAAGAGGGUGCGGGAAAUGGAAUGCCCGAUUUCAUUUCCUGGUUCAAACAGAAGGUACAAUUUCAUUUCUUCGAACAUUCUCGUUCUCGUACAUACGAUUAAUAUAACGAACUGCCCUGUUUGAACUUGCAGGGCCGAACCGAUGCAUCUAUGAAUGUCGAGUUGAGACAGGUUGCCGAUGGUUGUGACUAUAGGGUCAGGUCGUUUGCCGGUUAUGACGUCAACGGAUAUAGGUUUCACACAACAAGGCACGAGCAGAGUUGGCCCAAUCGAAGAACCACAAAUACCGGAGUUUUCACGCCAGGCUCCGAUGGGGUCGAGUACUACGGAAGAAUUGAAGAAAUAUACGAACUCACUUUUCAUGGGUGCAAACCUCUUAAUCCAGUUAUAUUCAAAUGCCAUUGGUUUGAUCCAUCUGUCGUGAGACGGGCCCCUAACCUUAGGCUAGUCGAAAUUCGACAGUCAUCCAGGUUACCAGGAGACGAUGUCUAUAUUGUGGCUCAACAGGCUACGCAAGUUAUUAUUGUCAUACNNNNNNNNNNNNNNNNNNNNNNNNNNNNNNNNNNNNNNNNNNNNNNNNNNNNNNNNNNNNNNNNNNNNNNNNNNNNNNNNNNNNNNNNNNNNNNNNNNNNNNNNNNNNNNNNNNNNNNNNNNNNNNNNNNNNNNNNNNNNNNNNNNNNNNNNNNNNNNNNNNNNNNNNNNNNNNNNNNNNNNNNNNNNNNNNNNNNNNNNNNNNNNNNNNNNNNNNNNNNNNNNNNNNNNNNNNNNNNNNNNNNNNNNNNNNNNNNNNNNNNNNNNNNNNNNNNNNNNNNNNNNNNNNNNNNNNNNNNNNNNNNNNNNNNNNNNNNNNNNNNNNNNNNNNNNNNNNNNNNNNNNNNNNNNNNNNNNNNNNNNNNNNNNNNNNNNNNNNNNNNNNNNNNNNNNNNNNNNNNNNNNNNNNNNNNNNNNNNNNNNNNNNNNNNNNNNNNNNNNNNNNNNNNNNNNNNNNNNNNNNNNNNNNNNNNNNNNNNNNNNNNNNNNNNNNNNNNNNNNNNNNNNNNNNNNNNNNNNNNNNNNNNNNNNNNNNNNNNNNNNNNNNNNNNNNNNNNNNNNNNNNNNNNNNNNNNNNNNNNNNNNNNNNNNNNNNNNNNNNNNNNNNNNNNNNNNNNNNNNNNNNNNNNNNNNNNNNNNNNNNNNNNNNNNNNNNNNNNNNNNNNNNNNNNNNNNNNNNNNNNNNNNNNNNNNNNNNNNNNNNNNNNNNNNNNNNNNNNNNNNNNNNNNNNNNNNNNNNNNNNNNNNNNNNNNNNNNNNNNNNNNNNNNNNNNNNNNNNNNNNNNNNNNNNNNNNNNNNNNNNNNNNNNNNNNNNNNNNNNNNNNNNNNNNNNNNNNNNNNNNNNNNNNNNNNNNNNNNNNGGUUGCGAGGUCCCUCAUUCCUCCCGAAGCGGCCGAUACCUGAGCAUUUACGCCCGCUGAUUAAACCGGUUGGGACCAAGUAAGUAACUUUAAAUAUUCUUAAUAUUGUUCUUAUGUUGAAAGUUACAAAAACUAAUAAUUCAUAUUAAUGACUUGUGCAGGAGUUGGAUUAAGCUCAGUGGGGGUGACCACAACCGUAAGGCCAACGGGAUCCUUGGCCUUUUGUGCAGGGUUCACUUCCCUGGCUUGGUGGUGUACGCCGGACAGCAGCAGCCAGCCUACAUGUGGGACGACUAUCUCGCCGCCCCCGAUGUCCCUGAUCGUCAACAGAGAAGAUUCCCCAACAUAGCGGAGCGGGUCAAGGCCGAGAUGUGGGUAAGUACUCCUCGUACUAAAUUGCUCAAUACAUCACCUACUUUCGACAUUCUUGAAAUAAUAACUGUAUACGCGUGUAUAUGCAGGAUUUCUAUUGAUGCCAGGAGGGGUUCGAGGCCAAGGCGAAGGCCAUCUAUGAUGUAGCCGCCAAGAAGCUCGUGAAGGACAUGCAUUACGAGGCGCGCAUCCAGGCCAUCAUCGAAUUCCACGCUCAAUACAGACAGAUGAAGGUUAGAAAAGAAGAGGCAAGAACACUGAACAUGACUAAGGACCAAUUCAUGAGGGUAAGUAAAGAACGUUGAUGCUUACUAUUUAAGAUUAAUUAGGCUCAUUUUUUCUUUUUCAUAUGUCACACGCUUGAUGAUGUAGGUGCCUCCGUGGUGGUGUCAUGCGCAUAUGCCGUGCUGGGAGAGGAUGGUCGACGUGUGGUUGGAGCCCGGGUGGUUGGAGAACCACCUUGCUUGCCGACAGCGGCGUUUGCAGAUGCCAACUGCACCACACCAUCAAGGCAGCCUAAGCCUUGAUGAAUAUAGAGAAAAAUGGGUACGCAACUUCAAUUCUUUAUUGUAACGUUCAGUUCUACGUAAUUUUUAAUGAUUUUAUAUUUUACCGCAGUCGGCAUCACAUGAUGGCCGACCUUGCUCCCAGCUCAAGGCAUGGGUCCUCUCCAAAAAGGGCAAGGCGAUGGCCGAUACAGAUUUCAACCCAGACGAUCCCGUCCGAGACGUACAGCCACCCUAGCAUACACAGCCGCGUCAGCGAGUAUACAAAGAUGGCUAGGGAGGUUCACGGGCCAGACUUCGAUCCGAGCUCCGAGGACAUUGAUGGGGAAAUCGUGAUGAGGGUGGGAGGAGGCAAGAAGCAUGGCCGAUAUUGGAUUGGCGACAGCGUCAUCGACACGGCCUCUACUCCCACUCUCUCCCAUAUCCGAGCUAGGAGCACGGACUCGAGCCUGGCGAUAUGGCCACGACCCACCGUUGCACAGUUCCAGAUGGAUGCUCUACAGGUUCUUUCUCUUCCAUUCACGUUCGUUUGUUGUUAUAAUUUGGCUUUGCAUUAUAACAUUGCAAUGAAAUAUUGUAGGCCCAGGUGGAAGAAGCAAGGAAGAAACAAGAGGAGAUGGCGGCGCAGAUGGAGGAAAUGCGGCGGAGGAUGGAGGAGGAAAAUCGGAUUAGGAUGGAGCAGAUGUUCCAGUACAUGCAGAACUUUGCUUCGAGCAUGGGACAGUCUUUGCCUCCGCCACCGCCGAUGAUGUUCCCUCCGCCUCAGCCACCCACGACUACUCCUCUGAGUCACUUGACACAUUGUGCUUAAGAUUCAAUACUUUAAUUUUGACAACUUUAGAUGUUAGUUCAGAAUGUCCUAUCCUAUGUGCAGAAUCAAUCGGCGGCUUCGAAUAAUGAACAUCAAGAUUUAUCGCAGUGGUCUCCUUGGCCUCCACGGAACUAGACUUGGUUGUGAACUUGGUUGAAACUAAAUUGUGACUUGAACUUGGAUUUAUGGAUUGUUUUGUGCUUAUGUUGAAUUAUGCAUGUGAUGUUUAUGUAUAAUGUUUCUAAUGGUGGUUGUGAAUUAUGCCUGUGAUUGUUUAUUACAAAUGCCUAUGAUGAUGUGUAUUAUGAAUUGAGAGGGAUCCGUUAUACGUGACAAAAUGGGGAAAAAAGGGGGGUUCUGGGCACUUUCCCGAAUGUUACACUCGGCAAAGAGGGGCCUUUGCCGAGUGUUUUGGCUUUAACACUCGGCAAACAUGGGCACUUUGCCGAGUGCUGACACUCGGCAAAGCCCUGGUGUUUGCCGAGUGCCUCCCGUCUGGCACUCGGCAAACCUGCAGUUAAACCCGACGCCGUCAUCGCGUAUUUCGCCGAGUACAUCUUUUCGUCGAGUGUUUUUUGGCCGUCGGCAAAAUGUUUGCUGAGUGCUCGCAUUUUGACACUCGGCAAACUAGGCUUUGCCGACAGGAAAUUUGCCGUGUGCUCUUUGCCGAGUGUUUUUGGGCUUUCGCCGAGUGCCUGUGGCACUCGGCAAAGCUUCUGGUUCCGUAGUGACUAUUGUAGAUCGUUUGCGAAACUAAUUUUCUUAGCUUCCUUGUAUCAUUUAUAUUCCAGAUCUGUAACUUGAACUCGUGGAAUAUAUGUGUUUUCCCACUGUUUUGGAUUUAUUCCUUGUUUGCUGAUUGAAUCUUGAAAAGUUCAUAGUAAAUAGCAGAAAAAUGAUAAAAUGUUGGAACUACAUUUGUUAGACUAGUUUUCCUGUACAGAACCUCUGAAAAAUUUUCUCCAUGUCUUCAUUGCCGGCACUUAGCCCAGAACGCCUUGCACUGUUGCACAGUCCGCAACUAACUCUUCUCUUCUACUCUUUUUGCACGGAAGUUCCCUGAAAUCAUAUCAGAAGUCUCAAAUUAUUACACACGCCAUAGCUUUUCGUUGUACACCUCAGAAGCCCUCGAGAAGUAAAAUUGACCAUAAUUUAGCCGUGUAAUCGGCCAAUGCCACAUCAAAUAGUCAAAUCAAGUAGUAAGCAUUUGCCAGAUCAAGUAUUCUGCAUCUCAAGUAGGAGUUAACAAAAGCAGCAAAUGCAUUUCUUCCAAUGUGACGGAAAACAUAAAUAAGCCGGAUUCUCCAAGCAAGUGUAGCCCCUGUGAUAGAUCAUGCAACGGAGAAAAUAUAUCAUUUGGUCAUACCUGAGAAUUGGGAUGGGAUUUUGGGAGGGAUACAUGUAUUUGUAACCAGUUCGUUCCUUCACAUAUUGUGGUCGUCGGUGGCAUGGUGCAGCUGGGUUUUGCCAUCCUAUUUUCGAUAGAAAAAACAAGAUCAUUUAACAUAUGUGCACAGGUAUAUGCAUGUAUACAUUAGCUUCUAAACCGUAAAAGAACUUGAAUUAGUGUGUAUCAUGGCUGGCGAAGGGAUGCGGCUGAUGGACUCCGUGCUUGCGUCGUCGUGCAUUGAUUGGAGGAUGAUGGCCGUCGUGACGGCAGCCAAGAAUCAAGGCGCUUGCGGUAAGUAUGCCAGUGACAUCCAAAGUCAUGCAUGCGUGAAAAUUUACUGAUGCAAGUGUCUACGUGCUUGAAGGGUCUUGCUGGGCGUUCACGUCGGUGGCGACGAUGGAGAGCGCACAGGCAAUACACACACGAACAGUGCCUCCACUCCUGUCAGAACAGCUGCUGGUAGACUGCGACGGGUACGGCUACACUUGUCACUGGAUUUGCAUUAUCCAUAGUCCAUUUGAACUAUUUUAUCCUUAGACUCUAUUGGACUGCAUCAUAUUGGUUAGGUCCAAACCUAACACAGACUUGGUUGAUUCCUUUCCAUCACCAUCUCUAGGUACGACCUAGGCUGCCGUGGCGGCUUUUUGGGCAAUGCAUUCCGAUGGGUGAUCCAGAUCGGGGGCAUCACCUGGGCCCCGUUGUACCCCUACAUCGGUAUGUCUGGUAUGUGCCAGAGAUUCAAGCCUGCUGCGGUUAGGCUUCGGAGCUACCGGUGGGUUGUGCCCAACGAGGUGUCGCUCAUGCAGGCCGUGGCGCAGCAGCCCGUCGAAGUCACCAUCUGACGCAAGCAACCCCUGUUUCCAGCAUUACUACGGCGGCGUGUACGACGGAAGGUGCUUCUGGAACGGCGUCUACAUCGGUGGGGCGUGCGGGACGGCGCCGAAUCACGCGAUAGCCAUCGUCGGCUACGGGACCAAGCCGGGCGGAACCAAGUAUUGGAUCGGCAAGAACUCGUGGAGUGGGAGUUGGGGUGACAAAGGUUUCGUUUACCUCCUCAGGGACUCUGCACGCGUAGGAGUGUGCGGCGUUGCUCAGCAAGCGCGCUACCCUAUCAUCUGAUCAUCCCAGUCGCCAAAUCGCCACGCACCUCAUAUGUUUGCCUCCAUGUGCUUGCAUUCAUGUUUUCACCAUACCUUGCUGUUUACUCAUGUAUACUCCAUUGUUGCAGUAUGAAUGCUACAUGUGUAUACGCGUACUGUAUGUUUGUACUUUAUACAUGUAUCAUUGUAAGGGUUAGGAUGCUACACAUGCAUCCUUGCCUAUGAAUAAAUACUCUUUGUAUAAUGGACGUCCAACUUAUAAGAUGUCUGGAAAAUAGGAUCUAUAUAUCCAGGUCAUAGGUGUCGUCCGACCGAUUCCACUACUACAGAACAUGUUAUCUGUGCUGGCCAAAAGCGCACCGGCACGGAAAACUGUUGUGUCAAUCAUAAGUAUUUUUACCUGAAGGUUAUACACAGAAGUAAAGUAAAUAUGGAAGAAUACACAAAGAACAAGUAUGGAAAUUCAUUCACUUUAGAGUACAAUGCAAUUUCCCAUUGUGUGGCUGCUGAAUCACGUGGCCUCGAGAGGCCUCCGGACAAUAAGAGAAGUUUCAAUUUCAAGUAGCGUUGAAGGGAGGCAUACAAUUGAAGGACUCGAAAGGCAACAAGAGGGGUUGAAUGCGAGCCGAUUCAAAUUUUCUCCAAGAACUUCAGCUAAAAACCCACAAGCCUCUCUUCUAGCAAAAUCAAGUCCACUUAGCUAUGCACAAGCUAAUAGACCUAGGAAUGAUGCUACGAACCCAAUUUGAGAAUAGCGGAAGCAAGAAAAACUCCAAACAAGCUCCGGAAGACAAACUUUGAAAACCAACAUCUCUGUGCGGAAAAAUUCGGAGGAACCUUCGGAAAAUUCCGGACGUGCGAAAAUUUCCGAAGGUCCGGAGAUUUCCGGAAUUAUAUCAGGAGGUUUCCGGAAUUCCAAAACAGCCUGCGCGAAGAUGGUAGAAAAAUCUGAAACGGGGUCAAACGACCUCCAAUAAUCACAAAAUUUGAACCAUAGCUUCACAACUUAGUAAAGAAGCUUCUCCUAUGAAAUCAUCCCCAAAAGAUUUGCCAAUCAAGAAGAAUUCCAAAUCUUGUGAAGAACUCUAUUUUCUCAACCCCAAAACUUGAAUCGAUCCGAUCUUUGAACUCGUAAUGUUUCAAUUAAAUCCCUUCGGUGGAAAGGUUCAACUCACAUCCUAGUUCAUUUUCAAACAACUGGAUUGAUUUAAAACUCCCCACAAAACAUGAAUCGACCAAAAAUGUGAAGGCAGCGGAGAGGAAGAAGCAAAAACGUGAAGAACACAAACGCAAAUUGCAAAUCCAAACGGGAUGCAACAAGAUAGCAUGAAAUUGAUCUUUGGAUUACUUCACCAUGUCCGGUUACAAGCCACUCCUUAGCACAAUCAAAGCUAGGAUGGCAACAAGAUCAAACAAAGAUCCACUCUUCUCUCCCUCUCUCCCUCUACCAAAGACUCUCACAAAACAAAUGAGUAGCCUACCACCAACAAGCCCAAGGAGAUGGCUGCCCCAACAGCCCCUCCUCAUAUAUAUAGACAUUUGGCAAAUGUCCAAAAUACCCUUACAUUAAGCAUACAACCCAAAUAUCUCUAGGGGUAAAAUUGUCUAACUUUUUCCUCGUACAUUCGAUGGACCCGACACCUUCACGACUUAGCUUCGUCUUGUCACAAGCUUCGCGAUGGUACCACGUGUGCUCCAACUCGACCCGUCCAGCCGCACCAAACUCGCCCCCGGUUUUGAGGCCCAAACCGGCAAACCUGCCUGCGCGGUGGUUUUGAGGCCCAAACCACCCAAACCCUCUGCACGCCCACCUGGCGCGACUCACCUCCGAUUUUGAGGUCAAACCGGUCAAACCCUCUGCACACCCUCUUGGCAUGACUCACCCCCGGUUUUGAGGUCAAACCGGUCAAACCCUCUUGCAUGCCCCGCAAGGCAUGACUCACCGAUGUCGACGCGUGUCCAGCCUCUGCCAAGCCUUUGACGCCUCCAAGUCUUUCGCUCCCGGCUCUCGGGCCGCCUAUUCGACUCGCCUCCAUCCCGCUUGACUCGAUCGACGCCGUCUCCAUCCCGUCCAUGUACUCUUGCUCUUCCGUGCACCAUGUGGAUCGCCCAUGACUCUGCCCGGACUCCUCGGGUCCCUCGAUCCAAGCCUACUCAUGUCCACCCUUCACAACCCUAGUACAUCAGCAUGGACCUUUCGCGCUUGACCAUCACCUCAUGCCGUGUACCGCCAUGUCGCAUCCUACACCUGCACAUUACAAGCCAAGAGACACAACACACAAGAUAUGUUUUAUACAAACACCGCAACACAACUCACACCUCCGGUUAGCCGUUAGCUUAAGCAAGUGCAUAUGGAAUAUGGACUUAACCGGUAAAGCCUUAAAUCAUCUAGUCAAUCACUCAUCACAAAUAGACCAAGGCACAUCUCAACUUGGUCUGUCAAUCUCCCCCUUGAUAAGUGCAUUGACAAAAGAUGAUUUGAAAGCAAAAGAGAACUCAUUCAAGUACCCAAAAGCCAAGUAAGAGCAAACACAAGGCCACUUGAAAUGAGAAGGGAUUAUGCAAGCUCCAAACAAAAAACUUUCAGUUCCUAAAGAAAAAGGGCAAAGAGUUAACACAACUGAAAAGUCAAGCGAAAGACACAAGAGCUCCAUGCAUCCCAAAACCUUCAAACAUAUUUCAACAAUUGUCAAACGCUCAUCACUAUCAAAUCAAGAUUCAUAUUAACUUGAUUUCUCAAUCUUCCCCUUGAUGAGUGUGUUGACAACAUUCAAGCACAAAGAAAUGGUUUGAGAGGCAAAAGUCAAAAAUCUCAUUCAAGUGAUCGAAAGCUAAAUAAAAACAUAGAUCAAAGUCACUUGAGAUGAGAAAAACCAUAAAAGCUAAGUUGUGAAACCAAUUAGGCAAACCUCCCAUUCAAGUGAUCGAAAGCCAUGUAAAAGCUAUGAUUAAAGUCACUCGGCAUGAGAAGACAUGGGCAACGGCUCGACACAACCGAGAUAAAUAACACAUGAUCCCUCAAUAAGAGGUAGAAAGAGCUCAACACCAAUCAUGUGAAGGUCGAAAACACAUGAUCCCUCAAGAAGAGGUAGAAUGGGCUCAACACCAAUCAUGUGACGAUCGAAAUCUCAAACCAAAUGCCGGUUCCUCAGGAAGAUGUAAAAGCUCAACACAACAAGCAAAAGAGCAAAAGAGAGCACAAAACUCACAAGCUCGCCCUGACACAUGCACUCCCCCUGGAAACAUGCCACAAUGAAAUGCAUGCACAAGAGCAAAAGAAUGCAUGCUCCCCCUCAAAUGCAACACUCCCUAUUAAAUGCAAGACUCCCCUUAAAUGCAAACACAAGAUUCACGUGGGAGCACAAAAUGCAUCCCAUGAGGUGUACAACCUACCAAACUUGUUAAAUAUAUCACAAAGCACUUGCAAAGUCUACAAGUGAGAUAAUACAAGCAGGUAGAUCAUAAAGAGCAAUUGCAUCGCCAUAAAGAGGAUAUUAUGAUAUAAGCAAAAUACGAAGCAAGUUGUCAAGUUUUGCAGUUCAUAAAAGUAUCACCACAUGAGCAAGCACCUAGUCAUUAGUCACUCAAGCAAGAAGUAAACAAGGCCAUCAGAGCUCAUACAAGGAAGAUACAUUCUCAACAAGAGAUCAUUGCAAACACCCAUAUAUGCAUCACAAGUCAUGUCAAGGCUUGUCGAAACCAUGUGCCUACUUGUUUUGGUAGACAUCAUGUAACAACUAAGCAAGCAAGGAUAUCAACAUUAAGCACAAAAACUUGGUGAAUUACUGAUUUUUUCUUAUCAUCAUUUUUCAUCAUUCACAUUAAACAAGUUACAUGAAGUGCCUUUGCGGCACAAAGAAGCCAUGCUUCCCCAAGGAAUGCAUCAUGGGCUAAACAUUUGCAAUGAUACCUAGAUCUUUGAUCCAAUUGAAAAGAACAUGAAUUACAAGUAGAAGCUAAACAUGGAGCUAGCAUUCAAGAAAGAGUAAUGCAUAAAUAGGUAGCUAAUCAUAGGUGAUAAGCAUUUCAGAAUUCAUUAUUCAAGGUGAACAUUUGAUUCAUGAAAGCAUUUAGCUCAACAUGGUUAUAUGACAAUAUCAUCAAGAGCAUAUGCUGCACAUUGCUACAUAAUCACCAACCAAUGCACUAGCUCACAAAUAGCAUAAGAAAAUGCUAAGGAUAUAAAGAAGAAGCUCAUCUAGUGCAAAAUGUACAAGGUGCAAUAUGGUACAGAUGCAAUGCGAUGCUAAAAGAGAUGGGGUUCGACUAAAAUCAAGAAAGCUCAUGAGGGGUCAAACCAAUCUAGGAAAAGCUUCGUAGCAAAAGAAGAACUGCCAAGGAUCCCAAUUGAGUACCAUAGAAAAGAUACCAAUCGAAGGAUCAAAAAUUGAUAUCACUUGAAGAAAAUGAAAUCCAAUUGAAAGAUCAAAUGUGAUACCAAUUAAAAGAUCAAAAGCAGAUCUCAAAAAUCAAAGCAAGUCCUUAGUCCAAACUCCCCCUCGAAUGAAGCUGAACUCCCCCUCAACCAAAGACACCUAGCAAAAAAAAGCUAGAAAAAGAAGGGGCAAAAGAAAAGCUCUAACUCCAAUAAAAAAGCAGAGAAAAUGCAACCCAAAGACAAGACAAGCCCAAAAGCAAGAUAAACCCCAAUUCAUGUCACACAAUGCAAUGAUGAUACAAAUGAGAGGAAUUAAAGUAUUGCAACAUGAUUCUACAUUUAUGAAUAAAAGAUUGGGCAAGCAAACAUGUCAAUAAGGUGCAAAGGACUAUACAAAGAUACUAAGCUAAAAUGAUACCAAAUGAACAAUAUGCCAUACCUGAUACAAAAACUAAGCUAAAGCAUGGCACGAUGUUCAUGUGGAUCAUCCACCAAGAUAUAUUAAAAAGCUAGCAUGACAAGAUAUACAUGAAGAUCACACAUGCUAACAUGAAAAGGUGGCUAGCCUACAAUGGUAUAUUCAUAGCAUGAUACAAGUAUAAAUCCACAAGUGAGUAGUAUACACGAAAGGAAAAACUCACUAUACAAGUGUACAUCCAAAUGGUGUGGAGAACCGUCAAGUCUUGAUCACCUCAAGCAAAAGAUUCAAGUCCCUUCGAGCUCAUGUCCUCCACCCGCAUCCCCGUACCUACACAUGAGGGGACAAAGAAGACUGAGUCUUGGAUCCCAAAGGGUUAGCAAGCAUAUACUUGGGAAUCCAAAACUUAGUCACAUAGGUAAAAGUUGCACUCAACUUAUCAUGUGGGUUAGCAUAAUGCAAAUGCUGGUUCAAAUGUGAUGAUUUUGAAACACCCUUGGAAACAUGACUCAAAGGAGCAACUCGAGAAGAAGAACGAGUGCUACCACUAGCAAAAAGGCAAUGAUCCCCGAGGUCUUAAGAGAAGAACCAACACAAGCAUCAUGAGAACCAUGUCGUGGACCAGCAUAGGAAGAAUUAGAAGCAUGUCCAUGAGCAUGACCUAACUCACUAGAAAAGGAGUCAUAAAACCCAUCAAUGAAAUGUGGCUUAUCACUAGGCUUACAACUGCUCAUGCCAUGAGACAGGCCAUGAACAACCAAAGGCCUAGAAACACGAGUUUGCCGCAUUUGUCUUGCACGACGAUAACAAAAGCUCUCUUCAUGCCCAUCUUUCUCACAAUGGGAGCAAUGGUACAAAGGCCUUUUUGGAGGCAUGGUCCGAGAGGACAAAUCACCAUUCUCAUCCAAGUGAGAAGUCCCUUGGGACUUAGAGCAAGAAGCAUCAACAACACCAUUUGACCUGGUGCCCACAUUAGGUUCACACGUGCCAUGGGAACGGCUACGUGGCUUCCUAAACAUUUUGGCAUGUACACGUCGCUCGUGCUUGACACGACGAAAGCAAAACUCAACGGUAUGCCCAUCUUUCUUGCAAAAGGUGCAAUGGAACUUCGGUUUGGGAGUAUGAGUUCUAAAAAUAUGAGACACACCCUUGCCACUUGAAUUGUCUUGGGAAAUACCGGAAGAAGUAACAAGCUUAGGAAUAGCUAUAAAAGAGCUAUCCACAGUAGUAGCACCAGUGCUAUCAUCCAAAGACUCAUGCUCAACACAAGAAGCCAACCCCGAUUGGGAAGAAGCAAUUUUGGAAGCAUGAACAUCGGAGUGACAAGAGUUGCGAGAAUCAAAAGACUUAGCACAAAGACUCUUGCAUCUUGUGGCCAAAACCUCAUUUUCAUGUUUGAAGUGAUCACAAGUACCACAUGGAGCAUUUCUCAAAUUAUCCAUCUCCUUUUCAAUGCAUUUAGCAUAUGUGGUAUGCAAGAGUUCAUUUUCUUUUUCAAGGUUGGCACUCAUCUCAUUGUGCUCAACCAACUUGGCACUCAUAUCAUCACACAUUUGCUUCAAAGCCAAAACUUCACUUUCCAGUUCAAUGCAUGAUGUUCAAAUAAGACCACAUGAAGAAACAUCAUCAUUCACAUCAAGCAAAGCAUCAUGAUUAUCACAAGAAGUAAGGCAAGCAUCAUCAUCAAGAACCAAAGAGCACAUGCUACAAGGCAUAGACUUCAUAUCACAAAUUUCAGCCCUAGCAUGCUCAAGUUGUUCAACACAUGUGGUGUGAGUUAAUUUUAAUUCAUUAAUUUCAGCAAGCAAAGACCCACAUGAAACACAUGGUAAAGAAGCAUUUAACUUCAAUAAAGUAAUUUCAUCUCUAGCUUUAUCAAAAUCAUUAUUCAAAGCAACACAUGAAUUACAUGGCAUAGAGGUAUUCGAUUUCAACAUGUCAUUUUGAGAUUUCAAGCAAUUAAGAGAAGAGUUCAAUUCAUCAUUCUUUCUAAGCAAGGCAUCACAAAAAUUGCAAGGAUUUAAAGCAUGUGACUUCCAAUGAGCAAUUCCACAUUUCAACCUAGCAAGAGAACAUUUCAUCUUCUCAUUCUUUCUACGUAAAGCAUCAGAAAGCUCUAUGUUUCUCUCAUUCUCAUCUUCACAAUCAUCAACACGAUUGCAUAGAACCAUGAUGCAUUUUGCAAGUGUACCUUGGCUCAUGUCUCUUAGCCCGCGGUAGAACUCAACCUUUGUGUGGUCACCAUCCUGGUAGUUCUCGAGGAGAUUCAUCAUUGCCUCCACUUCGGGUUCCAACUCAAUCUCCGAACUCCUUCUACCUGAGGACAAUGAAACACAAGAAGAAGAGCUUGGUGCCAUGGCUCAAAGCACCGGUUAGGAUUAGCCAAAAGCAAGCUCAAAUCGCGAAAACCAAAUCCGAAAGAAAACGCACCCUUUCGCUUGUCGCCCCGUGGAUCACAAAGCCGAUUAAGGUUGUGUGAUCCUUAACCAAGCUCUGAUACUAAUUGAGGACCGGAAAGGCGACCAGAGGGGGGGUGAAUGGGAGCCGAUUCAAAUUUUCUCCAAGAACAUUAGCUAAAAACCCACAAGCCUCUCUUCUAGCAAAAUCAUGUCCAGUUAGCUAUGCACAAGCUAAUAGACCUAGGAAUGAUGCUAGGAACCCAAUUUGAGAAUAGCGGAAGCAAGAAUGACUCCAAAAAUCUCCGAAAGACAAACUUUGAAAACCAACACCUCUAUGCGGAAAAAUCUGGAGGAACCUUCGGAAAAUUCCGGACGUGCGGAAAUUUCCGGAGAAACCUUCGGAAAUUUUUGGAGGUCCGGAGAUUUCGGAAUUAUGUCCGGAGGUUUCCGGAAUUCCAAAACAGCCUGCGCGAAGAUGGUAGAAAAAUCCGAAAUGGGGUCAAACGACCUCCAAAAAUCACAAAAUUUGAACCAUAGCUUCACAACUUAGGAAACAAGCUUCUCCUAUGAAAUCAUCCCCAAAACAUUUGACAAUCAAGCGGAAUUCAAAAUCUUGUGAAGAACUCUAUUUUCUCAACCCCAAAAUUUGAAUCGACCCGAUCUAUAAACUCGUGAGGUUUCAAUCAAAUCCCUUCGGUGGAAAGGUUCAACUCACGUCCUAGUUCAUUUCCAAACAACCAGAUUGAUUUAAAACUCCCCAAAAAACAUGAAUCGACCAAAAAUGUGAAGGGGGCGGAGAGAAAGAAGCAAAAACGUGAAAAACACAAACGCAAAUUGCAAAUCCAAACGGGAUGGAACAAGAUAGCAUGAAAUAGAUCUUUGGAUUACUUCACCAUGACCGAUUGCAAGCCACUCCUUAGCACAAUCAAAGCUUGGAUGGCAAAAAGAUCAAACAAAGAUCCACUCUUCUCUCCCUCUCUCCCUCUACCAAAGACUCUCCCAAAACAAAUGAGUAGCCUACCACCAACAAGCCCAAGGAGAUGGCUGCCCCAAUAGCCUCUCCUCAUUUAUAUAGAUAUUUGGCAAAUAUCUAAAAUGCCCUUACAUUAAGCAUACAACCUAAAUACCUCCAGGGGUAAAAUUGUCCAACUUUUUCCUUGUACAUCGGAUGGACUCAACGCCUUCACAACUUAGCUUUGUCUCAACACAAGCUUCGUGAUGGUGCCAUGUGUCCUCCGACUCGACGCCGUCCGUCCGCACCGAACUCACCCCCGGUUUUGAGGCCCAAACCGGCAAACCUACUUGUGCGGUGGUUUUGAGGCCCAAACCACCCAAACCCUCUGCACACCCACCUGACGUGACUCACCCCCAGUUUUGAGGUCAAACCGGUCAAACCCUCUGCACACCCUCCUGGCAUGACUCACCCCCGGUUUUGAGGUCAAACCGGUCAAACCCUCUUGCACGCCCCGCAAGGUGUGACUCAACGAUGUCGACGCGUGUCCAGCCUCCACCAAGCCUUUGACACCUCAAAGACUUUCGCUUCUGGCUCCCGGGCCGCCUACUCAACUCGUCUCCGUCCCGCUUGACUCGACCAAUGCCGUCUCCAUCCCGUUCAUGUACUCUUGCUCUUCCAUGUUCCAUGUGGAUCGCGCAUGACUCCGCCCGGACUCCUCGGGUCCCUCGAUCCAAGCCUACUCAUGUCCACCCUUCACAGCCCUAGUACAUCGGCAUAGACCUUUCGCGCUUGACCUUCACCUCAUGCCGUCGACCGCCAUGUCGCAUCCUGCACCUGCACAUUACAAGCCAAGAGAUGCAACACACAAGAUAUGUUUUAUACAAACACCGCAACACAACUUACACCUCCGAUUAGCCGUUAGCUUAAUCAAGUGCAUAUGGAAUAUGGUCUUAACCGGUAAAGCCUCAAAUCAUCUAGUCAAUCACUCAUUACAAAUAGACCAAGGCACAUCUCAACUUGAUCUCUCAACAAUGUUGCAACAUAUCACAACAUGUCGAGAAGGUGGUACCCAAUAAUGCAUAUUUUGAAAAAAGGUGGUUCUGAUCAAAAUCCUUUGGAUUAGUUCAAGGAGAUCGAUAUCCAGAGCAGUUCUUGUACUCCACAGUGCCUUAGGGAAUUUUACAUAUGUUCAGAUGUGAGACCUUUUGAUAUCAUUAAUCUCUAUACGAUGAAUAAUCAACACGUUCGAUGCGAUCUAUUGCAAAGAGAUCCAGAUCUCUGUACUGCUCUUGAUGCACCGGCUCGUGUUUGUUCAUCCACGUGCUGUCUCCACAAGAUGACACAAGGUGCGUGAUGCACCAAGAAUUGGCUGGACACGCAAUGCAAAUUAUUUGAUACAUCAUACUUUCGGAUCUAGUUUCUGGGGCCACACAAGAAUUGCGCUGCCAGAGAUGAUCUACUUGUUGUUUGUUUAAGAAAAAGGGUUCACCCAGUGUGUGAAGGGGAGAUUAGAUCACACAUGUGUGAUAAAAGAUAUUAUUAAAGUUUAGUCAUACGACUAGGGCCAUAGUUGCGAAUUUAAGUUCUGCCACCACACAAAUAUGCCCCUACAUUGGUCCUAGCCUACCAGUCAUCUUUCCGACCGCCGGCGGCCAGCGGCAUCCCACCAGCUCGUCGUGCCUCCCACUCAACUCACACCCGGCGCCGGGCUUUCCUGGUUCCCUUCCCUAACCCCAAUGUCCAUGGUGUCGCCUCAACAAAGAAUAUGAACAAGGGUGCUGCUACACCUGCCAGCGACUUGGAAGGGUUUUCUAUGCCCGACGACGAUAAGUCGUACGCGUGAUUGGUAGUAUUCUCGGAUUUUUCCUACACACUGACUCGCAGAUAUUAAUGGCGCAAUGUGUUAUUUGGGGCCAGUAUAAUAUACUAUCAACAAAAUGGAUCCAUGAAAUAUAUUCUUGCCCUCGUGCAUCUCACCCAUAUGGUAAGAUUCAAACGUGGAUCCGUACACACAUAUAGGAUGCAUGCAUAACCCCACACUAUAAACCACAUAUUAUGUGACGUGAAUAAGAAAUAGAAAAGGUGCUUGUACAUGGACACCCCUUAGAUUGUAAGAACACUGAAGACGCUGCAGGUACAACACUACUGAGAGUUCCACUUGGGCAUCUUAUUUCCUUCAAAUUAUUAACUUAACAGGUACUUCAGAGAAACUUCCUGUGCAAAUUUCUCAAAGCACAAUUUGAUGUGUUUUGUUGCAUCUUAAAUAGACAUAGGGCCACCAUUAGCCUGUAUACAACAAAGUAAAAUCAAGGCUAAUGUUAGAUCAUAAGCAGACAGUUGUUCUUUGUCAGUAGUCUAGACAAAUUUAGUUUUACUGCUAGAGUCACUACAGAGACUGGUGGAAAAGUGAGCAUUAGUCUAUGUUGGAUAGCCUCAUAUAUCUCAAAUAUACAACUGGGACUAAUUUUUCAAGACUAAAGGUCCCUCCAGGUCACUCACCCAGGACUAAACACAAUACCAACCGGGACUAAAGAGGCCGCCAUGCAGGCGCAUGCACGUGGCCCCUUUAGUCCCGGUUGGUAUGUUGGUAUUACCAACCAUACCAACCAGGACUAAAGACCUUUUUUCAUUUUACCCUGAAUUCCUUUUCAUAUUAAUGCUAAUUGUUGCUUCACUUAUAUAUACCUAUACGUAUACAUCCUUAGCAUACAUUAUUUACACGUAUACGCUUGUAUUGUAUGCAUGUCAUAUAUAUAUUUCAUGGUAGUAUAUGCAUAAUAUUAAUUAUAACUACUAUAUAUACAAUUAUUAGUAGUUUAUACACAUCAAACUAGUAUUUAUACAAUUUCUAUACAUACAAUAAUUUGUCCUCUUCAUUCUUAGGAUCCUCCCAUCGUGGUGUUGCUCGGUUCGGCUAUUGAAUGUCCAACGUAAUAAAAUUCUCCAAUGGGAUUUAUCAUCUCGUCCACCAGAAAUCCUAUGAGAGCUUCUUGAUUACCAAAAGCCUCUCCUUCUCUAAGAGUUCUUCUCUAAUAUGCAUCAUCUGUAAUUUGGAAAUAUGUGAAUGUUACACCAACAAUUAAAUAUAAGAAGUUAGAAAAUGAUUAAUUAUUGAUAGGUUUAUUUUAUGCACAAUUAUAUCAUUCGAUAUCACCUUGUCCCUCACAAAAUGGUACAUGUGCUCAAAGAUGUAGUAUCCACAUAAAUUAUUCACUUACUCCUAUCUCAAGCACAUUACUGGAAAAAAACCAUUUAUGAAAUAUUCAUGUUAUAGAAUGUACAAAAUGUGCAAACUUCAUACAUACCGGGAAUGAUGUACUGAAUGUAAGUUUUUCUUUGAAAUCACCAUAGGGAUGCUUACAGAAUCGUUUCCAUGCAUUGUGAAUUAAAAUAAUGAAUGAUACAGUGUUAGGUGAAAAUUUAGGAAUCAAACUAUUACAUAGAGAUAAAGGUUCGAAAUUAUUACAAGUUAAGAAUUUCUUGAAUGUCUUUGUACUCGUCCUUUGGUUUCCUCAACGAAUCAAACACAACAACGUUGAGUUGAUCAAUCAUAAUUGUAAGGAGAAUCCAGUGGAAACUAUGUACAUAAAUGUUCAUAUUAGAACUAACUAACAUUAAUUAGGUAAGGAAAAGGAAAAUGAAAAUAGACGGUACCCACACUUUACCCACACUUACUUAAAGUUGUAAGGUAGUAGUAUGUAUUGUUGGAGGUAUGCCCUAGAGGCAAUCAUAGAGAUGAUGAUAUUCCAUUUGUAUCCAUGAUUUGUAUGUUGUGUUCAUUGAAUAUCCAUUGAAGGCUACUUGAAUUGAUUUGCAAUUAUGUGAAUUGUAUGUGAAACUCUUUACUUGUAUGGUUAUUCUAAAGUUGUCCCUAGUCGGAGUUCAUGUGAGAACACACAUGAAUAUUAGACUAGCACAUGUAUUAGUUGAUGACUAUGUUUCACAAGUCAUGGACAUGCAGAUGUUGAACUAAUAAUGUGGACACAUGUGGAGACAUGUGCUAGGACUGACCCAACACGAGAGGUAGUUCUCUCUUUAAACAACAUAUACGCUUUGUCCUUAGACCUGAGAUUGUCGCAUGUAUUCUAGAUGUGGAUCGACCUACUUAGGGGCUAUCAAACGCUACGCCGUAACAGGGUAGUUAUAAAGGUAGCUUUCGGGUUUGUCAAGAAGCAUGCUAUGAGACAUGGUCAAUCAAGAUGGGAUUUGCCCCUCUCUGACUGAGAGUGAUAUCUCUAGGCCCCUCGAGUGAUCGGAUCCGAAAAUGCAUGGCCAUGCUACGUACGGUUAAGAGUUAACCUACAAAGGGAUUCCGAAUCACAGGAUCGAGAAAGAGCGGUCGGCUUGAAGCUAGACCAAGUAUCGUGAGGCAAAGGGAAUAGCAUGUAUAUUAUGUUGUGAUGGUUCGUCUGAUAUGAUCUUCGUGUGCGUAUAGGAGUUGGCACGUCUUGCUAGAGGCCGCUACCGACUAUUGGGCCGAGUAGGAGUACUCGGGCCAUGUCUAUACGUAUCCGAACCCAUAGGGUCACACACUUAAGGGGCUGGAAGCCCAAUUUGGAUCUGAUCCGAGUUGGAUUAGGUUUAGAAGUACUAAUGGGCCUCGGAUCCAGAGGCCCGUCAGGAACCUCUAUAAAUAGAGGGGUGGGGGCGCCCUAGGGUGGAUACCUUUUGGCGAAACACACCUGCCGCGCCUCCCACGCCCUCGCCUGUUGCAACUCGCGGAUCUAGCAGUCCGGCUUGCGACGCUUCCUCCCUUCACGUGUGGAUACCUUGGAGGUGUUGCGCCUGCAGCACUUGGACGAGCCGCCGACGAGCCACGACGAGCCGCGGCACCGGAGGUGAUCUUGCUGCACGUGGACGAGCUGCUGAGGAGCUGCUGGACGUGACCGACUACGUAUGACUACGUUGAUCGACUACGUACGACUACGUGAUUGUCUUCACUGCAUCGACGCAUAUCUACAUCUUCCGCACCAGUAGUGCGUCGAGUGGUAAUCCCGUGAUCCUUAUACGGCAGUUCUUCCUGGUUAUACGCGGUAGAUUUUUUGAAUCGUACAUAGUGUAGCCUACCUCGUAUCCCAACAGUGGUAUCAAGAGCCGUAGCUGCUUAGUUUUGGAUUCGGGAUGUGUGCAUAUGGAGAUAUGCGAGUUUUCGUUUGAUCUAUGUCCUGGUUUCGUGCCCUUGCUGCAAUGGUAGUGUAACGACAUACUCCUACCGGUCGGUUUCCGCCAUCGGAGUUAAGUGAUACACGUAAAUCCAGUUGUAGUGAGUGAAGAUCAAUAUGAUUGGUCGAAUUGAAAUCCAGGGUCAUACGCCAGGCGCAUUAGAUGUGCAAUAGUAGAUGAGAUCUACUGCCGGGGUCGGGAUUUUUGCCGUUUGCGUAUGCUUCGGUAAAUCAGCCGUAACUUUUCGGUACGAUCUCGGAUCGGGGCGAAUUUUAUAUGAAAAUUGAUCUACAGAAAAAGUUACACAUGAAAUUCAACCGCUUCGCCGUUUUUGGCGAAAUUAGAUUUCCCAAAUUCGGCUUGGAAGAUGGUGUUUCGGGCAUCCAAAGUUUGGAACGUUAGGACGCCUAACUCUGUUUUGCAGGAUGUAUGUAUGUAUCUUGUGAUCAGUAUGACCCCCUUGUGUAUGUGAUGCAUGUGUGUAACUCAUUCGUGACCUGCGUGUCGCGCGUACGGCAACACGGCAGGAGCCAUAUGUGUUGUCACUUUAUUGUAUUUAAUGGUCUGCGUACCAAUCAGUGAUGAUCCAAGCAACUAUGUAAUCUUCAUUACUAGAUUCUUUACUAGCUAUUAGGCGUAAUAACAUGUUCUAGUUCUUGGAGGACUCAUCACCAGGAGGAUGGCGCACAUGGAACAUGGAGAUGGAGAUCACCAUGGUGAACAGGUUCUAUGGAGAUGGAGAUCACCAUAUGAAAAUGGGCCAUACUGUGUCACAACUGUGUGAAUGCUAUUCUGUUUAUGUUUUACUUUCUGCAUGAUGUGAUGUUAGAAGUAGAAUGAUCCCUCGCAAAGUUUAAGUUAGUAUGCCCUCCCAACUAAAACUUGCACCGUCCCAUGUCUUGUACAAUUAGUGGUGGGUCUAUGAAAUUAGGGUACCACUAGUUUUCCUUGACUAGACGGGUUUGUGUCGGACACUUACAUGCAUAAGGGUUGGUUUGCUUAACGAGGUCAUCUUAACGGUUAAGGACCUUGGGGCAUAAAGGUUGGGCGCCGAGACAUCGAGAUGUCACCCAACAACAGGAGUCAUAUGUGAUAUGAUUAGCAAAAGUUGCUUACCGAUCUACCUCGUUUGCUAGCGGUGAUGCUAAAGCUCACUAGUAAACUUGUUAGUUGUGGAUCCUGAAUCACUAAGUUUCAAUAGAGGGAUAUUGAUUUUAGUGGGAGUAGAUUCUGUUAAAAUAGUUUAAUGUAAUUUGCUCUAUCAUGGAUACGUUUGUCUUAGUGUAUUUUGCAUUACUUUUGUUGUAGAUUAAAUGGCACCUAGCAAUACCACCACAUCGUUUGCUUUGCGUUCGGUCCUUGAGAAGGACAAGUUGAAUGGAACAAACUACUCGGAUUGGAUCCGUAACCUGAGAAUUGUUCUCAGGGCUGAGAAAAAGGAAGAUGUUCUAGACAACCCACUACCAGAAGAACCUGCUGAUGAUGCACCCACUGCUGCUAAGAAUGCUUACAAGAAAGCAUGUGAUGCUAACCUCGAAGUAAGCUGCCUUAUGCUUGCUUGCAUGGAACCCGAGCUGCAGAUGCAGUUCGAAACAAACCAUGAGGCGCACGAUAUGAUCGUGGCGCUUAGAGACAUGUUCCAAACACAGGCCAGGACUGAAAGGUUCAAUGUGUCUAAGGCCUUUGUUGAGAGCAAGCUAGCAGAAGGCGCAGCAGUAGGACCACACGUAAUCAAGAUGGUUGGUUACACUCAACGGUUGAAGAAGCUAGGCUUCCCACUGGGCCAAGAGUUGGCCACUGAUUUCAUUCUUUCAUCUCUUCCGCCUAGCUAUGGGAACUUCAUCUCGAACUACCAUAUGCAUGGGAUGGAGAAGGGUUUGAAUGAACUGUGUGGUAUGCUCAAGAUAGCAGAGGCUGACAUCAAGAAAAGCACUAGUACCAGCCAUGUGAUGGCGAUACAGAACAAGCCCAGCUUUAAGAAGAAGGGCAAUUCUUGGAAGAAGAAGGGCAGGGCUGGAACGUCCAAGCCAAACCCACCGCCCAAGGUUAAAGCUGGACCUGGACCUGCUCCAGACAAAGAGUGCUUUUACUGUCAUGAACUUGGUCACUGGAAGAGAAACUGCAAGCAGUACCUAGCUUCCUUGAAGAAUGGCGGAAGUAAGAGUACUUCUACCUCAGGUACGCUUGUUGUUAAUGUUAUAGACAACAUAUUUCUCGCUGAUACAAUUAUUAAUUCUUGGGUAUUUGAUACCGGAUCGAUUGCUCAUAUUUGCAAUUCGAUGCAGGGAAUGAUAAGAAGUAGAAGCGUGGAAAGAGGAGAAGUUGAUUUCCGCGUGGGCAAUAAUGCAAGAGUUGCUGCGUUGACCGUCGGGACGAUGCAACUCCACCUCCCGUCAGGAUUUAUUAUGGAGUUGAAUAAUUGUUAUUUUUUUCCUAGUUUAAGUCAAAACAUUUUGUCUCCUUCAUGCUUGAUGAAGGAUGGUUAUUCAUUUGCGAGUGAAAACAAUGGUUAUGUGAUCUCUAAGAAUGAUAUGUUUAUGGCUUUUGCACCCAUUGUGAAUGGAUUAUUUGUUUUAAAUCUUGAUGGUUCACCUGUCUGUAAUGUAAGUGCUAAAAGGCCUCGGCCUAAUGAUUUGAGUCCUACCUACUUGUGUCAUUGUCGUUUGGGUCAUAUAAAUGAAAAGCGCAUGAAGAAGCUCCAUUCUGAUGGACUUCUAACUUCGUUUGAUUUUGAAUCAUACGAGACAUGUGAGGCUUGCUUGCUAGGCAAGAUGACCAAGACGCCUUUCACAGGAUUUCCUGAGAGAGCAGUAGACUUGUUGGAACUCGUACAUAGUGAUGUAUGCGGACCAAUGAGCACGACGGCUAGAGGAGGAUUCCAAUACUUCAUAACUUUCACUGAUGAUUUUAGUAGAUAUGGCUAUGUCUACUUGAUGAGGCACAAGUCUGAAACCUUUGAAAAGUUCAAGGAAUUUCAGAAUGAAGUUGAAAAUCAGCGUGGCAAGAAAAUUAAGGCCUUACGAUCUGAUCGUGGAGGCGAGUAUUUGAGCCACGAGUUUAGAAAUCAUCUAAAGAGUUGCGGAAUUGUUCCACAACUUACGCCGCCUGGAACACCUCAGAGAAACGGUGUGUCCGAGCGACGUAAUUGAACUUUGUUAGACAUGGUUCGAUCAAUGAUGAGCCAGUCAGACCUACCGUUGUCAUUUUGGGGAUACGCUCUAGAAACAGCAACUUUCACACUUAAUAGGGUACCAUCUAAAUCCGUAGUUAAGACACCAUAUGAGAUAUGGACUUGAAAGGUUCCUAGUUUGUCUUUUCUAAAGAUUUGGGGAUGUGAAGUGUUUGUCAAGCGACUUCAGUCGGACAAGAUCACACCCAAGUCGGAUAAGUGCAUUUUCGUGGGAUAUCCAAAGGAAACUUUGGGAUAUUAUUUCUACAACCGAUCAGAAGGCAAAGUGUUUGUCGCUCGGAACGGGGUUUUCCUAGAGAAAGAGUUUCUCAAAGGAGAAAAGAGUGGAAAGAUAGUGCAUCUUGAAGAAGUUCAAGAUGAGCCGAUCGGGCAAGAAUCAAUGAGUGAUGCUAACGUAGCAGAACAAGUUGAGAUACCCAUGGCAAGAGAAGCACCGCCACAACCACAAGGUCGGCAAGGCUCCGCGAAAUGCGGGAAAUAUUAUUGUUGGACAAUGAUGAGCCUGCGACAUAUGCAGAAGCAAUGAUGGACCCAGACUCCGAAAAAUGGCAGAAUGCCAUGCAAUCCGAAAUAGAGUCCAUGGGAGACAAUCAAGUUUGGAACUUGGUUGACCCGCCUGAUGGUGUUAAAGCCAUAGAGUGCAAGUGGAUCUAUAAGAAGAAAAAGGACAUGGAUGGAAAUGUUCACAUCUAUAAAGCACGACUUGUCGCAAAAGGUUUUCGACAAGUUCAAGGAGUUGACUACGACGAGACCUUCUCGCCCGUAGUGAUGCUUAAGUCCAUUCGGAUUAUUCUAGCUAUAGCUGCAUAUUUCGAUUAUGAGAUAUGGCAGAUGGAUGUCAAGACAGCUUUCCUGAAUGGAAACCUAGCUGAGGAUGUGUAUAUGGUACAGCCCGAGGGUUUUGUCGAUCCGAAAAAUGUUGGAAAGGUAUGCAAGCUUCAGAGACCCAUUUAUGGAUUGAAGCAAGCAUCUAGGAGUUGGAACAUUCGUUUUGAUGAAGUGGUCAAAGGGUUUGACUUCACCAAGAACGAAGAAGAGUCUUGUGUUUACAAGAAGGUUAGUGGGAGCUCUGUAGUAUUUCUAAUCUUAUAUGUGGAUGACAUAUUACUGAUUGGAAAUAACAUUCCUAUGCUUGAGUCCGUAAAGACUUCACUGAAAAAUAGUUUUUCGAUGAAGGACUUAGGGGAAGCAACAUAUAUUCUGGGCAUUAAGAUCUAUAGAGAUAGAUCGAGAAGGCUUAUAGGUUUAAGCCAAGAUACUUACAUUGACAAAGUGUUGAAGCGGUUCAGCAUGGAAGAGGCAAAGAAAGGGUUCUUGCCUAUGUCACAUGGCAUACAUCUCAGCAAGACUUAGUGUCCUUCGACUGCUGAUGAGCGGGAUCGCAUGAGUAGAGUGUCAUAUGCCUCGACUAUUGGAUCUAUCAUGUAUGCAAUGAUAAGUACUCGCCCAGAUGUUUCAUAUGCGCUAAGUAUGACAAGCAGACACCAAUCUGAUCCAGGUGAGAGUCACUGGACAGCGGUGAAAAACAUUCUUAAGUACUUGAGAAGGACUAAAGAUAUGUUCCUCGUCUAUGGAGGUGAGGAGGAGCUCGUUGUAACAGGUUACACCGAUGCUAGUUUCCAAACCGACAGAGAUGAUUCAAAGUCACAAUCAGGAUUUGUGUUCACGCUGAAUGAUGGUGCUGUUAGUUGGAAGAGUUCCAAGCAGGAGACGGUGGUCGAUUCUACGACAGAAGCCGAGUACAUCGCGGCUUCGGAAGCCGCGAAGGAAGGUGUUUGGAUAAGGAAUUUCCUCAUUGAGCUUGGUGUGUUCCCGAAUGCAUCCAGCCCAUUGAAUCUCUACUGUGAUAACAAUGGGGGAAAUUGCGCAAGCAAAGGAGCCAAGGAACCACCAGAAGAACAAACACGUAAUGCGGCAAUUUCAUCUCAUUCGAGACUUCGUUAACCGGGGUGAGAUCAAGAUGUGCAAAAUACACACGGAUCUGAACAUUUCUGAUCCGUUGACAAAACCACUCCCGCAGGCUAAGCAUGAUGCGCAUGUAAGAGCUAUGGGUAUUAGGUACCUUCUAGAUUGACUCUAGUGCAAGUGGGAGACUGUUGGAGGUAUGCCCUAGAGGCAAUCAUAGAGAUGAUGAUAUUCCAUUUGUAUCCAUGAUUUGUAUGUUGUGUUCAUUGAAUAUCCAUUGAAGGCUACUUGAAUUGAUUUGCAAUUAUGUGAAUUGUAUGUGAAACUCUUUACUUGUAUGGUUAUUCUAAAGUAGUCCCUAGUCGGAGUUCAUGUGAGGACACACAUGAAUAUUAGACUAGCACAUGUAUUAGUUGAUGACUAUGUUUCACAAGUCAUGGACAUGCAGAUGUUGAACUAAUAAUGUGGACACAUGUGGAGACAUGUGCUAGGACUGACCCAACACGAGAGGUAGUUCUCUCUUUAGACAACAUAUACGCUUUGUCCUUAGACCUGAGAUUGUCGCAUGUAUUCUAGAUGUGGAUCGACCUACUUAGGGGCUAUCAAACGCUACGCCGUAACAGGGUAGUUAUAAAGGUAGCUUUCGGGUUUGUUAAGAAGCAUGCUAUGAGACAUGGUCAAUCAAGAUGGGAUUUGCCCCUCUCUGACUGAGAGUGAUAUCUCUGGGCCCCUCGAGUGAUCGGAUCCGAAAAUGCAUGGCCAUGCUACGUACGGUUAAGAGUUAACCUACAAAGGGAUUCCGAAUCACAGGAUCGAGAAAGAGCGGUCGGCUUGAAGCUAGACCAAGUAUCGUGAGGCAAAGGGAAUAGCAUGUAUAUUAUGUUGUGAUGGUUCGUCUGAUAUGAUCUUCGUGUGCGUAUAGGAGUUGGCACGUCUUGCUAGAGGCCGCUACCGACUAUUGGGCCGAGUAGGAGUACUCGGGCCAUGUCUAUACGUAUCCGAACCCAUAGGGUCACACACUUAAGGGGCUGGAAGCCCAAUUCGGAUCUGAUCCGAGUUGGAUUAGGUUUAGAAGUACUAAUGGGCCUCGGAUCCAGAGGCCCGUCAGGAACCUCUAUAAAUAGAGGGGUGGGGGCGCCCUAGGGUGGAUACCUUUUGGCGAAACACACCUGCCGCGCCUCCCACGCCCUCGCCUGUUGCAACUCGCGGAUCUAGCAGUCCGGCUUUGCAACGCUUCCUCCCGUCACGUGUGGAUACCUUGGAGGUGUUGCGCCUGCAGCACUUGGACGAGCCGCCGACGAGCCGCCGACGAGCCACGACGAGCCGACGACGAGCCGCGGCACCGGAGGUGAUCUUGCUGCACGUGGACGAGCUGCUGAGGAGCUGCUGGACGUGAUCGACUACGUACGACUACGUUGAUCGACUACGUACGACUACGUGAUCGUCUUCACUACAUCGACGCAUAUCUACAUCUUCCGCACCAGUAGUGCGUCGAGUGGUAAUCCCGUGAUCCUUAUACGGCAGUUCUUCCUGGUUAUACGCGAUAGAUUUUUUGAAUCGUACAUAGUGUAGCCUACCUCGUAUCCCAACAUGUAUUGCUUGUGUCUCGAAGUGCGACACGUGUCAACGUGUCAAGGCAAGCCAUUUGAAGGAGUAGGUACCUUGCAACCGCUACCUAUUCCAUCUUUGAAAUGGGAAGAUAUAUUAGCAUGGAUUUCAUUGUGGGAUUACCCGUUACCUCUCAGUGACAUGAUUCUAUUUAGGUUAUAGUGGAUUGCUCACUAAGACGGCACACUUUCUUCCUGUUCAGAUUGCCUACACUGCCCGAAAAUAUGCAGAGUUAUACCUAGACCGUAUCGUCUCCUUACAUGGUGUUCCGAAGACGAUCAUCUCUGAUCGAGGUGCUCAGUUUGUGGCACGUUUCUGGGAACAACUGCAAUCGUCACUUGGCACCAAGUUAAUUCGUAGCUCCACUUACCACCCUCAGACUGAUGGCCAAACAUAAAGGAUAAAUCAAAUCCUAGAAGACAUGCUACGCGCUUGCGUCGUACAUUUUGACAAGAAUUGGGAUAAAUGCUUACCAUUGGUAGAGUUCUCUUACAACAAUAGCUACCAGUCUAGCUUAAACAUGGCACCAUUUGAAGCCUUGUAUGGCCGAUGGUGUCGAACACCAUUGAGUUGGUCACAAGCCGGAGAGAGAAGAAUUUACGGACCCGACUUGGUGAUAGAAGCCGAAGAACAAGUAAGAGUGAUUCAGGCACAUCUAAAAGCCGCUCAGUCAUGUCAGAAAAGCUAUUCCUACAAAAGUAGGAGACCCUUGCAGUUUGACAUUGAUGAUCAUGUAUACCUCCGAGUCUCCCCGACCAAAGGAGUGCAACAGUUUGGAGUAAAGGGGAAAUUGGCGCCCCGUUUCAUUGGCCCUUAUGAGAUUGUGGAAAUAUGCGGACCCGUUUCUUAGUGGAUCCAACUACCCGAAAAGCUCUCAGCUAUUCACGACAUCUUCCAUAUCUCUCAACUAAAGAAAUGUGUCCGAGUCCUGAUUGAAAUCUUGGAGCAGGGACAACUUGAAAUCGAACCCGACUUAUCCUAUGCGGAAUAUCCUGCCAAAGUCCUCGAUCGUAACGAGAGGUACACCCGACGAAAAGUUGUGAAGAUGUACAAGAUUUAGUGGAGUAACCACACAGAAGAUGAAGCGACAUGGGAAACAGAGGAAUAUCUGAAUAAGCACUUCCGAGGUUUUAUUUUCAGGUAAGGAGGUAAGACCCACAAACCCCACUAGUUCUCCUUGCACUCGAAUCUCGGGACGAGAUUCUUUUUAAGGGGGGUAGGCUGUAACUGUUGGGAUACGAGUUAGGCUACACUUGCGCAAAUCAAAAUUUCUACCACGUAAAACCAGGAAGAACUACCGUAUAAGGAUCACGGGAUUACCACUCGACGCACUACUGGUGCGGAAGAUGUAGAUUUGUGUCGAUGCAGCAAAGACGAUCAACAUAGUCGUACGUAGUCGAUCAAUGUAGUUGUACGUAGUCGAUCACGUCAACGUCCAGCAGCUCCUCAGCAGCUCGUCCACGUGCAGCAAGAUCGCCCUUGUACCGCGGCUCGUCGGCGGCUCGUCGUGGCUCAUCGGCGGCUCGUCCGAGUGCUGCAGGCGCAACACCUCCAAGGUAUCCACACGUGCAGGGAGGAAGCAUCGCAAGCCGGACUACUAGAUCUGCGAGUUGCAACAGGCGAGGGCAUGGGAGGCGCGACAGAUGUGUUUCACCAAAAGAUGUAAACCCUAGGGCGCCCCCACCCCUCUAUUUAUAGAGGUUCCUAACGGGCCUCUGGGUCUGAGGCCCAUUAGUACUUCUAAACCUAAUCCAACUCAGAUCACAUCCGAAUUGGGCUUCCAGCCCCUUAAGUGUGUGACCCUAUGGGUUCGGAUACGUAUAGACAUGGCCCGAGUACUCCUACUCGGCCCAAUAGUCGGUAGCGGCCUCUAGCAAGACGUGCCAACUCCUAUACGCACACGAAGAUCAUAUCAGACAAACCAUCACAACAUAAUAUACAUGCUAUUCCCUUUUCCUCAUGAUAUUUGGUCUAGCUUCAAGCCGACCGCUCUUUCUCGAUCCUGUGAUUCGGAAUCCCUUUGUAGGUUAACUCUUAACCGUACGUAGCAUGGCCAUGCAUUUUUGGAUCCGAUCACUCGAGGGGCCCAGAGAUAUCACUCUCAAUCAGAGAGGGGCAAAUCCCAUUUUGAUUGACCAUGUCUCAUAGCAUGCUUCUUGACAAACCCGAAAGCUACCUUUAUAACUACCCUGUUACGGCGUAGCGUUUGAUAGCCCCUAAGUAGGUCGAUCCAUAUCUUGAAUACAUGCGACAAUCUCAGAUCUAAGGACAAAGCGUAUAUGUUGUUUAAAGAGAGAACUACUUCUCGUGUUGGGUCAGUCCUAGCCCAUGUCUCCACAUGUGUCCACAUUAUUAGUUCAACAUCUCCAUGUCCAUGACUUGUGAAACAUAGUCAUCAACUAAUACAUGUGCUAGUCUAAUAUUCAUGUGUGUCCUCACAUGAACUCCGACUAGGGACAACUUUAGAAUAAACAUACAAGUAAAGAGUUUCACAUACAAUUCACAUAAUUGCAAAUCAAUUCAAGUAGCCUUUAAUGGAUAUUCAAUGAACACUAUAUACAAAUCAUGGAUACAAAUGGAAUAUCAUCAUCUCUAUGAUUGCCUCUAGGGCAUACCUCCAACAGUCUCCCACUUGCACUAGAGUGAAUCUAGAAGGUACCUAAUACCCAUAGCUCUUACAUGCGCAUCAUGCUUAGCCUUCAGGAGUGGUUUUGUCAACGGUUCAGAAAUGUUCAGAUCCGUGUGUAUUUUGCAUAUCUUGAUCUCACCCCGGUUAACGAAUUCUCGAAUGAGAUGAAAUCGCCGCAUUACGUGUUUGUUCUUCUGGUGGUUCCUUGGCUCCUUUGCUUGCGCAAUUUCCCCCAUUGUUAUCACAGUAGAGAUUCAAUGGGUUGGACGCAUUCGGGAACACACCAAGCUCAAUGAGGAAAUUCCUUAUCCAAACACCCUCCUUCGCGGCUUCCGAAGCCGCGAUGUACUCAGCUUCUGUCGUAGAAUCGGCCAUCGUCUUCUGCUUGGAACUCUUCCAACUAACAGCACUACCAUUUAGCGUGAACACAUCCUGAUUGUGACUUUGAAUCAUCUCUGUUGAUUUGGAAACUAGCAUCGGUGUAACCUGUUACAACGAGCUCCUCCUCACCUCCAUAGACGAGGAACAUAUCUUUAGUCCUUCUCAAGUACUUAAGAAUGUUUUUCACCGCUGUCCAGUGACUCUCACCGGGAUCAGACUGGUGUCUGCUUGUCAUACUUAGCGCAUGUGAAACAUCUGGGCGAGUACUUAUCAUUGCAUACAUGAUAGAUCCAAUAGCCGAGGCAUAUGGCACUCUACUCAUGCGAUCCCGCUCAUCAGCAGUCGAAGGACACUGAGUCUUGCUGAGAUGUAUGCCAUGUGACAUAGGCAAGAACCCUUUGUUUGUCUCUUCCAUGCUGAACCGCUUCAACACUUUGUCAAUGUAAGUAUCUUGGCUUAAACCUAUAAGCCUUCUCGAUCUAUCUCUAUAGAUCUUAAUGCCCAGAAUAUAUGUUGCUUCCCCUAAGUCCUUCAUCGAAAAACUAUUUUUCAGUGAAGUCUUUACGGACUCAAGCAUAGGAAUGUUAUUUCCAAUCAGUAAUAUGUCAUCCACAUAUAAGAUUAGAAAUACUACAGAGCUCCCACUAACCUUCUUGUAAACACAAGACUCUUCUUCGUUCUUGGUGAAGUCAAACCCUUUGACCACUUCAUCAAAACGAAUGUUCCAACUCCUAGAUGCUUGCUUCAAUCCAUAAAUGGAUCUCUGAAGCUUGCAUACCUUUCCAGCAUUUUUCAGAUCGACAAAACCGUCGGGCUGUAUCAUAUACACGUCCUCAGCUAGGUUUCCAUUCAGGAAAGCUGACUUGACAUCCAUCUGCCAUAUCUCAUAAUCAAAAUAUGCAGCUAUAGCAAGAAUAAUCCGAAUGGACUUAAGCAUCACUACGGGCGAGAAGGUCUCGUCGUAGUCAACUCCUUGAACUUGUCAAAAACCUUUUGCGACAAGUCGAGCUUUAUAGAUGUGAACAUUUCCAUCCAUGUCCUUUUUCUUCUUAUAGAUCCACUUGCACUCUAUGGCUUUAACACCAUCAGGCGGGUCAACCAAGUUCCAAACUUGAUUUUCUCCCAUGGACUCUAUUUCGGAUUGCAUGGCACUCUACCAUUUUUCAGAGUCUGGAUCCAUCAUUGCUUCUGCAUAUGUCGCAGGCUCAUCAUUGUCCAACAAUAAUAUUUCCCGCAUUUCGCGGAGCCUUGCCGACCUUCGUGGUUGUGGCGGUGCUUCUCUUGCCAUGGGUAUCUCAACUCGUUCUACUACGUUAGCAUCAUUCAUUGAUUCUUGCCCGAUCGGCUCAUCUUGAACUUCUUCAAGAUGCACUGUCUUUCCACUCUUUUCUCCUUUGAGAAACUCUUUCUCUAGGAAAACCCUGUUCCGAGCGACAAACACUUUGCCUUCUGAUUGGUUGUAGAAAUAAUAUCCCAAAGUUUCCUUUGGAUAUCCCACGAAAAUGCACUUAUCCGACUUGGGUGUGAUCUUGUCCGACUGAAGUCGCUUGACAAACACUUCACAUCCCCAAAUCUUUAGAAAAGACAAACUGGGAACCUUUCCAGUCCAUAUCUCAUAUGGUGUCUUAACUAUGGAUUUAGAUGGUACCCUAUUAAGUGUGCAAGCUGUUGUUUCUAGAGCGUAUCCCCAAAAUGACAAUAGUAGGUCCGACUGGCUCAUUAUUGAUCGAACCAUGUCUAACAAAGUUCGAUUACAUCACUCGGAUACACCGUUUCUCUGAGGUGUUCCAGGUGGCGUAAGUUGUGGAACAAUUCCGCAACUCUUUAGAUGAUUGCUAAACUCGUGGCUCAAAUACUCGCCUCCACGAUCAGAUCGUAAGGCCUUAAUUUUCUUGUCACGCUGAUUUUCAACUUCAUUCUGAAAUUCCUUGAACUUUUCAAAGGUUUCAGACUUGUGCCUCAUCAAAUAGACAUAGCCAUAUCUACUAAAAUCAUCAGUGAAAGUUAUGAAGUAUUGGAAUCCUCCUCUAGCUGUCGUGCUCAUUGGUCCGCAUACAUCACUAUGUACGAGUUCCAACAAGUCUACUGCUCUCUCAGGAAAUCCUGUGAAAGGCGUCUUGGUCAUCUUGCCUAGCAAGCAAGCCUCACAUGUCUCGUAUGAUUCAAAAUCAAACAAAGUUAGAAGUCCAUCAGAAUGGAGCUUCUUCAUGCGCUUUUCACUUAUAUGACCCAAACAACAAUGCCACAAGUAGGUAGGACUCAAAUCAUUAGGCCGAGGCCUUUUAGCACUUACGUUACAGACAGGUGAACCAUCAAGAUUUAAAACAAAUAAUCCAUUCACAAUGGGUGCAAAAGCCAUAAACAUAUCAUUCUUAGAGAUCACACAACCAUUGUUUUCACUCACAAAUGAAUAACCAUCCUUCAUCAAGCAUGAAGGAGACAAAAUGUUUCGACUUAAACUAGGAACGAAAUAACAAUUAUUCAACUCUAUAAUAAAUCCUGACGGGAGGUGAAGUUGCAUCAUCCCGACGGUCAACGCAGCAACUCUACAUUAUUGCCCACGCGGAAAUCAACUUCUCUCUUCCACGCUUCUACUUCUUAUCAUUCCCUGCAUCGAAUUGCAAAUAUGAGCAACCGAUCCGGUAUCAAAUACCCAAGAAUUAAUAAUUGUAUCAGCGAGAAAAAUGUUGUCUAUAACAUUAACAACAAGCGUACCUGAGGUAGAAGUACUCUUACUUCUGCCAUUCUUCAACGAAGCUAGGUACUGCUUGCAGUUUCUCUUCUAGUGACCAAGUUCAUGACAGUAAAAUCACUCUCUGUCUGGAGCAGGUCCAGGUCCAGCUUUAACCAUGGGCGCUGGGUUUGGCUUGGACGUUCCAGCCUUGCCCUUCUUCUUCCAAGAAUUGCCCUUCUUCUUAAAGCUAGGCUUGUUCUGUAUAGCCAUCACAUGGCUGGUACUAGCGCUUUUCUUGAUGUCACCCUCUGCUGUUUUAAGCAUGCCACACAACUCAUUCAGACCCUUCUCCAUCCCAUGCAUAUGGUAGUUUGAGAUGAAGUUCCCAUAGCUAGGCGGAAGAGGCGAAAGAAUGAAAUCAGUGGCCAACUCUUGGCCCAGUGGGAAGCCCAGCUUCUCCAACCGUUGAGUGUAACCAACCAUCUUGAUUACGUGUGGUCCUACUGUUGCGCCUUCUGCUAGCUUGCUCUCCACAAAGGCCUUAGACACAUUGAACCUUUCAGUCCUGGCCUAUGUUUGGAACAUGUCUCUAAGCGCCACGAUCAUAUCGUGCGCCUCAUGGUUUGUUUCGAACUGCAUCUGCAGCUCGGGUUUCAUGCAAGCAAGCAUAAGGCAGCUUACUUCGAGGUUACCAUCACAUGCUUUCUUGUAAGCAUUCUUAGCAGCAGCGGGUGCAUCAUCAGCAGGUUCUUCUGGUAGUGGGUUGUCUAGAACAUCUUCCUUUUUCUCAGCCCUGAGAACAAUUCUCAGGUUACGGAUCCAAUCCGAGUAAUUUGUUCCAUUCAACUUGUCCUUCACAAGGACCGAACGCAAAGCAAACGGUGUAGUGCUGCUAGGUGCCAUUUAAUCUACAACAAAAGUAAUGCAAAAUACACUAAGACAAACGUAUCCAUGAUAGAGCAAAUCACAUUAAACUAUUUUAACAGAAUCUACUCCCACUAAAAUCAAUAUCUGUGGCGGAACCGCCCAACUUAAGCUGGUUUAAGUGCGCCUAAUCGCUGUCGGGGCAGCAAUUAUCCGAAACGCACCUAAAACAGCAUAAGUCCAGUAGUCCGUCGAGUGUCCCUAGGACUCCUCGAAAGAUCCACGGCGGGUUUCGUCACCAUACAUCAGGAUAGUAUCCGCGAUGGGAUAAUAUCAACAAAUAUUACAUUUUUACAUACAUAAUUAAGAGGUACGAGUUAUUACAAGACUUAAGUUGAGACAAACUUAGUGAUGCAGAGUUAGACAAGCUCUAAGAUUAAACAUAAACAGUUUAGGAGAAGAUGCGUCGAUGAACGGUUUUCUAGAGUAUUGAGAGACUCAGGUCAAUACUCUAGGUCUUCGGGGUCUCCUCCUCGGCAGCUUCCUGGGUAGCUUCUGAAAGAUAACCACAAGGGGGAAAACCCUGAGUACGGGGUACUCAGCAAGUCUUACCCGACUAACCAAUAUAAUAGCUUUUCUUUGGAAUGCAUGUCAGCCUUUGGGUGUGCUUGGUUGACACGAUUUUUUUGCCGAAAAAUCUUACUACGAGUGAGGCCUUAGUUUUGUCUUUUAGUUUAGUUAAGUUGUUACCUAACCAUUCUAGAUGAUAACAGAAGUAAAACAAUCAUAACUGUUAAUUCAUACAGUACCUAGCAACAGGAGAUUUUAUAUCACAUGAGUUAUACUACGAUGCUCAACAGUGAUCAAGUGCAUUCAUAACCGAGAAUUGCGGCGAUCCGGAUCAAAUUACAUCCUACAGGAGAGCACCCCGAUCACCAGCAUUAUACGACUGUCCAGGUCGUACUAACAACCUCUCGAUUAGUAAAGUCAAUGAUUAGGAAUACAACUACCCGGACCCAGGGAUGCACCCCCACACGGGACCCCACGUCUGGCCUGAUCCCCAUGUGAGUUUCAGGCUACACCCCUGCCAAUCUCCAGCACGUCAAAUGCGGGUACGAAGCAUUCCUGAUCAUAGAAUUUACUAAUCUACUGGGCUUUACUGGUCCCAUACCCAGUAAGUGAUCAGAGGUUAUCACUUGAUCAGCGUUCUCUCUACAACGAUCGGGCCUUAACCAGAUUAAUCUAGCAGACAGAACUACAUCUCUAGCCUCUGUCCGUUUUCAUAUUCCAGACUAUUCUUCAUAAGCAAAUAUGUAUGACUUAAGAGUUUUCCUUAAGGUUGGUAAACCAAGCAUGUAAGCAAGUAAGCAAUUCUAGACUUGGGUUGUCUUCUAAAGUUUGAACAAGUGGCAAAGAUGUCCUUAAAACAAGGUAUGAUUAUACACAAGAAUAGGUUUCAAGCAACUCCGAGACUUAGUGCAUACAAUAACUAAAUAACCUAUAACUAGUCACAUGAAAUAACGACUUCAAAAUAGAUAGGUAUACAUGCACCGGGGCUUGCCUUGAUCGUUAAAAAGAUUAGUAGAAGCCGACGGAUUCGCUUCACAGGGGACAAAUUCAAACACCUCGUCGGACUCCAAAGGUCCUUCUGAAAAUUCCCAGUAAUCCUCUUCUGGUGCUUCAGGAUCUACGGCGCAAUAAAUGCAGGGGUUAGAAUGCAAACUUUUUAAAUAACAGACUAUACAACUUUCCUUCAUGAUAAAGUUGCAAGCCAACAAGGACUAUACGACUUAUCACGAAUAAGUUGUAAGUCAACACAUAAAAGAAAUCUAAAAAGGUUAACCUAUAUUUUUAUUUUCUUAUUUAACCCUUCCUAUAGCUUUUUCUUUUAUUUUUAGGAAAAGUGAUAAUUAUUUUCUAACUUGAAAAUCUGAUUUCCUAUGAGUUAAGAAUUAUUUGUGAUUAAUAAAGUGUUAUUCAUAUUUUAUACAUUUUAUAAAUAUUAAGUAUUUAUUUAAUUACCUCAAAAGGAAGGCAUUAAAUAAAUACCCAAAUUUUUAUUAUUUUCCUAGGGUGUAAAAAUUUUAAUGCAUAAAGGAAAAUAAAACAAGCCUAACAAAAUUGGUUUCACUAAUUUUGGACACUCCUAAAAAUUUCUGUGAUUAAAAUGGUGCAAAACGAAUUUAAACAGAUUAUUUUACUAAAGAAAUCUAACUUUUCCCGAAAUUCCCCCGGAAAAACUUUUCUCACUCACCCACGCUCUACCCUCUCUCACGAAUCACUGGACCCCACGGCGCGGACCCACCUCACCUAUUCAUUCUACCCGCCGGCCUUACUCCUCCUCCCGACGGGCCCCGCGGGCCGAUUUCCGCUUCCCUUUCCUCUAACAGCCCAGCACCGGCCCACGGCCCCUCUUUCUUUUUCUUUCUUUUCCACGCGACGCCGGCCUGUUUCUGCUCUGGGCCUCCGGCCUCCUUUUCUUUUUCCCCCGGCCGACUCGCGCGUUAGCCCCCUGGGCUCCUGCGAUGCCGGCCCAAAGACCGCACCGGCCCCGGGCCUUCUUUCCAAUUUCCGCCGACCGCGCGCAUGCGCUGCUAUUGGGCCUCCCACGCUACGGCCCAGCAACCGCUUACGCAGCGCUGGCCUGCUUUCCUCCUCCUUCUCUGACGCGCGGGCCCCGGGCGCACAGCUCCUUCUUCCUCCUCCCGCCAAAAGCGCGACCGGAAUAGGGGGCGGCGCGGCUCGCCGGCCGGCGCCCUCCCGGCGGCGGGUCUAGACGACGACACCAACCCUAACCCUACACGACCUCGCGCGCAGCGACAACUCCCUUGGAGACGACCGGAGCUACCCCCUCCACGGCGACGGGCGGCAACACCCACGGCCGGUGGUGACUUCUUAUGACAACGGUACAACCUACUCAAACAACUAACCUGACACCAUCCUAGGACCCUGAGGACUCGACUACGACUACUCAAGAAGGAAGAGAGACAGCGCAAGGUAGUUCUCACCGAGAGCAGGCGGUGCGACGGCGGCGGAUAGAAGCGGCGGCGAGCAUGGCUAUUCCGGCGAGGAUGUGGGACAACAACUAGCUCGGGGUGUGGCUGGGGUGUCUGUGGAGGAGUGGGCGAGAGGAAUCGACGAGAGCUGCUCGGAGGUGGUAGAAUUUUGCUUGGCGGCGAUACUGAUCAGAGGAGAGCGGGCGGCGGUAAAAAGGGGAAGCAGUGAAACGGUGGCGCGGGAACAGUAAACAUUCAAGGAUUUCACCGCGCGCAUGGCUGCCACCGUGGUCUACUGCUAGGCUUGCGUGGUGAGGAGGUGGCCUAGCUAGUCAUGCUGGCGGACGACCGACGACGGCGGCGGCGACACGUCUGGGUGCUCUGUCACCGCUCUUCUGGCGCCCGUGAUCUUCAGAAGCGGCUAGCGGUUGAUCCUUGAUCCGACGGCUUCUCGUGCUUUAACAGAACUUGGGGAUAAACUCAAGGCCUUCAUCUUUUAUUUUGGCGUCGACUUGAGAUAAACAUCGAAUCAACUGAAUUUUUGAAGUUUAGCUCGGGUUAGCUCUGAAUGUCGACUGAAUUGCAACUGCUGUUCGUCAGUUCGACAGUGAUAUGGACUUUAAUUUGGGAACCAAUUUUAAGGACUUAAAUCUUGUUUUUCCAGUCCAACUUCUUCUCAAAUGUGUUCUAUGAUCUCCCAAGUUUCCAUUUUGCCCAAGAACACCCACCCUUCUUGAUCUACAUUGCUCUGAAUUCGAACUCCAAGUUAAUGUACUGCUGAUUUUCAGACUUAGCAAAAAUUCAGAGUUUUCAGUCACUUGUGAUUUUGUGCUGAUUUUGAGCUCGAGUUUGACUUCCUUCCUUUUACUGUUCCUGGCUAACAACUCAUGAUUAUUGUAGUCUGAAGUCUAUAUUUCAACAUGAUGUAGUUGUUCUGGUGUACUUAGUUGCCAAAUUCCCCGGAAAUGAAUUUUGAAAACAGACUCAGUGGCUGUUGCUGUUGUCGGACGGUGAACAGUAAACGGCAGUUUUCUUUUCUUUUUCUUUCUCUGAUUCUUCUAAGAGAUUUAGCACUAGCUUAGCUCCAAAUUUUUGAUCCUUCAGUCCUAAAUAUUCUUACACUUGUAUUCCACACUUUUGACAAAUUUUUCUGAAUUUCAAAUUUGAAAUUCAAAUUUCGGUCAAAAUUUGGCCGAAUUUGACCUUUUUGCCAUUUUUCUUCUUUUUCUUUUGGAUUUCCUUCUGAAUUUUUCAGGGUCACUAUUUGACUUUAAAUGGCACUUAUUACAAUAUCCCUCUAUUGAAACUUAGUGAUUCAGGAUCCACAACUAACAAGUCUACUAGUGAGCUUUAGCAUCACCGCUAGCAAACAAGGUUGAUCGGUAAGCAACUUUUGCUAAUCAUAUCACAUAUGACUCCUGUUGUUGGGUGACAUCUCCAUGUCUCGGCGCCCAACCUUUAUGCCCCAAGGUCCUUAACCGUUAAGAUAACCUUGUUAAGCAAACCAACCCUUAUGCGUGUAAGUGUCCGACACAAACCCGUCUAGUCAAGGAAAACUAGUGGCAUCCUAAUUUCAUAGACCCACCACUAAUUGUACAAGACAUGGGACGGUGCAAGUUUUAGUUGGGAGGGCAUACUAACUUAAACUUUGUGAGGGAUCGUUCUACUUCUAACAUCACAGCAUGCAGAGAGUAAAACAUAAACAGAAUAGCAUUCACACAGUUGUGACACAGUAUGGCCCGUUUUCAUAUGGUGAUCUCCAUCUCCAUAGAACUUGUUCACCAUGAUGAUCUCCAUCUCCAUGUUCCAUGUGCUCCAUCCUCCUGGUGAUGAGUCCUCCAAGAACUAGAACAUGCUAUUACGCCUAAUAGCUAAUAAAGAAGCUAGUAAUGAAGAUUACAUAGUUGCUUGGAUCAUCACAGAUUGGUACGCAGACCAUUAAAUACAAUAAAGUGACAACACAUAUGGCUCAUGCCGUGUUGCCGUACGCGCGACACGCAGGUCACGAAUGAGUUACACACAUGCAUCACAUACACAAAGGGCCAUACUGAUCACAAGAUACAUACAUCCUGCAAAACAGAGUUAAGCGUCCUAACGUUCCAAACUUCGGAUGCCCGAAACUCCAUCUUCUAAGCUGAAUUUGGGAAAUCUAAUUUCGCCAAAAACGGCAAAGACAUUGAAUUUCAUGUGUAACUUUUUAUGUAGAUCAAUUUUCAUAUAAAAUUCGCCCCGAUCCGAGAUCGUACUGAAAAGUUACAGCUGAUUUACCGAAGCAUACGCAUACGACAAAAAUCCCGACCCCGGCAGUAGAUCCCAUCUACUAUUGCACAUCUAAUGCGCCUGGCGUAUAACCCUGGAUUUCGAUUCGACCAAUCAUAUUGAUCUUCGCUCACUGCAACUGGAAUUAUGUGUAUCACUUAACUCCGAUGGCGGAAACCAACCGGUAGGAGUAUGUCAUUACACUACCAUUGCAGCAAAAGCACAAAACCAAGAUAUAGAUCAAACUGAAAACUCGCAUAUCUCCAUAUGCACACAUCCCGAAUCCAAAACUAAACAGCUACGGCUCUGAUACCACUAUUGGGAUACGAGGUAGGCUACACUAGCGCAAAUCAAAAUUUCUACCGCGUAAAACCAGGAAGAACUGCCGUAUAAGGAUCACGGGAUUACCACUCAACGCACUACUGGUGCGGAAGAUGUAGAUUUGCGUCAAUGCAGCGAAGACAAUCAACGUAGUCGUACGUAGUCGAUCACGUCAACGUCCAGCAGCUCCUCAGCAGCUCAUCCAUGUGCAGCAAGAUCGCCCUCGUGCCGAGGCUCGUCGGCGGCUCGUCGUGGCUCGUCGGCGGCUCGUCGUGGCUCAUCGGCGGCUCGUCCGAGUGCUGCAGGCGCAACACCUCCAAGGUAUCCACACGUGCAGGGAGGAAGCAUUGCAAGCUGGACUGCUAGAUCCGCGAGUUGCAACAGGCGAGGGUGUGGGAGGCGCGGCAGAUGUGUUUCACCAAAAGGUGUAAACCCUAGGGCGCCCCCACCCCUCUAUUUAUAGAGGUUCCUAACGGGCCUCUGGGUCCGAGGACCAUUAGUACUUCUAAACCUAAUCCAACUUGGAUCACAUCCGAAUUGGGCUUCCAACCCCUUAAGUGUGUGACCCUAUGGGUUCGGAUACGUAUAGACAUGGCCCGAGUACUCCUACUCGGCCCAAUAGUCGGUAGCGGCCUCUAGCAAGACGUGCCAACUCCUAUACACACAUGAAGAUCAUAUUAGACGAACCAUCACAACAUAAUAUACAUGCUAUUCCCUUUGCCUCACGAUAUUUGGUCUAGCUUCAAGCCGACCGCUCUUUCUCGAUCCUGUGAUUCGGAAUCCCUUUGUAGGUUAACUCUUAACCGUACGUAGCAUGGCCAUGCAUUUUCGGAUCCGAUCACUCGAGGGGCCCAGAGAUAUCACUCUCAAUCAGAGAGGGGCAAAUCCCAUUUUGAUUGACCAUGUCUCAUAGCAUGCUUCUUGACAAACCCGAAAGCUACCUUUAUAACUACCCUGUUACGGCGUAGCGUUUGAUAGCCCCUAAGUAGGUCGAUCCACAUCUUGAAUACAUGCGACAAUCUCAGGUCUAAGGACAAAGCGUAUAUGUUGUUUAAAGAGAGAACUACUUCUCGUGUUGGGUCAGUCCUAGCCCAUGUCUCCACAUGUGUCCACAUUAUUAGUUCAACAUCUCCAUGUCCAUGACAUGUGAAACAUAGUCAUCAACUAAUACAUGUGCUAGUCUAAUAUUCAUGUGUGUCCUCACAUGAACUCCGACUAGGGACAACUUUAGAAUAACCAUACAAGUAAAGAGUUUCACAUACAAUUCACAUAAUUGCAAAUCAAUUCAAGUAGCCUUUAAUGGAUAUUCAAUGAACAAAAUAUACAAAUCGUGGAAACAAGUGGAAUAUCAUCAUCUCUAUGAUUGCCUCUAGGGCAUACCUCCAACAGUAAUAGUGCUUAAAUAGGUGUUUUAAACUUAAGAGCAAGUCCUUUGGGCUUAGAGAAGAGCUUUGGCAACUUUUAGGCAAAGUCCAAGUCUUGGGGCUCUCUAUUUAGAGGUUUCCAAUAUCAUCUAGAGUUGAGCCCUAUACCAAAGUUUUAGAGCUUCGGGACCUUAACAACUUUGCUUUAAGGAGAAAGUUCGAAAGAUGCCCUGAAAGCCUUCAAAAUCUAGGUCAAAGUUCCUAGUUUGGUCAACUCUGCCUCUUUAGCCAUUCCGGCUAAGUCUGGAAUUCAGCCCGACCUGGCGCCUUAGGGCAGGUUUAUCUUUGGAAAGUAGAACAGAACAUCAGGAAGUCCUUUUGUAGAAGUUAGGGAACUAAGUUCCUAUAAUAACUUUGUUAAUUGGACCUUGGUCCAAUUCACCUCCGAAGCUUCCCAAAUCUGCAGCUCAAAUCUGCCCAGAACCCUGAAAACCAGCCAAACCGCCAUUUUUCCCUAAGUCCUGAAACUGGUGUUCCUCCAAACUUUGGAGCUUUGAAUCUCCAAAUCCACCAUGUUUUUGAACUCCGUCAAAUUACAAGAGUUGGACCUUGGUCUAUGUACUACAACUCUUGUAAAGGGAGUCAACAUGGCGCAGUUUGAAAAUCCGGAGAUCAAGAGGCAGGAAGAUGGGCCUGGCAAAAGAUCUCGCGCAUCCGUCGGCCAGACAGCGCCAGACCGCGCGUGCGCCACGCGUAGAGCUCCACCGCCGCGUGGCAUAACCUCACCGAUGAGCGUCGCCUCGCCCAGUCACCGGCCGCGACACGAUAGAUCAGCGCGCCUCUUUCCCAGUCGCGCGUAGAAGAGCCCUGCAGACCCCUUUGCCCCAUCUCGUCUCGCUCGAGGCCUCGCCGGCCGCGCCAGGUGCCCUGCCCGCAGCUCCGUCGUCGCCCCGGCCACUCUGUAACCGAAGACCGGCUGCUGCCACGCCGGUACCGCCUCACCUCCCGUGUGCAUCCGCCUCACCCAGUUCCCCGGCCGCGCGCCCCAACGCCUUUCGGCCCUCCCGUCACACCUCAGUCGCGCUGGCCCCGUGCGUGCCCCGCGACGCUACUGUCUCCGCCAACUGCCACGCAGGCAGUGACAGCUCCUCCCCCCGCCUCGCCAGUAGCGUGCCCCGUCAGAGCUGGUAGUUCCGCGCAUGCUCACGUCACACCACUCAUCCUGUCACCUCUCUGCAGUGCCCUUCCCUUCCUCCUGUCCACCAAUGGCACCAUCGCCAUGGAUGGCUGCAACCACACGCGCGCGCAGACCUAGCAGAUCCGUGUGCCCAGCGAACCCGCUUUGCCCCCGACCCCAAAUCCUUGCUGCCCAACCAGAGCAAGAUUGCGUCCGAGCUCGCCAAUGGAGGCGCCGACCAAUCGCCGCCGCGGCAGAGCACUUCUUUCUCCCUCGAUCUUAUCCUCUCGCCGCUCAAGCUCAUUUCCUUCCUCUAAGCACUUCUGCGCAGCUAUAAAAGGGGUACUGGAGCCUCUUACCCAAGUUCCCUUCAUUACCACCGCCUUUGCCGCACUACAUGCUUUGUUCUUCUCCACCGCACUCGCCGCUGCACACUCCUCUGCUUCGCGCUGAAGCACCGCCACCUGAGCUCUCUGUGGAGCUCCCCCUUCCAUCCAACACCGCACCUUGCCAACCCCACCAGCUGCUUCGCCAUCCUUUCACGCAGCGCUAGAGCUUGCUUGUUGUCCACAAGAAGCACCACCGCCGCCAAAACGCCGUCUUUCCUUGUUCCGCCUCGGCUUGUUUCUUCCCAACCCCGAGACCUCGUCAGUGUGACCGGAGGUGAGUUUCUAACCCCCUUCCAACUCACCCAACCCUGUCCGACUCGCCCAAGUGCUGUCCACCUCGCGCCGACUCACCCGAGUGCUGUCCGCCUCACCCGACUCGCCCGAGUGUUGUCCGCCUCGCCUGAGGGCUCGGUGUGUCUUUUUCUUUUGAUCGAGGGUAUCUGUGUAAAAUUUUGAGGACUUCUCUAUGUUAAAUCUUAGGACCCUGGUACAGUUAUUCCUUAGGUCUAAGGGUCAGAUAGUAAGUUUUCCCCGAUCCGACUCUUUUAACUUGUUUUAAAUCGAUAGAAGCUUGGAAAUUGCAUCUUAAAUCAAGGAAAAAUCAGAAAAAUGUGAAAUCACUUGGGUUGGAAUCCUCGUUCUGAGUAGAAUCCAAUAAAGUGGGUUUCACACCUUUUCCUAUAGUUUUGCUAUAGUUUUGGGUUUAAAUCCUUGCUUACUAUUGAAAUCACCGUCUAAGUGUCUCACCCUUGCAUUGCAUUUCGUGUAGAGCUGAAUCUCGCCGAUGGCACAUACGAGCUUCACCUAGCAUCGGAAGACAAAGUCGUAGCUGAGCUGCCGCUUGCAGGAGUCGAGCCCGUGCACGUCGAGGAUCAGUUCGCUACCGCCCCGCUUGAAGGCAAGCCCCGGAGCAUAACCCAGUUUUUCUAAACUUGUGCAUAUCUUCUGUUGUUAUGUGUGUGCAUUUACGUUCCAGGAGCUGGUUGAAACCGUACAUGCAUGACUUAGUUUCCCUUUGAUCUGAACACUAGUAUGAUAGGCCGAGUAGCUGCUUGCUUAAAUAGGACUCGGUAAAAGUCGAGUGAUUUCCUGUCACUCGCGAGUUAUAGGAGUUGCUUGCUUCGUUUGUUACAACCAUAAGGACGAUAGAUGGGGUAGGGCUCUAUGAACUAUUUUGGUGGUCGGUGGAUUGCCCCGCCUAUCUACAUGAAAUUGGAUUAAGGUUGGAAAGUGAUGGUGUUCGUGAUCAAGCGUUUGAAAGUACUAAUCUCAUAUCUAGUAUGGGAUGGGGAAGCCUAGUACCUGAUUGAAUCGGCAAGUGGAUUAUACCCCUGCUGUCCUUGGAACGUAGUUCCCAUGGUGCAUCAUGUGGAUGCAGGUGCGGUCACAGUACGGUAGAAACUGGGACUGUGGAGCAUUGCAUGGCAAGGGCAGUUUGGACCUGACAUGCGCCUGGGAAUUGAUGGGGAUGGCCGACAAGUGAAGUGACCCUCCGUGGUGCGUGGAUGUCGUGAGAUUAGGUUCGCCAUGCAUGGUUAAGAAAUUCGAAUCGAUUCAUCUGCCUCUCAUAGUUUGGGAUUGCUUGAUCGCUAUGCUACACUGAGUAAGAAUGGAAGAUGAUGGUGAUCUAAAUAUUGUUACUUGUUUAAUUGCUUGGAAACCAUUGCUUGUUUAGUAUAAUUGCUAACUUAGAUUGGUAAAUGAAUGUAGAACUUGUGGCUAAAAUAUUGAAAGUAAGGAUCUACUGUAGUCGCUUUUGGCAAAACAAACGCCUCAGCCAAAAAGCCUUGCAUGUCUAGAAGUUGGUGGAUUAGAACCACCCGUCGGUUAAGUCUUGUUGAGCAUAGUUCCUUAGCCUUGCUUGUGGCACAUCUUUUAGGUGAUGUUGAAGCCCCUGAGUUUGCUGCCUGUGGCACUUAGCCUCCCCAGCUUCCUCCUUGGUGGACGGUCGAGUGGGAUCCCUCUCAGACGGUGAGAACAAGGAUCAUUGAUGUCAUGAUCGGCCUCAUCGUGACGUCCAACUUCGGCGCUAGCUUUCGUUUGUUUAUUUCUGCUGCUUAAGAACUCUGCAAACUUUGUUUGAAUUUCGAACCUGGUGUUGUAAUAAAUUAAUGUACUUGUUUAAUUUGGAUGAUCUAUUAUAUUCUCUGGAACCACUCACCUUCGUGUGAGCUCUGCUUCCUUGGUCCUGUGUAGUGGUUUAUCGGAUGAAAUCUGACAGACCGCUGAGUUAACUUGAUUAAAGCAUAUGAUUGCGUGUCAGGCAACUUAAUUGUGCUUUAGCAAAGUUAAUUAGGGCGGUUCCGCCACAUAUAUAUGGUAUAUAUGUAUACCUUAAUUGUGAGGUUGCCAAAUGGCCUUUACAGCUCACAUGAGGUGUGCUGAGUGAUGUCAUCCAUAGGGUAACAUUGGUUGUCUUGCACAACCAUGGGUAAGCUUGGCAUGUUCUUAUCAGGGACCCCUGUGGAAGCACAUCUGCUUCGGUGUUGAGAAGGGCUGAUGACAAUGUUGGGAUCUAGCAGCGCUAUAGAUUGGGCCAUCUCAGUAACUGCCAGAGCCACUUUAGCUUAAACAUGCGCUGCCACCUUUAUCUUAUUCAUGCACUUUAGCUUCUAACAUGCACUGCCACCUUUCCUCUUGCUAUAUCUUUCUUCUCUUUCAGCUUCUGUAUGUGUCGAUGUCCCUACGAAAAGCAUACUUCCAUGGAACCACAUUGAAGCCUUGGCAGCAUGUUGGGUGCUUGGGAUUCCUGAGCGCCAAAGUGAGCUCAUCGAUCUCUCUAUCAGGCUUGAACUUUCCCACUUUAGAAUCUUCAAUGUUUUUGAUAAGUCUGAGGACCUUCUCACAUAUUGUUUCGUUGAAAACAAGUGACCCCAUCCUUAGGGUUUAAGGGUGCCUUCGUGAGCGUAAUACCAAUUCUUCGAUCGAUCGGGCCAAUCAAAAGUCGCUAAUACGAUACCUCGAUCGAGUAGGUCUUGUUCCAUCUUUCUCCAUCUAGGAACUGCACUCUUGUAACUACCUUGCCCUAGAUGAUGAUGAUACUCCUUCUGACGGGCAUUGCCUGUGUUGAUCUUAACCUUGUUCGCACUAUCUUCAGUCCUCUUGUAUUCCAAAAAUGAGUUUUAGUGAUCUCUUAACUUUGGCCAGCAUUAAAAUCUGGAGUUCGGCCCUUCUUGAUAUAGUUGGUAUUCAGAUUUUUCUUGAAGGUCUGAAAUUGGGUUGCCAUCUUCUUGAGCGUCUAGUCUUUUACUAAGUUUUCAUUGAUGCCGUCAAGAAGUGUGAAGUAUUUCUUGACAUCUUCCCACAACAUAUCUUUCUAUGUCUGCGAGAGCACGUAUGGAUCAUCUUAUUUACUGGACUUCAAUUCUCGAAUGCUGAUGGGCAUGUUGUCCCUUACAAUAGUCCUGCAUUGACUUGCGAACUUUCUAGUGACUUUUUCGGGAGCAAUUAGCUGGCCCUCUUCUAUCACUUCGGUGAUAUGAAGCUUUCCCUCCAUUAUCUUUGUACGACCUCACGGCUUCUUUCGCGUCAAUGAUCCAGAGGGCUAAAAGUUGAAGAUUCAUUAAUUAGUGCAUAGUAAUAGUUAAUAUGAAGUUAUAGAUAGGGUAAAAUGAUAAAAAUGAUAUAUACCUCGCCGGAACCUUCCAUCACGACAAUGUCUUGUUCUGCAUUGUCAUCAACACCGUGCUCGUGCUCAUCAUUGCCAUCACCGGACAUAUUGACGAACAUGUCCGCCUAGCUACCCUCAUCCUCGGUGUAGGUUCUUGGAACGUUUGAGCCACUACUGCCAGCAACAAUCUACUCUGUUAUAUAACUUUCGUCCUCUUCGUCUUCCAUCUCAACUAAUAAUGACAUUAGUUAUACACACAUGUAAUCAUAGAUACAUUAAGUUAAACAUAGUAUAAUAAAUAUAUAUACAUGAAAUCAUACUAAUUUGUACUAAUUUCCUAAGCAUUUAUAGUGAUUUCUACUAAUUUCCUAAGAAAUUAUAACAAUUUUCCGAAGCAUUUAUAGUAAUUUGUACUAAUUUCCUAUACAUUUAUAGUGAUUUCUACUAAUUUCCUAAGCAUUUAUAAUGAUUUCUACUAAUUUCCUAAGCAUUUAUACUAUUUUAUACUAAUUUCCACUAAUUCUCUAGGGCAUUUGCACUAAUUUUAAUUCUAGUAUAUUAAGCAUUUUUCUAAGUACUUAUAAUUAAUUUACACUAUUUUCUAAUUUAUAAAAUUUUUCUAAGUAUUUAAACUAAUUUAUACAGUUUUUUAAAUAUUUAAAACAAUUUAUACUAAUUUUCGAUGGAUUUAUUCUAAUUUAUACAAUUCUUCUAAGUUAUAUAAUUUACUAUUCUAAUUUUCUAUGAAAUAAAAAAAACGCUAAUGCAAGCCGUAGUUGGAGGCGGCGCGCCCGUACCUCGUUGCAGGGGGGCGUCAGGGAUGAGUGUGGCGGCGUGCGGUGGCGGAUGGAAGGGUCGUGGGCCCGUGUGCGAGGCUGGGGGACGGUGGGACGGCGCCGAUAGAGCUCAAUUCAGCCCGCGGCAGCGCACGGUGGUCGACGGUGUUGAGGGCGGCUCUCUGCGAUGCCGGGAUAGGGAGGAGGGUGCCGCCGGGGAGAUGGGGCGCGUAGGCGAAGGGGGAGUACGGCCGUGGCGGCCGACAGAGAGGGUCGGGGUGCUGCUGCCGGGGGGCGCUGGAGGCAUCGUUGAGGAGCCGGGGGAGGCACCGGGGUGGUGCCACGAGCCACGAAGAAGACGCCGGCCGAAGCGACGAUGAGAUCGAGGGGAUGCCCGCAGAGGAGCUAAUGGCAGCGCUGGUGGCGAUAGGGGCGACGAAGGCAGCGAGGAUCGUGAAGUUAGCUAAGUCCUGAGGAGGGAGGAAGGGCUUGGAUAUUUAUACUCCCACCCUUUUUGUCCCGGUUGGUCGUACCACCCGGGACUAAAGGGUCUUUAGUCCUAGGUGGUAUUUCCAACUAGGAGUAAAGAGAGCCUUUAGUCCCCGCUGGUAAUACCACCCAGGACUGAAGGAGGUGAAGUUUCAUCUCCCGCGCGCUGCCCCCCUUUAGUCCUACUGCCCCUCUUUAGUCCCGGGUGGUAUUUCCAACCGAGACUAAAGGGUCCCUCGCCUUUGCCUUCCCUGCAUAAGCCAUUAUUUCCACCCUUUUAUUUCAACAAUCAGUUUACUCAAAAUGCUGCAAAUUUUACAAAUAUGUAAUUAAUGUACCAGAGUAGAUGAGAUGUUGAAUAUAUUUUUUUAAUUACUAUUUUUAAGAUGUAAUAAAAACAGUACUAAACUAUAAUUCUUAAUAUGUUUUAAGUUGAUUUAAUACUUUUGCUUAAUCAAGAAAAAUGAAAAAAAUCAAUGUUUUAAACAUGCAAAAAUAUAUCCAAUUAGCUUAUGUGAUUAAGUUAAUAUAUUGACCAUAUAAUAUUUUUUAACCUUAUAUUGUUGUUUAUAUUGAUCGAAUAAUCAUGUGAUGAGCCAAAAACUCUCAUAAAGGAUGAUGAUAUAUAGUCCAUUAUAUAAAUGAGUUUUACACAUCACUAAAAUAUAAUAGAAAGGUUCUAAUGAUCAUAGAGCAUUACAAUGUAACGUAAAAAAACUUCUUCUUGAUGAAAGUUCCUUGAUCAUGAGCGCGGUGCAAGUACGGAGCCUCUUCUUUGGCUAGCAUGAUGCUUGGGUCAAUUUCGACAGCGAAUGGAGGUGCCAUCAAACUGAUCCUAAUCAUCGGACUAGUAUAUUUUGUCCUCGACUCCCACGAUUACUCUUUAACCUGGAAGGAAUAUGUGGCGCUUUGACUCCCAUGGUUUUUUUAUCUUCUGAAUUAUUCUUAGGUUUGCUAGACAUGUCCUUCGUAUAGAAAACCUGAUGCAGAUCAUUGGCAACGACAAAUGGUUCAUCUUUGUAUGUAGUCUUGCUCAGGUCGACUAUUAUCAUUCCAUACUUAUCUUCCGUUAUGCCACCUCCAGUUAGCUUCACCCAUUGACAACAAAACAGAGGGAUGUUCAGCGGUUCAUAGUCAAGUUCCUAGAUCUCCUCUAUGAAACCAUAAUAUGAGUCUCUCAAUGCUGUCUAGGACAUCUAUACGGAUACCACUAUUUUGGUUGGUGCUUUUUUGUCUUGGGCUCUUGUGUAAAAUGUAUAAUCAUUUAUCUUGUAACCUUGCGUUGACGUUGGAUUUUGACACGUGUUUGGAAUCGGUGUCAAAGGAGGAGAAAGGGAGCCGAUGCGGUGGACUAGAAGCUACAGUUGGGAAUCGGCUGAUUAAAGCUACAAUAUUUUGGCCGACUGGCGGAAGGAGUCAAUGGAGGCUGGCCGAUUGGGAGCCAGAACGGCCUGGCCAUUUUUGGCCUAAGGUGGGCCAGGAUGAAGAUUUGCUGAAGAAGGAGAUUGGCCCGUGGGAAAAUAAUAACCAACUCGGAUACGAGUUGUGUUUGUAAAUAUUUAUUAUCGUUUAAAAUUAGAGAUAGAUCCUAGUCAGUAAGGAAGUCAGUUGUGGCAGGGUAUAAAUAGCUGCCUCAUGAGGCUUGUAAACAACAAUACCAAUCAAUACAACAAAUCUACUUUUUUCUCGUACUUUACUUUCAAGUCAGCGUCUUCGCCAAAACCUUUUUCUUUCACGAGUUCGUACGGGUUGGCAGGGCUGCAUCGACAUGAUCUCCGGCUGAUUUUGUAAGUUCUGCUUAUCGAGUAAUAUCUAAGCUUUAACUUCAGGUGCAUCGCUGUUGUUUCGUUUAGAUUUAUUCACCCGUUAUCGAUAUCAACUAGAACUAUAGGUUUUAUCUAUUGUUUUAGUUUUAUCACCAGUUAUCCACCUUGAGAUACGAACUAUCGGCUUUUUCGUCAUUAUUUUCUUUUAUCACAUAGCCGAUUAGAUCUAUUUCAAGUGUUGCUUUGUAGCGUUGUUUGGAUUUCUCUAGUAGUUUCUUUGCAAUCACUCCAUGGUCAUCGGCUGCCCUAUAGCCGGUUACUCUCACAGUAAAUCGACUGAUUCGCUGACACGCUUUUCAAGACAGAUCGGAACUUUAGUCAAUCGAGACCUCUGGAAUUUAACACUUUUCUCUCCUUGUCAAUCAACAGGUCAGAUUGACAAGCACGCCGCGCAAAAUGCACGAGGGCGAUAACCCGAAUAGGAGUUAAGCAGAUUCUCCCGGGUCGUGUGUCCGACGCUGAAAGUCAUUGGCUGAUUUUUAGUGCCAACACCUUGGAAUUUCACGAUUGUGCUAGAAGGUCCCCUAGCAAACAAAGCGAGUUGUUCGGGAAUCGUGGAGUUACCCAUAAGGUGUUGAUGCAACCAAGAGGGAAAAUUAUCCAUGUGAUGAUGUAUAAUCUAGGUAUCAGAUUUCAUCGGGUAUUGGGAAAAUAGAAUCUACUUGUGUUCUUCAAUAUACGGAGCCACCAAGGAUGAUUGUUGCAGAACCGUGAAGUGUGCUUUAUGGAACAAAUCACUAUCAGUGCUCAAACUUGAUUUCCUUUCAAGGGUGCCCUUCCCUGUAGCCUCCCCUUGUGGCGUGAUAGUGGAACCCAAUUGAAUUAAUUGAGUCAAUAAAAUCAACACAAAACUCAAUGACGUCCUCUGUUCCAUAUUCCUUGGCGAUGCUUCCUUCUGGAUGGGCACGAAAACCUCUCGAAAGGCCAUAUAUUGUGCAGGAAUACUGGACCUAGAAUAGUAAUACCUUUGACUAAGUGAACCAGGAGGUGCGUCAUAAUAUUGAAGAAGGAUGGGGGAAAUACCAACUCAAAGCUGACAAGAUAUUGUACCACAUCAUUCUGUAGCUUUAGUAGCUUGGUUGGAUCAAUUGCCAUCUGAGAAAUCGCAUUGAGAAAUGUGCAUAAUUUUACGAGUGCCAAUCGUACAUUCUCUGGUAGAAUACCUAUAAGUGCAACCGGAAACAACUGGGUCAUCAACAUGUGGCAGCCAUGGGCCUUUACAUUUGUGAACUUUUUUCUUUCAUAUUAAUUAUUCCCUUUAUAUUCAAGGAGUACCUAGAUGGAACCUUGAUACUAUUCUUACAAUCAAACAUGAUAUCCUUCCUUUCCUUGCUGAGAGUGUAACUAGCGGGAUGUAAGUAGUGCUGUCCUUUAUCUCUCUUUUCCGGAUGUAGGUCAUCUCGUUGCUUCGUACGUUUGAGGUCCUGUCGUGCUUCCAAUGUAUCUUUUGAGUUCCCAUAACAACCUAGGAAGCCUAGCAUGUUCACGCAAAGAUUCUUCAUCUGGUGUAUCACAUCAAAUGCGUUGCGAACCUCUAGGAUUUUCCAAUAAGGUAGCUCCCAAAAUAUAGACUUCUUCCACAUGGGUGCACAUCCGUUAUCAUCGUUUGGAACAGGUUCGGUACCAAGACCCUUUUCAAAGACUACUCUUACAUCCUUUAUCGUCUCAAAUACACGCUUUCCAUUAUGGUGUGCAGGUUUUUUAAUAAGAUGUAUUUUUAUUAAUGUAAUUUUUUAUAUAAUAUGAAAAGGUGAUUAUUUUGAAAAUUCUCUUAAAUGUAAAAAAAUGAUUGGCAGUGUUCAAGGACCUCACAGUUAGAAGUCAAAUCCAAUCUUUUAAAUUCAAAAUGUCACAAAUUUAUUAAAUUCAAAACAUCGUUUCAGUGUCAGUACAUCCCCGCCACGAACAGUUUCUGGCCUUUGUCAAGAAGCAAGGCUCCGACGUCGAGCUCAUUUGGGAAUCGGGUGCCAUGUCAUUGCCUUACUUACAACUCCUGCCAUCUUGUAUCACCCACCCCUGAUGUCGUGCAUACCUAAUACGUGUACGUCUCAAUGUUUGCCCUGCGUGCAAGAGCGACAAAGUUCAUCACAAUCCACAAGGCUUGCCGAACCAACUAAGGGGAUGGUUGGCAGCACUCCACUCCAGAAAAAAUAGCUCCACUUCACCAACUCCACAAAAUUGCCUGCCAACAAACACGUCCAGCUCCACAAACUCCAGCUGUAGAAAAAAUGUGGAGCUAGAGGUUAGAUCCACAUUUUUCCUGGAGUACCUUAACAUCAGUUUCAGACUUCCUCAUGGAGUUAGGGGUUAUUUACCCACCUUUGCCACUCGUUACACAACAUAUCAGUUCGUUUCUAAUUUUUUCUUUCUGCUCUCGCUGUCUCCAUUUCCUCCCUCUCGCUGUCACCUGCCAGCACUGCGCUGCCUUCACCAAUCAGCACUGCGCUCCCCACGCGGCCCUCGCCCAAUGGAGCCGCGCUAGUGCGCUACCCACGCCGUCGUCGCCCUCCGGAGCCGUGCCGCCCUCACCCCCUCGGCCGUGGCCACGCCGCCCCUGCUCGUUGAACCUCGCCGCCCCUGGCCAUGUUGGUCGCGCGGCCCUUGCUCGCCAGACCUCACCGCCCCCACCCACUAGGGCCAUGGGGCUUUGCCCUCUUAUCCUUUCCACGUUGCCGACCUCAUCUCUUCCUCCCCCUCAUUCUCCCCCUUUCUUCUUCCUCCAGCCGGGCCAAUCCAAAAGUAGAGCCGAGUCUAGCACCUUUGAUCCGCCACCCAAAUUCGCCCCUUUCCCUCCACCAAAACAAAUUGCCACCAACCGGACCUCCCUCACCUCUCCAGCUCCACCCUUAGCCACUCCUCACCGUCGGCCAUGGCUCCUGCGGCCGUGGGUUGAAGUUUCCCUAUUCGCCGGGUGCCGCGAGCCAGUGUUGGCCACCCUCACGUUGACGGCCUAGCUCCGGCCACCUCUCCCCAAGAUGACCGUCUUGGUGAGCUAUGCACGAUGCACUGAUGCUCAUCUCCCCCUCGUCUUCGCUUUUCUGGUGACUUUCCGUGGCGGUUCACCGCAUCGCCCCCCCCCCCCAAUCGCGUCGCCGCUCGCUGCCGGCCUUGCUCCGACCAACAUUUGUGCGCGACAACCACAUGGGUAGAUGCGCCUCGUGUUGCUGAUCACCUUGGUCGUGUUGUCAUCACCAGCUGGCCGCCGGUCAAAGCUGGUGAACUUCAGCUUUGACUCGGUCUUGACCGGCCUGGAUCUGUUGACCCUUGCCCCACGCGUCAGCGGCCGUAGAGGAGGGUGGCUGGGUAAAGCUGAGUAGGAAAAGUUUGUGUAGGGUCUUGGUUUUUCGAGAAAAGAUGAGAGAAGAGACUAACACGUGGACCCAUUCACAAAGGGUAAAAUAGACUAUUCACAAUAAGUCUUCAUAUUUGUGGAGCUGCGGCACUGCAAUCAGCCAAACAUAUACAACAACUCCAAUAUUUUUGUGGAGUUGGUGGAGUGGAGCUGAGGUGGAUUGGAGUUGGUGGUGUCACUGGUAGAAAACUGAGCAUUAGUCCCGGUUGGUAAGGGUCAUAUCUCUCGGAUAUCCAUCCGGGAUAAACCAACCGGGACAAAAGGGGGGUCCCUUUAGUCCCGGUUGGAUUUCCCAACCGGGACUAAAGGGGUCCCCUUUAGUCCCGGCUCAAUUCCAACCGGGACUAAAUUGCGCUUGCAUGGCACUGGUGACGCCUGAAUUUUUCAUGCAUGCAUCACGUAUACGUAUAGUAGUACCGCGGCCCUUUUAAUUUGUUAACCUUGUAGUUGAGAUUUUUUUAGAAUGAAUUAAAUCAACUAGUAUUUAAACGAAUGGGAUUUGUAAUUAUACAACUACUAUAUAUAUACACAAUCCUUAUACACAAUUCAUAUACACAAUUCAACUAGCUUAAUUAGUACAAAUCGAUCAUAUAUACAAAUAAAUCAAAGUAUCUUCCUACGAUCUUCCCGUCGUGGUGUUGCUGAGAGGAGUGUCUAAUUGUCGUCCAUCGUAAUAAAAUUCUCCUCUUGGAUUUACCACCUCGUCCAUUAUGAAUCCAAUGAGACCUUCACAUAUUGCCGCUACUCUUUCUUCCUUCAAGAGUCCUUGUUGAAUAUUUAACAUCUAUAAUUUGGAAAUUUGUCAAUGUUACAUGAACAAAUACAUAUAAGGAGCUAGAAAAUAAUUAACUAGUAAUAUAUUUAUUUUACGUACUUUAAAGUUGUGCGGCGUCAUCUUCGGUCCCUUGGGUCCCAAAAAACUGUGCAUGUGCUCACAGAUGUAGUAGCCACAUAGGUUAUUCCCGGGUUCCUGUCUUAAGCACUUCAGUGCGGAAAAAAAUAAGUUAUGAAAUAUUCGUGUUAUACAAUGUAAUAAAUGUGCAGACUUCAUACGUACCGGGAAGUCUGUGUUCCAUGUAAGAUUUUCUUUUAAUGGACCUUUGUGUGUCCUUAUGAAUUGUUUCCAUGCGCUGCGGAUUAGAAUAAUGAAUGACAUAGUGUAACACGGAUAAAAUUUAGGAAAUAAAUUUUUGCAUAGAGAUAAAGGUCCAGAAUUAUUACAAGCCUAGCAUGUCUUGCAAUUCUUGGUAGUCCACCGGAUCUUUCCGUAACGAAUCAAAGACAGUGACGUGGCUUCUUUCAGGCUCAAUUAUAAUAAGGAUCCAGUGGAAGCUGCGUGCGUAAAAUGUUCAUGCAUAUUAGAGCUAACUAACAUGUAGAGAUAAGGAAAAAGACAUCGAAAGUAGACGGUAUACACACACUUACUUGAAGUUGUAUGGAAGUAGUAUGAAAUCCUUGAAUGUUUGUUUGUGUAGGAAAUUGUAUAUUUCGGCAAAGGUUUUUUCCGGCGCUAAUUGUAUCUGUUGUUGGUUAAGUACAGAUGGAUCCAUGAAGCCUACAUGUAGGUACGCCUCUCGGCGGCAUGUCUGAAUUAGCAUCCUACAUGAAAUGGAAGAUGAAGUUAGUACGGUGACGCACGCCAAAAUUUACAUGUAGAGAUAAUAAACGGACACUUACAGAAUCCAAGCGCUGAUCAGAGAGACGUCCAGGGCAUCAUGAUGGUACACUUCGUAUAUAUCCUUGAAGUCUAGCCACAGCACUUUCUCCCCUUCACCGUGAAAAUCUAUCGGUUUUACCUUCAUGCCGAUCAUCUCCCUCGAUUUGGCGGAUGCCGUCAUGUACCAUUGAUGGAAUUCGUACAUCUUUGUUGACAGCUUCCGUACCAUUGCCGGCUUCACUAGAGGCUUGCCUAGCUCAUAAGGCCAUCUCGGCUCAGGGGGCGGUGCAGUUGGCGUCUCGACUUGCCCUAUGCAUUCAUCAAGUCCCAGACCUGUUUCUUCCAUGAACUUCAAUAUAUUUUCUUGUUGAUCCAAGGGCAUUGCUUUUACCCGUUGAGCAUCUUUCUUUGAUAAAUGGCUGAGGUCGGGGACUGAACCGCUGGAGGAUGAUUUUCCUUUUCUUUUAUCCUUUUCAUCAGCCUUUACUAGAGCCCGUUCAUAGUUUGACAAGAGUGGUAUCCUUUUCUUGGCUCCUUCCUCCAUCCUGAUAAAAAAGUUUAAAUCCCGCCGACUUACUGGCGGUGGCUCCAUCUCCCUUGCCUUUUUUAAUUCGGCUUGUUUCUUGAACCACUCACUGGCCUCUCGUUGGAUUUCUGCCCACUGUUCCGCAUGAGACAUUGCCUCAAAGCGUUCCUUGCGAGCCACUUCAGGGUCGACCUUUGUUUUCUUCUUUCGAGGCUGUCUUUGCUUGGGAGGCAGUGCUCGUGACUUCUUGAGUGGUGCUGCAGGUUCCUUCGAGGGGGCCGCUCUUGGUGCCGGCGACGGUGAUCGGGAAGGGGUGUUGUUAUUGUCGUCGUCGCUCCCAGCACCAGGAUGUGGUGGAGAUGGAGACCUUGAUAUAGAUGGAAGCGACGGUCCUGGAGCAGGAGAUGCCGGUCUCGAGGUAUGAGGAGAAGGUCGCUGCUCGGGAUCUACGGGGAGCGGUCUUGAGGUCUGAGGAGAUGGCUCCGUGCGGGAAAUAAUGAUGUAGCGUUUCUUCCAUAGAAUGAUCCCAUGAAGCGCAUCUGCCAAUGUCUUUUCCCCGUCGCCUCCCGGGAAGUCGAGCUCUAGACCUUCAUACUGGGCAUCUACUAUUUGCUCGACGCAGACGCUGGCGUAGCCUGUUGGAAUGUCCAUGCCAUGACUGCUCUGCCCUGCCAGCGUUGGUAACGCACUCUCGUACGCUACCUGUACAUAUAGCAGAAGUAAACAAGUUGAACUCCGAUCUCGAGGCCUGGAUCAAUUGACAAGAUUGCAUAAAUAUUAUGUAUAAGUAUACCUUAAUAGUGAGGUUGCCGACCGGUACAUGCAGCUCACAUGAGGUCCGUUGCAUGAUGGCAUCCACGGGGAACCGUUGCUCCUCCACGGGUAACCUGGGCGUCUGCGCAUCGGGGACCCCUGUAGAAGCACAACUGCUCCCGAGGCGUUGAGAAGGGCUGGCGGUGUGAGGAUUCGGCAGUGCUCCAGAUUGCGCCAACUCCGCAACUGCGUCGGCCACCCGCCGAUUGAUUUCAUCCAUCAUUCGUUGUUCUAGCAUCUGCCGCCAGCUCUCCUCCAUCUGUUCCUUUCUUCGCUUCCGGCUUCUGUAAGAGGCGCUGUCGCCUCGGAAAGCGAACUUCCACGGAACCACCCCGAACCCCCGGCAACGUCCUGGGUGCUCUGGAUUACCGAGGGCCAAUGUGAGCUCAUCAUUUUCUCGGUCCACCCUCAACCUCCCAGCCUUGGAAUCUUCAAUGUUCUUCAUGAGAUGUUCGGCCUUCUCACGUAUUCUGUCAUUGAAAAUCAGCGUCCCAUCCUCUUGGCUUAGGGAGCCUCCAUGAGCGUAGUACCAGUUCUUUGAUCGUUCGGGCCAUUCAAUAGUUGCAGGUAUGAUUCCCCGUUCGAUCAGAUCUUGUUCCAUCUUUCUCCACUUGGGAAUUGCUGAGCCAUACCCACCUCGCCCCAAAUGAUGGUGGUAGCCCUUCUGACUAGCAUUUGCAACGUUGGUCGUGAUCUUUUUCACACCUUCUUCACUCCUCUUGUAUUCAACAAAUGCAUCCCAGUGGUCCCUCAACUUGGGCCACACGUUGAAGUCUGGAGUUUUGCCCUUCUUGAUGUAGUGGGUGUCCAGCAUCUUCUUGAAUGUCUGGAAUUGAGUAGCCAUCUUCUUAAGUGUCCACGCUUUGACAUCCUUCUCGCUAUAAUCUUCGGAGAAUGUGAAAUGCCUCUUCACGUCUUCCCACAGCAUAUUCUUUUCUGUCUCUGGAAGGGCGUACGGAUUAUCGCUUCUGCCCUUCCAUUCUCUGAUGCUGAUAGGCACGUUGUCCCGGACGAUUGCCCCGAUUUGACUAACGUACUUCUUUGCGACUUUCUCGGGAGCAACCGGCCUGCCCUCAUCUGUAACUUCGGUGAUGACAAGCCUCCCUUCCAUCACCUUUGUACGACCUCGGGUCUUUUGCCCUUGUGUCGAUUCGGAGGGCUAACAGUUUAAGAUUCGUUAAUUAGUACGUACUAGUAGCGGUGGCGUGAAACAAUACAAGAAUGGUUGUAUAUACCUCGCCGGAACCUUCCGCCACGGCAAGUUGUUGCUGCGGCUGUUGCUCUUCAUUCACAUCGGCAGACAUGUUGAGGAACAUGUCCGCCUGGGUGCCCUCUUCAUCCGUGUAUGAUAGUGGAACGUUGUCGCCACUACCAUCACCAGCGAUUAUCUGCUCCAUGAUAUACCUUGCGGUCUCAUCGUCUGCCAUUUCAACUAUUGCUGCAAACAUACAUGGAAUCAUACAUGACAGUCAUAGAAAUCGUCUUAAUACAAAUUUGUAUAUAAUCACAGUUCGGAAUCAUACAUGUAUAUAAUGAAAUCAUAAAAUAACAUGAAUCGUACAAAGUUCGGAAUCUUUAUACAAAUUUCUAUGAAUUUAUACAAAUUUCUAUGAAUUUAUACAAAUUUCUAUGAAUUUCUAUGAAUUUCUAUGAAUUUCUAUGAAUUUCUAUGAAUUUAUACAAAUUUCUACGAAUUUCUAUGAAUUUCUAUGAAUUUAUACAAAUUUCUACGAAUUUCUAUGAAUUUCUACAAAUUUCUACGAUUUUCUAUGAAUUUCUACAAAUUUCUACGAAUUUCUACGAAUUUUGACGAAUUUCUACGAAUUUUGACGAAUUUCUACGAAUUUCUACGAAUUUCUACGGCGGCGAUAAGGGCGGCGGAGGCGGGACGGCGGCGGUCAGGGCGGCGGAGGCGGGACGGCGGCGGUCAGGGCGGCGGAGGCGGUUCACCGGAACCACGGGCGGUGCCUAAGCUACUACGUUGUGAUGGGCGGCAGGACGGCGGCGAUCACGGCGGCUACUCGGCGGCGAUCACGACGGCUACAAGGCGACUCUCACGGUAGCUACUCGGCGGGACGGCGGCGAUCACGACGGCGGGACGGUAGUUAACAACCUAACUACAAAUCUAACUUAACAAACUAACUAGAAAUCCAAAAAUCUAACUUAACAAAAUUAGAAAUCUAAAAAUCUAACUUAACAAAAUUACAAUUCCAUCUAAAAAAGAACAAAAUUAAAAAUUAAAAGGAAACCCAGCUCUCCCGGCGCACCGGCCGGCGCGGCAGACCUCUCGCGCGCGGGGCGGCGGCCGGGGCGGCCUGACGGCGGCGGCCAGGGCGGCGUGACGGCGGGACGGCGGCGGCCGGGCGGCGUGCGGGAUAGCGGCGGCCGGGGCGGCGACGAGGACGAAGACGAUGACGGCGGGACGACGGCGGCCGAGGCGAAGACGACGACGGCGUCCGGCGAGGAGCGACGAGGGGCGACGAGGGGCGACGAGGAUGGAGCCGGCGACGAGGGGCGAUGCAGCCGGCGACGAGGUGGCCGGGCCGGGGGCUGGGCCCGUCGACGGACGAGGAGGGGAUCGAGGAGGGCCGGCCGGGGGACGACGACGGCGCAAUGCGGGACUUCGACGGCGCAAUGGGGAACGACGACGGCGGCGGCCGGCGAGGGAGGCGGACGGGCGGCGACGGGCGGAGAGCGCGGGACUUGCGAAAAUUUCGCUAAGUGUGGAACUGGCGGGGGGUAGAAGGGAGUACAGUGCUUUUAACCCCCCCCCCUUUUAUCCCGGUUCGUAAUGGCACCCGGGACAAAAGGGCCUUUUGUCCCGGGUCCCGUUUGCAACCGGGAUAAAAGGGGGUCCUUUUGUCCCGGUUGCUGUUAGCACCCGGGACAAAAGGUCUUUUUUCCUAUUUUUCUUCUCCCGCCUGUUUUUUGGAAAUGGAUUUUAUUUAACCUUUUCACUGCAUUCCAGGAUGAAAAACAAAACCUUCUCAGAUUUUGUACAUGCAAAAAUAUAUUUAAUUAACGAGUAAAUUGACAAUAAGUAUGAAGUAAUCAUUAUUUCUAUACCAACUCAUGUAGCCUGUAAAAUAUUUAUUUUACUGCAUUGCUGUGAUCAAUAAAUUAUUCAAUUAAAUUAUUUGAAUGCGCAGAAAAAUCCAUGUUAGUAUGUGGUUAACAAUGUUCAUGUAUAUCUAAAAAAUCUUCACCUAACAAAUUUAAUAACACAUGAAAUCAUACAUAGGGUAAAUUACAAAUUGUAUCAAUUAAUACACAAAGGUCAUGCACAUUUAACGCAUUACAAUACAACGUUGUAAAAUUACUUCUUCACGAAAGUUCCUUGAUCAUGAUCGCGGUGUAAGUACGGAGCCUCUUCUUUGGACAGCAGGAUGCUUGGAUCAACUUCAACGUCGAAUGGAGGCAUGCCAUCAAACUGAUCAUAAUCAUCUGAUUGGUCUGUUUUAUCCUCGACUCCCACGAUUUUUCUUUUACCUGGAAGAACUAUGUGGCACUUUGGCUCCCAUGUCUCUUCUGGAUUCCUCUUGGGUUUGCUGCACAUGUCAUUCACAUAGAACACCUGAUGCACAUCAUUGGCAAGUACGAAUGGGUCAUCACUGUAUCCAGUCUUGCUCAGAUCUACUAUUGUCAUUCCGUACUGAUCUUUGGUGACGACAGUUAGCUUCACCCAAUUGCAAAGAAAUAGAGGGAUGUACAGCGGUCCGUAUUCGAGUUCCCAUAUCUCCUGUAUGAAACCAUAAUACGACUCCUUGCUAUUAUUUCUGUCCAUGGCAUCUAUGCGGACACCACUAUUCUGGUUCGUGCUUUUCUGGUCCUGGGCUCUCGUGUAAAAUGUGUAACCAUUUAUCUCAUAGCCUUGGAAUUUGACGAUUGUGGUAGCAGGUCCCCUGGCUAACCAGGCAAGCUGUGGGUGAAUCUCAGAGUUACCCAUAAGUUGUUGGCGCAACCAGGAGGGAAAAGUUUCCAUGUGAUGACGGGUAAGCCAAGCAUCGGAUUUGGUCGGGUUUUUGGAAGCUACCAUCUGCCUGUGCUGCUCGAUAUACGGAGACACAAAGGAUGACUGUUGUAGAACAGUGUAGUGUGCCUUGUCGAACAAAUUAGUAUCAUUGCUCAAACUUGAUUUCCUUCCAAGGGUGCCCAUUCCUCGGAGCCUCCCCUCGUGGCGUGAAGUUGGAACCCCAAUCGAGUCAAUUGAAUCAAUAAAAUCAACACAAAACUCGAUCACCUCCUCUGUUCCAUAUCCCCUGGCGAUGCUUCCUUCUGGACGAGCACGAUUACGAACAUAGUUUUUUAGGACUGCCAUGAACCUCUCGAAAGGCCACAUAUUGUGCAGGUAUACAGGUCCGAGAAUACCAAUCUCUUUUACUAGGUGAACCAGUAAGUGCGUCAUAAUAUUGAAGAAGGAUGGUGGAAAUAACAACUCAAAACUGACAAGACAUUGCACCACAUCGUUCUGUAGCUUUGAUAGCUUGGAUGGAUCGAUUGCCUUCUGCGAAAUCGCAUUGAGAAACGCGCAUAGCUUUACGAGCGGCAACCGGACAUUUUCUGGUAGAACACCCCUCAGUGCAACCGGAAGCAACUAGGUCAUCAACAUGUGGCAGUCAUGAGCCUUGAGAUUUGUAAACUUCUUUUGUUUCAUAUUUAUUAUUCCCUUUAUAUUCGAGGAGUACCCAGACGGGACCUUCAUACUAUUCAAGCAUUCAAACAUGCUAUCCUUCUCCUCCUUGCUGAGAGUGUAACUGGCAGGACGUAAGUAGUGCUGUCCAUUAUCUCUCUUUUCCGGAUGUAGGUCAUCUCGUUGCCCCAUGGCUUUCAGGUCCUGUCGUGCUUCCAAUGUAUCUUUUGAGGUUCCAUAAACACCCAUGAAGCCUAGCACGUUCACGCAAAGAUUCUUCGUCAGGUGCAUCACGUCUAUUGCGUUGCGAACCUCUAGGAUUUCCCAAUAAGGUAGCUCCCAAAAUAUUGACUUUUUCUUCCACAUGGGUGCAUGUCCGUUAUCAUCGUUCGGAACAGGUUGGCUACCAAGUCCCUUUCCAAAGACUACAUGUACAUCCUUCAUCAUCUCGAACACACGCUUUCCAUUACGGUGUGCAGGUUUUUUUACGAUGGUCUGGCGUCCCUUUGAAAUGCAUCCCGCUCUUUCUCAGCUGGUGGUGAGCAGGGAGAAAUCGACGAUGACCCAUAUAGACGACCUUCUUACAGUGCUUCAAGUACAUGCUAUCUGUGUCAUCUAAACAGUGGGUGCAUGCCCGAUAUCCCUUAUUUGUCUGUCCUGAAAGGUUACUCAAUGCAGGCCAAUCGUUGAUGGUUACGAACAACAGUGCUCGUAGAAUAAAGAUCUCUUGUCUAUCCUCAUCCCACACACGUACACCUUCUUCCUUCCAGAGCUGUAAAAGGUCAUCAACCAACGGCCUUAGGUACACGUCAAUGUCGUUGCUGGGUUGUUUUGGGCCUUGGAUAAGCGCCGGCAUCAUAAUGAACUUCCGCUUCAUGCACAGCCAAGGAGGAAGGUUGAACAUACAAAGGGUCACAGGCCAAGUACUAUGACCACUACUCAACUCACCGAAUGGAUUGAAUCCAUCAGUGCUUAAACCAAACCUUAUGUUCCUUGCUUCACUUUCAAAGUCUGGGAAUGUUCUAUCAAUUGAUCUCCACUGUGCCCCAUCUGCGGGGUGUCUCAGCAUCUCAUCUUCCUUACGGUCUUCUUUGUGCCAUCGCAUCAACUUAGCAUUCGCCUUGUUCCUGAACAAGCGCUUCAAGCGUGGUAUUAUAGGGAAAUACCACAUCACCUUCGCGGGAACUCUCUUCUUGGGAGACUGCCCCUCGACAUCACCAGGAUCAUCUCGCCUGAUCUUAUACCGCAGGGCUUCGCAGACGGGACAAGCAUCCAAUUCCUCGUAUUCAUCACCACGAUAGAGGAUACAGUCAUUAGGGCAUGCGUGUAUCUUCUGAACAUCCAAUCCGAGAGGGCAAAUAAUCUGUUUAGCUUCAUGUGUUGUGGACGGUAAUUCAUUAUUCUCGGGGAGAAUCUUCUUGACAAUUCUCAACAUCCCCUGAAAUGCCUUAUCGGACACACCAUUUUUUGCCUUCCAUUGCACAAAUUCUAGUGUCGUACCUAGUUUUUUAUGGCCCUGCUGGCAACCUGGGUACAACAAUUUUUGGUGAUCAUCUAUCAUGCGCUGCAACUUUGCUGCUUCCUUCUUAGUUUCGCAAUCUCUGUAUGCAUCUCGUAUCACCUGAUCAAGGUCAUCAGUAGGGUCAUUUUCUGCAAACUCAUCUUCAUCAGCCUCGCCCAUUGUAGUACCUGCAAAAGCUUGGCCUGCAACCCAGUCCGGAAUGGUGUCAUCUUCCUCCUCCUCCUCGCCAUCUUCCAUUACAACCCCUAGUUCACCGUGCUUGGUCCAAACCAAAUAGUUAGGCAUGAAACCGUAUUUAAACAAGUGGCUGUGAAUAGUCCCCCAGGAAUCCUUUGAAUACUCCUUCCUGUUAUUGCAUUGGAAGCAUGGACAACAUACGAACCCAUUCUCUAGCUUGUUCGCUUUUGCCACUUCGAGAAAAUAAUGCAAGCCAUCAAUAAACACCUUGCUCCGCCUGUCUGCAUUAUACAUCCAAUGCCGGUCCAUCUGCAUCGUAUUACGCACGAAAAUGGAUUACACUUGACAAUGGAUUACGCGUGAAAAUCGAUUAAAGAUCCAAACAACAUGGUACAAUACAACAACAUGAAGAUCCAAAUACACAUAUUUAAAUUAAAGUCCCAAACACUGCAUAAGUUGUUCAACUUGAAGACCGUGAUCAUCUCGCGAGGAUGUCCUCAACUGGGCGGCACCGCACUUCGUCAUUAAAGAGGUUAGAUGCUACGGAAAAGGGGACACGGUCACGAUGUCUGUAUCCACUCUUUCUCGUCGAAUCGAACCUCCUUCUUGACAUACGUUGCUGCUCGACGGAGAACAUCCUCGGCGAGAUGAACACGGUAUGCAAGUUCAACAAGUAGCAGAAGUCAUCUAUGUACAAAAAUUCUUUCCUUACCACUACAGAAGUUGUUGAACUUGAAGACCGUGUUCAUUUCGCGAGGAUGUCCUCAGCUAGGCGGCACCGCACUUCGUCAUGAAAGAGGUUAGAUGCUACGGAAAAGGGGACACGGUCACGAUGUCUGUAUCCACUCUUUCUCGUAGAAUCGAACCUCCUUCUUGACAUACGUUGCUGCUCGGCGGAGAACAUUCUCGCCGAAAUGAACACGGUAUGCAAGUUCAACAAGUAUAUGGAUUUAAAAAACCAUAUUGAAUUUGAUAAGAUAAACCGUCUAGACAAGGUAGCAUAUGGAUUUAAACCACUGCAAUAAUGCAUACUAUAUAUGACACAUCAAUCUCCCUCACAUUCUAGCUCAAAAUACCUCUCCAUUUUUCUACUUCAUCAUCACAUUGUAGCAAAUAAUCUUUCCAUCUCCAAAGAAUAAAUCAAAGCAUAACACGAGGAUGAAGUAGCAAACCUUCGCAUUACUUGUGUUGGCCGAGUGAAAUUCCAACGAAAAUGAGGGAAAAAACUUCGGGCAGCACCUCCCUUGCUUGGGCACCACCGGAGAGUAGGUGAAGCUCAGCUCUCUAUCAAUGUGCUGGACUGCUCGGGCUGGAGGAAGAAGAAAGUCUCUGUCUCGGGAUAUAGUGGGGGAUGAGUUUUUAUCCCGGUUAAAAACUCCAACCGAGACAAAAGGAAACACCUUUUGUCCCGGUUGGAAGUUAGUCCCGGUUGGAGGAUCCAACCGGGAUAAAAGGGAGUCCCGGUUGGUGCCUCCAACCGGGAUAAAAGGGUGUCCCUUUUAUCCCGGUUGGAUCCUCCAACCGGGAUAAAAGGGUCCCGCCACCGACGGCCCCCCGCUAGCCGUUGCAACCGGGACUAAAGGGGGGCCUUUAGUCCCGGUUGCAAUUACCAACCGGGACUAAUGCUCCCCUCCAAAUUCCCGCACCCCGGCGCACCCCCUUUUGUCCCGGGCCACUUUUAAACCGGGAUAAAAGGGGGCGGAUCGAAAGUCAGUUCUCUACUAGUGUGUGGAGCUAUAAAAAUUUUUAGUGGAGUGCUGCGAAACACCCCCUAAAAGUCAUUUCCAAUGUGACACAAUUUUUUUUUGGCUUCGGGUAUUUGUACUUUGGAGACCCUGAACUAAAGUCCGGAUAUGACAAAAAGAUCAGUAAUCGUAUGGAGUCACUGACAAUAGGUUUAAGUGACCACGAAUUGCUUGUGUCUGUGCUCAUGGACGUGCGACAUAACUCUAAUAUGCCUCUGCUUACCAAUAUAGUAGGGUACUUUAUAUGCAGUGCAUACUCAGUUCCACUAACAAUUUAACAUUUCAAAACGUGCAUAAGUCUAAUAUAAUUGUUGCAAACUUUAAUUUAACAUAUUUCUUUCAAACUUCGUAUACUUGUUCACACAUCUUACCCAAUGCAUAUGUAGAUACAUACAUAUGUAGCAAUUUAUCCUUGCAGCGCCACAUGUUGCAACACAUUUACAAGCGCUAGUAUAGACACUAACAAUACUUGCUGGGCCUCUAGUAAUGCGUAAUGCAUUGCUAAAGGGUUAUUCGUCAUGUGACAAGGAGAUAUGGUGCCGCUAGGUUUCUACUAUGGGCAGCUAGGGUUCUUCCCUGGUCCUCCGUAGAAUAUGUAAGUGCCCCAGUUGAUGCUAUUGGUGCCGCUCUGCACGUUGUAGCAGUUGGGCUGCUUAUUCCCCAAUCCCACAACAUUUGGUGAAUUGAGUUUGUUGAACGAAUCGACCACUUGUAUGUUCCUGAUGUAGCUGGCCUUGCUGUACCCUUCCCCAGGGAAGUGCCCACUGCCCAUGUCUGUCGAAGUUUGGCCGGCGUAAGGCGAGUACACCUCUCCGCCCCACAUGACAUAGGAUGCACUAAUUUGCAAGUACGAGAAAAUGGUUGAUGGCCAAUAACCCAAAAUAUGGUUUCCUACUUGCAACCACCAGUUGCCCCCCUUUGGAUCCUGCAGGCAAAAAAAUUACUGGAGAGUCAGACAGGAUUAUGGCAAGGGGAUAUAGUUCAAAAGGCUAACAUGAGAGAUCUAGUUGCAUUUGUGGAAAAAUCUGUUGCGUGCAUGGGAACAACUCGACUCAUGAGUGAGGCCACAAACAGGCCAACGUCAUCACGGUUGUAGCCUCAACUUACAAUUGAACUUUUGCCUCGAGAAAGAACAAGAAGCUGGCACGCUUUCGGUGUCCAUCCAUGAAUUUGAUUUGCUAUGCUCGGAAUGUGAAAGAUUUUUUGGUUUACCUUCCAGAUUAAAAUAGUUAUUUCAUAUUGUGAGCCACCGUAUCUGGAUACAGGGGAGAAGCUACCACCGAUGGCGAUCUGAUUGUUUGUUUGGAUGAACCCUGAGCACUGUAGGUUAUAGCAACCUGUUCUUCGAUAUGCAUCACGCUACAAUAUUCCGUAGCAAUAAAGAAUUAGUAACUUAUAUGCCAUUUCCUAACUUACUGAUAAAGAUAAAAAGGAAUGUGAUGCUUAUCUUACAGUCCAGUAUAUGAAGAGUCUUGUAGAUCUAUCCCCGUACAACUCAGGGUAAACCUGCAAUUUUGUGGAGAGAACAGACCGUUAGCCAUACUGAAAGAGAUUGCAUGACUUAAUAAUAUGCAUUACAACAUGCAUAGGAAUCACAAAAUUUAUUGCCAAGAGUUUGUCAAAAUACCUAUGUAGAUACAUUUUAAUUUGGUCCUCAUAUGAAGUAUUUCCAUUAAUUACUAAAUGCUCUAUAUUCUCUUUCAUCCCAACUCUUAGUUUCUCCGUUUUCGUCACACCUUGGAUACAUGUUUACUUAAAAGCUUAGCUUCAUCGAUUUCACUUCCUAUUGCAGCCUUCUAUAAUAACUUGGUGCUAUGGCUAUUGCUAGUUUCGUCAUUUCAAGAUGUGUCGUUUCCGUUCACCUCCUAUGAGCUACUGUUCUAGGCCAUGAUGCGGAUGAAAACUCCCAUUCCUUUAGUGGUAGGUGAUGUGCUCGUAAAAAACUACACGUCUUUUGGUUACUUUAUUAAUCUAAAGAUGUGCGAGCCUAGUCCUUCGAAGCUUUCAUAGGGAUUGGAUGUGCAAGCAUGCCUUCAUAAAGGUGAGUAUUAUGUGCAUCUGUGUGACUCAGGUGUUUAUAGUGGGUGAGUGUACAUGCAUAUAUGUGAGUGUCUUUAUCUAUUCUGUGUUUUUGCAAAAAAAUUGAACAUGUGUAAACACAAGAGCUGUAUAUCACUGGUAGAAAAGUGAGCAUUAGACCCGGUUGGAGAGACGCAUAAGUCUCGAAAAUCCAACCAGAACUAAUCUUUCGAGACUAAAGGUCCCGACCUUUAGUCCCGGUUAUCUCACCCAGGAUUAAAGCUUACCUUUUAUCCUGGUUGGUAUUACCAACCGGGACAAAAGGCUUCCAAAAAAAUAAAAAAAAAUGUGGGCCAUCCCCAUUGUGCCUGCUCACGUCUCUACCACUAGCUACAGCUCUGCCUCAACCACCACCUCCUCGAGCUCCAACUCCACCACAGAGAUAAUCAAAUCAAGAGCAUAAAUAAUUGACACUUCACAAAUUGAAGCAUGAAACAUGCUCAUCUUACAUGACUAUCACACAAGUAAUAGAGCACACAACCAAUCAAUUCACACAUGAUCUGAUUCACAAGUCACAACACAUGAGUUCGAUUUGAUUCACAACACGUGGUGGAUUCACCAGCAAAAAUCACAAACAAAUCAUUAAUAGAGGUGAAUCAAAUCUAGCAGCUCGCUUGGGAGCAUGAGGCAUGCUAGGCCGAAGCCACUUGCACUUGCACUAGGGCCGCCCGCGCCAUGACGGGCCCUUGUCCACCGGUACCGCGCCGGGCCGUCGCCCCCCGGCACCGCAUUGGGCAGCUCCGCCCACGCCGGGCCAUCUCACAGGUAGGGAGCUAGGAGGAGGAGGCCGGGGAGGUGGGGAGGGAGGGAGGGAGCAAACGGAGAGGAGGAGGUGGGGAGGAAGGGAGGGAGCAAAGAGGGAGGAGCGCUAACUAGGAGGCUGGGGAGGGAGAGGGAGCAGAGGGUGGAGCGAGUUGAGGGAGAGGAGAGGAGCAUAUAAGGGAGAGAGAGAAGUCGGAGAGAUAAAUGCUGGCGUCAUGAAUUAGUCCUGGUUGGUGGCUUCAACCGGGACUAAUUCAUUUUAUUCCAGCUGGUAGCUCCAACCGAGAUUAAAAGCUCCACUUUUGUCUCAGAUGGAACCACCAACCGGAACUAAAAGGGCUCUGAGUUAUUACCAAUUUUAGACCCGGGACUAAUACCUCUUUAGUCCCGGGUCCGAUUCGUUCUGAGAUUUUUGUCAAGGAUCAAAAGUGGUUUCUCUAGCUCUGUAGCAAAUCUACUUGCCCUUCGCCCCUGGUAAUAAUGCUGCUAGAACAACUCAUGAAAGAAUCUUUUUUAGGUAAUUCCUACUCGUCGUAGCUGUGGCUCUUUCAGCAUCACAUAUACCAUGGAGGCUGAAAGUCAGCGUUUCACAGAACAUUUAUGAAGGUGGGUUAAUGUUUCCCUUGGAGGUCUAACCUGCCAUCCUGCUUCAAUUGUAUUGAGGUCGUUGCCGCUAUAGGAACCCCCAGAGAUCCAGAGCUGGGCCAAGCUGAAAUCUUUGGCCCUCCCAAUAGUUGGUUCCCACAGAUUGAUGCUGGUUUUGGUUCCAUAGUACCUAGCCUUCGGUGUAUACGCUAUGGCGUGCUGCUCAAUGAGAGAGCAAACGAAGUUAAAUGAUAAAUUUUAAAAUAAUAAUUGUACAAUGGUGAUUCUUGAAUAGGUGUUGUACCUGGUGGCCAAUCGUCACAUUGAGCUUGUUAGGGUCAUCAAUAACGGAAAAGAAGUUCGGUAUGCUCCUUGGCCUCUUCUUCCCAUACCUCUUGAUAGAGCUAGCCCUCAGGACAUCCUCCUCCUUGGUCCUUCGGAUUGGUAUUGUGUUUGGAGGGCAGCAUUUGCCAUUCUGAUGCCAUGUUUGGGUGAUUGAAUGUGGUGCGAUGUUGGAAUCAUCGCUCAGGCCUUCUGGGUGGUAAGAAGGCCGCAUCUGGAAGGUGACGAUGCACGCAAUGUGUUUAUGUGGUGUUGGGGGGAACUGCAGCUAGUCGAUCUGCACCCAACAAUGAAAUGAAAAGGGCAAUGGUGCAGCUGAGAGGAACCUGGAUAGUAUGGUUCUUGAGGAGUGGAUGAUCGAAUGCAGGCUGUUUGGAGAUGGGCACACAGUCUAUGAUAUCUCCAUCUGCACUCUGUUGUUUUCAUAGAAUCAGUACUCGCAAUAAAAGUAGAAAAGAAGAGAGGAUUAUGCAUACAUUAGGACUGGAAUGAAUCCGAAGGUCAUAUGAAAAUUUUCAGUUGCAAAAAGUAAGUAAAUAUAUGUGGAUCAUUUUUGUAAUAUAGUGUACUGCACGCAAAUCAUGAAGCUGCUGAAUGACAACACAAGAGAAUGAAGAGUACCUCAAUGCUUGCGAGAGGAUCCUUGUUGAGCCUCUUGAGGAGGCUUCGCACCUGCCGCCGCCGCUGCUCCGACGUCCCGGCAGCGCCCCCCGCUGCCGCCACAACUGCGAGAGCCACGACGAGCGCGAUCAAGCACGCUCGCGUCACUGCCAUUGUAAGAUCCUGUUGUUAUCUCGGUUUCUCUUCAGCAUGAGCUUUUAAAAGGUAAGAGAUGUACGUCUCGGCCGGCCUGGCUCUGGCGUACGUCAGAGUAUUUGUUUUAGGGAUAUGGACUGAAACAAAGUUAUCUUAGCUACUACCUUCUAUAAUCAAGAUGUAUAUUAUAUAUGUGGCGUCAGAGUAUUGUUUUUUCAUACGCUUUGACAUAAGAAGAAGAUGCUUCGAAAGUUGCUAGCAUGUUCGCGGAACCACGGAUGGAUUGGUAAGAGCUGCUCUCCUUCUGACAUGAAUUGACAUUUGCCAGCACCUGAUGCCGAGGUUUCAUGCCGUCGAGGUGCUUUUGUAUAUUGUCACCAAGGUAUUGAGGUGCUGUGUUUUAAAAAGCUUUCUACUCCAUGGAUUUUUAAAGUAUAUACGUGAGCUCAGAAAACAAAAUCAGCAAACUGAUUCCAAGAGUUGACAAACUCCAUGGACAGACGUUGAUUAUGUCACUUAACUAUCUAGCCACCAAUCGGUUAGUUGCUAUAGUUGACCUUGAAUUUGUAAAGAUGCAAAUGCAGAGACAUUAUCCAUUUAUAUAGACGAUUGUACAUCCAAGUAGAUAUAUAAUGUGGGUGCAGACAUUACCCAACUAGUAAAUGUCUUAGUCGUCCGUCGAUCUAUGGUUAAUUGCGUUGCAACAGUAUCCCGCGUAUAGGCACUAUUCAGUCAAUGUCACAGAAAUUUCAAAGCUCUAAUUCGCUCCUUUCGGCAGAUAAUCGACCACAUCCUUCCCUUUGAUUGCGUGAUUAUCGGGUGUAGACUUACUCCAAAUCUUUUGUUAAGUGAUUAUUUGCUGCUAACGAUUAUUCAACUUCGAGGGUAAAUACUUAAAUUAAUCGUAGCGUAUAUUUAACUUCAAGCAAUGUGAUGCCAACAAAUAAUUAAGCCAAUCUGUUAGGUGCUGAUUACGAGGACAUACUUGGUCCAAGUCUUUUUAGUGAAAGAUCACAACUUUUGAAUGUUCAACUGACAUUUUUUAACAUGUUAACUUUUGAAUCGUCAGUCUCUCAAAUGAUUUGGAAGUUUGACUUGAGACGGUUGUUGGGAUGCAAUCUCAAAGAGACUCGUGCUCAAAAGAUGGAAUGGGAAAAACACUUGCCAUCUCUGGAAAAUCAUCCCUCCCUUUACAACGGGGUAGGACUCCCCUUUUAUAGUGACUCGGAGGUCAUUUUACAUACCGUGAAUACCCUUUCUCACCUACUACAUUACUGGAAUAUGUUGUACAUAAAGGUCUUUGGGGUAACGUGUACAAAUUAAACUCUCCUGCAGAGUCACGUAUCUCACGUCUCCUUGUAGUCACGCCUCCUUGUAGUCAUGCUUAUCACGUUUUUAUGUAGUCAUGCUUCUCACACCUUCGAGACUUUAACCACGAGGCUUCUUGUUUUCGUCUAAGUCUUCAGCUUCAGAACCUUAUUAGCUUCGCAUUGAGGAGACUCCUUAGCCUCAUGUCUUCAACCUUAACGCGCAUAGCUCAGUCUAGACCUUGAGUAGAAAACAUAACAAAAAACACAGUGCUUGAGAUUAGCUUCGAGCGUUCAAGGGCAAGUUAAUUCAUAUCUUAGCCAUCAGCAAAUAAUGUUUAGCCUCGAAGUCGAAAUGACAAAGAAGAUGCAAGGUUAACGUAGUUUACACGCUUAUUUAGAACCUGCAAGGUUAAGUAAGUUUUGUCCACUGAUCUUGAUCUUGUGAGGUUAGCUAGUUUUUGCUAAUGAACACCGCUCAAGGUUGAUCAAUUUUUGGAUGAUCCCCAACAAUAGCCCCUCGUGGGUGAGGGUCGACUCUGACGUGCUAAACCCGCGACAAAGGAUCACUCUACCAAAAAACAUCACCCUCGAGCAUCGGAGAAGAGAUGAGCCAAUAGUUAACUUUUGUGACCUACGUGCCAACUUCCAAUUGAUUGAUGGUUCGUUUUCAGCUUGAGGUUCAAGGCUCCCUUUCAUGCGGGUCGCUUUCAGAUUGCCUUUGCGUUUUGCUGCUAUACUAUGCACCGUCAACUGAGCUUUUUAAGAUUCAUGCUUGCUUUGUUGUUUUCCUCGAGCUUCAAGGCCUCGAAGGUACUGUUGUUGUUCAUGUUUUUUAUUCUUGCUUAACUUCAUUUUGUUAUUGUUGGCGCUAGAAAUCGGUCAACCGAAUCCCCAGCGUCUGACACACGACCCGGGAGAAUCUGCUUAACUCCUGUUCGGGUGAUUGCCCUGGUGUGGUUCGCGCGGCGUGCCAGCCAAUCUGACCUGUUGAUUGGCAAGGAAGAAUACGUGUCAGGUCCAGAAAUCACGAUCGGCUAAGUUUCCGAUCUCGAGAGAGCUUAUCAGCGAAUCGGCCGAUUUGCCGUAAUAAAGAAAUCGGCUAUAAGGCAGCCGAUCACUGUAGCCUUGUAGACAGAAAACUACUGGAGUAAUCGACACAAUGCUAUAAUAACAACACUAGGAAUAGAUCCAAUCGGCAAUAUGUAAAAUAAGCGAAUUCAAUAGCAAAACAUAAAGAAAGCCGAAACCACCAAUUCCUAGCUGGAUAACUGGUGAUAAAACUAGAAAGACAGGUAAAACCUAUGAUUCUAGUAAAUAUCGAUAACUAGUGAAUAAAUCUAAACAAAACAACAGCGAUACGCCUGGAGUUAAAGCUUAGAAUUUACUCGGUAAACGGAACUUACAAGAUCGGCCGGAGAUCAAGUUGAUGCAGCCCUGCCAACCCGUAUGAACUCGUGAAAAAGGAGAAAGUAUUUGGCGAAAUCGCCUGCUCGAAAGUAAGUGCGAGGAAAAAGUAGUUGGUUGUAUUGAUUUGUUGAUGAUUACAGAUUUACAAAGGUAGCUAUUUAUAGCCCCGUACAGAUGACUCCUUAACUGACUAGAAUUCUAUCCCUAAUUCAAAUAGAAAACGAAUAUUUACAAGCACGAUUCGUGCUAGGUUGGUUAUUAUACGCUUCAUGGGCUGAUUUCCCCCUUAUCCUUUUAUUCUUUUCCAAGCCCUUACCGGCCCAAUUAUCCCAACCUCCUAAUCGGCCGAUUCCUUAUCGGCAAAAGGCAACCGAUUGGGAACCCGGUGCAUUCGAUCCGAACCCCAAGGGUUAAGCGAGGCAGAAGUCAUCGGCCGAUCUCGUACUGUAGCACCAUUCGACCGAUUCCCAACUGUACUUUUCCAAUUUCCUCUCUUCCUUGCGCCGAUUCUACUAGUGACGAAAUCUGGCGUCAACACAAUGGCCCCCAGUUUCGGAGUAAAAACAUAGUCUUUUACUUCAAAAUUCUUUUCAACUUCUCCUCCGAAACAGCCGCAAUGAAAAUAUCCUUCCGUUUUGCGGUCUUCCAGCUGAUGAUUGCAAUCUUUUCGAAACGGGCGCCCACGACAACCACUACUCCCUAAAAACUCGAAACGCCGGCACGGUAAAAAUUCCAUUUUUACCCCUCUUCAGGCACCCUUUAAAUAGCGGUUCACCCCGCACUUCACCUUCAAGCUCACGUCUUUCUUCCUCAGCGCGCGCGCCUUCUUCUUCCCUCAGCACUUUUCCCUUGUCGCCGAAGCUUCCCAGCGCCAUCCUCCUGUUGCUUCUUCUCUUCCCCUCCAAUGGCGGCUCCUUCAGGCAGUUCUCCAGCGCGCGAUGCUCCGGAAAUAGCACCCCCGGCGGUAGUGGCGACAGCAGUUGCUCCGUCAUCAGAAGAAGGAGCUUCAUCGGAGAUCCCAAUGGCGAUCCCCAUCGCGGCCUCAUCCUCCGCAGCUGCACCGGCGGUCACGCCGACUACUAGGAACUUCAUCUCAGAGGUUAUUACCGAAUCCUUCCUCUAUCGGCAAUGCAUUUACUCUUAGAUCUGUUUCUUACUUUUGCACCCCCCUCUUUCCUUUUUAGGCAAUUAGACACCGCAUCACCAUCCAUCUUACUGGAAAUCCUGGCCUUAUUUGCCUCGGACCCAUGGGGAACCCAGAUCCAAUAGAGCUCAUCAAUCUAGAAACCCACAGAAUCCGCUUCAAACAAUCCACCAUGAACCUGGAUCACUGGUUGGGCACUUUUAGAUCUUGGCCGAAUGAAACCCCAGAUUGGAGGGAAUGGUACCAACGGAUAGCCGAGCCGAAGAGGGUCUUAUGGGACGAGCUCAAAAUCGGCCAGUGUAUCAACCUGUCUUUGUCCCAGAUGGAGAAAAAUGAACCGUUGGUAAUAGCGGCCUCUUACUUUUGGUCUGAUGCCCUCAAUGCUUUCUUGUUUGGGCAUGGACCUAUGACUCCCACAUUGGCCGAUGUGGUUCUACUGACCGACCUUGAUAUUUCCUCCCCGGACACACCUUUCCGCCUCUUAGCCGCAACGUCACAUCGGCUGGACACAAGAGGAAUCGGCAGGUGGAAAGGAUUUAUUAGAUGCAACAAAAGAGCCAGGUCUGUUGAGAAUAGGGAGCACACAGCCUUUUUAAUGAUGUGGUUAGAAAAACAUUUCUUCUGCGGAAGAGCAGCCGGCCCAUCAACCAACACCCAGGCUUUAGCCGAAGCACUAUCAGGAAGGACCCCUGUUCCCCUUGGGAAACACUUACUAGGGGCGGCGUACCACAUGCUCCACCAAAUCGGCAUCAAACUAUCCAAGGGGGAGCCGAUCGGAAAUCCAGGCGGACCCUGGUGGUUCAUCAAUUUAUGGCUGAACCUUUAUAUGAGCAAGAUCACUCAGCAGAGGGUGGACCAUAUGAUGUUCCCCAACAUUGAAUCGGCAGAAGAUCCUACCGAUCAUCUCCGAUGCACCUCCUAUGGCGAAGCGGCAUCGGCCUUUCCAGGUUGCACAUACUCUGCUACAAAAGUGGCUGAGUACUUCCGAUGCUUUUACAAUGGCUUUAAUAAAGAUGCAACCGUCUGGUUUCCUUAUCAGCGGGAUGACCCAAUCUUUGAAGUCCCAACCUGCUUCGACUCAACCACUGGCCGAUUCGACGAAGAACUCACCGAUGAGUUAAUCAAGCCAGGAAUCCUGCCAGCCAACUUCUUCUCAGGGAAGGAUGCCCCCACGUACGAGUUCUACAAUCCCUCUAUUGCAGCACGCCAACUCGGCAUGGGUCAGCUGCCGAUUCAAGUAUAUUUCGCUGGCCGAGUCAAGUUCAGAGAUGGGCUCACAACAGGUCUAGACUACAGUUGGGUAUGAGACCGGAUCCCGGACUCCAACACUAUUGAUCUGAACAACUGGAUAGUAGCCCCCUUCGCUGUCCAGCCAUUCAAACUUUGGUGGGCCGAAUGGAAACAAUUCCUCUUCUGCAAUUCGACAUCGGCAUACUGCAACCUCCUGGAUCCAGCCAACAUCGACCCGAAUGCCGAGGUAUUUUCCUUAGCCGAUUUUUUGUCCUUUUUUCAACGCGAAUGAACACUAAUAUUUUACUAUUUCUUCAGGCUGAGAAUCGUACUCCUCCAACACACAGCCGGAGUGGUCGGCUAAUAGAGGGUCAUCAUCCAUACACCUCCUACCCUCUCAUCGGCUAUGACGCUCCAUCCGUGGACGUGAUUGCUGGCCGAUCAAAACAAACUCAGAAGAGAGUCACCAAGAAGACCAGCCGCCGAGUCCGAGCCCGUAUAGAAUCGGCGGAUCCUCCCAUGCUCGUAUCGGCAGAGACUCCGGCCGCGCCACCCCCUCAGGCCACCAGAGACAUUGACACUCAAGUCAUCGCACAAGCCGGGGCAGCCGCCGCGUCAUUGUUGUUAGAGGCCAUUCAGGUAAACUUAUAUUUUAAUCCUCCCGAUUGUUGUUUUGAUAUUAACCCUUCUUAUCUUAGAGUGCACAGAAUACUCCUAUGGACACACAACAAUCGGCAGCAGCCCAAUCGGCCGUCGACGCGCCCCCGCUUCCAUCUGUCAAGGUACAACACUAUUUCACCGAUUCCCCUAGUAUUCGCAUAAUAUACUUACUCAACCUUCUGACACAGGUCAUUGGUACGCCAAGCGCUCCUCAACCACUGGUCCUCUCUCGGGGAGCUGGUCCAAGCACCGCGCCGAUCAUCGUGGAGUCUUCCUCUUCUGAUGAACCUAUGGUACAGGCCCCUGAGCAGGGAACAACGGCUUCCCGAACGCAACUUGAAGAGAUUCGCUUCAAAGUGGUAAGACAUCUUUCAAGCUUUAUUUGGCCGAUUCGCUAUCACCAUCAGCCGAUUUAUUUUUUCUUCCUUAUUAUUUCCAGGAACAGGACACUCCUGACAAUAGCCUCUUCUCUUUCGCGGUCGCCCUUUCUAACAACGAAGAAGUCGCUUCCCGCCAAGUCGCCUUGAGUUCCAUCCCUGACGACGUCCGAGCCAAGCUUACUAGUAUCCGAUCCCUUCUUCAAGGGGACAUCGGCCGACUAGUAGAAGAUGCUUCACCGAUUCGGCAGCUUUUCGGUGACGUCAGCGGACGAGUGCCAGAAGAAGCGGAGGAAGCCUUGGCGCCGGCUGCAUUCAUCGAGCCCAUGAGGAUCCCGGUCUUCAGAGCCCUUCGUCACAUGGCUGAUCGCGCUAAGCUGGCCAAGACUCGUGAAGAGGAGGACGCAUUCAAACGUCAAGCUCAAGAGGUGCACCAGCGUAUCCAUUUUCUGGAGGACUCCCGCCCAGGGAUCGUCGGUGAGAUAGACCGCCUCAAAUGUCGAAGGGCAGAACUUGCCAAGGAAAUGGAGCAGGUGACCAAGGCAAUCAGCGCUGAAGAGAAAAGGCUCCAAGAACUCCCUUCCGUCAUUGCCGAUUUGAAACAGGAGAGGCAGCACUUGGCCCAUGAAGCCCUGAAGCUCCACCGUAGUGCAUCAGAGGUCCCCGGAUCGGCGGAUGAAGACCAACGGGUCCUGGACUCUGCCGAUCAGAUCCGGCGUUGGGCGAUUGCGGCUAUCGAUACCCUCCUGGGUAAUCUGUAAAGCACUGACUAUUUUGUACGAACAUUUAAUAACUGCUUUGACCGUCCUUCGCGACGCCCUUUUUAUUUAUUGCUCUUCUUACUUUCGAUGGGGACGCACCCUUACCAAAUUUCCACGCCUCUUUCUCUUAUAAAUACCGGCCUAGACUUCCCCUUCCGAAAGCAUCCGUUUGGCUUCGGUCUUAUUUUCUCAAUCUGUUCUUAUCCAGCGUUUCCGUCCAUGAAGCUGAUAAUCUUGUGCCCCACGGUAGUGUCGAUCAGCACAUUGGCCGUUGGCAUGGGGUAACCAUCCAUCGGUGUGGCCUGAUUAAGAUUCCUGAAAUCAACGCAAACGCGUAGCUUUCCGUUCUUCUUGUACACUGGUACAAUGUUGGAGAUCCACUCGGCAUAACGGCAUUACCGAAUAAAUUUUGCUUCGAUUAGCUGAGUUAUUUCAGCUUUUAUGUCUGGUAGAAUCUUAGGAUUGCAGCGUCGUGCAGGCUGUUGGUACGGCCGAUACCCUGGUUUUAUGGGUAGCCGAUGUUCAACAAUAGAUCGAUCUAAACCGGGCAUCUCAUGAUACUCCCAAGCAAAACAAUCCUUAAAUUCUCUUAACAAGUUCGUCAACUUACAUUUGUAUUCUGGGUCUAAAUUUGCACUAAUAUAAGUCGGCCUAGGUUUGGUACCAUUGCCUAAGUCUAUCAUCUCUAGUGAAUUGGCCAACGUGAACCCGUGUCCUAGCUUCCCAUCUUCUCGGGCGAACUGAUCCAUUUAUUCUGAGUCUUCGGAGCCGACUGCUCGGAUCGGUUGUAGGCCAAAAUCGGUCACCUUCAGGAAGUCGGUCUCCCAUACUCUGCCGGAUAUGCACCUGACGGUUUCGCAGCUCCACUGCUGCGUGUCGGCUGCCGCGAUGCUGUAUGCGGAAUCGGCGUUGACUACCUCGAUGUUGUCGCCGACCCAUUGUACAAGACAUUGAUGCAUUGUUGACGGGAUGCAGCAAUUUGCGUGUAUCCAGUCCCGGCCGAGUAGCAUGUUGUAGAAUCCCUUGCCAUUAAUAAUAAAGAAUGUGGUGGGAAGGGUCUUACUGCCGAUGGUGAGGUUGACGCAGAGGGUGCCGCGAGCGGGAGACACGUUGCCUUCGAAGUCUUUGAGGAUCAUGUCUGUCUUGGUCAAGUCAUCAUCACUCUUUCCAAGCUUCCGGAGCACGACAUACGGCAUGAUAUUGACUGCAGCUCCUCCAUCUACCAUUAAUCUGGUGAGGGGGCGGCCGUUGACAUGCCCUUUGAGGAACAAUGCUUUCAAGUGUUGUCGUUUGUCGUCCUCGGGCUUCUCGAACGUGGCUAUCAUUGGCUCCAGAGCCAACUGUGCCAUCUGUUCUUCUAUUAUCGACAUAUCCUGUCGAUCGGCAGGAGUCAUGAAUUCCAUCGGCAGUAUGAAAACCAUGCCGACAUCGGCUACCGAUUCAUCACCCGCCGAUUCAUCAUCCCCUUUAUCGUUUCUUUUGGGGCGCCAUACCCGAGGCCUUCCUUCCUUCUUGUCCGUCGUGCUCUGUUGUUCCUCUUCCGGCUGUUCCCAUUGGCGGAGAUGUUGGAUUCUUCGUUUUUGAGAUUUGGUCAAUCCAUCGGGACACCACCUGGGGUUUAUUGGUUUGGCUCCUGACCUGGCGCGUUCCCACUCCAGUUCGCGUCCCAAAGGGUUCUCGUCUGUCACCUGAGCGUCAGCCAUCUCUUCAAGCCGACUGUGGAUGUUGGCCCUGUUUUCUGGCCUGUCGCGUCGAUCAAACUUGCCCCCCGGCCUGUCACGGCGUCUGUCUUCUGACUGGUCAUAUCGGUCACUUCUGCCCCCCAGCCGAUCACGCACGGGAGGACGCUGAUCAUCUUGGAGCGAGACCUGUUAAACGGCCGAUUACCACGAUACGGGCCGUUGCAUUCUAGGCAAUUAUCGGCCGAAGGUAGCCUGAGGUUGCUUUCCCAACAGUGGAUGAAGAAAGGGCACCUCCAAUGAUCUUCGUGCCGUCGCAUCGCUUCUUCCCGGGACCUUGAGCGUUCAUGUUGACGCUGAUAUUUCUGGAGCAGGAACUGGGAAGUAAUGCGUGGCUUUUCCGAUUCGCCGUCUUCAUCCUCCAUCCGCCGCUUUCCUUUGACGUCCUCAGGCGUCGCUUGAUUUCUGGGGUCUACGGCACCACUCUUUUUAUCCGAUUCGGACGUCAGCACCUUUGUUUGGAGUGAGUUCCUCCCCGUAUCAACCAUGUUGGUGGGAAAGGGGUGCUGGUCGAUCUUCAUCGGCUUGGCAGAUUUUGUCGGCACUUCAAAUUUAAGUCUGCCCUGCUCAAUGGCCGACUGUAUCUGCUGCCUGAAGAUUUUGCACUCAUUAGUAUCAUGGGAUGUGGCGUUGUGCCACUUGCAAUAUUUCAUCGUUUUUAGUUGUUCGGCAGAAGGUAUUGUAUGAUAUGGCGAGAGCUUGAUCUGCCCUUCCUGUAGGAGAAGGUCGAAGAUUUUAUCGGCCUUCGUUGUGUCGAAACCGAACGCUUCUGGCUCCUUUUUGCCGAACGGGCAUGAUAUCGGCUUCUUUCCCUUGACCCACUCUGCCAGUCCGACCUCAGCAUCUUCUUCGGCCUCAACCUCUUCUAGGAAUGCCACCUUCUUCUGGAAGUUCCUCUGUGGAUCGAAAGAACGUACCUCCUGUCCAGACAAUCGGUGGACGAUUUGGCUUAAGCUCUCGAACUCCUGUGAUGCGUAUUUUUCUUUGAUGUGGGGCAGGAGACCUUGAAAGGCUAUAUCAGCCAGCUGUGCAUCGUUUAGAGCCAAAGAGUAACACUUGUUCGUGAUUUCCUGAAACCUCUGUACAUAUGAGGAUAUCGGCUCGUCGCUUCUCUACCUGAGGCUGGUCAAAUCGGACAGCUUCAUCUCAUGCACUCCGGCGUAGAAGUAUUUGUGAAACUGUUUUUCCAAAUCGGCCCACGUGAUAAUAGAGUUCGGCGGCAAUGUCGUGAACCACUGGAAGGCCGAUCCGGACAGAGAUGACGAGAACAACCGCACCCGUAGAGCGUCUUGCAUAGCUGCCUCUCCACAUUGGAUGAUGAAUCUAUUCACGUGCUCUACGGUUGAAGUAUCAUCCAUCCCCGAGAAUUUGGUGAAGUCAGGAACUUUAUACCGAUAGGGAAACGGCAGUAGGUCAUAUGUAGACGGGUAUGGUGUCCUAUAGGUGUAAGUUUGUACCUUUGGCUUUAAGCCGAAUAGUUCCUGAAUCACCUCUGCAAUACGUGCCGAACAAUCUGGCUGUUGCUGGUGAACCGUUGGCUGCGGUAUUGGCACGUGCUGGUAUACCGGGGGUGGAAUAGCCUGAUGCUGAGUGAAAGCAGGUGGCAUCUGAGUGAAAGCUGGCUGUGAAUUAAAGGUCGGCUGUUUGAAUGAGCCACUUGUUUCAUCAUACAGUACGAGCUCUGCUGUUUUGUUCAUCUCUGGCGCGACAGGCUGGUAUGGCGGCAUGGGUGGCCGAGUGGCCGCCUGGAAAGAUGCCUGAAAUUGUGAGCUUCCCUGACUGGCCGAUUGAUUCUGACCGGCCGUGGUUGAUGGUGCCCCCCAAGGCGAUGGGCUAACCGGAGGGAACGGCGCAGAGGACAGCUGGAUGGAGUCAUACCCCAUAGGAACUGAUGAUGAGGAAGCGCCCGAACCUCCAAUGGAAAAUUGGAUCGGCUGAGAAACCGAAUUCAAGUAACCCUGGUUUGGUGGAAUCGGCUGAGUAUAUGCCGGUCCCCUAUAUCCUUGAGGUAUCCCACCAGCGAAGGAGUUAACAACGGUGUUGUACACCGUAUUUGCAAGCACCGGGGAUUGAUCAAUGAAGGCGUGAUAAACGGACUGUUGGACCAUAUCGGCCAUCUUGUCCGAGUCCUCAGAGAUUGUGAUCUGGCAGGGAGCUGGAAACGGAGUCUUCUUGAUAGUCUCCCCGCUUCUGGAGCGACUGAAAGACUGCAGGCAAGCUUUCCGGAACUGUGCCGUAUGCUUAUCCAGUUCUUCCUUCUGAUCGUUCUUUAGAUCUGCUUCCGUCACUUCGAUAAUGUUAUCUUUGGAGACUUCAGCAGCUUUCGACAUGGCGGCGGUUGUGUUGGUCCCACUAGGCGUGCCAAAAGUGUGUUGGCGCUAGAAAUCGGUCAACCGAAUCCCCAGCGUCUGACACACGACCCGGGAGAAUCUGCUUAACUCCUAUUUGGGUGAUUGCCCUGGUGCAGUUCGCGCAGCGUGCCAGCCAAUCUGACCUGUUGAUUGGCAAGGAAGAAUACGUGUCAGGUCCAGAAAUCAUGAUCGGCUAAGUUUCCGAUCUCGAGAGAGCUUAUCAGCGAAUCGGCCGAUUUGCCGUAAUAAAGAAAUCGGCUAUAAGGCAGCCGAUCACUGUAGCCUUGUAGACAGAAAACUACUGGAGUAAUCGACACAAUGCUAUAAUAACAACACUAGGAAUAGAUCCAAUCGGCAAUAUGUAAAAUAAGCGAAUUCAAUAGCAAAACAUAAAGAAAGCCGAAACCACCGAUUCCUAGCUGGAUAACUGGUGAUAAAACUAGAAAGACAGGUAAAACCUAUGGUUCUAGUAAAUAUCGAUAACUAGUGAAUAAAUCUAAAUAAAACAACAGCGAUACGCCCGGAGGUAAAGCUUAGAAUUUACUCAGUAAACGGAACUUACAAGAUCAGCCGGAGAUCAAGUUGAUGCAGCCUUGCCAACCCGUACGAACUCGUGAAAAAGGAGAAAGUAUUUGGCGAAAUCGCCUGCUCGAAAGUAAGUGCGAGGAAAAAGUAGUUGGUUGUAUUGAUUUGUUGAUGAUUACAGAUUUACAAAGGUAGCUAUUUAUAGCCCCGUACAGAUGACUCCUUAACUGACUAGAAUUCUAUCCCUAAUUCAAAUAGAAAAUGAAUAUUUACAAGCACGAUUCGUGCUAGGUUGGUUAUUAUACGCUUCAUGGGCUGAUUUCCCCCUUAUCCUUUUAUUCUUUUCCAAGCCCUCACCGGCCCAAUUAUCCCAACCUCCUAAUCGGCCGAUUCCUUAUUGGCAAAAGGCAACCGAUUGGGAACCCGGCGCAUUCGAUCCGAACCCCAAGGGUUAAGCGAGGCAGAAGUCAUCGACCGAUCUCGUACUGUAGCACCAUUCAGCCGAUUCCCAACUGUACUUUUCCAAUUUCCUCUCUUCCUGGCGCCGAUUCUACUAGUGACGAAAUCUAGCGUCAACAGUUAUUCUUUUUAAUUUUCUUCUUUUGUACUUUUCAGCCGGCUCGUAUUAUGCAAACGGCGAGGUUGAUGUUUGCCGAGGAACAAGCGGAACAAACGAGGUUACGCGACGACAUUGCUGAGGGGCACGAGUCAGACGAGGCUACUAAUAUUGAUAGUGGGGAGGAUAUUUCGAAUGUCAAGGUUGACCCAUCAGAAUUAAUGGCUGGCAAGGACGAUUAUCCUCCUACUUUGCACUUUGGGCGAUAACUGGCCUUGUAGAACACGAUCAAUUUCUAUGUGAGCGAGGGAUACUUUUCCAACGGUAUUGCUAGGCCUCCUGGCGGCGAGGUUGUGCCAAAGCUAGUAAUUGGCGAGUCUGUGGUAUCCAGGGACUUUUUCACCGUUGGUCUGCGAUUUUCAUGUGACAAAAUGCUGCUUGUGAUUUUGGAGAGAUAUAAUGCGAAGUUUCACCAGCUUACACCCAACUCUUUUGUGGCACUUUCCAAGUUCUACUGGGUUCAGUGCACUUUUGGAGGCACGAUCGAUGUUGAUGGUUUUGCGAGGCUAUUUGAGCUUCAUGUUUAGAAAAAGAAUGUGGAAUUUGACGAGGAGGAUGGCAUUUUUUAGAUGCAAUUUGGCUGCUGCACAUUCAUGACUCGAAGGAAGAAUGAGAGCAAAAAAGAUUUCCAGAGUUGAGCUUUCUUCAGCAUAGAAGAAUAGGUGGGAUGAUGAUUGGCUCUGAUAUUGGUUUUGUAUUAGGAUGGAUAUAUCUGAGACUUGUGGCUAUAGUCAGCCAUUUUUUACAUUUUUUUACCUCACUGUCGCCUAUGGAUGUCACAACUGCUCCCUCAUUUGCGAGGUCAAAAGCUUUUAAAAAGUGCAAACAUGCUUUUAUGGUAGCUUCAUCAUCAAUCACUAGGCGAGAUUUAGUUGAGAAGUUUCUUGUAGCAUACAUUUGGCCCCUUUCCUAUGGAUGGGAGCCAAAGGACAUUGUUAUGAAGCCUGUAACUUGGUGUUCUAGUCUAGUCCCCUAUCCUAUCUUUGGAUUGACUUUGCCAAAAGGGGUUAACACCGGCAUUUUCAUUGAUGAGGUUGAGAGGCGGGCUGUGGACAUUAUUGGACCCUGCCAUGAGAACGAGCACAUGUCUGCUCAUAAGCUUGUUACACACAGUCUCCGAGUGAACCGUGUGCUUUCAGAGAGGGGUAUUGAGGUUGAGCCUUGCGCCAAGCAUCGCAAGCCCUUCAAGCAGAUGCGCGAGACUGGCGCGACUAGGUCAGUUGAGAUGGGAAUUGUGGCAAAGGGAAAAAGAAGAAAACUGACGACUUGGCUUUUAAACCCAUGAGCGAGGCUGGCAAGAAGUCCACGACCUCCAGCCUCGAGGCUCUUAAGAAGAAUGGUAUGCUCAGCCAAGGCACUUCUAGUGACGAGAUAAUCGUCCUUGGUGAGAAAUUGAAGUUUGUUAAGGGCUCAGCCCAUAACUCAUGACCUCGAGGCUAAGCCAACGACUACUAGGUCAGAACUCGAGGCUACCGGUGCUCUUGCUGGCAUGAAGGUGAAGAAAGAUGGCGAGAAAACUGGGAAGCUACCAGCACCGUUGCCAGCUAGCAGGUCUAGAAUUGUCAAAGCCAUGGAUGAAGAGGAAUACGCAGGUUUUCUAAACGAGGAUUUGUCCCUGGCCUCAUCUCGGCACCCUGAAGCUAAGUCUCCACUGAAAGAAAUGCAACUCAAGGAUGCUAUUGUUUCUCCAUGCCCUGAAGCUAAAUCUCCUCCAAUAGAUGUGCCACCCAAGGCUGCCGCUGAUGAAAAAAUGGAUAAGCCUGAUCCGAUGCCUAUUGAACUAGGUAAAAAUGUUGUUGAAUUUUUGCCUAAGUUAGGCCUUGUUGAUUCUAGGGGCGCUUCUGUUAAGUUUUUGAAGGAGUUACAAAAUACUGUUGGCGUAGCUGGAGAGGCGUAUAGUGAACCCCUACUACUUCUUAGGGUGGAACCUUUUACUAAGAGCUCCACUCUGCCUCUGUCCAUUGCUAGCUACGACAAGGCGUUCGGCACUAACAUCAAAGAAAAAUUGUUAUCUAUCCACGUGCCUAGGUCAGGUGAGGAUGAUGACCCUUACAAUCCACCACUAUUGUGGGGUAUUAAGGAUUCACUCUGUGCUAUAAAUGUCUUUGUGGCUUCAAUCCUGAUGAUCUAGCUAGGAUAAAGGCUACCCUCGGAUACAAGGUACCGUUUUCGUAACUUUUGGCAAUGUUUUAGUUAGUCUAUUAAUUUGUUUUUUUCCUUAUUUUUUUACUUCUUUAUCGUUGCUUUUCUCUUCUAGGCUGUGAUUGCUGGCAAAGUUGUUGUUAAAAGUCUUAUGGAGAAGGAGAGAGACAUGCUCAGUCGCAGCAUCAGGUUGAUGGAGCUCAAGGCUGAAGUUGCGAGGCUAAAGAAAGAAAACAGCACUCUGAACAACCUGAAGACUUCACUUUCCGAGGUCAACACUGAGCUGCAGGAAAAUAAGGAACUGCUUGUUAAGACAUGCAACCUCGUUCAGAGGGUAGAGGGUUUAGAGAAGAACUCGCAAGAUAAUCUUGGUGUUUUGGAGAAACUUCAAAACACUAUAGUGUCAGAUUUAGUAGCCCGACAGUCCACCAGGGGGUUACCCAAGUGGUUGAUUUGUAGGUGAGGGCGAUUGCAAAACCAAGAACUCGAAGGUGAUCACGAGAACAUGAAGGGGUCACGAGGGUUUUACACAGGUUCGUACCUCCGGAGAGUAACACCCUACGUCCUGUAUGUUGGAUUGUAUUGCUCAAGAUUGAUCUAAUUGGCUCGAGAGGCUCCCUCAGCUGCCUUAUAUAGGCUGGCGACCAAGAGUUACAAGUCGGUUUGAACUUAAUCUACUCAGUAGUUACAUGGAAGGUAAUCUAAGUUAGAUUACAAUACGCGUCCCAUGAUAUCCGGGUAGAUUUGUACCAUCUAGUUGCCUUGACUUUUACUCCAAGUAACUUCAUUUGCUCAGCCCGCACGUCCUGCUUGGGCGGGCCCACUUGUCAGGUCCAGCCUGUAUCCUAGUUGGUGGGGACCCAUGAGGUACUCAUAUCCCUCUAGCCCCCGAGCAAUGUGUAGAUGAACAAGAACUUGAGGUCAUCAUAGCGAAGCUUGAAAUUAGGUCAGCUGAAGCUGCGAUGGCGUCAUGGUGACAGAGAGGCUGUGCAGUGCUCAAAAAAAGAAAAUUCGAGUGAACACAGAGCCAACGUGGAGAGUGAAGACGAGUGCCGAGUUGAUGGGCACCGACGUCCAGCAGGUCAAAGCGACAGGCACUCAGUAGGAGUAGCCCCCGAGCAUUGAAGUGAUUAGAAGAAUCGGUCCAAUGGUCAAGAAAAAAGAAGUUAUCUCUUGAAGUAGAUCUCAGUGCCCGAGCAAAAAGAUAGGCAUAGCCACAGAGGCCUACUAACUAGAAAUGCGUGCCCAAAUCUCUGGAGAUAAGAACUAAAGCAAUGAUAGGUAAGUGAAAAAAGUCCUUGUUCACAGGAGUACUACACCGUCGGAGUAGCUUCACGGGAGUACUAUCCUUCAGUACUUGAAGAGAAGGCCGAUCAUCAUGUGAAUACUGUGGAGCCCCAUUGGUAUGGUGGAGUUAUGUCGUGCACCCUCACGAGUGUACUGUAGCGUCUUGGAUGCUAGCUGGAGGCCCAGCUAUAAAUAGACCACCAUUCAUCUAGGAGAGUCAUGGCUCGAGUAGUAGCUCUUGUAGGAUUGAAGCUUGUAGUUUUCGAUAGGAGUAGCGCCCGUCCAUAAGCCUGAUGCCAGAAGAAUUCUCGUGAGGAACACCAGGGUGCUCCUUCCCUUCACAGUCUCUGCAAUAGAGUCGGGGGGUAACAACGCUAGAAGAAUCCUCAUGAGGAGGCUGUAUCGUGAACCCUACCAACUUUGUCCAGGACACCGCUAGGGAAGCAUGAAGCGUAGAUUUCUUGUAUUGUGCUUUUUUUAUUUUUUCUACGUUGUAGCUUCUUAUCCUCGGAUGUCAGCUAUCCCAGAGCUAUUCACAGUCUUUUGUAAUAUGUAAUGCUAGGAAUUUGAUUUUAGCUAAAUGAAGAUAUGCCUUUGCAACUAGUUUUGGUGAUUUAUGGGGCCAUAGAGGUUGGAAAACUAGCUGUGCUGAGGAAGCUAGCCGAGUAGAAGUAAGCGUCCAGCACCCGAGGAUGAGGAUGGGCAGUGCCGCUGAGGCACGCUGAGUAGAUUUAGGUGUCCAGGCCCCGAGGAUGAGGACUGGUAGAGCCACAGAGGCAUACCGAGUAGAAUUAGGCAUCCAGCCCUCGAGGAUGAGGACUGCCGGAGCCACGGAGGCGCACCGAGUAGAAUUGGGUGCCCAGCCCCCGAGGAUGAGGACUGGUGGAGCCACGGAGGCGUGCUGAGUAGAAAUUUUGCCCGGCACGUUGUGCUAUGUUAAUGAAGGCACGUGAUUUCCGUUUAUAACUCACGCCGUCAUCCCCUUCAAAAGCGUGAGGGGCACGGAGCCGUUAUCAUUCAUAUCUUCAAUCUCUGUCAGCGUCUCUGCCUUGAGCCCACUAAGCACUUCGCUGCUUGUCUCACGAACCCUAGGUUGCACCGCCGCAGUCUGCAUCCCACUCACGCACAUGCCAUCACCGCCGUAUGAGCUGCUGCGCCGCCACCACCUGAGCCGCUGCGCCGCUAAAUCUCAAGGACUCAAGCUCAAAGAGAUGGCGCAACCCAAUGCCCCAGAGCCUUCUUCGAUGUGGAUAAAGUCUGUGAUGACGUAGUAGUGUAUCCAAGCCCUCAUCGACCAUGGCCUCCUCGUGCCACAAGCACUGCUUGAGUGGAAGCCCACCGUCGGUCAGGAGUUCCCGUCUGAGGACACGACGGAGGCAGUGGUGUUCGCGCCGUUCUUUGAGCGCGGAUUUGGGAUCCCCACAAGAGACUUCUUCUGCGACCUCCUCAACUACUACAAGAUUGAACUGGUACACUUAAAUCCGAACUCAAUCCGGGACAUCUCCGUCUUCAUCUAUCUAUGUGAAGCAUUUUUGGGCAUCCCCCCCCAUUUUAAUCUGUGGUGCCACUUAUAUCAACUGAAACCAGUGAUUACUAAGGAAAAAAAGACAAGGUUAUUGGGGGUUGUUGUUUCUCGCUACGACCCAAGAGGAUGCAGGAGCAAUUUGAUCUGCAAUUAAGGGAGUCCAAAAAGGGGUGGCAUGCCGAGUUGUUCCUUAUUGCGAAUAAGAAACCUGAGCUGCCGCCACAUAUGGGGUAUAGGCCAGUAUCAGUAUUUGAGUUGCAAAAUCUGCCUACCUCGGAAUAACAGGUUCAAGUGGAUGAACUAUCUACAAAGAUCGCUGAUCUGAAGGUACAAGGGCUGACAGCCGCAGCCAUCAGCAUCAAUUUCUGUCAGAAGGCAACGCAACCAAUCAAAUACCAAGUACAUCCAUUGUACGAGUACUCGGGACUAGAGGAUCCGGGAAGGUGCCCAACAAAGAGGUUAUCGGCCGGGUGUGUGAGUUCUUGAAGGGUGUCGUUAGUAACAGGGACGUCCCCAAGGCCUUCUCAUUGAAGAGGCCGUCGCCUACCUCGGUAAGACUGUAUUCAGCUUUGUUUUGAUGCAAUGUGUGUCUGCUUGUGAUGUUUCUAACUUGAAGUAUUGAAUUGACCAGGAUGACGCUUUUGUUUACUUUUUCCCAUCACCACUGCUUGGAGGGGCCGAGGCGAGGCCACCCAAGAUCUGUCCAUCUGAUGUGCUGGUUGCGCUGCUUGCCGACCUUGAGUUUGACUCGAAGUCCUCUUUUGGGUCGGUCGUGAGUGCGAUGAAGGAGGCUGGCAAGGAGGAAGGCACCGAGCAGGUUGGGCGGCAGACCCAACAGGUCGUGCGCAAGCGGCCCCUUCCCAAGGCUCCUUAGCCGAGUGGGAAGAGGAAGAAGAUGGCCGACAAGAAGAAGGAGAAAGCCGCACCGAGUACUGCUAUCUCAACCAUGUCGGUUAGCGAGGCGGAGUCCGACGUACCGAGCUCGGUUACAAAGAAGAAGAAGUCGGAGCUCGAGGAGACCACCUUGGCUGAAGCAGCACACCUGAAGGAGGCAUUGAAGGCAAAGAUGCUCGGCAGGGCUAGAGAAGAUACAGUGGCACCGCCGCCACUGUUGCGCCCCAAGUACCGGAAGUAUAGGAAACACACUAUGUAAGUAUUGCUUUCUCGUGAUGUUUGUAUUGUAAUUGUGAUUGCUGGCUGAAACUUGUGUGAAUUGCUUGCUGUGUCGACGAUGUAGGAGCAGCGUGCAGUCUGAUGAUGGUGGUGUACAACUAACCAGCUGCUUGGCCCAGACCGAGGUGACUUGCAGUCGUAUUGAGGAUCAGCCGUCGACCAUGGAGGGUGGUCAUACUGAAGAAGUUGCGCCGAGUUUGCCGCCGCAACAGGGUGAGGUCAGCUCCAAGGCUGCCGACGACACCAUGGUCGACCCCGAGGUCGCAAAGAAGGCAGAGGACGAUGUCAUGGUCGGCCCUGAGGUCGAGAAGAAGGCUACUGAGGAGGCCAGAGCUGGCCCUCAGACUAAUGAGUUGCCCAAAGAUGACCUAUUGCCAGGGAUGAUCGCCGAGGAAGUUGACUUUGGUGUGAUUUGUGAAGAAUCUGACCCCGAGACCUUCUCCGAUGAGGCUUUGGCGGGAGACAUGGUGCGGGACAAGGAAGACUUGUUCAACCUAUGAAAACUCUCCUUGUAUGCUGGCAAGCUGAUCCAUGUAAGUGCACUGAGCGACUGUCAUUUGAUUUCAAAUUUGUUUAUAGGACUCUGAUUGUUGUGGUGCAAAAUAGAAUCUGGCCACCCGAGAGUAGAAGAGGGCGAAGGGUACUCAGAAAGUCGAGCACUAUCGCCUAAAGGUGGAGCGCCUGGAGCCAUGCUCAAGAAGGCGAACGGGAGUCCCGAGCUCGAGAAGGAAAUGACUGACGCACUCAUGAAAGGUAAGUUGUGCCGACCUCUUUUAGUCACUUUUUGCUUUGGCAACCUCUAAUGCUGAUGUGAUCCUGUGUUGGUUUACACAAAUUCUGCAAUGAAGAUAGCCAGACUCCAGUGGAACCUCAAGGAGUGUGAGGACUCCAAUGCACACCUCCAACAAGAGCAUGACAUGGCGGUCAAGCGUGAGUAUGCAGUAUCACAGAAGCUGGCUUAUGAAGCUGAAGCGCACAAGGAAACUGAGCGUUGCUUAGAAGCUGCUGUAAGUAACCUUUAGAAUGACCAACGUGUAAUUGCAGGGCUGAAGGUAGAGCUUCAGGAGCUACAGAAGCCAGCCGGCUAUGUGAUGGACAUGGUCCAUCAUGACGCCAACCCAUCCGCGCCAACACCAGUUUUGGACCAUCUGAAGGCUGAACCUAGUCGGCUCAAGACAUUAUUGAAAGAAACUGUUGUGGAGUGCGUCAAGAGCACCUUUGCCUUGAUAGCAUCGCAUUUCCUCAAGCUAGAGUUGGAGCAUGCUGUGACGGGAGUUGCUGCUAACUUUAAUGAGGACUUGAUUCCUGAGCUGGCCGAGCAAUAUCACAAUGCGGCAAAAACCAUUGUAAACGACCUGGACCUAUUUUGUGAAUCGUUGAAUGCAAUGUUUUUAAUUAUAUGUGAUGAAGGAAAACUCCCUCCCUCCCUUGGUGUAUACGACAGGACAACAUGUGGCUGACGCCUAUAGCCGCUAAGCACCUAGUCUCUCCUAACCAACGUCCUGCUAAGACCGGAUCUCAAGCUUGUAGAAGGGGUGAACGCGAGGUUGUCUAGGUUUCGCUAGCUAGGAUGCCGACCACACGAGUUACUUGUAUAGCCUCAAGAGGGGGAGGAGAGAAAAGGCGAGGCCCAGAGGUCGGCCUGUGACAUUCCUAGAAUUCAAAAGGGCAAAAUAAGAAUUCAAAAUAGUAAAGCAAGAGAAAUUAAGAAGAAAAUUUGGGACAAAUCAAAGUUGCAAAAUGCCAAAGCGAAAAACCCAUCAAAUUCCCUAAGUGUUCAAAAACACCCUAAUAAGAACUUAUUUGGGGAAGGAGCUAAAAAUAUAAAUUCAUAUGUAAACUCAACUUUUGGCCAAUAUAAAAGUUGUAGAACUUUUCAAACUAAACAACUUUCAUUAUUUGCACUUUCUCUGAUUUUGAGUGGAAGGCACUAAAAAAUUGGAUCAAAUUUGGUUAAAUUUGGGGCAAAUUCAAAUUUCAGCCUAGCCAGCGUUCCACGAAAGUUUCCACGAGUUUAACUCCAAAUCCAGCCCGAAUUUCACCUGGUAGCCUUUGUAAAAGUUGUAGCCCAUAGUUCCAACUCAAACUUAUGUAUUUGAACUUUCAAAGUUUAGUUUCAAAAUAUGGAGCAAAUUUGCGCCAAAGCUGCUUCCCUCACACACCACCAGCGACACCCAUGUGCAUGAAUCCGGGGUGAUCACGCAUGACACGUCGCGUCGUGCCGCGCCGCUGGCCAGCGCCACCAGGCCAACCCUCGCUGGUGACAAUACAAGUCACGCCCGGCGCUUGCCCAACCCGUGCGCGUGAUUAUCCUCCCCUGGCGCGGCAUAUCUCGGCUGGCCAACCCAUGGCCGCGCAUGCUAGCGCACCGCACGCGGCCCCGGCCACUCCCUGCGCGACACCUGGCUGACCUCCGCCACUCGGCCAACCACCGCCAAUGACGUGAUGGGAUGAUCCAGCCUUCGCCUAGUCUUUGGCCACGCUAUCUUCUUCUCACCACACCACAAUCUGCUUCGGCCAACCACAGCACAUGGCCCACGCGCGUGAAUGCCGCACGCCACCGCUGGCCUCUCCCGGUGCACCUCUACCUAUCGCCUCUGACUGGCCACCGCACUCUCACCCAACCGCGCGCUGAGCGCACGUUGCACAUCGCCAGCUCGCUCACGCUCUUCUGCUGCUACAAAAGGGCAAUGCCUAGCUCGCCGGCGCUACCUUUCACCACCCCUACACCGAAACUCUACCGCCGCCCGUAGCGCUGCCCAUGCAGCUAUUCCCUCCAAGCACCCCUUCCACCGCCCAAGCUCCCCAAAGCCACCUACGACCACCAUUCAACCUUCCUGACCCUGCUCCUGGCCAUCUCUGCCGCCGCCGUCGCCGGAGAUGACGAGCCCCCGCCGCGCCCACCACCUCACCGCCGACUGCCGCCGCUAGCCCUCCUCCGCCCGUGACUUCCACAGGCCGCCGACCCUCAAUGAGCCCCUCAACGCACUUGUGCCCCUAGCUCACCCUCUCCCCACCAGAGUGCCGCCAGCCAAGCCCCGAGGACCACAUUGCAUAGCCCCAAAUCUUUCCAGGGUCUAAGCCAUGAAAUGUAAGGGCCCGAUUGUGAAUCUUUAAAAGAUCCAAGGGCCUAAGCACGAAACGUAUUUUCCUUUUUUGGUUUAAAUUUGAUUUAAAUAGCUGAAACUCAGGAAAUGUCUCGAAAAAUGUAGAAAAAUGGAAAAAAUAUGAAACUUAUUUUGCUAGGUUCCUAAUGAUGUCUAGAUUGACGUAAAAAUGUUCAUGUGCAUGUUACUGUCAUAUAUCUGACAUUAGAAUUUAUUUUGCAUAAAAACAAAUAAAUGCCUUAUAACUCAUAGGAUGCUCUAAAAAAUGUGAAACCACUUUUGUUACUUUCCUUUUGACAUGCAUGUUCAGGAUCUAUAAUUUGUGCUACUGGAAUAGAUGAUGUUCAUACUGUUUUGAAAUUCAAAAGCUUAAUUGAUGUUUUAAUCUUGUUAUUUGCAUGAUAAAUAGUGGAAACUAGAUAAAAAUGCAAAAUAAAUUUGUUAGGUUCCUAAUGUAAAUGUAUAACUAGUAAAAAUACUUGCUCCAAUAAAAUAUAUGUUUUACAUUGCUUUAGUAAAUACAUGUGGUUUAAUGUCCUUAUUAUGUGAUAAAUAGUUUUCAUGCCCAUUAAACCCUGAAACUUAUACAGUAGCAUAGGUUUGUGUUGGUAACCUUUCUGUAAAAUUUGUGGAACCAGAUGGAUGAUGAAACUCUAGUUAAAAAUCCUUCUUCGUGUUGUACAAUUUAAUACUGUUUGGUUUUUAGUAAAUUUUGUAGACGUCAAAUGCAUCUUAAUUUUUUUCAAUACAUCACUUGUGUAGAGGGAAAGCUUCUGUAAACAUUUUAUAUUCAUAUAUUAACAGAUGCUUCUAGAAAUAUUUAUUCAUGUUUAAGAGCUAGCUUAAUUUUUAAUAAAAAUUGCUACUAGAAAUGGUAGGAUAGCGAAAUGAUUAAUUAUAUUUUUAUUCAAAAAUAGGAUAACUUUUGAAAUGAUUGCUAAACAACACCAACAUGACACCACCUUUCUUGUAUGAAUUCUAAGUUCUUAAAAUCUUAUAUGUGUACAUAAUCACUAUCAGAAUGGAACCCAAGUUUUAAUCACAACACACCUUGUUUUGCGAAGAAAAGAUUUUUAAAAUCUUGUCUAGGUGAAUGUUGUCAAAAUUCACAUUAAGCUUUUACAAUGUUAAUGAAAUGCAACCUACACCUUGAAAACUUGUAAAUGAAAUCUUAUGCAUAUGCAUCUCAUGUAGAAGCUAAUCUUGCUGACGGUACGCACGAGUUGGUUCAAGAAGCUGAAGAGGAACACUCGGCUGCUAUGGUGAACUUGAUCGAGGCCACACAAGACCUGAGCCAAGCUUUGGAAGAGCCACAGGCUAGCGUAGUACAAGAAGGCAAGCCCCGGAGCAUAACCUUCGUUUCUAAAAUUAUGCAAUACUUUUGUUACUUAUGUUUGUGCAUUAAGUUCAUUGGAGUUGCAUGAAACCUUAGUUGCAUGCUCCUAGUACCCAUGUGUUGAAUACUAGCAUGAUAAGUCGAGUAGCUACUAUGCUAAAUAGGGACAUGGUAAAAGUCAAUUGAUUUCCUAUCACUCGUGAGCUAUAGGAGUUGCCUGUUUACUGAUGUUGGAAUCAUAAGGUUGACGGGCAGGGCUUGGUAAUAUAUUUUGGAAUAGGUGGUUACCCCAUCUAUUUAGAGGAAAACUGCUCAGGUCAAAAUGUGUUAGAGUUGUGGUCAAGUGUUUGAAAGUACUAAACACAUACCAAGUAUGGGAUCGGGAAGCCUAGUACCUGAUUGAACCAGCGUGGACCUUUUCCCCACUCUCUCUGAAACCAGGUUCCCCUGAUGCAUCAUGUGGGUACAAGUGCAGCCUCGGUACAGCGUUGUCUGGGACCGGUGGGGCCUUGUAUCCAAGGGAAGUGGGCUCUAUACAAGCACCGCAAAUUGAUGAGAACCGCUGAUAUAUGUGAACCCGUCGUGGUACGCAUAUGUCGUGUGUUUAGGUCCACCUUGCAACGUUAAGAAACUCGAUUCGAAUCGUCUGUUUCUCAUAGCUUGGGACUGCUUGAUCGCCGUUUUGCACUAAGUAAGAAGAGGAACAAAGGUUGAUGGUUAAUAUGGAUGCUUGAUUAAUUUGCUUGUUUCACCAUGCUUGCUUAGAAUAGGUGCUUACCUAGAAUGGUUAAUCAACUAGAAUUUGAUGCUAAAACUUGAAAGUAAGGAUCCACUUUAGAAGCUUUUGGUAAAUACAAACCCCUCAGCCAAAAAGCCUUGCAUCUCUAGGAGUCGAUGGAUUAGAUACCACUUGAUGGGUAAGUCUUGCAGAAUAUUAGCAUGCUCAACCUUGCUUGUGGCUAUGUUUUCAGGUAAUGUUUUUUUUGGAUAUGGUUGCCAGUGUGACUCGGCCGUCUCAGCGUCCUCCGAGUUGGACGGUUGAGUGGGACCCAUCCUCGGUCGGUGAGGAUCGUGGUGAGUGAUAUCAUGGCAAGCUUCACCAUGGUAUUAUGUAUUGUCGUUAGAACCAUCGUUUUCUUUUUCCGCUGCUAUGAACUCAGAACUACUGUUUUAUGCAUUUGAACAUCCAAUUUGUAAUAACUUAAUUUGGUACCUGUAAUAUGUUAUCUGGAUUGUUGUAAUCUCUAGACUCAUCUUAGUGCGAGCUUUGUAUGGUUGUUUUUAUCAGAAACACAUGGUUGUAUCGGGUUAAACCCGAUAGACUACCAUUUUAAUUCAAUUAAAGUGUUUAUUCGUAUUUGAGGUGAUGUUGGGUACACUUUAGCUGGAUUAAUUUGGGUGGUUCUGCCACACGGCCCCAGGGGAAGCCCCUGAGCUUAUGAGUGAGCGGGCUGCUAAACAGACACCCCUGAGGAUCAGGGACAGCUCAGAAAGGGGAACAGUAAGGCAGUACGUACGUAGAAAAAGACUGCAAUGGUUUUAUUUAUUCAAUAUAAAAGGGAAACAGAGUACAUAGCUUUAUAUAUCUAAGGGUAGAAGUGUUGUAGAUGCUCGAUGUUUCUACGGAUUGGGGACGCCGGAGCCGUCUGCCCAUUAUAGUCGGUAGGUGCUUGGUUGGAUGACCUCUUUGAUGAUGAAAGCACCUUCCCAAGGGGUGGCUAACUUGUGUAUGUCCUUGGUGAACUGGACCUGGCGAAGCACCAAGUCACCAACGCUAAAGGAGCAUUCCCUGAUAUUCCAAUCAUGGUAGCACCGUAUCUACUGCUCAUGGCGUGCGUACUGGAUGAGGGCCACCACACGAUGCUCUUCAAGGCUGUCGAUGUCGAUCUUCCAACUCUUUUCUGCCUCACCCUCCUCGUAGUACUGGAUAUGCGGAACGCCAAAGGCCACAUCAGAUGGCAAGAUGACUUCUGAGCCAUACACCAUAAAGAAAGGAGUGUAGCCAGUAGCCCGAAUAUUCUAUGUUCAUAGGCCCCAGAUGACUUGGGGUAGCUCACGUAGUGGUAGCAUAUUUGGACAUGUCAUCGAAGAUGCGUGACUUGAUGGAUUGGUGGACCAUCCCGUUUGCUCGUUCCACUUGACCGUUGCAAUGUUGGUGCACUACUGAGGAGUAGUACACAUCAAUGAGAUUGUCUUGGCAAAAGUCUUAGAACAUAGAGCCUGUGAACUGCGCGCCAAGGUCGGUUAUAAUUCUAUUAGCCACUCCAAAGCGGUGCAUGAUUUCCUCCACAAACUGAGCUACUUUAGCUGACUCAAUGCUGGUGAUAGCCUUGAUCUCAAUCCACUUUAUAAAUUUGUCAACUGCCACAAAGAUAUGUGUGUAGCCGCCAGGAGCGGUUUUGAAUGGCCUAACCAUGUCCAGCUCCCAGCAUGCAAAAGGCCAGGAUGGUGGGAUGGUGCGCAGAGCCUAAAUCGGAAGGUGCUGCUACUUGGAGAAGAAUUGACACCUUUUGCAUCGUUGGACGAGCUCCUUUGCACUGGCUACUACUGUUGGCUAGCAGUAACUAGAGAGGAAGGCUUUGCCGACCAAAGUGCCCGAGGCAGCGUGGUUGCCAGUCAUUCCUGAGUGAAUUUCAUGUAGUAGAUCAAUACCCUCACUGCAUAAAACACAUUUCAUCAAUAUCCCUAUGGAUGCAACUUUUCUAUAGAGCUCUUUGCCGAUGAUGACAUAAUUUAUACUGUGUUGAGAUAGUUUUUCAUGCUCUAUCUUGUCCUUUGGAACCAUCUAGUCGGUGAUCAAGGCUAUGAACGGGGCACGCCAAUCUUCUUCUACCUCAAUCAUCAUUAUGUUAGUGGGUAUUGGGUUGGCCAGAAACCUAAGCGCCAGCAUCAUUGGCCUAGUCCAGGUCCAGGAUUUUGAUGGAAGGUUUGCAGAGAUCUUGUACGAAUACACUAGCCAGAACCUAUGCACGCUUGGACCCAAGCUUCAAUAAGACAUUAGCAGCAACGUUAUGGUCCCUAGGGAAGUGAUAGAACUCAAGGCCAUCGAAGUGGGCCCCAAGUUUACAGAUUUCUGUGCAAUAAACAUCCAUGGAUUCCUUGGUGCAGUCCCAAUUCUUGUUGAAUUGCUCAAUGACAACCUUGGAGUCACCAUAAGCGAGUAUACCCUAGAUUGCAAUGGACACGGCGAUGCGGAGGCUAUGGAUUAAAGCUUCGUACUCGACGCCAUUGUCGGUGGCCUUGUAGUGGAUCUGGAGCACAUACUUGAGCUGCUCGCCUUUGGGGGAUAUAAAGAGGACCCCCACGCUAGCUCCUUCAAGAUUGAGGGCGCUGUCAAAGUACAUGGUCCAGUGUUUUGGCCUCUCCAGGGAGGGCGGUUUCUGGAUCUAUGUCCAUUCAGCUACGACGUCGGCUAGGAUCUGUGAUUUGAUUGCAUGGCGCGGCCAAAAUUCGAGGUCCAACUUGCCGAGCUCCAUAGACCACUUGAAAACUCGGCCAUUGACAUCCCUGUUAUGGAGGUUUUCACCAAUGGGGAACGUGGAUACCAUACAGAUCUUGUGCACCUGGAAGUAGUGACGCAACUUUCUUGAUGAAAUCAGCAAUGCGUAGAGCAGUUUCUGAACCUGGGUAUAGCGGGUCUUGGAGUCGCUGUGGACUUGGCUGAUGUAAAACAUCGGGCAUUGCACUGCAUAAGCAUGCCCGGGUUCCUAGCGCUCCACAACUAGCACGGUGCUGACAACAUGCGUCGUUGCAGAGAUGUAUAGGUACAAUGUUUCUUGGUCAGCCGGGGCCGUCAUGACGAAAGGAGUGGUGAGGAAAGCCUUGAGCUCUUCGAGCGCCUUGCUAGCCUCAUCAAUCCACACAAAUUUGUUCACCUUUUUGAGGAGUUUGAAGAAUGGUAGACCUUUUUCCCCAAGUUGGCUAAUGGAGCGGCUAAGGGCUGUCAUCAUGCUAGUGAGCUUCAUAACGUCCUUCUUUUUAGAUGGUUUCAUCAUGUUUCGAUUGCAUCCACUCUGACGGGGUUGGUCUUGAUGCCUUGCUGGUUGACCAUGAAGCCCAGGAGCUUGCCAGACAGGACACCAAAGACACACUUGUCGAGGUUAAGUUUCCAGCAGUAGGCUCGGAGGCCAUUGAAGGUCUCCUCAAGGUUGGCUAUGAAGCUUUCCUCGUCCUUUGUCUUGACAACCACAUCAUCAACAUAAGCCUCAACGUUCCUAUGCAGCUGUGUUGCGAGGCAACCCUGGAUUGCCUUCUGGUAGGUGGCACCGGCAUUUUUCAACCCAAAGGUCAUGGUAUUGUAGUAGUAGAUGCCGAAGGGUGUUAUGAAUGCCGUCUUGUCUUGGUUGGCUGGAUUAAGGGCAAUCUAGUGAUAGCCCAAGUAGCAGCCAAGGAAGAAGAGCAGGAUAUGUGUGGCGGAUCCACUUUGGAUCUACUUCGGAUCUACUUGGUUAAACAUGAUUUAGCCGCAUGAUACGCGACGCUCAUGCCUAAACCGAGUAAACACAAAGUGCCGUCGGAUUUCAUCCGAUUUAACCACUUGAACAGGACCAAUUAGCAAACCCACACGAAGGUGAGCGGUUCCAGAGAAUACAACAAGUCCACCGAGUUAACAAAUUACCCAUUUAGUUUGGCCAUAAAACACAUCAGAGUUUACAAGGUUCAGAAGAAAACAAUAGAAGGUAAAACACUAGCGGAAGCAAACUCGUCGGGGUCGGACAUCCCUUGUGAGGCCAACCGGGACAUCAGUGAUCCCACUCCUCGCCUGUCCGAGGAGGGAUCCCACUCGACCGUCCAACCCGGAGGGAGUUGGGGCGGCCAAGUGCCAACAGAAGGAGGCUUGGAGGCAGCAACUUCACUUGAAAAAGAAAAAGCCACAACAAGGCUGAGCUACUAAGCUCAACAAGACUUAACCGACAGGGAGCACUCUAAACUACCUCUUCUAGACAUGCAAGGCUUUUUGGCUGAGGGGUUUGUUUGCCAAAAGCGCUAGAUGUAACCCUACUUUCAAGUUUUAGCUCCGGUUCUAAGUUCAUUAUCUGGUCUAGGUUUGCAACCUAUUCUAAGCAAGCAUAGAACCAACCAAAAGGUAUAUAUAUCAUCAACAAAACCAUGUCAUCAUCAGAUUCCUUAUUUACUCAGGGUGACAUAGCGAUCAAGCAGUUUCAAACUAUGAGAGGCAGACGAAUCGAUUCGAGUUUCUUAACCAUGCAUGGCGAACCUAAUCUCACGACAUCCGCGCACCACAAGGGCCGCUUCCUGUGUCGGCCGUCCCCAUCAAUUCCCAGGCGCGUGUCAGGUCCAAACUUCCCUUGGCAUGCAAUGCUCCACAGUCCCGGCCUCUGCCGUACUGUGACCGCACUUGCACCCACAUGAUGCACCAUGGAAACCUUGUUCCAGGGACAGCAGGGGUAUAAGCCACGCCCUAGUUCAAUCAGGUACUAGGCUUCCCCAUCCCAUACUAGGUAUGAGAUUAGUACCUUCAAACACUUGAUCACGAACACCACCACUGUCGGGCCUUAGCAAGUUUCAUAGACAGACGGGGCGAUCAUCCGACCACCAAAGAGUUACCUCAAACCCUGCCCCGUCCAUCGUCCUUAUAGUUGUAACGGAAGGUAAACAUCCAACUCCUACAACUCGCGAGUGAUAGGAAAUCACUCGGCUUUUACCGUCUCCUAAUUAAGCAAAGCAUCUACUCGGUCCAACAGCUAGUGUUCAGAUCAGGGGAGCUAAGUUAUGCAUCUAGGGUUCCAAAAAACUCCUAUACGUAAAUGCACAAGUAGGUUAAAGAAAGCAUGCGCAAGUCUGGUAAAACAUAGGGAUUCAUGCAUUCGGGGCUUCCCUUCGAGAAAAGAGUAAGGGAACUGCUCGACUUCUGGGGCAGCUUCGUCUUCUGGGGGCAGGAGCUCAGCUACACCGUCGUCUUCUGGUGCCAGGUGUAGCUCGUAGUAGCCGUCGGCGAGACGCAGCUCUACACAAAUGCAAUGCAUUGGUUAGCAUAGACGGUUAUUUCAACAGCAACACUUGCAAGUCUGAGCCCAAAAACUUGCGACAAGUUACAGGAGGGUGGGGAGGUUCAAUGGAGUUGAUGGAGAUCAAGAGGUAAGGGUCAGAGGGAAGGAACUUAUGAUCUGACCCUUAAUCUAGAGGGUUUGAUGUACUAGGGGUCCUCAGACUCAACGCUGAAAGGUCCUCAAGUUUUACACAUACACCCUCGGUUCAAAGAAAAAGAUACAGCCGAGCCCUCGGGCGAGGUGGAGAAGGGUCGGCGGAACAGACAGGGUCGGGCGAGACGGAACCGGGGUCGGGCGGAUAAGAGGGGUCGGGCGAAGCGAACAGGGGUCUGCAGCCUACCUUCGUCUUACAGAGGAGGCUUGGGUGGAAGAACUAAGGGCUUGGGACGGCGGCGAGAAUGUCCGGCGGUGGCGGUGCUUCUUGUGGAUCACAAGCAAGCUCUUGGGCAGUACUGAAAGCAGUGGCUGGUGGAUUGGGAAAGCGGUGGUGCUUGAGCAGAGAGGAGAGUUCCUCAGACUUAGGUGGUGGCGCUGUGAGCUUGAACAGGGAGCAUGAGAGAUGGCAGCUAGGGCAAGGGAAACUCCGGCGGGGCUUGCGCAUCCCCUUUUAUAGCUGCGCGAAAGAGGGAAGGGGGAGCAGUGCGAAGGCCGGGGAAGAAGCAAUGGAGUGCUCUGCCCGGGCGGUGGUUGAGCGACGAGGGCGGUGGAGCAGGACUUCGGGGAUGACGCCGGCGGUCAUUGGGCACUGACGUCAGGGUGGCGCAGGCGCGGGUUUGCCGGUGGUUGAGAUUUGGCGGAUGUGGACAUCGUCGUGCGGUGGAUCUGAUGGAAGUGACCGGGAAAACGGCACUAGAAACGAGGGUGCACAGGUGAGAAGACAGGCGGCUGCGGGCGCGCGGGCGAGCGUGGAGCAACAGAUUGUCGGGCGGCUUCUAACAGGGCGGGAAAAGGAGCUGUCGCUGCCGCGGUCUAGGUUGGCAGAGGAGGAAUCGUCGGGUAGCGAAGACCGGGGCGACGCGACUGUGGCGAGGUGAUGGAAAAGAUGGGCGACAUCGGGCUCUGCGGUCAGGAUCUGGCGAUGUGAUGAUGGGCGCGGGCGGCGAGGCGCUGCAGAAAUGGUUGCAGAGGGGCUUCCGCUGCGAUUGGGGAAGGGGGCGCGAGAAUCCAUCCGGUCGUGGGCCGAAGACGAGGCGGAGCGGCGAGCGUCGGAGGAGUUGAGCAACGCGGCGGGAGAACUCUGAAGUGCGCAUGCAACUCGAGUGCGCCUAUCGCGGAAGAUCUGGGAGAAAAGAUCUCGUUGGCCUACCGGUCAGUCUCGGUGGUCCACUGCUCGAACUGGAGGGCGAUGCUGCGGGAUGGCUUAGGGAGAUCCGACGGUGGGUUGGGGGUCGGCGGGGUCGGAACUGGGGAGACCAUGGCGAGGGGUCGGAUCGCAGGGGUCAGAAGAUCUGGAGGUUGAACCCUUAGGCUUGGAAAAACUAAGACAGGUGAUCAGGGCUCGGAUUAAGAUUGAUGCGAAGGAUUUUUUUUCCGAGGCCGUCACAAUAUGUUCGACUUUUCUCGGAGGAAACUGGUGAGUGUGAGUUCCUAUUUCACCGAGAGGUCGGCCCCUAUGAGGGUUGUCUUGGUCGGGUCUUCAAGGCUAAGGCAAAUCUUCUUGACCCUGGGGUCAGGCUGCAACGCCAUGGAGGUCGGCUCCUUCUCAGGGAUUGUUAGUUGGUCCUUGCUCAUCUUCUAGGCCUCGGCUACCAUGGCGAUAGCUUUAGCUGAUAGCUCUAGGGCUUCUGCAAGCUGCACAGCUUCGAUGUCGCAUCUAUAUGAUGUCUCCACAUCGCCAUAGAUAGAGAGGACUCCGUUUGGGGCUGGCAUCUUGGGGAUGAGGUAAGUGUGAUGUGGGAAUGCCAUAAACCUCGCCAGCAUAGGAUUGCCAAGGAUAGCAUGGUAGGAAGUCUUGAAAUUAGCCUCCUCAAGCAUGAGGUUCUCCAUGUGGUAGUUGGUUUGUGUGCCAAAAGUGACUGGCAAAACAACUCAGCCAAUGGGGUAGGAUCCUUUUCCGGGGAUGAUGCUGUAGAAAGGUUCUUCACAGGGCUGGAGUCGCUCAAAGUCGAAGUCCAUGCAUUUCAAGGUCUCUGUGAAUAUGAUGUUGAGGCUGCUGCCACUGUCAAUCAGCAUCUUGGGGAGUAGGUCCCAAUCUAUAGUUGGGCAGACCACUAGCGGGUAGGACCCAAGAUCUGGAAUGUGGACCCAAUGAUCUUGCUUGGAGAAAGUUAUAGACUAUUCUGACCAUCGUAGAUACUGAACUGGCUGUACAGAGACAAAGUGCACCUCUCGCUGGCGUAGCUUUUGCUGGCGGUUACUACAAAAUGCAUUGCGGCUGCCCACAAUGAUGUUGACUUGGCGCUCAGGCCACUAGAAGUCCCUGUUCUGGUCGGCACUGGGUCGUUGGGCAUCUUGAUGUGGCUGAUCGCGGCUCUCUUCUCUGUUCUGGUUGUCACGGUCGUCACGCCUACUGGUGUUGCGGUUGUCGCGGUUGUCACGGUGCCAACCGUUGCGGUUGUUACGGGCACUGUAGUUAUGGUUGUCAUGGUCAACUUGGCGACGGUCGUCAUCAUGGCUACGAUAGUCAUGCUUGUUGUUAUCCCGACAGUAGUCGUUGCAGCGUGGUCACUUGUACUCCACCAGGGUGUCGAACUCUUUCUUUAGGACUGUGCAAUCUCGGAGAGUGUGACAUGCGUCCUUGUGGAAGGGGUACUGUGGUGUCCCGCCCCCCCGAGGCCGGGACCGCCCCCCCGGGGCCGGGCCCGCUUACACCUGGCAGCUCUCUAGGAUAUCAAAAAUUCCCUCACAGACCAACACAAGUCUUUUCUGCGUACUUUGUCCUCACUCAUGCACACCCGGGAAGAACUUCCCGGUCGUCACCCAUCCCGAAAUUGCUCGGGCCAAGCACGCUUAACCCCGGAGUUCUUUGAGGAUGAGCUUCCGGAAAAGAAGUUGCAACUUAUUGGUAUGAGUAUUCUAUCAAUCCUAUUAAGCCUUGGGCCAGGAUGUCACAGGUACGGAGCACUAAGGGUUCCAUUAAAUUCUUCCCGGUUGAAGGUGGUCUGCCUGGCCAGGUCACCUUCAGCAGCAUAGACCUCUGGGGCCCUUUUUUGGAGUCGAGGCUCUGAACGUGCUUGGGGUUCAUCGUGAAUUGGCUGAUCGUAGUCGUCAGCCAGGCGGUGUUUAAUGUUCUGGAAUUGAACUUUUGCCGCCUUUUCGAUGUCAGCUUUUCUGUUGACAACUUUCAUCAUCCACUCGACCAUCUUUGGGGCAGCCUCAUACAACUUUUUGAACAUGGGCCGGUUCAUCAGGCUAGAGCGAAAGUACUAGAUGAUAUCACGAUCUUCGAUGCUAGCCAAUCUGUUACGAUUUUCAAAGAAGCGGUUGGCAUAUUCUCGAACAGGUUCGCCUAUCCUUUGGUGGACGUGGCCAAGUUUUUCCCUAUUACCAGGUCAACUGUAGGUGGCCUGGUAAUUCUGAGUGACAGCUCUAGCGAGCUGUCCCCAACUAUCAAUGUUGUUUGGAGAGAGAUUCUCCAGCCACAAGAUUGGAGGUGGACCCAUCACCACCAUACUUUUCGUUGAUGGCCAGCUUGAAUGUGCCUAGCCAAUCAACAGCCCUGAGGUGUGGAGUGAAAGCAGUGAAGCCAUCGAUUGUCAUGUCAUCAUUGUAAUCAUUGUUGAGGUAGUACUGGAUAGGAGGGGCCCUGCCGCGUCCACCGUAGUUGCGCCUGGGUGGGUACUAGGCAUCCUCGGGAGCACCAUACAUGUAGUCAUAGUCAUGCCUGGGUGGGUUGUAGGCAUCUUUAGGGGUGCCAUACACGCGGUCAUAGUCGGCACGGUGGCGCAUCUCGUCUUCUUGGCGAUAAUGAUCCCUGCGCUCUGCAUCACGGUUAGGCACAGGAGCACCAUAGUCGCAAUCAUACUCGGCAUGGCAGCGGAGCUCAUUCUCAUCGCGCUCGUUGUGGCGAUUAUUGAGGUCGGUGCGUAUGUCACGGUUCUAAUGAAGGUCAUGCACCUCAUCACAAAGAUCCCAUUGCCAUUCUAGCUAGUCACAAUAUCAUUAUUGCCUCUCCCGCCGUGAUGUAGUUAUCGUUGUUGUCGCACUGACGGCCGUUGUUGGCAUUGUUGUUGAUGGGCGGGUUGGCGUUGUUGUUGACUGGUGGGUUGGGUUGGAUAGCAUUUUGCUCCCCCGCCUCUUCGUGGAUUGGUUCCAAUCAACCAUCUGCAUGAUCGCCUCAGCGUUGGUCGGAUCCGCUAUGCUCAGACCAGCUUUGAGAGUGCCUGGAAGAUGUGGACCGAGAAUGGUUGGUUGUUGAUCUACUCCUUGAUCUAGGCAUUGGCGACUUGGAGUCACUCCUGAAUCCAUCGCAUUUGGUCUGAAUCUGGAAAAUUUUCCAGCUUAGCAAAGGCAGCCCCCAGGUUGGCCUGGGGUGUGGCGAAGACGUUGUGGCUGGCCUACUCAACGGCCAGUAGGUUGCAGGUGCGCAUAUGGUGCCUGCGUCUUUCCUGAGCACCACCUUGGUCGACGUUGUUGUAGUCGUUGCGCGGCUGCUGGCACUGGUCACCUGAUGCAUCUGCGUUAGCAACAGGUUGCUGUUGGGUGUCGGCUUGCUCCUGUUGGCGCCGCGCUGCGCGGUUCUGGUGCCUAGCAUUACGGCCUUCUUCUUGAGAUUUUGUUUCACCAUCCCGGGGUGGCUUAUCAGUGGAGAUUAUGAAAGCUUCAUGAUCUUGCGUGGAAUAGUUACUCUCAUCAUCGCUUCCAUAGGGAUUUGGUGUCAGGACGAUGUGAGGCACUUGGAAUUCACCACAGUCCAAAAACUGGGCGGGUUCGGGCAGGUCUCUAGAUUGGAUCUAGAAAACCUGAUCAAGCUUGGCAGAGUACUCGACGGCCGAGUUCUGUAGGCCAAAGGGGAUGCGGGACAAACCCUGCACCGACCUGGUUUCACGCGGCACUGCCUCGGACAGUUUUAUGCACUCAGCGAUAGUGCUACUGAUGCAAUCUAGCCUAGCGAUCAGGUCGGAGGGCACGGGUGGGCGGGCGCUAGUGAGUAGAUCUGGAUCCUUCUCAGAGAGAGAGAGAGAGAGAGUUUGCCGACCUGCUAGGCAACUAUCAUGAUGAUCCUUGGGUGGAGAACUUGUCCCGCCAGAACUGAUUCGACGGGAGCUGAGCUAGUGCUAGACGCCAAGUUGAUAGAGGUCGUCGAGUCGACGGGAGUCGCCAAGUUGAUAGAAAAAGUGGUCGGAUCGGAAUCCACCAGCAUGGUCCUGAAUUGAAUCUGGACUGGGUUGGUGAGGAGGUUCUUCAUGUUCUUAGGAAGAACAAUGUCGGGACGGGAUGCCAUCAAGGUCACAAAAAUGAUCUCGCAACCACCCCUACCUAGCACACCAACUAUCAGAUUUAGUAGCCCAGCAGUCCACCAGGGGGUUACCCAAGUGGUUGAUUUGUAGGUGAGGGUGAUUGCGAAACCAAGAACUCAAAGGUGAUCAUGAGAACAUGAAGGGGAUACGAGGGUGAUUGCCUCAGGAGGCUCCCUCGGCCGCCUUAUAUAGGCUGAUGACCAAGAGUUAGAAGUUGGUUUGAACUUAAUCUACUCGGUAGUUACAUAGAAGGUAAUCUAAGUCGGAUUACAAUACGCGUCCCACGAUAUACGGGUAGAUUUGUACCAUCUAGUUUCCUUGACGUGUACUCCAAGUAACUUCAUGUCCUCGGCUCGCAUGUCCUAGUCGUGCAGGCCCACUUGUCAGGUCUGGCCAGUAUCCUAAUUGGUGGGGACCCAUGGGGUACCCAUAUCCCUCAUAUAUAGACAGAUUCAACAACUAUCCUAUCUUUGAAGAAAGCUUGUGCUGUCAAGCAUAAAGCUUGCGAGGAAAGAGAUAUGAUGAUUCAUACACUUGCCAAGAACCUUGAAGAGCAGAAAGUUUUUGUUGAGGAAGCAGAGCAACUACUAAAGAACAGAUUUACAAAAAUCUACAAAGGAUAUAAGGUGGCUCUCAUAGAGUUUGGUGCUAAACCUCCCCCUUUCCCCACCAACGAGGAUGCCAAGAAGAUGUUGAUUGGAUGGAUCAAGAGUUUGAGUACUUGCCUGGAGUUACAAAUUGAGCUAGCAACUAUGCUGCCUAUUUCUGUAUCGAGGGUAUGCUCAAACUUUUGGAGAACGAGGGCUGCUCUAAUUUUCUCAAAUUUGGGGCACGUAGUUAUCAGUUUCCUUUGGCCUUGAAGUGUGACGACCGACCCCAAAUCUCUUUAGUUAAUCUUAAUCCAAGUCUCAAAUCCCCCACCUCAGCUCCCCGAGUUGAAACGCUCAACCUCCAGUCCCGUCCCGACCGCUGAGGUCCGACCCCUCUCCGCUGGCUCCCCAGUCCCGACCCCGCCGACCCCAACUCACCGCCGGAUCCUUCUAAGUCUUUCCACAACGUCUCUCUCUCUCUCUCAAUCUGAGCAGUGGACAAACCGAGACUAAUCGGUGGACCCACAAAAUCUUUCUCCCAGAUCCCCCACGGUAGACGUUUUCCACUCGAGUAGCCUGCCCGCCUCAGAGCUUCUCCGCCACGUGGCUCAACUUCUCCGACACCCGCCGCUCCGCCUCAUCGCCCGACCCCUUUUUGUGCGGUUCGUUUCGCCGACCCCUUUUCUUGUGCUGUUUUGCCUAACCCGACCCUUGGCCUAAGGUUAGAUGUAAUGGAACUCCUUGAAUCCGGCUAUGGUUCGCCUGAAGUUGUGUGCGGAGUUAAGAUAGAUGCUAACUAAGAUGGCAAGAGGACAUAUGUAUCUCCUUUAUCCAGCUAUGUUGUGUUACAUUGUUGGCAAGAGUCGCAUUGAGAAUUUAACCUAUGCGUUCCCAUCUGUUUGAGAAUUACUUCAGAGCUUAUGGAAUUGAUGGGGCGUUGACUCUUGCAGAUGGCGUAUUGCACCAGAUCCGGCUCUGUGCCCAGCAGCAGCGAGCAGAGACAAGAUCUUCCCCUGCCCCCACCUCCAUCUCCACUAGAGGCAAUCUUAGUGGCUCAAACCGAGCUGCUGAGGCAUCUUGUACAGGGGCAACAGCAGCAGCAGCCCCAUGGUGGAAGGGCUCAACAGCAACCUCACGUUGCUCGCUAUGAGGACUUCUUGGGGGCGCAACCCCCUUUGUUCCAGAAGAUACAAGACCCGCUCGACGCAGACGCCUGGUUUCGCACCAUCGAAUCCAAGUUCGAGCCUCUCACCACCCAGUGUCCCGACCAUAACAAGGCCCGGUUUGCAGCCCAACAGCUGCGUGGUUCCGCCCGGCUCUGGUGGGAUCACUACCAUGCUAUGUUGCCAGCCGACCAUGUUGUUAGCUGGAACGAGUUCAAGACUGCGUUCAGAGGACACCACAUUCCGGAAGGUCUCCUGGAGUGCAAGCUCAAUGAGUUCCUGACUCUUACCCAGGGAAACCGAGAUGUCCUGCACUAUGCCCAAGCUUUCAAUGACCUGUGCCGUUAUGCCGGCUAUCAUGCGGACACAGACGAGAAGAAGCGGGACAGAUUCCGCCGAGGACUAAGCUUGGAGCUCAGGGAGAGGUUAAACCCCAUUAAGGUGGAUACCUACAACGAGUUGGUCAAUUUGGCCAUCUCCCAAGAGGACUACAUGCAGGCUCUCAAAGCCGACCAGAAGAGGAAGGCCUCCGUGGCAUUUCCAAGCUAGCCCGCUCAAAGGUUCCGGAUGGUUCCUCCUCAGGCACCCAGCCGACCUCACUAGUCGGGAAGAUGGGUUGCCCGACCUCCGCCAGCGGCAGCACCUCGUUUUCCUAGCUUCCAACCACAGGCGCCCCGGCCGACCCUACAGCCACCACCGCGUCUUGCAACUGGUAACCGCUGCUUCACCUGCGGCAAUGAAGGGCAUUUCGCCAAAGACUACCCCAGGAACAGAAAUCAGCAGCCUGGUCAGAACUCCAUGGUGAACAAAGGAAGAAGGCCCAAGGUGCAAGUUCGACAAGGAUGGCUCAACUACACCAGCUUGACCGAACUCCCCGGAGGUGCGCCAGUGAUGACGGGUACAUUCCUUGUCUUAAAUCAAGCUGUUGUUGUUUUGUUUGAUUCGGGAGCCUCCCAUAGUUUCAUCGGGAGUAAGACUAGAGAAAGAUGUGAGCUGAGUACCGGUCACACUAAAGGAUCAUAUGUGAUCUCCACUCCUGGAAGGAAGAUAGCCUCAGACUAGAUCGUUACUCUUGUACCUCUCCAGCUAGGCCAAACUCUUUUCAGGGAAAAUCUUAUCAUCCUUGACCUGGAAGGAAUAGACAUCAUCCUUGGGAUGGAUUGGAUGACCAGACACCGAGUGGUUCUAGACACAGCUACCCGAACCCUCCACAUCAACUCACCCUUUCAUGGCAGUUCUACCCUACCCUUGAAACACCCUAAGUCCGCACUUCCUUGUGCGUAUCCUCUAUCGGGAGCCCGGCUAGAAAGCCUUCCCGUUGUCUGUGAGUACCUGGAUGUGUUUCCAAAAGAUUUGCCUGGCAUGCCACCCGAUAGAGAUGUGGAGUUUUCCAUAGAGUUGAUUCCCGGCACCGCUCCAAUAUCCAAGAGACCCUAUCGGAUGCCGCCUGCUGAGCUGGCCGAGUUGAAGACCCAGUUGCAUGAUCUGUUGGAAAAAGGCUUCAUCCGACCCAGCACAUCACCUUGGGGCUGCCCAGCCCUGUUCGUGAAGAAGAAGGACGGGAGUCUACACAUGUGUGUGGACUACCGACCCCUCAAUGUGGUGACUGUCAAGAACAAGUACCCACUUCCACGCAUCGAUGUCUUGUUUGAUCAGUUAGCUGGAGCAAAAGUGUUCUCCAAGAUCGACCUUCAUUCCGGUUAUCACCAAAUCAAGAUCCGACCCUGUGACAUUCCCAAGACUGCCUUCUCCACAAGAUAUGGACUCUAUGAGUACUUGGUCAUGUCUUUUGGACUCACCAAUGCACCCGCCUAUUUCAUGUAUCUCAUGAAUUCGGUGUUCAUGCCUGAGUUGGACAAGUUUGUGGUGGUGUUCAUUGAUGAUAUCCUAGUGUACUCGAAGAACAAAGAAGAACAUGCCGAUCAUCUUCAUGUAGUUCUCCAACGGUUGAGAGAUCAUCAGCUCUAUGCUAAGUACUCCAAGUGUGAAUUUUGGUUAGAUAGUGUCAAGUUCUUGGGACACACUAUCUCUAGGAAUGGCAUAGCCGUCAACCCCAGCAAGGUACAGGAAGUCAUGGACUGGAAGCCUCUCGCCUCAGUGCACCAGAUCCGCAGUUUCCUUGGACUAGCAGGCUACUAUCGAUGCUUCAUACCGGAUUUCUCCAAGAUAGCUAAGCCGAUGACGGAGCUGCUGAAGAAAGAGGUCAGAUUUGUGUGGAACGACAAGUGUGAAGAAGCCUUCAAGACCCUGAAGCACUUGCUGACCACAGCCCCAGUUUUGCCUCAACCCAACCCCUCGAGGCCAUUUCACGUGUACUGUGACACCUCUGGCACUGGACUUGGGUGUGUUCUUAUGCAAGACAACCGAGUCAUUGCCUAUGCCUCACGGGCGUUAUGACCUCAUGAGCUGAACUACCCGAUCCAUGAUCUUGAGUUGGCAGCAGUGAUCCAUGCCAUAAAGAUAUGGAGGCACUAUCUGAUGGGCACCCACUGCAACAUCUACACUGACCACAGGAGCCUCAAGUACAUCUUCACCCAAGCCGACCUCAACAUGCGCCAAAGAAGAUGGUUGGAGUUGAUAAAGGACUAUGAUGUGGAAGUUCACUAUCAUCCCGGCAAGGGCAAUGUGGUGGCCGAUGCUCUUAGCCGCAAGACCUUUUGCAACUGUUUGUCGGCAACAAACUUCACCGAGACACUGUGUCACGAAAUAGGAAGGCUCAGUUUGGAAGUUGUUUCCCAUGGAACCCUCGGCCACAUAUCUCUUGAGUUUAUUUUAGAAGACCAAAUCGGGUCAGCACAGUUAAAGGAUGAGGAAGUAAGGCGGAUCACCAGGAAGAUUUCCUUGAAGAAUGAAGGGUAUAAGCAGUUCCGGCAGGAUGAGACUGGGAAAGUGUAUUGUGGAAACCGACUGGUUGUACCGUCCGACCCCAACCUUAGGAACUAGAUCCUAGAUGAAGCUCAUCUCUCCAAGUUCUCAAUUCAUCCUGGCAGCAAUAAGAUGUACCAGGAUCUCCGUCAAACCUUCUAGUGGAGUGGAAUGAAACCAGAAAUUGCUCGGUAUGUUUCAGAAUGUGACACCUGCCAACGCGUCAAGGCCAGUCAUCUAAAGGUAGCAGGUACCCUGUAGCCCCUACCUAUUCCCUCUUGGAAAUGGGAAGACAUCAACAUGGAUUUCAUUGUUGGACUGCCCCUUUCAUCGCAGCAACAUGAUUCCCUUUGGGUUAUAGUGGACCGUCUGACCAAGUCUGCCCACUUCCUUCCUGUCCACACCACCCACACGGCCAAGAAGUAUGUGGAGUUGUAUCUUGACCGCAUUGUUUCCCUAGACGGUGUGCCUAGGACGAUCAUCUCUGAUCGAGGAGUUCAAUUUGUAGCACGCUUUUGGGAACAGCUACAAGCAUCCAUGUGCACCAAGCUCAUCCGUAGCUCAACCUACCACCCUCAAUCUGACGGUCAGACCGAAAGAGUUAAUCAGAUUCUUGAAGACAUGUUGAGAGCUUGUGUCAUCCAUUAUGACAAGAAUUGGGACAAGUGCUUGCCAUUGGUAGAGUUUUCCUAUAACAAUAGCUACCAAACCAGUUUGAAGAUGGCACCAUUUGAAGCAUUGUAUGGUCGGAGAUGACAGACACCAUUGAAUUGGUCCCAAGCUGGAGAAAGACAAACAUAUGGUCCUGAUUUAGUGGUAGAAGCCGAAGAGCAAGUGAAGGUAAUUCAAGCAAAUCUCAAGGCUGCCCAAUCUCGACAGAAGAGUUACUCCGAUAGGAGAAGAAGACCCCUGCAGUUUGACAUUGGUGAUCAUGUGUAUCUUCGGGUCUCCUCGACAAAAGGAGUGCAACGGUUUGGAGUCCAAGGGAAAUUGGCUCCCCGUUACAUUGGCCCAUAUGAGAUUGUGGAAAAUUUGUGGACCAGUUGCCUCUUGGAUCCAACUCCCAGAACAGCUCUCGGCAACGAGGAUGCCAAGAAGAUGUUUGAUUGGAUGGAUCAAGAGAUUGAGUACUUGCCUGGAGUUAUAAAUGGAGCUAGCAACUAUGCUGCCUAUUUCUGUAUCGAGGGUAUGCUCAAACUUUUGGAGAACGAGGGCUGCUCUAAUUUUCUCAAAUUUGGGGCACGUAGUUAUCAGUUUCCUUUGGCCUUGAAGUGUGACGACCGACCCCAAAUCUCAUGAGUUAAUCUUAAUCCGAGUCCCAAAUCCCCCACCUCAGCUCCCCGAGUUGAAACGCUCAACCUCCAGUCCCGUCCCGACCCCUGAGGUCCGACCCCUCUCCGCUGGCUCCCCAGUCCCGACCCCGCCGACCCCAACUCACCGCUGGAUCCUUCUAAGUCUUUCCGCAACGUCUCUCUCUCUCUCUCUCUCAAUCUGAGCAGUGGACCAACCGAGACUGACCGGUGGACCCACAAAAUCUUUCUCCCAGAUCCCCCGCGGCAGACGCACUCGAGUAGCCUGCCCACCUCAGAGCUUCUCCGCCACGUGGCUCAACUUCUCCGACACCCACCGCUCCGCCUCAUCGCCGGCCAUGACUGGAUGGAUUCUCGCGCCCCUUUCCCCAAUCGCAGCGGAAGCUCCUCUGCUACCCUUUCUGCAGUACCUCACGGCCCGCGCCCAUCAUCACUCUGCCGGACCCCGGCUGCGGAGCCCGACGCCUCCCGUCUUUUCCGCCGCUUCUCCGCAGUCGCGCCGCCCCUAUCCACGCUACGCGAUGAUUCCUCCUCCGCCAACCCAGACCACAGCCGCAAUAGCUUCUUUUCCACCCUGUCAGAGCUACGCCCCCAACAAUCUGUUGCUCCGCACUUGCCCGCACGACUGCAGCUGCCUAUCUUCUCACCUGUGCGCCCUCGCUCCUAGCGCCAUUUCCCCGGUCACUUCCAUCAGAUCCACCACACGACGAUGCCCGCCUCCGCCAAAUCUCAACCACCGGCAAAACCGCGCCUGCGCCGCCCCGUCCCUGGUGCCCAAUGACCGCCGGUGUCAUCCCCGAAGUUCUGCUCCGCCGCACCGCUGCUCAAUCUCCGCCCCGGCAGAGCACUCGAUCGUUUCUUCCCGGUCUUCGCGCCAUGCCAAACUUCUCACUCUUCUGCGCAGCUAUAAAAGGGACUGCCAGAGCUCCGCCGGAGUCCCCUUCACCAUCGCUACCCUUCCGCCUUGCUCUCUGUUUUGUGCUCAAAGCGCUACCGCCUAAGUCCCAGAGGAACUCUCCUCUCCGCUCCACGCCGCUGUUCCCCCAAUCCACCCAGCCGCUUGCUCCUCUGUGCUGCGCAAGAGCUUGCUUGUGGUCCACAAGAAGCACCGCUGCCGCCAGAACCCUGCCGGACCUCGCCGCUGUCCAAAGCUCCAGUUCUUCCGCCCAAGUCUGCUCUUUUCAGACCCCAAGCUUCACCUGUAAGACGAAGGUAAGCUGCCGACCCUUUUUCCACCUCGUCCGACCCCUUCUAUCCGCCCGACCCCUGUUCCAUCUUGCCCAACCCUAUCUGUGUCGCCGACCUUUCUCCGCCUCGCCCGAGGGCUCGGCUGUAUCUUUUUCUUUAACCCGAGGGUAUAUGUGUAAAAACGGGGACUUCUCGGCGUUAAGUCUGAGGACCCCCAACACAUCUAUCCCUCUAGUCUAAGGGUCAGAUCAACAGCUUCCUUCUAUCCGACCCUUUUUUUUUUCCUUGUCCUUCUCCAACCCAAGCAAACUUUCCCACCUUUUUCCGUAGCUAUGCUACAAAGUUUCUGAGCUAGAACUUGCAAGUGUUGCUGUUGAAAUAACCGUCUAAAUGCUAACUCUUGCAUUGCAUUUCGUGUAGCGUUGCAUCUCGCCGAUGGUGUCUACGAGUUGUACCUGGCGCCAGAAGACGAAGCUGCAGUAGAGCUCCCGCCUCCAGAAGCCGAAGCCGUCCAAGCAGAAGAGCAGCUUCCCUCCUCCUCGUUCGAAGGCAAGCCCCGGAGCAUAAACCCAGUUUUCCCAAACUUGCGCAUGCCUUCUGUUCCUUGUUUGUGCAUUUACGUAUAGGAGUUGCUUGAAACCGUAGAUGCAUGAUUUAGUUCCUUGAUCUGAACACUAGCUGUUGGACCGAGUAGUUGCCAUGCUUAAUAGGAAGCGGUAAAAGCCGAGUGAUUUCCUGUCACUCGCGAGUUGUAGGAGUUGGUUGUUUCCUUUCUGUUACAACUAUAAGGACGAUGGACGGGGCAGGGUUAUGGUUAACUCUUUGGUGGUCAGCUGAUUGCCCCGUCUGUCUAUGGAACUUGUUAAGGCCCGACAGUGGUGGUGUUCGUGAUCAAGUGUUUGAAAGUACUAACCUCAUACUUAUUAUGGGAUGAGGAAGCCGAGUACCGGAUUGAACCUAGACAUGAGCGGUCGUCCCAUUGUCCUUGGAACGGAGUUCCCCUGCGGCCGCACGUGGUGGCAAGUAUGGUCACAGAACGGCAGAGGCCGGGUCUGCGGAACAUUGCACCAAAGGAAAUGGGCCCGACACGGGUUAGGGGAUUGAUGGGGAAGGCCGACACAGGAAGCGACCCUCGGUGGUGCGCGGAUGUCGUGAGGUUAGGUUCACCAUGCAUGGUUAAAGAACUCGAAUCGAUUCGUCUGCCUCUCACAGUUUGAGACUGCUUGAUCGCUAUGCUACCCUGAGUAAUAAAGGAAUCUGAUGAUGACAUGGUCUUGAUGAUGAGAUAUAUAUACCUUUUGGUUGGUUCUAUGUUUGCUUAGAGUAAGUGCCCACUUAGACCGGUUAAUGAACCUAGAACCUGAGCAAAAACUUGAAAAUAAGGAUCUACUUAGUGCUUCUUGGCAAAUAAACCCCUCAGCCUAAGAGCCUUGCAUGUCUAGAAAGGUGAAGUAGCUUUACUCCUGUCGGUUAAGUCUUGUUGAGCUUAGUAGCUCAGCCUUGUUGUAGCUUCUCUUUUUCAAGUGAAGUUGCUGCUCCCGAGCCUUCUUCUGUUGGCACUUGGCCGCCCUGUUGGGAUACGAGGUAGGCUACACUAGCGCAAUUCAAAAAUUCUACCGCGUAUAACCAGGAAGAACUGCCGUAUAAGGAUCACGGGAUUACCACUCGACGCACUACUGGUGCGGAAGAUGUAGAUAUGCGUCGAUGCAGUGAAGACGAUCACGUAGUCGUACGUAGUCGAUCAACAUAGUCGUACAUAGUCGAUCACGUCCAGCAGCUCCUCAGCAGCUCGUCCACGUGCAGCAAGAUCGCCUCCGGUACCGCGGCUCGUUGUUGGCUCGUCGUGGCUCGUCGGCGGCUCGUCCAAGUGCUGCAGGUGCAACACCUCCAAGGUAUCCACACGUGCAGGGAGGAAGCGUCGCAAGCCGGACUGCUAGAUCCGCGAGUUACAACAGGCGAGUGCGUGGGAGGCGCGGCAGGUGUGUUUCGCCAAAAGGUGUAAACCCUAGGGCGCCCCCACCCCUCUAUUUAUAGAGGUUCCUGAUGGGCCUCUGGAUCCGAGGCCCAUUAGUACUUCUAAACCUUAUCCAACUCGGAUCAGAUCCGAAUUGGGCUUCCAGCCCCUUAAGUGUGUGACCCUAUGGGUUCGGAUACGUAUAGACAUGGCCCGAGUACUCCUGCUCGGCCCAAUAGUUGGUAGCGGCCUCUAGCAAGACGUGCCAACUCCUAUACGCACACGAAGAUCAUAUCAGACGAACCAUCACAACAUAAUAUACAUGCUAUUCCCUUUGCCUCACGAUAUUUGGUCUAGCUUCAAGCCGACCGCUCUUUCUCGAUCCUGUGAUUCGGAAUCCCUUUGUAGGUUAACUCUUAACCGUACGUAGCAUGGCCAUGCAUUUUUGGAUCCGAUCACUCGAGGGGCCCAGAGAUAUCACUCUCAAUCAGAGAGGGGCAAAUCCCAUCUUGACUGACCAUGUCUCAUAGCAUGCUUCUUGACAAACCCGAAAGCUACCUUUAUAACUACCCUGUUACGGCGUAGCGUUUGAUAGCCCCUAAGUAGGUCGAUCCACAUCUAGAAUACAUGCGACAGUCUCAGGUCUAAGGACAAAGCGUAUAUGUUGUUUAAAGAGAGAACUACUUCUCGUGUUGGGUCAGUCCUAGCACAUGUCUCCACAUGUGUCCACAUUAUUAGUUCAACAUCUCCAUGUCCAUGACUUGUGAAACAUAGUCAUCAACUAAUACAUGUGCUAGUCAAAUAUUCAUGUGUGUCCUCACAUGAACUCCGACUAGGGACAACUUUAGAAUAACCAUACAAGUAAAGAGUUUCACAUACAAUUCACAUAAUUGCAAAUCAAUUCAAGUAGCCUUAAAUGGAUAUUCAAUGAACACAACAUACAAAUCAUGGAUACAAAUGGAAUAUCAUCAUCUCUAUGAUUGCCUCUAGGGCAUACCUCCAACAGUCUCCCACUUGCACUAGAGUCAAUCUAGAAGGUACCUAAUACCCAUAGCUCUUACAUGCGCAUCAUGCUUAGCCUGCGAGAGUGGUUUUGUCAACAGAUCAGAAAUAUUCAGAUCCGUGUGUAUUUUGCAUAUCUUGAUCUCACCCCGGUUAACGAAGUCUCGAAUGAGAAGAAAUCGCCGCAUUACGUGUUUGUUCUUCUGGUGGUUCCUUGGCUCCUUUGCUUGCGCAAUUGCCCCAUUGUUAUCACAGUAGAGAUUCAAUGGGCUGGACGCAUUCGGGAACACACCAAGCUCAAUGAGGAAAUUCCUUAUCCAAACACCUUCCUUCGCGGCUUCCGAAGCCGCGAUGUACUCGGCUUCUGUCGUAGAAUCGGCCACCGUCUCUUGCUUGGAACUCUUCCAACUAACAGCACCACCAUUUAGCGUGAACACAAAUCCUGAUUGUGACUUUGAAUCAUCUCUGUCGGUUUGGAAACUAGCAUCGGUGUAACCUGUUACAACGAGCUCCUCCUCACCUCCAUAGACGAGGAACAUAUCUUUAGUCCUUCUCAAGUACUUAAGAAUGUUUUUCACCGCUGUCCAGUGACUCUCACCUGGAUCAGAUUGGUGUCUGCUUGUCAUACUUAGCGCAUAUGAAACAUCUGGGCGAGUACUUAUCAUUGCAUACAUGAUAGAUCCAAUAGCCGAGGCAUAUGGCACUCUACUCAUGCGAUCCCGCUCAUCAGCAGUCGAAGGACACUGAGUCUUGCUGAGAUGUAUGCCAUGUGACAUAGGCAAGAACCCUUUCUUUGCCUCUUCCAUGCUGAACCGCUUCAACACUUUGUCAAUGUAAGUAUCUUGGCUUAAACCUAUAAGCCUUCUCGAUCUAUCUCUAUAGAUCUUAAUACCCAGAAUAUAUGCCGCUUCCCCUAAGUCCUUCAUCAAAAAACUAUUUUUCAGUGAAGUCUUUACGGAUUCAAGCAUAGGAAUGUUAUUUCCAAUCAGUAAUAUGUCAUCCACAUAUAAGAUUAGAAAUACUACAGAGCUCCCACUAACCUUCUUGUAAACACAAGACUCUUCUUCGUUCUUGGUGAAGUCAAACCCUUUGACCACUUCAUCAAAACGAAUGUUCCAACUCCUAGAUGCUUGCUUCAAUCCAUAAAUGGAUCUCUGAAGCUUGCAUACCUUUCCAGCAUUUUUCGGAUCGACAAAACCCUCGGGCUGUAUCAUAUUCACGUCCUCAGUUAGGUUUCCAUUCAGGAAAGCUGUCUUGACAUCCAUCUGCCAUAUCUCAUAAUCGAAAUAUGCAGCUAUAGCUAGAAUAAUCCGAAUGGACUUAAGCAUCACUACGGGCGAGAAGGUCUCGUCGUAGUCAACUCCUUGAACUUGUCGAAAACCUUUUGCGACAAGUCGUGCUUUAUAGAUGUGAACAUUUCCAUCCAUGUCCGUUUUCUUCUUAUAGAUCCACUUGCACUCUAUGGCUUUAAUACCAUCAGGCGGGUCAUCCAAGUUCCAAACUUGAUUGUCUCCCAUGGACUCUAUUUCGGAUUGCAUGGCACUCUGCCAUUUUUCGGAGUCUGGAUCCAUCAUUGCUUCUGCAUAUGUCGCAGGCUCAUCAUUGUCCAACAAUAAUAUUUCCCGCAUUUCGCGGAGCCUUGCCGACCUUCGUGGUUGUGGCGGUGCUUCUCUUGCCAUGGGUAUCUCAACUUGUUCUGCUACGUUAGCAUCACUCAUUGAUUCUUGCCCGAUCGGCUCAUCUAGAACUUCUUCAAGAUGCACUGUCUUUCCACUCUUUUCUCCUUUGAGAAACUCUUUCUCUAGGAAAACCCCGUUCCGAGCGACAAACACUUUGCCUUCUGAUCGGUUGUAGAAAUAAUAUCCCAAAGUUUCCUUUGGAUAUCCCACGAAAAUGCACUUAUCCGACUUGGGUGUGAUCUUGUCCGACUGAAGUCGCUUGACAAACACUUCACAUCCCCAAAUCUUUAGAAAAGACAAACUAGGAAUCUUUCCAGUCCAUAUCUCAUAUGGUGUCUUAACUACGGAUUUAGAUGGUACCCUAUUUAGUGUGAAAGCUGCUGUUUCUAGAGCGUAUCCCCAAAAUGACAACGGUAGGUCCGACUAGCUCAUCAUUGAUCGAACCACGUCUAACAAAGUUCGAUUACGUCGCUCGGACACACCGUUUCUCUGAGGUGUUCCAGGCGGCGUAAGUUGUGGAACAAUUCCGCAACUCUUUAGAUGAUUGCUAAACUCGUGGCUCAAAUACUCGCCUCCACGAUCAGAUCAUAAGGCCUUAAUUUUCUUGCCACGCUGAUUUUCAACUUCAUUAUGAAAUUCCUUGAACUUUUCAAAGGUUUCAGACUUGUGCCUCAUCAAGUAGACAUAGCCAUAUCUACUAAAAUCAUCAGUGAAAGUUAUGAAGUAUUGGAAUCCUCCUCUAGCCGUCGUGCUCAUUGGUCCGCAUACAUCACUAUGUACGAGUUCCAACAAGUCUACUGCUCUCUCAGGAAAUCCUGUGAAAGGCGUCUUGGUCAUCUUGCCUAGCAAGCAAGCCUCGCAUGUCUCAUAUGAUUCAAAAUCAAACGAAGUUAGAAGUCCAUCAGAAUGGAGCUUCUUCAUGCGUUUUUCACUUAUAUGACCCAAACGACAAUGCCACAAGUAGGUAGGACUCAAAUCAUUAGGCUGAGGCCUUUUAGCACUUACAUUACAGACAGGUGAACCAUCAAGAUUUAAAACAAAUAAUCCAUUCACAAUGGGUGCAAAAGCCAUAAACAUAUUAUUCUUAGAGAUCACACAACCAUUGUUUUCACUCGAAAAUGAAUAACCAUCCUUCAUCAAACAUGAAGGAGACAAAAUGUUUCGACUUAAACUAGGAACAAAAUAACAAUUAUUCAACUCCAUAAUAAAUCCUGACGGGAGGUGGAGUUGCAUCGUCCUGACGGUCAACGCAGCAACUCUUGCAUUAUUGCCCACGCGGAAAUCAACUUCUCCUCUUUCCACGCUUCUACUUCUUAUCAUUCCCUGCAUCGAAUUGCAAAUAUGAGCAACCGAUCCGGUAUCAAAUACCUAAGAAUUAAUAAUUGUAUUAGCGAGAAAUAUGUUGUCUAUAACAUUAACAACAAGCAUACCUGAGGUAGAAGUACUCUUACUUCCGCCAUUCUUCAACGAAGCUAGUUACUGCUUGCAGUUUCUCUUCCAGUGACCAAGUUCAUGACAGUAAAAGCACUCUUUGUCUGGAGCAGGUCCAGGUCUAGCUUUAACCUUGGGCGGUGGGUUUGGCUUGGACGUUCCAGCCUUGCCCUUUUUCUUCCAAGAAUUGCCCUUCUUCUUAAAGCUGGGCUUGUUCUGUAUAGCCAUCACAUGGCUGGUACUAGCGCUUUUCUUGAUGUCUACUUCUGCUAUCUUGAGCAUACCACACAGUUCAUUCAAACCCUUCUCCGUCCCAUGCAUAUGGUAGUUCGAGAUGAAGUUCCCAUAGCUAGGCGGAAGAGAUGAAAGAAUGAAGUCAGUGACCAACUCUUUGCCCAUUGGGAAGCCCAGCUUCUCCAAUCGCUGAGUGUAACCAACCAUCUUGAUUACAUGUGGUCCUACUGCUGCGCCUUCUGCUAACUUCCACUCCAGAAAGGCUUUGGACACAUUGAACCUUUCGGUCCUAGCCUGUGUCUGGAACAUGUCCUUGAGCGCCACGAUCAUAUCGUGUGCCUCAUGAUUUGUUUCGAAUUGCAUCUGCAGCUUGGGUUCCAUGCAAGCAAGCAUAAGGCAGCUUACCUCAAGAUUAGCAUCAAAUGCCUUCUUGUAAGCAGCCUUAAUGGCAGUAGAUGCAUCAUCAGCAGGUACUGGUGGUAGUGGGGUGUCUAGAACAUUUUCCUUUUUCUCAGCCCUGAGAACAAUUCUCAGGUUACGGAUCCAAUCCGAGUAGUUUGUUCCAUUCAACUUGUCCUUCUCAAGGACCGAAUGCAAAGCAAACGAUGCGGUGGUGUUCCUAGGUGCCAUUUAAUCUACAACAAAAGUAAUGCAAAAUACACUAAGACAAACGUAUCCAUGAUAGAGCAAAUUACAUUAAACUAUUUUAACAGAAUCUACUCCCACUAAAAUCAAUAUCCCUCUAUUAAAACUUAGUGAUUCAGGAUCCACAACUAACAAGUCCACUAGUGAGCUUUAGCAUCACCGCUAGCAAACGAGGUAGAUCGGUAAGCAACUUUUGCUAAUCAUAUCACAUAUGACUCCUGUUGUUGGGUGACAUCUCUAUGUCUCGACGCCCAACCUUUAUGCCCCAAGGUCCUUAACCGUUAAGAUAACCUUGUUAAGCAAACCAACCCUUAUGCGUGUAAGUGUCCGACACAAACCCGUCUAGUCAAGGAAAACUAGUGGCACCCUAAUUUCAUAGACCCACCACUUAGUGUACAAGACAUGGGACGGUGCAAGUUUUUGUUGGGAGGGCAUACUAACUUAAACUUUGUGAGGGAUCGUUCUACUUCUAACAUCACAGCAUGCAGAAAGUAAAAUAUAAACAGAAUAGCAUUCACACAGUUGUGACACAGUAUGGCCCGUUUUCAUAUGGUGAUCUCCAUCUCCAUAGAACCUGUUCACCAUGGUGAUCUCCAUCUCAAUGUUCCAUGUGCGCCAUCCUCCUGGUGAUGAGUCCUCCAAGAACUAGAGCAUGCUAUUACGCCUAAUAGCUAGUAAAGAAUCUAGUAAUGAAGAUUACAUAGUUGCUUGGAUCAUCACAGAUUGGUACGCAGACCAUUAAAUACAAUAAAGUGACAACACAUAUGGCUCCUGCCGUGUUGCCGUACGCGCGACACGCAGGUCACGAAUGAGUUACACACAUGCAUCACAUACACAAGGGGGCUAUACUGAUCACAAGAUACAUACAUACAUCCUGCAAAACAGAGUUAGGCGUCCUAACGUUCCAAACUUCGGAGGCCCGAAACUCCAUCUUCCAAGCCGAAUUUGGGAAAUCUAAAUUCACCGAAAAUGGCAAAGCAGUUGAAUUUCAUGUGUAACUUUUUCUGUAGAUCAAUUUUCAUAUAAAAUUCGCCCCAUUCCGAGAUCGUACCGAAAAGUUACGGCUGAUUUACCGAAGCAUACGCAUCCGGCAAAAUCCCAACCCCAGCAGUAGAUCCCAUCUACUAUUGCACAUCUAAUGCGCCUGGCGUAUGACCCUGGAUCUCGAUUCGACCAAUCAUAUUAAUCUUCGCUCACUGCAACUGGAUUUACGUGUAUCACUUAACUCCGAUGGCGGAAACCGACCGGUAGGAGUAUGUCGUUACACUACCAUUGCAGCAAGGGCACGAAACCAGGACAUAGAUCAAACAGAAAACUCGCAUAUCUCCAUAUGCACACAUCCCGAAUCCAAAACUAAGCAGCUACGGCUCUUGAUACCACUGUUGGGAUACGAGGUAGGCUACACUAGCGCAAUUCAAAAAUUCUACCGCGUAUAACCAGGAAGAACUGCCGUAUAAGGAUCACGGGAUUACCACUCGACGCACUACUGGUGCGGAAGAUGUAGAUAUGCGUCGAUGCAGUGAAGACGAUCACGUAGUCGUACGUAGUUGAUCAACGUAGUCGUACGUAGUCGAUCACAUCCAGCAGCUCCUCAGCAGCUCGUCCACGUGCAGCAAGAUCGCCUUCGGUACCGCGGCUCGUCGUUGGCUCGUCGUGGCUCGUCGGCGGCUCGUCCAAGUGCUGCAGGCGCAACACCUCCAAGGUAUCCACACGUGCAGGGAGGAAGCGUCGUAAGCUGGACUGCUAGAUCCGCGAGUUACAACAGGCGAGGGCGUGGGAGGUGCGGCAGGUGUGUUUCGCCAAAAGGUGUAAACCCUAGGGCGCCCCCACCCCUCUAUUUAUAGAGGUUCCUGAUGGGCCUCUGGAUCCGAGGCCCAUUAGUACUUCUAAACCUUAUCCAACUCGGAUUAGAUCCGAAUUGGGCUUCCAGCCCCUCAAGUGUGUGACCCUAUGGGUUCGGAUACGUAUAGACAUGGCCCGAGUACUCCUGCUCGGCCCAAUAGUCGGUAGCGGCCUCUAGCAAGACGUGCCAACUCCUAUACGCACACGAAGAUCAUAUCAGACGAACCAUCACAACAUAAUAUACAUGCUAUUCCCUUUGCCUCACGAUAUUUGGUCUAGCUUCAAGCCGACCGCUCUUUCUCGAUCCUGUGAUUCGGAAUCCCUUUGUAGGUUAACUCUUAACCGUACGUAGCAUGGCCAUGCAUUUUUGGAUCCGAUCACUCGAGGGGCCCAUAGAUAUCACUCUCAAUCAGAGACAGGCAAAUCCCAUCUUGACUGACCAUGUCUCAAAGCAUGCUUCUUGACAAACCCGAAAGCUACCUUUAUAACUACCCUGUUACGGCGUAGCGUUUGAUAGCCCCUAAGUAGGUCGAUCCACAUCUAGAAUACAUGCGACAGUCUCAGGUCUAAGGACAAAGCGUAUAUGUUGUUUAAAGAGAGAACUACUUCUCGUGUUGGGUCAGUCCUAGCACAUGUCUCCACAUGUGUCCACAUUAUUAGUUCAACAUCUCCAUGUCCAUGACUUGUCAAACAUAGUCAUCAACUAAUACAUGUGCUAGUCUAAUAUUCAUGUGUGUCCUCACAUGAACUCCGACUAGGGACAACUUUAGAAUAACCAUACAAGUAAAGAGUUUCACAUACAAUUCACAUAAUUGCAAAUCAAUUCAAGUAGCCUUCAAUGGAUAUUCAAUGAACACAACAUACAAAUCAUGGAUACAAAUGGAAUAUCAUCAUCUCUAUGAUUGCCUCUAGGGCAUACCUCCAACACAUUAGUACUUCUAAACCUAAUCCAACUCGGAUCACAUCCGAAUUGGGCUUCUAGCCCCUUAAGUGUGUGACCCUAUGGGUUCGGAUACGUAUAGACAUGGCCCGAAUACUCCUACUCGGCCCAAUAGUCGGUAGCGGCCUCUAGCAAGACGUGUCAACUCCUAUACGCACACAAAGAUCAUAUCAGACGAACCAUCACAACAUAAUAUACAUGCUAUUCCCUUUGCCUCACGAUAUUUGGUCUAGCUCCAAACCGACCACUCUUUCUCGAUCGUGUGAUUCGGAAUCCCUUUGUAGGUUAACUCUUAACCGUACGUAGCAUGGCCAUGCAUUUUCAGAUCCAAUCACUCGAGGGGCCCAGAGAUAUCACUCUCAAUCAGAGAGGGGCAAAUCCCAUCUUGAUUGACCAUGUCUCACAGCAUGCUUCUUGACAAACCCGAAAGCUACCUUUAUAACUACCCUGUUACGGCGUAGCGUUUGAUAGCCCCUAAGUAGGUCGAUCCACAUCUUGAAUACAUGUGACAAUCUCUGGUCUAAGGACAAAGAGUAUAUGUUGUUUAAAGAGAGAACUACUUCUCGUGUUGGGUCAGUCCUAGCACAUGUCUCCACAUGUGCCCACAUUAUUAGUUCAACAUCUCCAUGUCCAUGACUUGUCAAACAUAGUCAUCAACUAAUGCAUGUGCUAGUCUAAUAUUCAUGUGUGUCCUCACCUGAACUCCGACUAGGGACAACUUUAGAAUAACCAUACACGUAAAGAGUUUCACACACAAUUCACAUAAUUGCAAAUCAAUUCAAGUAGCCUUUAAUGGAUAUUCAAUGAACACAAUAUAAAUCAUGGAUACAAAUGGAAUAUCAUCAUCUCUAUGAUUGCCUCUAGGGCAUUCCUCCAACAGCCUUUGGGAUUCAGAAGGAACCGACGGGGUUGGUUGGGUUCUUUAGGGGUCAGGGUCGGAAACUGCAUGUUGAGCGCUUAUGCUCAGGGGAGCUGAGUCAGUGGAAUUAGAGACUCGGAUUAGGAUUAACUCGGAUGAUUUAACCAGGGUCGUUACAGCCUACCCCCCUUAAAAAGAAUCUCGUCCCGAGAUUCGGGUGUAAGGGUAACCAGUGGGGGUGUGCAGUCCUUACCUCCUUGGGUGAAAAGAAAACCUCGGAAGUGUUUGUUCAGAUACUCUUCUGUUUCCCAGGUUACUUCUUCCUCUGUGUGGUUGUUCCAUAGUAUCUUGUACAUUUUGACUGUUUGCCGUCGGGUAUGUCUUUACUUUCGGUCGAGGACCUUGGCUGGAUACUCAGUGUAAGUUAGGUCGGGCUCGAUUUGAAGUUGCUCCUAUCCCAAGAUCUCAGUUGGAACUUGGACACAUUUCUUCAGUUGGGAGACAUGGAAAACAUCAUGAAUGGCCGAGAGCUAUUCUGGGAGUUGGAUCCGGUACGCAACGGGUCCACAAAUUUCCACAAUCUCAUAAGGGCCAACGUAACGGGAAGCCAAUUUUCCUUUUACUCCAAACCGUUGCACUCCUUUAGUUAGGGAGACUCAAAGAUAUACGUGAUCACCAAUAUCAAACUGCAGGGGUCUCCUUCUCCUGUCGGAGUAACUUUUCAGUCGGGAUUGGGCGGCCUUGAGAUUUGCUUGAAUUAUCUUCACUUGUUCUUCUGCUUCUACUACUAAGUCACAGCCGUAGGUCUGUCUUUCGCCAACUUGUGACCAAUUCAACAGCGUGCGACAUUUCCGACCAUAUAGGGCUUCAAACGGUGCCAUCUUCAAGCUAGUCUGAUAGCUGUUGUUAUAAGAGAACUCUGCCAACGGUAAGCACUUAUCCCAAUUCUUGCUAUAGUGGAUGACACAUGCUCUCAACAUAUCUUCAAGGAUCUGAUUCACUCUUUCGGUCUGACCAUCGGUUUGAGGGUGAUAAGUAAAUCUACAAAAGAGCUUGGUGCCAAGUGAUGCUUGUAGCUGCUCCCAAAAACGCGCUACAAACUGAACACCUCGAUCAGAUAUGAUCGUCCUAGGCACACCGUGCAGGGAAACAAUACGGUCAAGAUACAACUCUGCAUAUUUCUUGGCCGUGUAGGUGGUGUGAACCGGAAGGAAGUGGGCAGUCUUGGUAAGACGAUCCACAAUCACCCAAAUGGAAUCAUGUCACUGCGAUAUAAGGGGCAGUCCAACAAUGAAGUCCAUGCUGAUGUCUUCCCAUUUCCAAGAGGGAGAUAGAAAGUAACAGCCACGCACCUACAAGAUGGAAGCAACAUUCAUCGCUAAGAGGAGGCUGUGCGCCUCUGCCUGCAAGGGAGAAAUGGCUGAGCAUUUGGCUCUGAUUUGAAGAGACCAAGAAGGGUGGCUUGUGCGUUGUAGCAUUGGUAAAGAGAAUUCCCAAGCCAGCCUUUUGAUUUACAUAUGAUGCGUCAAUCCUGCAGCAAAGGUUGCUAGAUAAAAGAUGUGAAAAAUAAAUAUCAUCUUGUAAGUAAUGUGAUGUGGUCAGAAUGUUCAUGCUUUGGUCAAUACGAUACGCUUCAUAUUGAGCUUUUUGAGAAGCCUUUGCUUGGUAAAUGAUAGUGUGCACAGAGCAGUCUUUACGUUGAAACCUAUGAUCAUUUCUUGCUUUCCAAAUGUGCCAAAGGAUGUAACAGGAUGUAACAAACAACUGAUCCUCUUCACAAGUAAGAUUUCUAAAAGUCAACACCACUUCUUCUGGCAGUCCUGCCACGCCCAACCGCACGGGCCAUGCCGGCCUGAAUUCGUAUCUGUCCGAUCGUGUAAAUCCGUCCUUCCGUGAGCAGGUAGGUAGGCACGCAGUAGGUAGUCAUGUGAUUUUUUUGCAAAAAAGCUCUCCAAUUUUUCAUUAAUCGUGUUGGGGUCCACGGAGGCCCUCCUCCUAUAGUAAACAUGUUCGAUUUAUUUGCAACACGCCCCUAGGUUCCAGAAUAUUUCAAUAUCAAAAGAGAAAAUCCUGAUUUUGCGCCGUUUUUAAAAAAAAACCGUCGGCCGACCAUUUUGCGAAGAACCCUAAUGCGUGCCCGGCCUUGAGCUGCCGUCCUCUCCCAAUUCUAUCUUAGAAAAAUUGGUUUCAUAGCCCUCAAAGAUCACUACUUCCAUAAAACACCAUUAAAAAGUGGUGAACCGUUCCUGAAAAUACCAUUGGGUUACCUUUUAUGGCUAACAGGAACCUUUUCUGUCUACAGCGCAANNNNNNNNNNNNNNNNNNNNNNNNNNNNNNNNNNNNNNNNNNNNNNNNNNNNNNNNNNNNNNNNNNNNNNNNNNNNNNNNNNNNNNNNNNNNNNNNNNNNCGAACUCACAGCCGUGGUCCUCGCGAGGGCAGUCACCGUGCUUCCGUCGCGCCGUCGGCCGCGCUUGUCUCAUCAACGCACACGCGAGGCAAGGCCAGCUGCGCCGCAUCCUUGAGCUCAGCCCGCCCCUCUGCAGCCCAGCCGCCGCAUGGCCGCCACGAGAUGGUCGUGGCGGGGCACACCUGUGCUGCUGUUGCGCGCGUUUGUCCAGGGAUGCGCUGUGUGUUGCUGGUGGCCGCGCUCGCCAUGCGUAUGCCACCAUGCUGGUUCUUGCGCUCUACAUGCAUGUGCUCCUCGCGUGCUAGGAGCAUGGGAGGCUGGGACAUGCCCGCUGGGUGUCUGGACCAAGGAAAGAUUGGAGAAGCUAGCGUUUGUUCUGAUGACUGGUGCGUGUGCUGACCAAGGACAUUUUAGUCCAAAUUAACAUUAUUGAUGCCAAAUUCUAACCGGGUGCUAUUUUAUGUAACGUUUUAACAUUAGUCCCUUUCAUCUGUCUCUCUCCCCGGACUCUAGCGACCGCCGCGACUGCGCCCCGUCUCCCACUCAUCCUCCCUCCGUCUCCCCGGUUCACAUCUCUCGUUGCUCACCCCUGUGAACGUCCUUGCUGCCUGUUCUUCCUAGCGACCCAGCCCUGUCAAACAAUUCUUUCCAAGAACUACCAAAUGUGAUUAUUGCUUUCCUGCAGUCCUGGGAUCAAUUAUGUGCCAAGAUUACCAAUUCUCUCGCUCAAAAAUUUGAGUCAUGCUUAUGUAGGUCCAGCUCCCAGGGAACUGUAGAUUUCUGGUUUCUUCAACUAGUGUUGUCCCCAUUACAAUGUGCACUCAGCACUGUUCAGAACUAGUGUUGUUUACUUGUCCUGGGUUCCUCCUAAACACGAGCAAGCAGAUAGGUACAGGUAGCUUGGCCAAAUUAUGUCAUAUAUGCAUCUACAUGUUUGGUGUGUGUAGUCUGAACAUUGUGUGUAGUCUAAACAUUUGAACAUAGUAUAAAAUCUUGUAUAUCAAGAUGCACUGAAUAUAUGUCUCACAUCAUCUAGCACAACAAGUUCAGACAAGUGCUUGCUAAAUCUCUCCGACUCAUGGCUGACUAAGCUUUUCAGUACAAGUGAUCCCGGAGAGAAUACAAAGCUUCAAAAUUACAACUUUUAACAAGUUUACUUUUGAGGGAUUUUAUAGUAUCCUACACUACUGGUAUGAGGAUGCUAGUAUGCAAGUAUGCAAGUAUGCGCCUCAGCGCCUGUACUGUCCAUAGCUGCAUAGCUGUUGCACACAGCCAUUCAAAACUGUGACUAAUUCUGAAUAAUUAGUGUGCUGCAAUCAAAACGGUGCUGCAUAGCUGUUGCGCAUAUCUGCAUAGCUAAUGCACACAGGCAUUGAGAACAAGAACGGCUAUAUGCACAUUUGUUUUAGUCAGUGCUCGUAUUAGUCGUUGUCAGUGGUGCUUGAAUUUUUUUGUUUAACGAACCUGAUGUUAUAUCAAUUCGUGUAUUCUAGUUGACAUCUCAAUCUUGCAUUUACAAUCAAUAUAUGAUCUUCCCCUCUAUUGUAGUUGUGGAGUCCAAGGACGGGAGGAUUUCAGUUGCUUCAGCAUUUGCUGGUCAUCAGGAAGGUGACAUUGCUGUUUCCUCACCCACUAGACUCUCUACUGUCUUGUCUGCUGCAUCUAUUGCUGCCUGCUCUUGCUGGUGUGCUUGGGAAUAAAAUAAAAAAAUUUGGUGCAUGUACAUUUAUGUCUCGGUAUUAAGUAAACUCUGAUGCAUGUCCAAUUUUUAUUGUCCUUGAAUAUGCAUAUUAUAGGAGUUAGGAGAUAAUGGAAUCUUGGGAGGAUGAAGUUAGGAGAUUCAUGCUAAAGGAAGAAGAGGAUAACGAGCUAUUCCAGUUAUGGUUCCUGUAAGUAUUCUUUUAUCAAUUAUCAUUUCAGUAGGAUACAUGCCAUUUGUCUAUGCAAUACAUAUCUUGUCACAUCUCUUGUCUGUAAUAUAUCUUGAUAGAUAUAUGCAACAUAUCUUGACAGUAAUUUUAACCUUGUCAAUACUAGCAUUACACCAUCCACUAUACUGUAACUUCUAAGAUGGUGGCAUGUAAUGGUCAGGCUUUCCAGUAAUAAUAGCAAAAAGAGUAUUCAUGUGAAUAUCUAUGUGCAUAUGUAUAUAUUUGAUCAUUUGAUUUUUUAUAUUAUGUACAAAGGUUUUGCUCAUUAUGUAGACCCCAUUCCUAUUCAGUUGGCAUUCAUAUAUUACGAGCUAUACAUAUCUUUGAAUUAUCUGAUCAUAUGUUAUAUGCAAGAUUUUAACUAUAUACCUAAAUUUUCUACAGAAUAAUUGAUGGAUCAAUAAUUAUCUGGUGCCUUAAUCAGCGGUGCCUGCGACUUGGAUGUGCUAUGCUGAAUUUAUUUAACUUGCAGUGCCUUAAUACUUGGUGAUUGAUACUGCUUGUUGAUCUUUUAGACAUGUUACGGACCUUAUUUAUCAUUGCUAUUUUUCUGGAUUUUUUUAGUAUUUGUGAAUUGUGGACUAUUCUUUUUACAAAAGAUUUGGGUGGGAGGUCCUAGCUCCAAACGGGGUGGGGGUGCCCAGCUCCGUUAAUUUAUCGGAGAGGGUUGUGCUGCCCAGGUAGCUCUGGCCUGAGCUGCCAAACGAGCCCUUAGGGUGCCAUGGUCCCUUCAAUACACUUGACGAGGUGAAACAUCUAUUCCAGUGAUGGAACAAGCCGACCCAUCGCUUGCGAAUCAGUUUUGUCUAGUGGCACGUAAUCGAAUAAAUAAGAAGACCUUUCGAUUUGAAGGGGAUUGGAGAGGGUUGAAAGGGAUUCGGAGGGAUUAAAUCAAGUCAAAAUCCCCCUCAAUCCCCUCCGAUCCUCAUGGGAAGGGGAUUAAUUGAACAAAUCCGAAAUAGGAAUCUAGGAGAGGAAGAGGAUGACGGAGGAGGUGGGCAGCGACGGAGGUGUCCGGUACUCGGUAGCGAUUUCGGUGGAGAGAGUCGGGUGAAACACUGAAACAUAACGGUAAUACCACCCCAUCCGAGUAGUAAACUUCCAGCCAUGAUAAAAAUGGCAACUACAAUCACUGCUAAUUUUUUUUGGCACGCCAGGAUUUCACUAGAAACUAUCCCUAAUCCAUCACACAUCGUAAUUAUUGCAUAAGUUACAAAAAAAAGACGAUAUACCACAACUCUAACACAUGAGAUAGAUUUAUCGGACCCUCAAAAUAUUGAAAUAUUGCAGAUUUCCCCCCUGAACUUGGUUAUUUGGAAAACUUCUCCAACAUGCUAAAUUAAAAAAAAAGAUUUGACAACCAUACUUUCUGGCAGAAUUACGGAGAUUAGCACUAGCUAAACGAGGGAGAGUAGCAAAGCUAUGUGAAUCAUAGCUUAAGAAAAGGAAAAACACCUAACAUUUGUCACCAUAUACACUUGCUACAUGGCUCGAUGACUUUCAGGUUCACAGCUGGGGGCACUCUCCCCUCGAUGUAUCUCUGAAUGGCAACGCGGGCCCUUUUAGCCUCCACAAGUGCCUCCUUACCCAGCUGCAGGCACUUAUCAAACUUGACAAGCCUCCUAUCGUACCCACGGGUAGUGUCUAGUGUAAGGCACGCCAGUGCCUUUGUUUUCUCGAUAAUACAGAUCGUGAGCUCAAUCAUGCUCUUCGCAGAGCAAAAGCCGGUUAUCAUCACAUUCUUGAGGUUGUCAUGGCACUGUUCUUGAAGGCACUGUGGACGUGAGUAGCCAUUUGAGUCUUCAAUAACUGAAUCUCGCCUUAUUGUCGGCUGCGCAAUCUGCAUAGGUAUACAUGAUAUGUCAGAGUGUAUAUUCAAUAAUAAUCAUAAAGUUUCAAUUAUACUGAAUAUACUGAUUUUCACCCUAAAUAUGAAGUUUUUAAGAUGGUAACUUGUCAGAGUGAUGUCAUACCCGUACAAUAAGAGACUCCAAGGCAGGAGAAGCAUCAAGAAAAGAAAUAAGAGAGCAGAGAUCAUAGUCUUGGGAAAACUUUAAUGUAGAGACCACUAUCUCCAAGUACUUGAGCUGGAUGAAUUUGCCAAACACCUUUGGUGUAUUGACUGUCUGAAGAAAUAAAUGUCCCCCGAAGAUUAAUUGUGGACUGAGUAAUUGAGUAUUGUAAACAUAAAACUAUUAUUCUACCAUCAGUUUCAUUUCCAGAACAAUGAACUUAUUGGGAUGGAUAAAACUGACCUCAUCACUUGUUGAUAGCACAAGAGUUUGGAGAUUUGGCGCGAUGAAUGGAAAUUUGGUACUAGCAUAAUAUAGCGCAUCAGGUGAAAAGUCACGGAAAAAACUUAUUUUUCUCACUUGCAAUGCUUCGCCAAGCAAGAUAUGUAUUGGGCGCCCAGCAAAGAAGAAAGUGGAGAGGUUAGGGGCAUUGCUGUCAAUCAUUUCCAGCUUACUGCAACCCACCAAAUGCAGGAUAUCAAGCUUCUGCAGCAGACAAGGUAUCUUCAAGCAAAUUAUAUCAUUGCAGUUGGUAAGCCUUAGUUGCUCCACAGCACAAGAAUUGGAUAGAAAACCAUAUAGUUCCUCUCCAGUAAUGUGUACUGAAUGCAAUUCCAAAUUUGUCAGGCUACUCAUAUAACCAACUUGG
rnacentral:lncRNA from 1 species